ACCCCAGCAGGGCCUGGGCAGUAUUAUGUAAUCAAACAGCACUAUUUCUGCAGCUGGACAUAAUCCACUAAGUUGAAUACACAAUCACAAUAGCCUCCUGACAGUUCACUCAGGCUUUGCUCCAACUGAGUUCAAGUUUUGCUAACAAAUGAGUUAAAUUUUGUUUUGCUUUGUUUUCAGAGGAUGAUUUUUGAAUUAUAGAUAAGAAAUGGUACAAUGUACUACUAUCUAUAAAUAGAAUACAGAGAGUGAGCAGGUUGUUUGUUCAUUUGUUUUUUGAUGAGAUGAAGGUUCUGGUUUGAACAUAUAUAAUCUCCAGUGAUGAACAAAUGUUAAAGAUGUCCAAUAGGCAAUCAUAUAGAAAAGAAAAUUAGUUUGGACAGUUUGAAACUGAAACAAUUAUAGGGAAAAGGUGUACUUGGGGGAAUAUUCUCUCUUUAGUGCCAAAAAUAAGAGCCCAACUCUGAGAAUGACCCAAGGAAGUGUCAUAUAAUUGUCAGUAGUCUCUAAUGACCUAGAAUUCAGAGUCCUACUUGUCUUUGCUUUGCAAUAAGUGAAUGUACUUUUGUCUCUUGCCACUGCUGGAAUUGAUUUGAAUUCAGUUUUCCCCCUUAGUGUACAUGAGUUGUGUUAAAUUUCACCCAAAUUACAUAGUAUGAAUUAUUUUGAUACUAACUAAAUGCAUAAUUGAACAGCUAACUGAAAACACCUUCCUUUUCAAUAGGAUUUUAUAUCUAUAAAGUAUCUAUCAUUCCAAAUGUAUUUUUGCACUUGAUGGACUAAAGAACUGAAUACAUGUGAAGAUGAUUCAGGCACUGAUCAUUUCUAAAAUCCUAAAUAUGAUAAUAUUUUCCUUAGGAGAAAUAUUUCACCCACCAAGAAUGUAAAGGCAGGUUAAAAUUGAAAGUGUCUACGGAAGGCUUAAUUAUCCAAUCAGAGCUUCCAAGACUACAUUCCUACAAAUCAUUGAGGGAUCUAUUUUAAUCUCUCAAUGUAGUCUUUUUGUGGAGAGGGGGAGUGUAAUUCCUACAAUUUGUCUCAUACUUGUUUCAUAGUAAAAAAGAAAAGCAUUAAAUAUUAACAGAAUAUAAACCAAAUAAUAAACUGGCUAUGUUUUCUCUAAUAAAUUUUCAGACUCCACCCAGAACUCUAACUCAGUCAUAAAACUUUAAGAGUUCAGAAUAGAGCUGGACAGAAGGUUUCUCCCUCAAAAUUUCACUGAAUUCUUAUCAUCAAAAUCCCCUCAGAAAAAAAUAUUUCUAGUUUUUCCUGUUCCCAAAUACACUACAGCAUGAUGAGAACCCAUUUAACACAAAAUAUGUAUAAUGAACAAGGUUUCAUGUAGUUCUUAAUAUUUGAAAGAUUUAAUCUAGCACCAAGGUCCUGGAGCCUCAAGCCCUACAAUACAUGUUUAAUUAGGAUUACAGUAAAGUUUUUAAGAAAUAAUUUAUUUUCUUUCAUGUGAGUGGGUGUGUGCCUGUGUGUGUGUGUGUGUGUGUGUGUAUACGCAUGUAUGAGACAGAGAAAAAGAAAGCUGGUAGAAAAAUCAGCCUUUAAAAGAACAAAAAUUCAACAGAAUAGUGCUAUUUUCACAUUGAGGGCUCCAGCACUUUCGUGGUCAUAAAGCAGUCUAAUUGUUUAGACCAACGUUUUUAAAAAUAAAAUAAUAAAGAACAUACAUGUUGUAAGGUUAAGCACUGUUUUAUAUUAAUAAAACUUGUUUCAUUUAUAUACACUCACAUUGGAGUUUACAGAGUUGAGGCAGAGAAUAAAUUAGUUAUUGAGGAUUGCAGUAAAAGGAAAAAAAAGUUUAAAGAAACUUAGUGUUAAGGAAGUGUGCUUGAAAUAAAAAAUCUGGAGUGUUGCAAAUGGAUGAAAGGCACUGGGUAGCUGCCUCAUAAAAUAUAUUUUAAGCCAAUAUAAUAAAAAGAUCAGAAGACUAAAUAAUGUUAUCCACAUUGACUUAAAAAAUUAACUGUGGCUUGGAAAUACCAAGAAGGAACUAAAAGUCUCAACUGACAUGGCAUCAUCAAUAUGCAUGCUAUUCCACAAUGAGAGGAGCAUGAUGCCUUCACUGGGUAGUUUCCACGAAGUCAGGCAAUAUUUGGACAAGUAGAAAUGAGGGUAAAUCAGAGUGAAGAAAGAGCAAUGGACAAUUCUGUAAUUACAAAGGCCUUACAAAUUAUAUGAAAGAAAAAAGAUAAACAUCUUAUGGUAAGUGAGGAUGUGGGUGGUGAAAAGUAAGAUACAGGAGUCAUGAGUCAAGCCACUGGAAUGAUCAUGCCAUCUCUGAGUGAAAUGAAGUUAGAAUACCUCUCUUGGCUUCAAUUUUUCAUAAAUGGAUGGUUUGAGUAUUGAAUCUCCAAAGUGAGAAAGGGAUCUCGAGAAUGCUAGGGCUGGAAGAUACUCCUGAUUGUUUUUAAGGUUUUGUUAUCUUAAUCUAGGAAAGUAUUAUUUUUCCUAUUUAACAGAUAGAUUAAGUUACACUGUUACUCUAGCUAAUGAAAACAUGUUACAUUUCUCACUAGAGGUUAAGAGGAAAGACAGUCUGGUAACAUCUGCCUAGUAAGUAAUGAAGACUAAUAUUCAAAAUUCAGGGAACAACUCCUAUAUCUCAUAUUUAAACAGUAUUUAGCACAUUUGUUUCUCUGUAUGGAGACAAGAUUAAGAGGUCAGGUGAGAUCCUUUUAAGAAAUGUAGAAAAGUGGUGAUUGAAUUAAUAAUUACAUCAUGUUAUGCUGUGGUUGGCUUUUAGAUUUCCAUCUAAUCUUAAAAAGAAGAAGAAAAAUAACCCCACUACAUGUUGCAUCAGGCAUUUUAAGUAAAACGUGCAAUUUAAAAAAUAUUUUUAAAAUGUGUGGAGAUAGAACAAAACAAUGGAAUUGUUAUUAUUAUCAGAAACUUCUACGUAAAAAUGUUGGUUAAAGCAAUAUAUAAAGAUUGAUUCUCGGUACAAAUUGCUUGGAAAGUUUAACAUGUGCACUAGAUUUCAGAUAUUAAAAGUUAAAUUAAAAAAAAGAAUCUAAUGGCAGCGUGUGACUUUAACCUCAUGGAUUUUAGCCACAAACGCAAAGAAAAAUAUAUACAAUAAAAGAAGCAACAGAUUUUCCCACAAGCAGAGAUUUUCUAAUUAAAAUGCUGUCACUUUAAUAUUUUUUAGCUAUAGAAUUUGACUGUAAAUGUCUUCAUUAUGUAGUGUAACUUCUAUAGCAAGUUAUGUUAACGUUUUCAAGAAUCGGAAAUAUUGGUAACUCGAUGGGGUUCUUAAAACAGAAAUAGUUUCUUUGAUGAGUUGGAAAGAGAAGGAAAUAAAAGUCUAAGGUAAGCGCCAGUUUCACCCUCAAUUCUUAGGCUUCAGAAAAGCCUAAUUAGGCAGGGAAAGGAAUCUGGGCCUGGCACACCCAAGCUUAGACGUGGCAGGAUCCUGAAACAAUGUUUUUUUGAACCUUUGAGUCAUAUGCCACAGGCAAACCAUAGCCGCGAUAUGCAGGUCCUUAAGUCAACAGGUCCUCUAACGAGAUGGUGAGUGGUUGGUGCGUGGCAGUUGGAUUUCUUCCCGCCACGGAAGAAAAGAACUCUUCUCCAUUGAUCAGGAAAGUGGGCCCAACUCUGGCCUGGAGAGCGCACCCGGAAAAGUGCAGAGUCGAAACAGAGAGAGAGGGGUGUCCGCGUCCCGGCCACAGAGCCCUUUCCAAACCACUCGGAAACCAUUUAAAUGGCUCGGCGGCCGCGGUUUGCAGCCUAGAACUGUUUGGGGUCCCCGGCUAGGAAAGUUGCCUGGCAAAGCCAUGUCUUUCGCUGUCGCGGGAUGUCCUCUCGGGCAGAGAGGCUGGAGGAGACAGGCAACCUGCUAGCCGGAGUGGAAGCGCGCCCGCCUCCCGCCGGGCCCUCCCUCUCAGGGUCCCCACGCUGCGACCCUCCCAAGGGCAAGUCCGGGGCCACCAGGUCUUUGGUCUCCGUCCAGCUCCUCAGGGGCCGCCCCAUAGGGACUGGCGGGGGCACCGUGGGCGAGAGGGUGUGACCGGGCUCCCCCCCGAGGCGCCACCUGCCCCUUGGCCCAGGGCGCCCCUUUCGGGAUCUCUCCAGGGGCAACCGACACACUGCUCUCGAGACCGUCUCCAACCGGCCACCUGGACCGUAGCCCUGUCCCCAACACGUGAACCCCUGCGGCCGUCCUCCCGCCUGCUCUAACGCAGCCCAGGGGUACCGCGUCUCCCUCCGCCUGCCGCCGGCUUACCUGGCGGGUGGGCAGGGCAGGGUGGCGGGAAGCGGCGGCCGGGCAGGCGCUGGACGUGGGCUAGGCGCCAGGUGCAGGUGGCGGCGGCUGCGACUCCGGUUGCUGUCGCCACAGUUGCGGCUCAGUAGAGCUCCUCCUCCGCCGCCGCCUCCUGCCUUCCCGCUGGGCCUCCCGCGUUGCCUGGAGAGGCAGAACCGAGGCUCGGCUUCCACUUGGAGUCUCCCAGGUGAGCUCCAGCCUGCGACGUCGGCAGGGGCGAGGCCCCACUUCCGCGCCUGCGCGCCAGCCUCCCGCCCCGCCCCAGCCCUACCUGAGCGCUCCAGGUGAGAACCUUGGAUCGCGCGCGCAGGGUGGGGGCGCCGUCCGGGCCAAGCCUGGCUGUCGCGCGGCUUCUCUCUGAGUGGUCGGCGAGGCUGCUGCUCCGCGCAAGUUGUGGCUCCCGGCCCAUCUACAUUGGAGGAAUCCUGCACUGACCUGGUGGCAGUGAUCACCUUGUAGCCAGAACACAGUCUGCUGGGUCCUUGGGGAACCAGAAGUUCUAGAUUUCCCCCACACGGUUCCUCCCUUCCUCCUCGGUUCGCCAAAAUGAAGGGGUGCGCUGCCUCCGAGGACCACUUCGGGAGGGCAGCAACUGCUGGCUCAUGUGGUUUCUUCGGGCAGGGUUCAGCAGCUUCUGUCACCAGUUAGGUUUCGUGAGCUUCCUUCCCGUGUAGUCUUGAUUUCAUCACUUGACUCACUUCAGCGCAGCUAGUGGUUUCCGUUUCUGUACGCGGGCGCUCUGGUAGGGGCGCCUCACGUCCAAAGGAGGAGUCUUCUUCCAAAGAAGAGCCUUUGGUAUUUGGCAGAGCCUCGCCAAUUUGGGGCGCACCUCCCCUUCCUGGGAUGCUCUCAGAAGGCAAACCAAUUCCCAGAAGAGAGGGAAAAACAGCCACAACAGAGAGAACCUUUGCUGUCCCUGUUUGGAAAGAGAUUGGGAUUUCCUGGAGAGGGCUUGCUUCUACUGCAGGUUUGUUUAAAAGCUCAACAUCUAUUCUGGAAGAGAACAACGCAGACUCCAGGAAGAUGGUGGGUUUUGCUGUUUUUAAGACAAAAAAAAAUUGUUAAACAGUAUUUGUUCCAUUUAUGACACAACUUUCUGUUUCAGCCUUCCUUCUGCUGCUGCAACAAACAUUGACACACCCAAAACCAGGACUUAAAAUGGCCUUUAUACCUUUCUAUGAACUCAUUUCUUUGGCCCUAUCCCAAAGAUAUCUAGGGAUAUAAAUAGAAAACUAGCUAAAAACUUUUUGGUGUCGUGUUUAAUCACAUGGUGGUAGGUUUUACUAUGAAGUUUAGUUGUGGCCUUCCUCCUACAUUUUGACAUGCUCUUAUGGUGCUUAUUCACUGUUUUAUUAGUGCUAUGCGUGACCUAAAAAUAAGGUUUAAAAUACAGUUUAGUAUAGUAUCAACAAGUGUAUCUUUAGUAUUUGACUACUCUAAGACAUUGGUUUUAGCAUCCAUAGUGCUAUUUUAUACUAGGACAUCUAUGAGUUAGGGUUUAAGACUUUAGUAAACUAGGUAGUUCUUUGCUUGUUUUACAUGUCAUGGUUAUUUUGCGAGCACCAAGGAACCUCCAUGUAUUUGCAACAUUUUAAUAUCAGUACCUACAAGCAAUUGCCAAGCUCCCUUUCCCUCCAAAAACAAACAAACAAAAAAAUAGUUCAGGAGAUACUUGUGUGUAUUGAUAUACUAACUUGGCAGUGUUUUUCCUUAGGUCCAGGUCCAGAACUGAAAAUACUAACUACUGAAAUUCUCUUCUCCUUCUCCUUCUUCUUCGUUGUGCCACUUUGUCGUUUACCCCUAACCAGAGGUUAAUGUUAGUCUUUGGAAAAUUUGUAAGGUAUCCUAAAUGUAUAACCAAGAAACCUGUACCCUUUUGCACGCACCACCCAUCUCUGAAUGAAGAGCCAAAGAUUGUCAGAGUUUUGAUGUCCCACCAGGCGAAGAGCAACACUUUUCACUGACAAUCAGGACAGAGCAGAUGGAUAUAGAAUAACAAUCUGGAAUCCAAGGACUGAGAUGCAUUGACAGCAAGACUAGUAACGUCAAAUAACAACUGAAAAGAGAAGCUAGGGUAGACCUAUUAAAAGAGAGAGCCAGCAAACAGGACCAAAAUGCUGGAUGAGGAGUCUAAAAAGAACAGAAGAAACAAAAAAGAUCAGGAGUUACUAAAAUUUGACUGUCAGUUUUACAAUGGAGACAGACAAUUUAAAGAAGGAAGCAGUUUUUCUGAGUGUGGCAUUACUUGUGCACGUUGAGUGUCAUAUAUAUAGAGAGAGAGAAAGAGAGAGAGUGAGAGAGAGUGAGAGAGAGAGAGAGAGAGAUAUCUUGGGGAUGAGACCUGUCUAAACACAAAAUUCAUUUAUGUUUCAUAUACACCUUAUACACAUAGCCUUAAGGUAAUUUUAUAAAACAUUGUAAAUAAUUUUAUGCAUGAAACAAAGUUUGUGUAAAGUACUUAUGUGUGGAAUUUUCAACUUGUGGUGUCAUGUUGGUGCUCAAAAAGUUUUGAAUUUUGGAACAUUUCAGAUUUUGGAUCUGUGGAUUAGGGAUGCUCCACCUGUACUAUUUUACACAACGUUGCUUGUACUAUUUCAAAGCAUUCUGAAAGCAAAGUCUUAAUAUUAAUAAAAAAUUUUCUAUGUGACAAUAAAAUUAAAAUGCUGCAGGCCCAAGAAAAAAAUAUUAUCAUAUUGAAAUAUUUAAUGCCCCAAAUCUAAUCAGAUGCAGGUUUUUGAAAGUACCAUCCUAUUCAAAAUUAUGAAAUAAAGAAUUUGUUUCAUAAAGAGAAAUUAGCAUUUCAUCAUAAAUAAAAUCCAGGAACCUUAGUGUAGACAUGCUUCAGAAAUAAGCUAAUUUUAAUAGUAUAUGUUUGACAUAUAAUGACAGUUAAGAUAGAAAACUGGGCAGAUUUUACACAGGAAGGAAACAAACAUUCUCUCUCUCUCUCUCUCACACACACACACGUACUUAUUACACACACACACACACACACACACACACACACACGACUAGCCACAAAAUGCUCAUUUGCAUGGAUUUGAAACAAUACUCACUCCUUAAUACUUUCUGUUAACAUUUAAAUUAAUGCCAAGACCAGCACCUGGCACUUAGUAGGUACUUAAUAAAUAUGUGUUAAAUGAAUAAAUUGACCCAUCAAGUACCAUAAAAAAAAUGCCUAGUGUCUUGAGCAAUUUACAGGUCUAAAGAAUGGUUUUACCCAACAGUAAUGACAAAUAAUCCAAGGCAGAUAAGAACACUAGACUGGUAAUCUGAAUUGCAAAGUUCUAAGAACAAUAGCUACCAGCUUUCACAUACCUACAUUUCAAAAGACACUACGCAAAACAACUUACACUCCUACAAAUUACUUUACAUCUGGCUUAAAUAUUCUCUUCCACAAAACAAAAUAGUGGUACAAGAUGAUCUACAGGCUUCUUUACAUUCUGAUUCAUAUAAACUCUAUGCCAAGAGAAUUGGGCAAAUAAAUAAAUAAAUAAAUGAAACCUUCUGGAUAUAGCAAUAAUAAUUAAUGGGACAGCAAAGAUGAAGAAACUGAAAUUAUUUAGCUGAGAUCGAAAUUUUAAUUCAUAAAAAAUAGUUGUAAUAUAUAAUGUAACAAGUAAAUGUGUAAAGUUACUAAGCCUAACUUUAAACUAUUUUAGUUUGUUAAUUGUUUAAUUGUUGGUUACACAACUUUGCUUUGAAACAUACUCUAGAAACAGUUUUGCCUCAUGAGGGAACUAGAGCUUUUAGUGAGGAUCUCAAAGUCAGACUGAGAGAUUUGGCUCAAAGACUGAACAGACUGGAAUAAUUUCUUCUCAAAGCAGUAAAAGUGUUGAAAUGCUAUUGAUUCAAGCAGAGAAUAGAGGUGGUAUCACAGUGAAGAGCCACAAACACGUGGGUAUUUUUUAAAUAAUGAUCCAACAUAAUUCUACAUUGUGUUUAAAAUAUAGCAAGUUAAAACAGGGAAAAUAUAAAUAGGUUAUUUUAGUAUGAACUUUUUUGGACAUUGUUUUAUAUGAUUCUUCCCCCUGUAGAAUCUCAGAACAAUCAUCUCAGAUUUUCAAAGUGGUUCACAUACUAUGAGGGGUUGACUUAGAUUACAACAAAACUAUGUCUUGCUAAUCUUGUAUUCUUAGUACUUGGCACAUAGUAGGCACUCAAUAAAUAUUUGAUGAAAUGUAUUGAAUAGAGUGCAUUGUUUCAAGCUUUUAAGCAUUAGCAUAAGAGCAAAAAGAAAUGUCAUGCUGAGUCAGAAUAAUAUUCAAUCUAACUGGCUCUAAAUUCUGACAGUGGCACCAAAGAAUAUUUUGUGGAAAACUAUGGUGAUAGUCUUGCAUGAUGUUGACCUCAGUGAUGUACUCGAGUAUCCCUCACUCACUCUUUUCCUAAAUUGAUUUCUCUUUUUCUGUAACAUGUUUCUUUAAAUUGAAAAGAAAUUAAUAUUCAUUACAGAGAAAUCAGAAAAUACACAUAACUGCAAAGAAACUAGCUUUGAAAUACUCAGAAUUCCUUAUACCAAGAUGAAUCAGUGCUAUCAGACCCUUUCUAUCAUGUAUCUUUGCAGAUUUUUUUUAUUGAAAAAGUUGGCAGGAGGCACGGCAUGGAAUGGGGAACAUAGAGGGAUACAGAGACAGGUUUGUAAAAUAAAAACUAGAUCAUUCUGGGGACUUGUUUUGUAGCCAGAGUUUUCUACUUGACAUAUAAUUAAAUGUCAAUAAAUUUAUUUUACAGUAUUAUUUUAAUGGCUGCCUGAUAUCCCUUUGUAAGGAUUUAAUCUGUCAAUUACUGUUGGACAAUGAAGAUUGCUCCCAAAUUUUGCUAUUGCAACCAGUGCUAUAAUGAUCAUACUCUUCAUCUGUUGAAACAUUUAUUACGAUUUUCUUCUAAUUGACUUUUAUUUUGUUUUUGUUUUAUAUAGAGAUGGGGGUUUCACUAUGUUGCCUAGGCUGCAAUUGAACUCCUGAACUCAAGCAAUCCUCCUGUCUCGGCCUCCCAAAGUGCUGGGAUUACACGCAUGAGCCACCAGGCCAGGGAUAUUUUUGUCUUUUGAGACAGGGUCUUGUUCUGUUGUCCAGGCUGGAUCACAGUGGUGCAAUCAUGGCUCACUGCAGCCUCAACCUCCCAGGCUCAAGUGAUCCUUCCACCUCAGCCUCCUGAAUAUCUCGGACUACAGGCAUGUUUCAUCAUGUCUGGCUUUUAUUUUAUUUUAUUUUAUUUUUUGGAGAGAUGAGGUCUUACUAUGUUGCCUAGGCUGUUCUCGAACUCCUAGACUCAAGCAAUCCUCCUUCUUCAGCCUACUGUAGUGCUGGGCUUAUAGGCAGGAACCACCAUGCCCAGCCCUGACUUUUAUUAAGCCACAUUGUGUCAAUUAUCCAGAUCCUAAACUAUGACAAUGUCAUUAGAGGCAUCAUAUCACAAAAACAAGAGGUAGAAUACCUAUUAACAAUUUACAAUUUUCUAUUGGUAAGAAAAAUAAUAAGAAUAUUAAUUCUAGCUACCAGACCUUCAUACAAAGAACGUUCUAUUCAAUGAACACCUUAUAAUUUUAGAAAUAUGGAAAUAGAAUACGUCACUUAUUUUAAAAAAAAACUCAGAUCUCUUAUUUUCCUCUGAUCAUACCACAGUCAGUUUCCCACCUGUGAAAGUCUUUGUAUCUUCUAAUAUGAUUUUCUUCCCCCUCUCCAAAUCCCCUCCAGCCCAACUGAAGACCCUAGUCUCCCAUGGAGUCUUGAUAUGGUUUGGCGGUGUCCCCACCCAAAUCUCACCUUGAAUUAUAAUAAUCCCCACAUGUCAAGGAUUGGACCAGGUGGAGAUAAUUGAAUCAUGGUGGUGGUUUUCCUCAUACUGCUCUUGUGGUAGUGAAUACGUCUCAUGAGAUCUGAUGGUUUUAUAAAUUGGAGUUCCCCUACACAAGUUCUUCUUACCUGCCACCAUGUAAGACGUGACUUUGCUCCUCAUUCGCCUUCUGCUAUAAUUGUGAGGCCUCCCCAGCCAUGUGGAACUGUGAGUCAAUUAAACCUUUUUCCUUUAUAAGUUACCCAGUCUUGGGUAUGUCUUUAUUAGCAGCAUAAGAACAAGACUAAUACAAGCCUCCUGGAUCAGUUCAAAUCACCUUGAUAUUUCUUAAUUCCAAUGCAUUGGCAUAAAGUAAAUUUCCUUCCUCCCUUGGCCCUCACCUCUCUCUUGACUCCAAUAAGGGAGAGUUGUGGAGAGAUGGUACCUGGGUUUGAUAUAAUUUGUUGCCAGAUAAGUUAUAAUAAUUUGUUAAGGAAUUCAAGCCGUAGAGGAUGAGGAUGCUCUUUUAGCAUAUUAGGUUUGAGGUAACAGGCCAAAAGGAAUAGCAUUUGGUUAUUAAGGUAAAAAGAGAAAUAAUUUUUAUGCAUGUUAGAAGGGGAAUUUUGAAGGAAAUUACACUUUUUCUGUAUAUUUAUAUAUUUUACUUUUUAUUUACCAGGAGAAAAGGCAUUUGCUGCCCAAGGUAGAAUCCCAUCACCAUACUCCUUUCCUACAUCCAAUCACAAAAUCAGAAUAUGCCAAUUCUCUAUUCCCAAGUAAGUCAACAGACCCUAAGAUUACAUUCCCUUUCUCCCCUCUGCAAAGCUUCAGGGACAGGAGUCCCUGACAGGCAGCUGACAUUUGGGGUUGCAUACAAAAAGUCAAGUCAUUGCAAGAGAAGGAAGUUUGUUUCUAUUGGAAGAGUUAGUGUACAACAUAUAAAAACGGAGUGAGGAUGGGGAUAUUGUAGUAGGGAGGGGGUUAAAGGGCUUAGAAAAUGAUUUUUUUAAAGGUGGACAGGGGAAGAGUAGAAGGCAAAAAAAUGUCAUCCAUGUGGGACAUCUUCUGAACGCCCAAGGAGAAUCUUUGGGGAUACAUUCCCCCCAAGAUUUAAAGAAGUGGCUUCACUCCUGAGAAUGUACAGGGAGCGGAGAAGCUAAACCAGGAGCAACAUCCAAUUUCUUUGUCUCUCCUUCUCUUCUCACUGCAAACUCUGUACAGGUUUGGCAUAACUAUCUAAACUUUCUAGUAAAAAUCAUAGCCUUCAUGAAGAUCCAUUGUGUAUUUGAUUCACAGAAAGUUGGUAUUGAAUUGUAAAACACGGCUACAAAUUUCUCCCUCUCCAACAGGCGUGUCAUUUUGGAAUGUGUCUUGCUGCUCUUCUCAUCAAAGGUAAAGUCCUCUUCUUCACCUUUUAACCUAGAGUAGCUGUGCAACUUUCUUUGACCAAUCAAAUAUGGUGGAAGUGAUGUUGCGUGACUUCCAGAUAUAAGUCUUAAAGAGAUUUUUCACUUUCUGCUUUCACUCUCUUGGAAUGUUGCCCUGAGAUCACCACACCAUGAAGAAGUCUGGGGCGAAAGGCCAUGUGGAGUGAGAGGCUCAGCUUCCCAGAUGAUCUCACUGAGCACAGCCCCCAGCCACCUGCCAGCUCAAUGCAACCUGGUGAUGGACCCAAGCAAAUACCAGCAGAAGAAUCACCUGGUCAACCCACAGAAUCAUGAGAAAUACUAAUUUGUUGUUGUCUUAAGCCAGUAAGUUUUGAGAGAGUGUUUUAACUGUUUCACCUAAGUUUGGUCUCUUAACAUGAACAUAAGCACUUUUUUGCAUUUGUACAUCCUUUGUACUCUUCCUGUUCAUACCGAGAAAGCUUUUGCAAUGCAAAAGCUCAAAUGUAUUGGAAUUUUAGAAGUUUAAGCCUUGAAGGACUCUGUACAAAACCAUGCCAAAAACCAUAUAUUUUGAAGAAUAUGUUCUCAGUCUGAGCCAGUUUUCUAUUUCCACCUCAAAUCUUGAUUGGUGCAGACUGGAGAAAGGAGAAGAGAGUCAGGGGUAAGACCGUGGGUCGGAGGUGGAUAUCGACAAUGUACCUGAGUAAAAGCCCUGUAGCCUCUCACCAUGUUGGAAUACCAUAUGGCACAACUACAUGGACCGCCAUUUACAUAGAGUAGGAUGUUUAGUACUGCGUCUUGACCUUUGAAACCAGACUGGUGAGAGGACUCACCAACAAAAGUGAAGCUAGGGUCAUAGGCCCUACCUUGGAGAUUGGUAAGACCCCAGAGUUAUUCCUUGCCCAAUGUUAAGUAAGAACAGAAAACAUUUCUAAAGAGGGUCCUGAGGCAGACAGGUCUUAAGCAGUCCCACAGCCCUCAUGUGCCCUAGAAAGAUGCAGAGCGCCCAGAAGCGGUUUUUCAGUGCAGGUGAGAAUGGUUUAGAUCCACAUGUUUUUGUAAAUUAGUUUUUAUUGGAAGAGAGGCAAACCCAUACAUUUACCUGUUGUCUAUGGCUGCUUUGACACUACAAUAGCAGAGUUGGGUAGUUGUGACAGAGAUCAUAUGGUACACAAAGCCUAAAACAUUUACUAUCUGGUCCUUUAUUUUUAAAAAGUCCUUAUAUUAGAUGAAACACAAAGAACUGGUAAAACUUAAGCCUUGUGUAAUAAUACAAAACAAAAAUAUACCAUGUAGACCAUAAUCAAAGGGCCCAUUGUCUUCAGCCGCUGACAUUGGGACCAGGGUGUAGUGUCAGAACAUGAAAGCCUGGAUACCUACAAUGGCCUAAUUUUCUCAUACAAAUGCAUCCUACCACUCCCAUCCCAUACCUUAUGCUAGAUAGGAUCCAUGGAAUUAGCUGCAUCUCCAGUGAAACAGGAAAAGUCCCUGAUUUUACUGAGAUUUAGCUAUUGUCACAUGGUGUAACAGGGAUUUAAGAGAAAAAAUAACCUCAGGUAUAGACAUAGGAAAAUAAUGUUAGAUUAAGUUUCUUAUACACCUGGUUCUGUCUUCAGAAACUGGCACCCACUAUAAAGCCUUCCAUAGUGAUAAUUAUCGCACAAAAUCGAUACAAAGGAAAUACCUGCUGAAUGUUCUGCCUCAGUAGGUUUUCCUUUGGUCUUUUACCUUAGAAAACUGCAUGAUAGCAUUUUUCUAUUAUUUUGACAUUUCAUGUAGGAAGCAUGUUAUUCACAACUUAUGUUUUAUAAAAUCUUUUUCUGAUGAUGAUGAUGAUGACACUUGUUAAUUUCCAUCUCCUUCCUUCACUGUAAGUUUUUCUAUUCCCUGAGACAACUAUUUCUCUCACUUGUCCUAAACCCCAAGGAUACAAGAGAUGCAUAGGAAAAUAUCUAUGAAGUGUGUGGGAGGAGACAACAGGGCAGGGUUCCAGAGGUCUGUGGUUUAUUGCACGUAAAACACUGGAAAGUGCUUUGGAUGAUAAGGAAGUAGCUUGUUGUCCUUUGCAAUGGCCUGACAUUCUUACACUGAGAAAAUCUUACUCCCCACUUUGAGCUGGGAUGUGGGAGCUGGGAGGACAUUUACUGAGUAUUAACUCUGUGCCAGGAAUUAUUCCUACAUUAUCUCAUUUAGUCUCCGGAAAACCCUACGUAACAGGUGAGAAGACCUCAGUGACAAGCUCAAAGAUGCAUAGCUAAAGAGCUGAAAUGUAAAAGCAGGUCUGCCAGACUCAAAAACCCAUGCUCUAUAAACUACAUCAUAGAAGUUGUAAAAUAAUUUUACCUUGAAUCCAAGGGUGAAUAAUUUGUCAUGGUUAGCUUGCCCUUUGGCAUUCAUAAACAAUUUCUACUGUCCCAGUUUUUGUUCCAUUCAUAUAGGAGUAACAUGUGGAAGUAUUAAGCAAUAGAAGGCUUUGUUUUCAUGUAUAAAUUUUUACGAUAUUUUCAAAUAUAAUAAAGCCAAAAUUGUUAAUUUCACUUCAUGUAGAGAUUCCUUCAAAUAUAAGAUGCUAUGAAACAGUGUCAUACCAAAAAGCAAACACACUGAUUUCUAUAAUCAAAACAUUGAGGAACACAGGAAACUCUAGAUAACUCAGAGGAAAAAGGGAGUACAAAAUCGGGUUGACACAAUGCUUCAUUUAAGAAUAGGAACAUUGUUUGUUCAUUUGGGUACUUUAUAACUUUAAGUAUAAUGAGGUUUCUUUAAAAAAUUGUAACAAUUUUGGUAUAAUUGUAUAAUAACUUGGUAUGUGGUAUUUUUAUUUCUAUUUAUUUAUUUAUUUAUUUUGAGACAGAGUCUCACUCUGUUGCCCAGGCUGGAGUGCAGUGAUGUGAUCUUGGCUCACAGCAACCUCUGCCUUCUGGGUUCAAGCAAUUCUCCUGCCUCCCAAGUGGCCUCCACGCCCAGCUAAUUUUUGUAUUUUUAGUACAGACAGUGUUUCUACUAAAUGUUGCCCAGGCUAGUCUCGAACUCCUGGACUCAAGCAAUCUGCUGGCCUCGGCCUCCCAAAGUGCUGGAAUUACAUGCAUGAGCCUAUCACACUCAGCCGUAGGUGUUAUUUUUAAAACAUAUCCAAAAUGAUUUGGAUCAUUUUUAAAAUGAUCCUAAGUAAUUCUUUAUAAUAUUAAUAGUAUAAUUUGGUCCAUUAAAUUAUAACUAGAAAAAAAUAAAUAAAAUUCUUCCAAAUUGAUAUAUUGAUGUAAAAAUAAGGGUCUCUCCUUUAAGUCUCUCCAUAAACUUUAGUUGAGAGUGAAAGACUUUUGGACCAAUGAUUCUUAACUAAAGCAAUUUCUUGACAGAAGCAAAAGUGUGAAAUGAGAAGAUACAAUAAAUUUAACAUCAAAACAAGAACUGUAAGUUUUAUCAUUUAAUUGUAUUGAAAUACAUACAAACCACUAGAUAUGUGGAAUUUCAGAGGCAUUUAAAGAGUCAUUCUAAAAGUAUAUGAAAUUAUUUCAUGAAAAGGUCGAUCAAAAUAAGAAGAGGAUCCUCAUAAAUAAAAAUGUUUUAUAAUAUCUCGAUUAUAAAAGUAAUUUCACAGUAACUUUUCCUUUCUGCAUCUUGUGAAACACAAUAGACCUGAGACAGCCUGUCAGUUUGCUUUAUGGAAUUUGACUUUUUGCAGCCUCACAGACCACGAUGAACUGGUAUUACCAGUUUUGCCAUCUUAUCUUUUUAUUUAAACAGCAAUUAAACACUGCCAUAAUAUCAUAUAAAUCAUUAAAUAAUGUUCCAGACCACACACAAGUGGAUGAGUUAUGAAAGACUGAAGGAUUAUAUUACUUUUAAAAUAUUUUGCUUAGAUAGAAUAAUGGCAAUAAAUAUUAGCACCCUUUGUUUUAUACUUUUACCAAAUAUUGAGUAGUUUCAAAGGAACACUUACUAAAUACAUGCAAUACAUAAGGAAUCAUAAUACAAUAAACAACUAUGUACCUACUACUUACUUAAAGAAAAAUAAUAUUUUUGUAUCUGUCAUGGAACCCUCUCAGAUCCUGUCCCCUCCUAAUUUUGAAUUUUGUGUUCAAUCAUUUCCUUGUUUUUCUUUAGAGGUUUACUGCAUAUGCCUAAACAAAACACUGGUUAAUUUCAUGGUUUUUACAGCUUUGAACAUUAAUGAAGUGUAUCGAUAUUAUUUUGCUACUUGAUUUUUUUGCCCAAAAUUGGAUACAUGAGAUUCGUACAUGUUGUUGCAUGUAGCUGUAAUCAAUUAACUUUCACACCGUAUUAUGUUAAUCCAUUCUGCUCUUGAUGAACAUUUGAAAAAUCUCCAGGUGCAUGUUUAUGUGUGAGAGAGAUUACAAAUAGUGCUGCUAAGAACAUUUUUAUACUACCCUGGUUAAAGAGCAUGUGAAAGAUCUUCUCUUGGAAAAAUAACUAACAGUGAAAUUGCUGGGUAGUAGCAAAUUUACCAGAUAAUGCCAAUUAUUUUCCGAAGUGCUUAUAUAACACACCCUUAUGGUUUUAAUGGCAUGCUUCUUUACUAAUUUAUCUCUCUCUCACACACACACAGGCACACACACAUACACGAUAUAGAGAUAUAUCCUUUUAAUAUACAUUACUCCUUUUCUGAAAAUGAUUUUAUAUACUAAAAAUCUAAAUAAUAGUAUUAGUGCUGGCUUUUCAGAAAACCUAGAAUUGUGAAAGAUGUGGUUGAUUGGGAAUUUUUGUCAUUUGUUGCCAGGAAACAAAAUAUUAAGGAAAAAAUGGGAAGAAUGUUUUAGUUGUAUUUUUUUUUUUUUUUUUUUUUUUUUUUGGGACAGAGUCUCGCUCUGUAGCCCAGGCUGGAGUGCAGUGGCGUGAUAUCGGCUCACUGCAGGCUCCUCCUCCCGGGUUCACGCCAUUCUCCUGCCUCAGCCUCCCGAGUAGCUGGGACUACAGGCGCCUGCCACCACGCCCGGCUAAUUUUUUUGUAUUUUUAGUACAGACGGGGUUUCACCGUGUUAGCCAGGAUGGUCUCAAUCUCCUGACCUCGUGAUCCGCCCGUCUUGGCCUCCCAAAGUGCUGGGAUUACAGGCGUGAGCCACCGCGCCUGGCCAGUUUUAUCUUAACAGAUGGAAAAACAAAUGUAUUUAUCUUUCAUAUGCCUUCUAUUACACUUCUGAUGUCUUCAUUUAUAGGGCUAAAAUAUGCAUUCACUCUAUUUUCAAUCUUGGUCUUUGGUCUUUUAAAGAAGCCCAAGGGCUGACUGGUGACAUUCAAAAUAAUGUGUUAUGCAAGAAACCAAUUUUAGGGAUGAACGAUACUUCUUCAGCUAUAACUCCUAAAAAUCAUCAGAAUUGGAACACUGGAAAAGAAUUUAAGAUAUUUUUGUCUACUCUGUAACUCUUUUUGUACAUUUUUUCUCUUAUAACAAGCAUCUACUUUAAGUUGAAGAGGAUCCGUUAACUAUCCAACUAAGUAUAUUUCAAAUGCUCUAAAAGUUCAGACUUGACUUAACUAAAAUCCUCUAGGUACAAUACUACCAGAAGCACAUGCUUCUCAUUUUUAUCUAAUAAAGUUUCUUUAAUCAGUGAAGGCCUAUAAGAAUGUGAUGUCCCUUAAAAGAAAUGCAUUGCAAAAUUCCAAAAAAUUAUUUCUUUUAUACUCUCUUUGUGUAAAUAUCCUACUUUUCAAAAUUUACCAAUGUUAUAAGAACUCCAAAUUAUUUAAAUUAGAAUCAAGCAAAUGGUAAUAUUAUUUUAAAAUGUUCCUAGAGUGGUACCCUCCCAGCUCUUGCACUCUGCUGUUUUUAAUGUGUGGGCCCCUGAUGGUCUUCCAUGAGAACCAGAAAUCUGUAAGACUCUAUCUUGCAUUUAAGAUAAAGUGGUUUAGGUACUUCAUUACGUGUUCAUUUUAAUGGUGCAGUGCACUCAUUAAUAUGCUUUAUCAACACUAAAUAAGUAACCUAGUGUAUGUAUGAGCAAUCAUUGAUAUUAGCCUAAUGAGAAAUUACUGGGCAGUAAGUACUAUGAUAAGAAACAUAUCAUAGGUUUAUAUUACAAAUUAAAUAGAGAAUUGCAAAAAUUUUCUGAGUUUUCUAAGCAAAAUAUAUUGGGCCCUAAAUUAUUUGGCUAUUGUUAUUGCUUUGUUGAUGGAGAAAUACUCAGCACAGAGAUGCUUUUCUAAUCUAUAAUCCAGUAUCACAAAGGAAGCAUCCACCAUUAAAAAAAUCAAAAAUCAUACCUCAAAUAAUAAUAAAAAUAUCAAUGGAAUAUUAAUGAUUGCUUAUUAUAUGUACCAAUAAUUUUACAUACUCUAAUUUGUACAAAAGCUUUUCAGGUAGGUAAUAUUAUUAUCAUGUUGCAGAUGAGGAGAUUGAGUUUUAGAAGAUUUGUGUGAAUUACCCAAGGCAACAAAGCUAGUGAGCAGCAGAGUGAGGAUUCAGUUCAUGCCAGCUGAUGUAGAAGCUAUGUGCUUACUAUACUAUUCAACUCUAAUAAGAUAUGUCUUUCAUUAGUACCUUUCUUCUCAUAUGUAUGAACUCUGAUGGUCCAAACAUAUAUAAGCACCAGGUACAUACACUCAUGCCUGAAUGAAAUGCCUGCUGUAUACACUAUGCCAUGGGAAGUAAAGUAAGGACUCAUUCACCCUUUCCUCAAGGAGCUUACAAUGUAGAUCGAGGGGAUAAGACGUUAACAAAGAUACGUAUAAUCACAAGCAAAAUAUGUCAAUAGCCAUAAGAAACAUAUUCUGGCAAUGCACGGAAGAAAGAAAUCCUGUUGGCUAAGUGGGACAAAAAGAGUCUUUAUAAAGAAGGUAAGGUGAAUCUUUUGGGGAACAGUGAAGUGGAAAAUCAGGAUUUUGCACAAAGCAUGCUUUAUGCCAAAAAGCUUAAGGUACGUUGUAGGCAUGACUUGUUUUAUUCUGGCUGGGCUGGGACAGGGCAUGUAUAAAAACUGCCUAGAGACUGGGCACUCUUUAUACUCUUUGAUGAAUUUGUACCAAAUUAUUAAACAGUGGGAAACUAUUGAAGUUUUUUUUUUUUUUUUUUUUUUUUUUUUUUUUUUUUUUUGAGACGGAGUCUCGCUCUGUCGCCCAGGCCGGACUGCGGACUGCAGUGGCGCAAUCUCGGCUCACUGCAAGCUCCGCUUCCCGGCUUCACGCCAUUCUCCUGCCUCAGCCUCCCGAGUAGCUGGGACUACAGGCGCCCGCCACCGCGCCUGGCUAAUUUUUUGUAUUUUUAGUAGAGACGGGGUUUCACCUUGUUAGCCAGGAUGGUCUCGAUCUCCUGACCUCAUGAUCCACCCGCCUCCGCCUCCCAAAGUGCUGGGAUUACAGGCGUGAGCCACCGCGCCCGGCCACUAUUGAAGUUUUGAAGUAAGGAAUGAUAUCAUUCAUUCAAAAACUAUUUGUGGGGUGUCAGUAUGUGCCUGGCACUGUGACAGAUGAUGGGAAUAUUGAGGUGAACAAGACCAGUCCAUUUCCUGCCCUCAUAGAUCCUACAAGUUGAUGGGGAGAAAGAGGCUAAUUUUCACUAUGACUAAGAAUGUGAUGGCCCUGCAUGAAACAGAAGCAAAGCCUCUGAGUAGAAAAAACUUUGAUGGUUUGGUUUACAUUUCCUCUACUACCUUUUCUUAAAGUAAAUAUUUUAUUUUAGAAUAAUUUUAGAUUCUAUUACUAUUAGAGUCUAAUAUCAUUUAAAGGUAAUUUAGAAAAUUUAUUUCAAUUACUAUUAAGGUUGCUAUUUGAUCAUUUAAUGCGUAUCCUUCUAUGUCAUAACUCUGUGGGACAAAUUUCAGAAAGACUAACACAUUUAAACAUCAGUUAGUUGCACAAUCUAAACUGCUACUGCAACUAGGUAGAUAAACAUGUUAAAGAAAUGUCUUUGGUACAUCUGUACUUGGCUCUGAUCCCUCUGAGCAUAGCAAGUUACAAAGUGUUGAGUUGGAAAACUUUGUAAUGACCAAAGAGGUAUUACAAAUACAGAAAGGCCAAUUUUAAAAGAAGUCAACGAGAAAGGUAUACAAACUGCCCAACUAUAAUCAAACACUUGCAUGAAAAAAAAAUUGUAGGUAAGACCUGCUUGUAUUAAAGGUUUUUCACAGAAACAUAAAACUCAGAGAUUUAUGAAACUAAAAAGUAUGGAAGAUUACUGAAUUAAUCCUGAGGUAAAUAAUGUCCCAGUAGAAAUUAGCAGUAAGGUAAGCACUCCAAAACAAUCAAAUUAGCAGGGGGACAUAAACUGAUAUGAGGGUAAAGGGACGACUAGUGAGAAAUAAGAAAUCAGACUACAGCCAAAUUAAAAAAAAAUUUAAAUAUAUUGAUGCUUAGUUUCCUUUAAGCAUUGCAACAUAUGAUAUUGACAAAUGUGGUGACAGCUGGUAAAAACUGUAUAUGUUAAUUGCCAACAUCACAUAACUAAUAUUUACUAUAAAAAGUGUCCCUAAAAUAACUUUCUUUCAUCAUCAGAUAGCCAUAUCCAUCUAGCAUUCCCUGUUUAUGUUUUGAAAUGUAUGUAUUACAUUUUUUCUUCUCCUUUUAGGAUUAAAAUAUAAAGUUUUAUGUUCCCUAAUAUAUCUACUUUAAGAAUAUUCUAAAUAUUGAAAAUAAAAAAUUUUUUAAUAAAAUACCACUGACAGCUGUUCUCUACUUAUCAUUUCUUAGCAGGGUGAAGACUAUAUUUGCUCACAUAAAUUGUGUCCUUAUAACAGAAAAAGCUUCUUAGGGCUGGUGCGGUGGCUUAUUCCUGUAAUCCCAGCACUUUGGGAGGCGGACGCAAGCAGAUCACUUGAGUUCAGGAGUUCUAGACCAGCCUGGCCUACAUGGUGAAACCCCGUCUCCACUAAAAAUACAAAAAUUAGACAGGCAUGGUGGUGCAUGCCUGUAAUCCCAGCUACCUGGAAGGCUGAGGCAGGAAAAUUGCUUGAACUUGGGAGGCAGAGGCUGCAGCGAACCAAGAUGGGACCACUACACUCCAAACUGGGUGACACAGUGAGACUCCAUCUAAAAAACAAACAACAACAACAAAAGAAAAAGCAUCUCAGAAAAACGUUCCCCUUUUUCAUUGAUUCCAUGCAAAUGAUACUUCACCCUAUUGUUUACUUGUCCUGAAAUUUCAAAGCAGCAGAAAUUCUGCUAUACAUUAUCCUUUUAUCUGGUAUUUAUUGAAAAUGUAUUUGGCUAUGAUUUGAAAUAUAUAACAUAGUGUCAGGUUUAUUUUCUCAUGUAACGAGUCAAGAAGUAGGUGGUUGCUGCCUUUCUUUCAGUUAUUCAACACUAUAAUCAAUCACUGUCUUGUCUUUUUAUAUUUCUGUUCGCUAUCUUCUAUGUGUUGGGUUUCCUUCCCGGUGGGUGUCAUAUCAGGGUCACAAAAUGGCUGCUAUUGCCCAGUAAUACUCGAAUGCUCGAGCGAGGGCAGGAUGGAGGGAGGGGCUGCUAGCUGUAUCUGUCUCCUUUUGUCAGAAAAGCAAAAGCUUUCCGGGAAGCUCUCCUAGCGGCGACUCCUUACAUCUCAAGGCCACAAAUUUCAAAGAGUGGAAAAGCAGAAAACAAGAUUCUCAUUUUUGGCACCAUUGUGAGACAUUGCCUAGGAAAGGCAUAUUGACAAUUCAAACAAAAUCUUAAAUUCUAGUAGCAAAGGACACAGAGGAAUGAAUAUUUGGUACGGGACAGAAAGGAUCUGCCUAAAUGCCCUAGUUCAUUUGAAUGUAAAAUUCUUAAAGGCUGGGAUUGUGCCUGUUCUCUUCUUUGUGUAUAGGACUCAGAUCAUAAGAAAAAUCUUUGACACUACAAAUUCUAUACACUAAGGCAGUAUCCCCAAAUUUCAUUCAAUUUUUCUAAUAUGGGGGUGCUACUGAGCACAAAACUAGAAAGAGAUUAUAAAUAUACAUAUUCUUGGUCAGUUUAGACUACUAUAGCAAAAUAUGAUGCACUAGGUGGUUUAAAUGAUCUCCUCUUAGGGCCCUUGCUGUGUCCUUGUAUGGUGGAGAGACAGUUCUCUGGCCUCUCUUCUCUUCUUAUAAGGCCACUAAUUCCAUCAUGGGGACUUCACCCUCACGUCCUGAUCUAAACCUGAGCACCCCCCAAAGGUUCCACAUUCAAAUACCAUCACACUAGAGGUUAGGGCUUCAACAUAUAAAUUUGGGGGAAGAUAAGCGUUUAGACCAUUAUUUAUUUAUAUGUUAAAAAUAAUAUAGAAUAUUCCCAGAAGUCAAUUUUUGCUCCAUGUAUUAGAAUACUUAUUAAACCUUCCUAUGCCCAGCAAAAUUGUAGACACUGAAAAAAUACCAACAGAAAAUGGUCCAGCUUUUAAUGCAUUUAAGCUGAAAUAAGAAGUGGUGAACACAGAUCCAAAUUGAACUAAAAUGUUAUGUAAUCUAUAAUAGCAACCUUUUAUCUGGUGUCUAUUAUGUGAUAAUGGUAUAACGUACUUUAUCUAAUCUUCACAACAACACUGCUAGGUAGUUAUUAGCCUCAUCUUAAGUGUUAGAAAACAGAGAACACUGAGAGGCUAAGAAAUUCAUUCAAGGCCACCCAGGGCAUAAGCAGUGGAGCUGAAGUUUGGACAAGAUUUCUUUUUCUCCCCAAGCCAUGCUUGCACAUAAUGCACAUACCACUACAUGCUGAUUAAUUCAUUUUAUGAAUAAAAUCUUCCCUCUUAUAAUUCUGCUUUGUUUUUAUGCUUUUUCAUUCCUAGCUUUCUCACUGGUGACUUAUGUGGAUGAAUCAAUGGGAACAAGGUCAGAUCAUGGACAGAUGAGAAAAUAAUGAGACAUUAGAUUAUUAAGAGAGAUGAAGUUAAGAGUGAGAGGUGAAUGAAAGGGAAGAAGGGGUGAAAGCUCAGGAUUAUGAAGGGAAUAAACAGGAAAGAGGAGAGAGAAGAAGAGAAUGAAUACUACCCAGAUAUUUCUCUGGGCACUGUGGAUCUGAUGGAAUGGUGGUAUCCCACCCUGUAACCCUGUCUUCUCUGAUCUCUGGCCAAGUGUGUGGCUUGGCACUGCACAACUAACAGUUAGCAGCAUUCUGGGGAGAGGCUCAUGGUAGUGACCAAAUUGCACUUUCCCUAGCUAUUCUUGUGUUCUAAUCCUCCCCUGAAGGUCUUUUAUGGUUAAUCUCAAACCAUAUAAAUAUUUAACUCUCCUUUUAGUUACAUUGCAGAAGCCUGUUCUCAAACAAGUAUAAGUUUCAGUAACCACAAAUUGAUACUAAUCUACCCUAAUGUCACUGUGUUCCUCUUCUUCAAGUGAGUUGAAAGCAUGGAUCCAUACAAUUUGUCUUGUUCAGUUUGUACCUACUUGUAUCUUCCAUUAACAGAGCAUAGACUCUCAGGUAUGGAGAACAGAUUAAGAUCCAAUUACUCAGCCAAAAUUUCAAUCCACCUCUCUCCAGGACAUUUUUUUGUUUUUGUUUUUGUUUUUCUUUAACAUCCUCCAAACUGGUAGUAUAGCUAUAUCGAGUACUUCCAGUCCAUGGAACCUAACACUUCCUCAAGUAGUCCUUUCCAUGCUUAGACAACUUCGACUUUAGAGUGUGGUUUCUUAUUUCACCAGUCAGGAUAGCUAAGCUGUUCUGCAGUAACAAACAGCCCUAAAGUGUCAGCUCUAAUACAACAGAGGCUUUCUUUUUUUUUUUUUUUUUUUGGCUAACAUUAUGUGCCUAUCAAAUCAGCUUGGCUCUGGUAUAUAUUGAUAUCCAUCUGGGAUCCUGGCUGAGGGAGAAGCCCCUCUCUGGGACAUUUCUGAUCUCAUGGCAGAGGAAAAGAGGUCCUGGAGGAUCGUAUACUGGCCAUUAGAGCUUCCACAUGUCAUUAGCCAACAUGCAUCACAUGGAGUCAUCCCACAGAGAAGGACAGGGCCAGGAGCAAGACAACCCAGAGAACAGCCGUAAAUAUCUGGAAUAACAGUGCAAUGUACCACAUAGUUAUUGAGUCAAAUCCUUUUCCAAGUCAUAUCCCUCCUUCCCCAUUGCCUUUUCUCUUUACCAGCUCUACAAAUGUUAGGAAUCCUUAGCCAUGUUUUCUUCGAGCUGUCUUUCUUCUAGUCUAAUUGGCUCCAAUUCCUCCACUGACCUGUUCCCUGUAUCUAGUGGUCUUAUCUGACAUUCUCUUGAGCCUUUUCAGCUGUCUCAAGUCAACUGGUGAGAGAAUUGUUGGUCUAUUCUCCAAAGGAAGUGGUCCCUUGACAUACUUUCCUUUAGGAUGAUGGGUUUGGCGAUGUGGCUGAGCCUUCUAGACAAAAAAAGCUUUCCUUAAACAAUAUCUCAACUAAUCAGUCUCCAAAUAUUUUAGUAGCUUAAAUCUUUAGGCUUUUCACAAAUGCCCAGACACUUUGCCUGUUAUAUAUUAGAAUGUAGAGAUGUUUGAGCACUUCCAGAGGGCAAAUGUCACAUCCCUGACUAUACUUUAGGUAACUUAGCAAUAUAUAUACAUGGUUGUAUUGACAAAACUCCUCAAGCCUACUAUUUUUUCAUAGGACUGGCUCAGAAUGUGGACUUUGGAAAUAACCAGUCUUGGAUCAAACCCUGAUUCCACUCAGUACUACCUAUACGACCUUUGACAAGUUAAUUAAUCCUGAGCUCUUAUUUCCUCAUCUAAUGAGAUACAGACAAUAAGAGUUAUCUUUCUCAUGUGGCUGUUGAGAGGAUUAAAUGACAACAGUGGGGCUCAAUCAGUGUCUUCUUUUGUUACCAUACUGGGGUCCUAGCACUCAGAGCUAUUUCUGGUCUUACUCAAGGACCAGGUCCUCUAGCAUCCCUGGGUUUACCAUGGUUAUGCAUAGCUCCCUCCUCUCUCCCAGGUGUCCUUCUCUCCUCCUGAAAUGUUUCAGCCUCAAGUCAGCAUCAUCCGAGCUUGACCAGUAUCUCUCAAGGUGUUGUCCAAGAACAAGCUGCACUGGAAUCACCUGGAGGCCCACGUGGCUCCAUUUCAGACUAACUGACAGAGUUAGAAGAUGAAACUAGUAAAUCUGUAUUUUAACAAGCUUCCCCCAGCUAGAGGUGCCAGAUAAAUUAUAGGACAUCCAGUUAAAUUUGAAUUUCAGAUAAACAAUGAACAAUUUUCAGUAUAAGUAUGUCUGUCCCAUGCAAUAUUUGGAACAUACUUAUACUAAAAAAAAAUUUAUUAUUUAUCUGAAAUUCAAAUUAAAUGGAGUAUCCUGUACUUUUAAUUGCUAAAUCUGGCAAACAAAUCUCAGGGAUUCCAAUUCUUACUAAAUUUGAAGACCACUGGUUUAAGAUAUUUGGCAAAAAUCUCAAAUUCAACUUCAUGAGCUUCCAAGGAGGGAGGGAGGGAAAGAACGAAGGAAGGAAGGAAGGAAACGAAAGGAAAGGGAAGGGAAGGAAGGAAGGAAGGAAGGAAAUGAAAGGAAAGGGAAGGGAAGGGAAGGGAGGGAAGGGAGGGAAGGAAGGGAAGGGAGGGAAGGGAAGGAAGGGAAGGAAGGGAAGGAAGGGAAGGAAGGGAAGGAAGGGAAGGAGAGAAGGAGGGAGGAAGGAGAAGAGAGGAAAGAAAGAAAGGAAGAAAGAGACAAAGAGAGGAAAGAAAAGCAAAGCAAGCGAAGCUUAUAGACGGAACACAGAUGGCCCAUGCAUCCACAAAACAAAUAUGCACAAGACCAAGUAGGUUAGCAUUUGUUUCAGCAGCCACAGUGGCAAACAUAGACAAUCCAGCAGCCAGAGAAAAAUCCACUUCCUUGUUUCUCUAGUUUGGAAUUGGGCUUUAGGUGUCUCUGUCUCCUUCUGCUGCUUUCUCCUUUUUUUUUUUUUUUUUUUUUUUUUUUUUUGUCUAAACAUCUCCAUGCUAUGCUAGCCAACACCUACUCAUCCUCAUUUGGUAUUUCCUCUUUUGCUUUUUUGCUUUCCUACAAAGCAUCUUGGGCCCAUCCUCCUCUGUCUGCCCCAAACAUCAGAAUACCUAAUCAAAUAGUCAUAUAGCCAUCUUUCUCCCUCUAAUAUUAAGUGUGGACUCCCUCAAUUUUAGUUUUCUGAUGGGAUUUUCCUAAUUCUCAAACCAUUCUGUCUUAUGUGUACUAGAGUAAUGCAUUGUGUUUUUGGUUCGUGUACAUUUACAGAGGCCUUAAAAGAGACAUUAGCUGAUUUUUCACAAUAACCCCAUAAUCGAGGCAGAUGAAAAACGGAGCCCUUUUAUUCCUAGGCCAAGACCCUUCUUACUCAGCCAUUGUCUCAUCUCAGGUUAUUAUACUCACAUCAUUCAUUUGUCAUUUUAGAAUAGUGAUUAAAGCACAGCUGUGUGCCUUGGUUAGUUUUAUUUUUUUCUUAACCAAUCUAAGCUUCCAUUUCCUCAUUUGUAAACUUAGGUUAACAAUAGUGCCUACAUCAUGAGCACUGGGUUUAGUCAGAUGAUCAAAGUCUUAGCACUGUGACUGCAAAUUGUAAGCACUCAAAAUAUUAGCCAUUAUUAAAACUAUCUUGUGGGCCAAUUCUUUUCCAGGCCCAGCUUUUCUCUUGUUGUCUUUCAGCAAAUAGAGAUAUAAAAUGGAAAACUUAGACUAAAACCAGCAGAACAAGAAGUAUCAAUGGCUGCACAAGGAAGUAAUGCAGACCUAUGCUAAAUUUUCUCUUGGUAAACACUUCCUUUUUCAUACCCCUCUCCCUUGAACUUUUUCACCUCCACUCCUACAAUUUUAUGUUAUGCAGAGUCAAAAAUAUAAUCAUCCUAAACUAGGCUCAGCAGUGUGGACAGUAACUGAUUGAAAUAUGAGGUUCUUUAAUUAGAAGCAGGAACUAGAGUAUAGUACUAAGAAUAAUGGUAAUAUAAUUAUUUGCAUCUUGUCUAACUUCCUCAUUUACACUGGCCUUCUUCAUUUCUAUCUCAUUCCCUGAUAAAUAUGGUAUCUCAAAGCCAAAUGUUUGGGACUCCAAUAUUAUCAUUGUGUUCACCUUCUUUACCCAUUAGGGCCUUUAUAUGAUAAUAAGUGUAAUAUGAUAUCCCCAAUGAAUGAGAUAGAGUGGCCCAUACAGGAGCGACCUCAAAGCACUUUUUCUGUACUGCAGAUGCAGUGCAAAAUUAGGAAUAUUAGGAAAAUUACGACUGCUUUCUUCAGAAAAUACUCAGGGCAAUAUUGUUGUGGAUAAUGGGAAAUAACUGGUGGUUUUUGAACAAGGAAAGUGAAUGUCGGUUAUAGUAUUGAAUAGAAUAGUGUUCUAGAAAUAGACAAUCUAUGUAGACCAGUAAGUCUGAAGUCAGGGUCACUGUGCAGCAACAGAGGACAUAAUCUGAGAGGCUACCUUUUCAUGACUGUGUCAGCAAAUACACCACCAUUGCUUUUCAUCUUAGAGGCAGCACAAAACUAUGCAAAAGAAAAAUCAAUCAAGAACAUAUUUAGGACACAGCAGGGAAGGCUCCUAUAAACAUUUUUUUGGGAAGAACAUAGAUAUAUGAUGCUUUUUUAAAAAGUUAUCAGUGGAAAAAAUUGGAAUUUCACAGGACUUUGUUAUAUUUGUUUUUGGCUUAGAGUUUGUUUUGUUUGGUUUCUUUGUUUAACUAUAUUUUUGGAAGGGUAGAAGGUGGAUGGACAUUGUAAUCUUCUUUACUAUUUAGAAACUCUAAAUGUCUUAAUCUGAUUCAGUCCAGGACUGCAUAGGAAUUACUUGAUUUUUGCCAUCGACACAGGUAUCAUAAUCCCUUUACUGCUCUAUCCGGAGAAUGUUGUGUUUUUUCCCCCCUUUAAGAUGAGGAAUCUGUCAGUAUGGUUGCUCCCUUAUGACUAACAGGUUAGAUUAUGCUUAAGUAUUCUACGUGGUCCCUCCCAUAAAAACUGCCUCAGAAACCUCCAGUGCCUCAAAUACUCUUGUCCUUGAAUGGUACAAGGAAGUAGAGGAUUCCUGGGGCAUAUAUGAUACUUAAUCUCUCUCUCUGCCUACUGACAUUCUAACAUUUUGGUGAGCCCCAUUUUAUUUGCUAUGGAAUUUGACAAACAGUUCAAUCCCACAAACAUCGAGUGAGCAAGUACCAUGUGCAAGCAAUUCAUUCAAUGAAUAUUUUCAACUCCUACUACGUAUCAUGCAUAAGAUUCACCCUAAUGAAGGAGAAGAAGGAGGAGAAGAAGGAAGGAAGGAGGACAAGGAGGAAGUUGGGAGGAAUCCCUGUUCUCAGGAGCUUCAAAUCCUGCUGGCUAGAAGAUAUGUAAACAUAAGGGCAAUAGAAAUCUUAUGCUGCCUCUGUGGACUGAGAGUGACAGGGGAUAGAUCCUUGAAGAAAUAGCAGUGUGCUUGGGGGAAACAGAUGCUGGGCAGGCAAAAACUUCUCCUGAAAAAUACAAACUGUGACUUGAGCCAUGCCUGAGGGAGAAGUAGAACUUUGAUUCCAGUUGAAGCAUAGGCAGUAGAAAAUGUAUGGAUUUGAGAGUUAAAAAUAAUUUUGAACCCAUCUUCACCAAUGAGCUGUGGUGACUGUGAAUAAGUUAUUUUGCUUCUCUAAGCCUCCACUCUAAAAUAGGAAUUGUGAUGUUUAGCCCAAAGUGUUGAGGUAUACAUCUCCUCAGGCCUCAAUGCAGUCUUGUAUAAUGACUUAGAGCAUGGACUCUGAAGCCAAACUGCCUCAGUUUGAAGUCUGGUGCUAACACUUAGCUAUUAAACUUGGGCAAAUUAUUGAAUUUAUCAGUACCUCAGUUUCCACAUCUGAAAAUAGAAAUGAUAAUAGCAAACUGACCUCUCAGUAGUUGUAAAUUAAACAGACAGGUUAAUGAUAUAAAGUACUUUAAUAAGUGACUACACAUGGUAAGCCCUAUAACCAUUUGCUAUUAUUACCAAGUGUUUAGUGAUACAAUAUAAGCCAUUAAAUUACCAUAUUACCUGGUUAGUAGAUGCUAUUUUUUAUUAUAGUGCACUGUGAUAAACAUUGUAAGAAAUAUAAAUGUUCCUUGUAUUUUUAGGGAAGACAUGAAAGAAAUUAUAGCCUAGUCAUAAGUGACACUCACAAGUAAUCAUAAUAAAGAUGGUAUGUAAUAAAUAUUGCAAGAAAGAUCAGAUAUGUCCAACUGAUAGUUCAGAAGAAUAAGGGAUCAGGAAGAAAAAAAAACUAUAAUAGAGACAUGGCCUUCUCAUCAUGGCCUGGGCAUGAUAGCAAGACCCCAUCUCUUCAAAAAAUGAAGAGAUAUCCCCUAGGAGCAUGCAAUCCUAGAGGAAGGCAUGGGUGUACCUUCCAGAUUGGAAGGAGAGGUAAUGAUUGUUGAGUCAGCAAUGCAAGAUUAGGUAGACUAUUGCUGGGUGGAUUAGUGCAGGGAAUGCCUUCCCUGAUGAAACCAACAAUGGUUGCAAAGGCAUAGAAGCAUGAAAGGGCAAAAAGUGUGUGUGUGUGUGCAUGUUACAGAAAAAGCAAAGCAGUCAAGAGAGAUGGAAGAUGUGUACUUGGGGACAUCACAUGAGCGAUGGAGACACAAAGAUGAAUAAGACAUGAAGGAAAUAUUUUUGGAUGAUGCAUGCUGGAGACUGUUUUUGUUUUUUGUGUCCUUUUGUCCUUAACUUCCUCCUUCCUUUUUUCCUUCAAAAUACAUUUACUGAUACCUACAAUGUGCUAGAGAAAUAUGACUUUCCUUAUAUCACCUGUUAUAUAACAGAGUUUUGUCCCAUGAUAAGUGAUAUAAUAGAAAUCGCCUCAUAUGAAACAAAGUUAUGUUAUAUCAGAAAUGUGAUAAAUAAUUUUCCAAGUUACACCGAAACUAGGCCCCAAAUAGGGCUCUUUCAUUAAACUCUUUGUUCAGUUGCUUUCUCUCACUCCCAUGUCCCUAAAGUACAUGGAUAGUAGAGAAUCCUUUUUUUUUUUUUCAGUUUAUGUGGGCUUAGCAAAGAGUGGGCAGGCAAUAGAGACUUGCAGAUCUCAACUGAAUUACUGGAGAAUUUAAUUUUAAAUGCUCUAGAAGGUUAUCUUCUUCACAACUUGGUGGCAAAUUCUUUCAGGAACUGAAAGUUGCAUGUGUUUUAAAGGGGCAUAAGCUUGUGGAGAACCUUUCUCUUUGGUUUAGCUGCAUCGAUAUGCUGAUUUUUUAAAAUGCACUGAACAUGCAAAAAUGAGUAUAUUAUUGACCUCAAAUCAAUGCCCAUCACUGUUUCUAUCUUAUACAGUGAGCUUCUUGGCUUUUUAAUAUUUUCAUUGUGAAGUUAUUCCAAUGAAGACAAAAUUUUGUCAAAUUUAUUACCCAGGGAGCUUUCAAAAUGAAGCAGAGAGACUUUGACCGAGCAAUUUCACUUCUGGAAUUUUAUUCUACUUAUGCAUACUUAUACAUAUGUGCAAAGACAUAUAUAUCUGAAAGUUUAUUAUUUUUUCGAAGCAUUGUUUAUAGGGAGAAAAAGCAGGUAACAGCCCAACUGUCCUUCAAAAGAGAACUAGUUAAUUUAUGAUAUAUCCAUAUAAUUAAUAUUAUUCAGUCAUUAAAAAGAAUAAUAUAGAUCUAUGUGAGCUUAUUUGGAAUGAUCUCCAGGACAUGUUUUUAAAUUAAAUCACAAAUACAAACAAAAGAAAGAGAGAAAGAAAAGUACAGAAUAGGUAUAAGGAAGAUUUCCAUUUGUGAGACAUAAAUAUUUAUCUGUGCUUUGUAUAUUUAUUUAGUACACAUGAAUGCUAUGUAGGCAUGGAACAUUUCUGAAAAGAUCAGCAAGAAAGUACAAAUAGUGAUUAUUUCUGGAUGGGAAUCUGGACUACGCAGCAGGCACACUUUUCAUUGCCUGUCCUUUGUAUUAUGUGAUUUUUACCAUGCUAAUAUAUUUUUAUUAAAAAUUAAUUAAAGAAAGAAUAACUACUGGAGAUAAGCCAUUUUUGGUCAAUUCCAUAGUGGCUAGUUAGAGGCUAAGUAAUAUGCAAUCAUGAAAUUAAUGCUCAAAUUAAUAAAACAGUAUUUCCCAAUCUUGAUUUUAUUACAAGUUCAUUUCUGAGUAGUUCAAGAACUUGUAGAAUUAUUUUAAAGAUCUCAAAAUAAAAGAAAGUGGUAAUCUAAUUUUGAAAGGAAAUAUGUUUCACACAGUUUGGGAAAGAGAGAAGUAUUGUUUUCAAAUAGGGAGCAGUGCCUUAGUGAGUAAUUUCAUUUGCAUUCCUGUGUAUCUUUAAGCUGAGUACAAACUAAGAAAAACUGUUCUUGCAGAAUACACUGUAAAAUUACUUUAAUCAGUAAUUACUUUGACCUUUCCCUAUCAAAGGUCAAAACACCGGACAGCCUGUUGCUCUUAACAUCAGCUCUUCUGCGUAAUAUUUCUCUUUGCUCUGGAACACAAUUAGCUCUUGGGAAAAGAGGCCAACUUUUCAGUUUCUGCCUUUCAUGGUUUCUGUCUUCCCCUCUGCUUCAGUGCAGGUCAGUCACACAGAUAAGCAUUAUGCCCAGAAUAAAACUGGCUCUGUUUAUCUGGACUAAUAAAUGAAUGGAACCAGUUAUUUUCAUUGGCUUGGUCUGGAAGGAAACCAAACUAAUUUCCACAGACCUUAAAUUGGACCUAAUCCAAGCUACUUGUCCUCACUAAUAAGAGCAAUAACAAUUAGUAUAAAAGCAAAAAUUUUUACAAAAGCAAUCCAUAUUUACUGCUGGGCAAGAAAAUUGGAUAAAACUAGGAACUAACAUGAGGGACUCUGAAAGCUCUGAGAAAUCCACUUCAUUUGUAUUUCAAUGAGUCUGAGCUUUGCAGGUGAAUACAACCUUUCUUUAGGUUCUAGAUACUCCAGUUUCUCUCUGGUCAAUUUUUCUAAUCAAGUUGUGCUAACUUCCGCUGAUGAGCAGAAAGUAUGUGUAUGGUACAGUCAAAACUUUUGCACUUUUGUCUUACUUAAGAAACUUAAAACUCACAUUUGUAUUCCUAGGGUUUCUGACAAGUCGGCAUACUUUAUUUCACAAUGUGUUCAUGGAACAGUGAGAUUUUGACUUCCAUUGUGCACAUGUAAUAAAAUGUUCUCAUUAGUGAUAUUCACUCAGUGUAUGAAAGCAGUUACUGCCUCUGCCCAAAAGGCAUUGCUGUUUCCAUUUAAGAUUUAUGGUUGGCCUUUUAAUUAUACUCCCAACACUGCCCCUAAAUAUAUCCCCAUGGAAAAAUAUAUAAAAGUAUUUCACUUAAUUAUUAUCUUGCUCAAAGAUCAGGGCAAUAUCUUGGAGCUGCUUCCAAGACUAUUGCUUUAUGAUUUGAAAGCUGUUUAGCUAUUUUUACCAAAUAAUUAAUUCAGAUAUAUCAAGAAUAGGGUAAACUCUUUAUUGAAACGAUUUGUAGGGAACUUAAAGAGUAAUUAAUUUUCCAUAUGUAUUUUUAAAUGAAAAUAACUUAUUCUUUCUUUCUGAUUUAAAAAAAUGCCUACUUGUAGCAAAACAAAAUAGGGGAAUUCAUUAAAAAAUUGUUUAAACCCAAUGCAACCCACCUAUAUUUCUAGGUACCAAGAAUACCACUAUGAAAAUGUUCAUGAACAUCCUUUCAGACAUUUAUAUGGAUAGACAUUAGGCAUACACAUUUUUUAAAACAAAUGAGAUAAUACUGAAGGAGUUCAGGACAUUCCACCCCAAAAUAUGUCCCUUUGGCGUAUUGAUUAUUUUGAUUUAAAGACACCUGGGGCUGGGCAUGGUGGUUCACACCUUUAAUCCCAGCACUCUGGGAGGCCAAGAUAGGCGAUGACUUGAGGUCAGGAGUUCAGAUCAGCCUGACUAACAUGGUGAAACCCCAUCUCUACCAAAAAAAUACAAAAAUUGGCCAGGAGUGGUGGCACUCACCUGUAGUCCCAGCUACUUGGGAGGCUGAGGCUGGAGAAUUGCUUGAACCCAGGAGGUGGAGGCUCCAGUGAACUAAGAUUACACCUCUGCACUCCAGCCUGGGUGACAGAGUGAGAUCCUGUCUCAAAAAAAAAAAAAAAAAAGACACUUAGAAGACAAUAGGUAUUAGAAGGGCUUUCUGACCACCCCUUUUCUAUUUAAAAACAGUCCAUAAAAUUUCCUAUGAAAAAGCUGCCUUCCUUGUAUCAAAAAGUGAAGAACAUCCUUAUCAGCAGAGACUGGGAAUCAACACUAAAAUGAAUCCAUAUACACAAAUUUACUAAAAUAACUCUUAUUGUCCACCAGUUUUCCCCACUUAAUGUUUUAUCACUUCCCCGCAAUUAACUGCCCCUAGCCCAAACCACUUUGUCUUGUCAUUUCUUCACAAAUUCAUCACUUCUUUGUCCAAAAGGUACAUAUGCUUUCUGCUCUGGUCCUUUCUUCAUGGUUUCAUUUUCCUGUGAGGAUUCCCAUGCACAUGUGCCAUUCUAAUAAAACAUAUGUGCUUUUCUCCUGUUCAUCUAUCUAUGUCAAUUUGACUUUUAGGUCCAGUCAGAGACCACAAGAACGCAGAAGACACAUUUUAUUUCCUCUAUAAUACCAUACUGUUUUAAAAUUAACAAUAUAUUCUUUAAAAUAUGUAAAUAUAAGUAGAUGAUUAGAUAGAGAGAUCUCCAACUCACCACUUAAAGUGCUGCAUCAUAUUAGAUUCUGUUUUCAUAUUUUACCAAUCCACUAUUGAUGAACAUUUAAGUAAUUUCAAUUCAAUUUUAAAUAACACUAUAGCAAAUACCAAUGUGUGUUUUUCUGAUUAUCUUUCUAGGUUUUAUUCCCAAAGGUUACUGACUAUGGAUAUUUAAAAUGUUUGAAAUGUAUUCUUAACUUCCCCUUCAACAAUGUUAAAACCAAUGGUUUUAAUAUCCUUAAAGGUAGUUUCUACUUUACACAAAAGUUAUUUGGAAGGAGAUUUGGGGUAAAGGAAGUGAUUAGGAGGAAUAGAGGAUUAAGAGAUGAGGAUGAUACUGGAUAUAUUUCUUAAAAAAGUCUAUGAGAAGAUAGAAAAAUGAGUACAGCUUAGAGAUGCUGAAAUAUCAUAACAGUAAAAAAGGUAUGUGUUACAUGAAGUUAGGCACCAAUCCAAAGAAGUUGCUGAGAGAACAAUCUUGUGAACCUACAAGUUAAUUGUAGGAGAGAAACUCAGAAGUUUUAGUAUGAAUGAGCUGGAAGGUUACUGUUUCACUCAGGAGAUUAGAAAGAUAACAAGAGACAUUGCUUAAAUCUAUUUUCAAAUAUAAUGCUAAUAAUUUUUUCAGUAGGCUAUAAAAACAAGUCUUCCCUUUCCUACUGCAGUUAAAAAAAAUGCAUUGUCCUUUUCCCCCCUCACACUUUGUUUGUAUCAGGACCUUCUUGUUUAGAUCAGGUUACUAAAUAUCUUUAGAAGACACUACAUUUAGAAAAAGAAAUUAUUGUUUUGAAGUUUUUCCAAAGCAAAUAAAGAUAAUUCUUAUACUUCUAUAGAUAUUUAAAUCCAAAUGUGUCUGUUCAAUGGAUAAAACCAUAGAGGUCUUUAAUUUUGCAAAACAAGCCCAUGGCAAACCCAUGAAAUAGAAAAAUGUAUUAUUUUGAAUACUACUAUCCAAUCUUCCCCCACGCUUUCUCUGGUGCCCAGUUUUUCCAGGUGACACUGCUAUACCUCAGCCUGAAGCCUCUACCCCUCUUGUUCAGCUCUGUCCCUGCAGACAGAACUUCUAGGUGGGUCCCCAAGGACCAGAUUUGCCUCACUCUAUACCCUCUGAAUGCUUUAGCCUUUGACUUGUUUCCUCAAGGCACUCCUAAAUGAUGCUCUUUUAACUGAUGAACUAUUUUGAAAAUUAGUGACUGAGGGUAGACCAGUGUGUUACUACUCCAAGUAACAAGAGCAAUUUAAAAGUGUCCUUCAGUGCUUCAGUGGAAAGAAAUCUGUUCCAUAAAGGGAAUUCAGGCUUCCUGCAACAGGAUGUUUUCUGUUCAAUCCAUAGUCAUACCAAGCAGGGCAACAGCUCUUAGUUUCUAGUCACAAUCAUAGAUACAGGUAGGAGAUACUGAUAAAUAUUUGAUAAAUAUUAUUUCAUUGGAGCUUCAAUUCUAUUUAAUUUUUAAUUUUAUCAGAGUAAUGCACAGAUACAUGCUUUUAUAAAGUAAAAUAGCACUUAGAGAGCUUUUAAUAAAAUUAGCUUGCCUGCCGCAUUGCCCCACUUCAAAAGCAGGAUCUUCCACACUUGAUUUGUUUAUGUGUACUUCUGAAUUUCUAAACUACCUGCCCACUUUAUUGACUUUUCAAUUUUAGAUAUCAUUAUUGAAUGAUAUCCCUGUAAGAGAAAUGAAGAUUAAGCAGUCUGAUGCACGCUUCUCACCACACACCACAAAUACAUGUCCCUCCUUCCAUCUUCUUAUUCUGUAACAGACUUUGGGGUUAAAUUAAUAUUUAAUAUUUCCAUUGAUGUCACUGUGUCUAUCACUCACAUCUGAAAGAUGCCAUGUUUUGUAAUUUACAUUUCUUUUCUCAUAUUAAUUUUCAUUAUUCCUAAACUUUAAAAUAGCCAUGCACUGUUUUGUUUUCUUCAUUUCCUAUGUGCCUAUCAUUUACGCAAUCUCAAAUUUUCUGAUACUGCUGCUAAACUCUCAGUAAAAUCAGACACAUUAGGUGAACUAUCAGUAGUACUUCUCCUUUCAUGGAGACAUUACUCCUGGGGCUGUCUGUCCUUUUGCUUCUCUGGUCUAUUGCAGAUAAUCUGUUAUUCCUAACUGUAUCUCUUCAUUCAAAUGACAAUAAAGCUCAAUAUUUAGUGAAGAGCAAUCUUGACAUGUGAUUCGAAGACAUAACUUUAUUUUCAUUUUGAUUAUUUUUCCUAUGUCUCAAAUAAGGUUUCUUGUGUGAGUGAGGGAUAACCAGGAAUGAGCAAAUGUUUCUGUGUUUUGCCUAUAAAACAGACACAGAGUCCCAAGACUGUCUCUCUAGAAGAAUUUUUCCAGAGAUUCCUUAGUUCAUCCUACUCUCAAAUGGCUAAUUUUAUUCCCCUUGCAAGUCUUUACCAAAAAUGAUUUUGUAGCCUGAACUGCUGUGGUACUAGAAAUUUCAUCUGCUUUUUUCUGAGUAUUCCCAUUCCUUCUCAUUUUUAAUCAGCCCUGUAUAGUUUAGAUUUCAUGUCCUCCUCUUUUUUAUUUACCCUCUCAUUUUGAAGAAGCAAAUAGUUCAACAGCCUCUUGAGAAGGAGGACUUGAGAGGUAAAUAUAUUGAGGUAUUGCAUGUCAACAAUAUCUUUAUUCUGUUCUCAUGCUUGAUUGUGGCUUGGCACAGUGCCAAACUCAAGGUUGGAAAUCAUUUUCCCUCAGAAUGUUGAAGGCAGUGCUCCGACUGGAAUGGAGCCCAUGCUGCUGUUGAGAGGUUCAGUGGAAUCUGAUCCGGAUUCUGAAUCCUUGUAAUGAGAACUGAUUUUUCUCUCUGGGAGACUUUUAAGGUCUUUUCUUUAUCUCUGGCUUCCUGAUGAUAAGCCUUGCUUCAUGUGGGUCUUUCUUCAUUCAUUGUGUUAGGUUCUUAAUCAGACUUUUCAAUCUGAGAAUGUGUCCUUCAGUACCAAAAAUGUUUAUUCUAUGAUUUCCUUGAUAAUGCUAUCCCCUCUGUUAUAUCUCUUUCCUGUUUGUGAAACUCCUAUUAAUCCAUUUAUGCCUAGUGUUCCAUUAUUGGAACACUAAGCUUGUGAGAGUUAUUUAUAUCUUACUGCCCAAGGUCAUCACCAAGGUCUGAUUUUUCACACAAAAAAAUUUGCAACCUCCUGCAUAAAUGGGUUAAUUGGAUGUGAAACCUCUGAUUCUUGUCUUUUCUAUACUGUUUUUCAUCUCUUUGAUUUUUAUUUCAGUUUCUGAUUUUCUCAAAUUUUGUGUUUAAAUUCUUCUGUUUUUAUUUGUGCUACUGUAUUUUUUUUUAAUUUAAAGAGCUUUUAAAAAAUUUAUUUCUUUUAGAUAGCAUUCUGUUCUUUUUCAUGGGUGCAAAAUCUACUUUUGUUUCUGGGGAUAUUGCUUACAGAAACUUUUCCUGUUACUCCAUGAAUGGUUUCCAGUAUAUGGUGUACUGGCUGGAAAUUUAGACUCUGCAUCCAGCUUAAAUGUCAAUCAACACCACCAUUGACUGUGCCUAUGACCUUGGGCAAGUUAUCUAAACUCUGCUCAUCAGUUGUCUCAGUAAAAUAGAAACAAUAAGAGUAUACAGUAACGCAUGGCAUUAUUGUGAGGUACAAAUGAGAGCAAAAUGUAUUCGGCACUCAGAACAGUAACUGGAAAAGAGGAAGCCCAUAUGAUAUGUUAUUAUAUCCAUUUCCUCCAAGUUCCUUUUUUUCCUGUUUUAUUUUACUCUUUAUCAUUUGUGUUAGACAUUUUUCUCAAAUGCCUGAUGAUCCUUGGCUGUGUGUUCAUAUUUAAUAAUGAGGAACUAAGAAGUAAAUUGGAAACCUUCUGUGUGCCUUUGAACUCCUGAAGAGCCAUGUGGGAAUAUAACACCCCACAGCUUCAGUGCUGGAAAGACCUCAUGAUAGAGAGUGGUGAUCAAGGAGCACCAGAUGUUGCAAUCACUGCCUGCAGCCAUAUCAGAUACCCCAAUAAGAACCGCCUCGCUGAGUCCAGUCAGCACCCAAAACCAUGAGAAGUCAUAAUAACAACAAGUGAUUGCUGUUGAUUUGUUCCACCAAGUCAUGUAACAAUAGACAAAUGAUGCAGAGAAGAAUAGGCCCUAGAAUGAGCAAGAGCCCCACCUAGUAUCAGAUCUUGUGACUUGAAAGUUUCCCUUCCCAUCUAGGAACAGCCUCUCAAUCUCUAUUCCUCUAAAAUCUACUAGACAAUAUCCUUGUUUGAUUCUCUAUAGAUAUUUUAGUGUUAAUCUUUCCUUGAAGUUUAAGACAGGUCAUCCAAACACAGCUGAAGGUAAAUCGGAGUGUUGGAGAUGAUGCCACUCUAAGGCAUAGUAAGCCAGUUUUCUAAGAGUUGAGAUAACACAUAAUGAUAAAUUACCUACGACAAACACAAUAUAACUGUUACUUGGAUUAAUAACCCUCUUUUUCUCUUCACAUCUCAUCAGUUCCCUCUGUCAUCUAAAUACAUUCCUAUGCCAGGAAUAGAAUUUCAGAAAACAGUUUACUUUGCAAAUUCAAAAGUAUCUCAAAUUUAGGGAAAAGAAAGUGAGAUGAAAGUUUCAGUGAAGUCUUCUCCAAAGCUAAAACAAUCAUUUGAAAAUAGAUGCCCACAAAUGUUGCAGCUUGAUUUAUAGAGGCAAAUAAUUCAGCAUUAAAUGAGGAGCAACAUGAUUGCUAAGAGUAUAUAUGUUUAAACUGUGUCAACAGCUAUUACACUGUGAAGAGGGAUUUGGAUUUUGAACAUCUUGUCAAGUCAAGAGACGUUGUUUACAUUUCACUGCUCACUUUAUUUCUGCUACCGAGAAUGAGAUUUGACUUCUUCCAAAGAACUCAUUGCUACAAGGAAGGGUAAAUACAGAGAGUAGUCAAGGUGAUCUCACAGGGGAGAAGGUAACUAAGCAUCCAAAUUGAAACACUUAAAUUUAAACAGCUGUAAAACAUGUAAUCAGCCAUUCAAAAUGUAAUUGUCAAAACUGGCUACACUUACCGAACAUUUCACUCUGCAUUUGUUUGAAAUGUUUUGAAACUCUAAGUUUAGGUUGAACAUUAUAUUUGGUUAGCAGGGAAAAUUUUGCCUAUUCUGAUUUACAGUGAACUACAGGAAGCUAAUAAGUUGCCUGGGAGAUACUGACUGAAACUAUGAUCUGCAUAGGUCACUUAGUUACUAAUUGGUUAUGGGAAAGGCAUGGCUAAGCCUACUGCACUGAAGAUUUGAAACUAUGAACACCACACACAGGAGGAACCUUAACCCUUAGCAGUCAAAUGCUGCAUGUAAUAAUAUGCAGAAGAGGAAAAUCUAUCCUUUAAGUUUGUUAAGAACCAGCAGUUUUAGGAGGAAUCAUUUGCCAUUCUCUGACAGUUUACAUGUGUUUCCCUGAAAAAUGAGAUAAAGUAAAAUAAAACAAAAAUAAGCACAAGUUUACUCAGAGAUGAUGAAACCCCAAACUAGAUUGGUGGUUGAGAAACAUGAUAUUCAUGGCCUUCAUAGUAAAAGCAUUGUUGUUAAGCACUCUACUCUCAUUACCUCUUUUAGCCCUUGUAACUGCUGUGAUGGAUAUGUCUAUAUCUCCCCCUCUAUAUUUGAGGAAACUGAUGCUUAAAGAGACUAAGAAAUAGGUUCAGCAACCAUCCUGAUUUGCCCGAGACUGAGAGGUUUCCCAGGUUGCAGAAUUUUCACUCUUAACACCAGGAGACUCCUGGGCAAACCAGAAUGGUUGGUCACCUUAUGCAGCAGCAGGUCACUUACUUACUAACUGGUUAUGGAAAAGGCAUGGCUAGGCCUACUGCACUAAAGCUUUGAAAGCAACUCCACAUGGCAGCAAGCAUUUCUUUCUGUGUUAUAGGGUAUCUUACUUUUUUGGAGACAGGGUCUUGCUCUGUCACCCAGGCUGGAGUGCAGUGAUACAACUAUAGCUCACUGCAGCUUCGAACUCCCGGGCUCAAAGGAGCCUCCCACCUUAGCCUCCCAAGUAGCUAGGAUGACAGGUGCCUGCCACCAUGUCUGGCUAAUUUUUUAAUUUAAAAAAUUUUAAAUUUUGGGGUCUCACUAUGUUUCCAGGGUGAUCUCAAACUCCUGGACUCAGGCGACCCUCCUUCCUCACCUUCCCAAAGUGCUGGGAUUACAGGCAUGAGUUGCCAUGUCCAGCCUUAUAGGGUAUUUUUCAUUGUACUGAUUUAGAUAUUCAACCCUCUCCACUCAUCCUUAGACCUGAGAGAUACUCACUCCAUAUGAUCUGCUAAACCAUCCAAAUGUGAACAUCCUCCCGUGCCCCUGAGGCUGAAAUGGCAGCAUUCACAUGUAUCUGAUACAAAAUCUUAUUUUUAUGAUAGAGAAAACUAAAGCUCAGAGAGGUUUAAGUAGUUAACCAAGGUGCCAUUUAACUUGACUUCUGUAAAUCACCUUGAGACUUAAAGGAACAAAUUGUUUUUCCUUUAAAUUAGAAAUCUUUAAUACCUGGAUUAGGUUCAAAGGGUAAACUGUCAAGGGUAAAUUUCAAGAGAGAUAAUAUUUCAAAUUGGUGGUAUCGAAUGAUAAAAAUACAUAAUCUGUAAUGUGUAUUUGCAAGUAAUUAAUUCGGCUGUAGAAGGCAAGAAAACAAACAGGAUGGGUGAAGCUCAGAAGAUGCAUUAAGCAUAGAUAAGUAAAUUAGUAAUCUGUAAGACGUGUUCAAUAUAAAUAAGGUAAGUGGAGCAUAUGCGUGUGAAAAUAGAAAUGGUUGAAAGGACGAAGUGACUUUAACUAUUCAUGAUAUACUAAUUAUAUAUCAAGCAUGUGUGUUCCCAACUAGUCACAUUACAUGAAGUAUGUAAUGUAACGUGUAAGUACUCAGAAGAGGAACUCUUGAACUAUAUAUGAAAGGUAAGUUUUCUAGAAGAGGUGAUACCUAAACCAAAUUCUUAAGGCUCUGAGAAGGUAAGGGUGGGCUGGGGAGGGGCAUUCAGAUGGAGACAACCAUAGGUAGUUGGGUAUAUGGAUGGAUACAGGGUAAGGAAUCACUGUAGGUUAAUUCUAUGAAAAUGAUUGAAGUCAAAACGGAAGCACAGUCUAAAAAGUAUGCAGGAUGGAACUCAAGGAGCUCACAGACUGUCAAGGAAAGAGGACGAUAUGUAGCAUCUGACUUACUUAUAUUGCAAAUAACUCAAAGCAUGUAUUAAUAUCUUUAGUAAUAAUAGAUCCAGGUUGGGCCUUGGGAAUAGGUAUAGAUUUGGACUUAUCAUGUCAAAAGACAUUAAUGUUCAAAAAUUUUAUUACCAUGUCAUCAAAAAUGUCUUUACUUAGGAACCUAAGAGGUUUUCUUUUAAUACUAAUACAGCAACUGAAAAGAGUAAAACCUUGACAUGCAUCUGUUAAAGUCCCAUCUAUAGUCAUCAUUAUCAUCAUUGUUACCUUUAUUAUUUAAGUAAAUCUAGACUGUGUUAAAUAACCACCACACAUUAUCUUACUUAAUAUGUAAUACUAUAAAGUACUAUACAAUAUGCUAUACUAAUAUUAUAAAAUAGGUACAAUAGUCCCCCACUUAUCCAUGGGGGAUAAGUUCCAAGACCCCAGUGGAUACCUGAAACCUAGAAGAGUACCACACCUGAUGGCCAUCAAUUGGAAUACACUUCUGUUCAUGUCUUCCAUUCACAAGUUUAAUGCCUUUUCCAUUUAACCAAGCACUUAGCAUGCACUGUGGCUGUAAUUUCUGCAAUUUGCGAUGUGACAACCAAACUGGCAGAAAUUUCUUUUCCUUCUUCACAAUUUCACAGAUAGAACAUCUUAGCAAUCUCAGCAUAUGAUUCUUUUCCUUCCUAAAGUUGACAACUUUUAUCUUUCACUUAAAGGAAGCAACUGACAGCUUCUUUUUGGCAUAUUCAAAUUGCUAGUAUCCUUCCUCUUGCACUUUGGAGCCAUUAUUAAGUAAAAUAAAGGUUACAUGAGUCCAAGCGCUGGGCUGCCAGGACAGUCAAUCUGAUAACCAAGACAGAUACUAAGUGACUAAUAGGUGAGUAGUGUGUACAGCGUGCAGGCUCUGGACAAAGGGAGGAUUCAUGUCUCAGGGAGGACAGAGCAGGACAGCACGAGAUUUCAUCAUGCUACUCAGAAGGGUACAAAAUUUAAAACUUAAGAAUUGUUUAUUUCUGGAAUUUUCCAUUUAAUAUUAUCAGGUUGACCAGGGCUAACUGAAACUGCAGAUUGUGAAACUGUGGAUAAUGGGAGACUACUCUUGACUUAAAUAGACUUUAACUGAAAAUGAGGCUCUGAGAGUUGAAGUUUAUACAAUCAAGAAGUGGCAAAGUUGGCCUAAAAAGCCUAAUGUAUAUGAUUCCAAAACAAUAAGGUUUGUAUCUAGAAUCAGAUACAUUAGGCUUCUUAGGCCAACUUUGCCACUUCUUGAUUGCAUAAACAUUAUCAGAAAUACAUUCUGAUAAUAAAUAUUUUAACAAUUAGACUUUAGUUAACAUAACUCAAGUCAGUACAAAUUUCAACAAAGCUGAUAGUACCAGGAGUCGUUCCAAGUGCUUUUCAUGAUUAUAUAACACUUUUCUAUUCUUCCAUAGCCAUGAGCAAAAAGCAAGAAGCACAAUCUGAGUGCCAACCCUGCCCACAAUGUUCAGUAGACAAAAAUUUCCCAUGAUACUCAAAAUUGCCUGGUGCAGUCUCACCUACCACCAAUACCACUGUGAGGAUUUAUUUAGCAGAUUCAUGAUCUAUGCAUUCUUCACCAUCAACAUGAAAGGCUAAAUAGCAUCACAACAUUAACCUUUCUCCAGAGUAAUUUAUAUACCAUUAAGAGAUGCAGUCUGUCAAAGGAAAAAUGCCACUGAUGGUAGAAUUUUAAUCAUUGACAAACAUCUUUAGGAGACAUUUUGUGGUUUUCUUUUUUUUAGAUUAGGGAAGGGAGAUAGAGAUAGGAUGUCAGGGGGUAUGAUAGAGAGUAGUUUGGGGAAAAGCAAACCCUCUCUUGCCAUAGGUCCCUCACUUUAUUUGUAAUGACUCUACCUCUGGAUCAUAAAUAUUGGGAAAAAAAUCAUUAAUGAGUGCAAAUUGUUGUAAAUGACAAAAUAGAAAGUUAUUAGUCUUUAGCUACACAUAUGUAUGUGUGUGUUAUCAAUACACUGCUCUAAACACUACAUGGUGUGUUAUGAAUUUACCACUAAAAACAUUAUGCAUAAAUUGGAACAAUUAUCUGUAUCACGAGGUAAGAUCUACCUGUCAAAACAAGGGGCUUAUAGUGCCAGGAAAUGGAGUGGGAGGAUUUUAUGGCAUACCCCAGGAGAGGCACUCGUGAUUAGCGGUCCACUUCCCAUAAGACAACCAAAGUCAGUUGACUGGUGAAAACCAAAAUUCAGUGGCUUCCAGGGCCACUUCUACUUAGAAUACCAAGAAAAAUGCUUCUGCUGUCCACUCACCUGCAAAGAAUGGAAGGACCUUCUCCAACUCACAGGAAAUGCAUUUCUUUCCAACCUGAAGAAUUAAGAGUUCGCUAGUCAUUCUCCCUACUUUUUGUUUUCUUUCCUGUAUCUUGGUCAAAAGUGUGGGAAAAUCGAGGCAUGCUAAAGAUAUUUUGAGCUCUCCUAAUCCUCAGUUAAAAUUGUCUGCUCUGCUGAGGCAGGAGAAUGGCGUGAACCCGGCAGGCAGAGCUUGCAGUGAGCCGAGAUCGCGCCACUCUUGGACGACUGAGUGAGACUCUGUCUCAAAAAAAAAAAAAAAAAAAAAAGAAGUCUGCUCUGGAGAAUGGUAAUGAAAUGUAAUAAGAGCUCUAGAAUGAAACCCCAUACGUAAAAACUUUUCAUCACACCAACUGGUUAUUCUUUCUGAGAUGGGCCUGAAAUUAAACCAAUCUUUAAAGACAGAAGUUCAUAGCAAUCUCUAGGAUGAGAAAACCUGGGCUCAUUCAUUCAUUCAUGCAUCCAUUCAUUCUUUCUUUCAACAAUAUUUACCAAGUGAAUUCUAGGUGAUGCUGCACUUCCAUGUCUUCUUGUUGAGCGUUGAAGCAGAAAACGAGUGGGAGCCAAACCAUGACAAUUCAAUGCCUGACACUGAGAAACUAGAAAAUUCAAAUGCAGAUGGGGCUUCAUUUUUGUCUACUGAUAAUGUUUUUGAAAGCCUUGAUUUCCUCCCCACAACUGAAUUCCCAAUAAAGGUAUGGAAAGUUCAUUGUGCAAUGGCCGGGGAAUUCCUGGGUCACUUGCACCGCUUGAAGAAGCGAUUAGGGAUGGGGUCACUGUGUUCCCCAGUGACUGUAGUAAAGAGCUGGGAAGUCAAGGACCCAGUCACUUUCUGAGCUUUUGUUUCCUCAGAUUUCAAAUAGGCAUUAAAAAAACAAAACAAAACAAACCUAUUUCAAGAAGAAUUAAAGAGAGAACUUCCACAAAGAACCUGAUCAUGGUAUGUGAGAUAACAUACAAAAUUGCUAAGUCAGGAACUUGAACCAAAGACCUUCUGGUUCAAUUUGCAAGAGAUCUACAUAGCCACUUGAGAGGGUCAGACAAAAAUUUUACUAUUAAAGGAGGGCUUGACUGUUUUUCUCUGGACUCCUGACCACUCAGGGGCCAUGUGAUGUGUUCUGAGAAAUGGUGUCACGGCAGUAAAAGAUAGUGGCCUUCUUCAGAGUCAUGCCUUACAGAGCCUCCUUAGUGUUUCACCUGGACAAAAAGAAAAACAGAAUUUCACAGAAAAUUAAAGCCUUACUCUCUUUCUUUGACAAAGAUAUUUGGCAAGAUUCAUCAUACAAUUCCACAAGCAUUAGUCAUUGAAGGAUCCAAAGCACGGACUGAAGAACAGAAAAACCUGCUGAUACAAGUCCCUUCUCAGGAAUGGCUUGGACUGACCAGGCUGGUUCUUCCACCCAAUUUGGCCAAUGGAUUUCAAAGACAAAGUUUUGGACUUGAAUUUCGGUAACUUUAAGUCUACGGAAGAAACUUAUCGUUUUGACAAACUUGAAAUAUGAUUUGUGUGUACUUGUCUAUUCUAUCUAAUGAGAGAUGGCAAACUCCUUAAGAACAAGAAUUGUGUUAUGUCUGGCACAUUGUAGGUGCUCAAGAAAUAUAUUCACUACAUGAAUAAAUAAAUAAAGGUCAACAAAAGCCUGCAAAAUAGUUUGUGUGAUUAUUUUUUGGAAAGUUUUAAUGAUAAAGAGUGUGGUAAAAAUUAAAUAGAAUAAUAAGAAGAAAUGAAUCCACGAAUUCAUGUUAUUUAAAAAAAUUUGAAAUUUUAAAAAUAACAAAUAAAAAUAAAAAUAAAAAAAUAAAAAAUAACUUGAAAAGAAAGCCAAUAUAUCCAGAAAAGCAGAGCCUGAGAAACUGCAGAAAAAUGGAGCAGAAGCCUACUUUAUCUCUGGACUUAGUGUUGAGACAAUAUGUUUCCUCAUUGCUUAAGCCAGUUUUUCUAUUAUUUGCAGUGAAAAAGUGCUAUAAUUGAUUCAAAAUCAAUGCAUUUGCUUCCAGUGGGGCAUAUUCUUUCCAAUAACCACAAGGCAUUGGUUGCUUCCCCUAGACACUCCUUCCUCUAUUGGAAGAUCUGGGAAACCAAAUUAGUUAUUGGAAAUUUCUCUGCCUCAACUCCUCCCUUCCCUCCUGAGGGUGAGUUCUUUAAAAGAGAAUGGGAUGAAUUUUCAGAGAGCCUGAAAUACAUUUUUAGAAAUCCUGUUGAAGUACUGUGACCCAGAAACAAGGUCCCCUCUCCAGUGACUGAGAGAUUCAAGACACUCCACAGUGAGAACUUUUUUUUUCUUCUUGAACAAUGGUGAAGACCCUCUGUCCUUGUCUUCUCCUUUGCUUCUCUUUGUGUAGACCAUCAUUGUUCAAAAAGUGUACAUCACAUGAGCUUCUCAUGCAAACUACAUAUAUGUAAUUUAAAUUUUUCUAGUAGUUACAUUUAAAAAGUAAAAAGAAAUAGGUGAAAAUAAAGUUAAAUUUAUUAUGUUUUAUUUAACCCAAUAUAUCUAAAAUAUCACUUCAACGUGUAAUUAACAUAAAAACUAUAGAGUUAUUUUACAUUUUUUUAUACUAAGUCUUCAAAAUCCUGUGUGUAUUUUACACUUAGAGCACACUGCAAUUUGGACCAGCCACAUUUCAAGUGCUCAAUAGACAGCACAGUUGUAGCCACACACAAAUCUCCUUUACUUCUGUUACAGCAUAAAACUCUUAGACACACAGCGUUUAGCAUCUAAUUAAUUAUGUAACUGUAUUACACUGUUAUUGCAAUAAUCAUUAAACAAGUGUCAUUCCAACCCCCUAUCUGUUUUAAUGCAAUCUUACAUGAAACAGUUUCUUAUAUUGAGAUAUAGGCCAGUCUUGAUGGGUAUAGAGAUGUCAUUCCUCUUUAUCCAAAGAUUUCCUUAUUAUUCUUUACUGAAUGUCACAUUUACAGCUAUUAGAUGGGAAGAUUAUAAUUUAUUCUAGAAACUUCUAUUUUUAAACUAUGUAUUAACCAAAAUUACACAUGUAUGGGGUACCUGCUUAUUUCUAGUAAGCCCACUAGCUGAUGUAGCAAAUAGGUAGCCAGGCCAAAAGCAAAAUUUUGAUAGUUGGCCUUUUGUUUAAAAAGUGUUUUAUAUCUGAUUAGCUGAAUUCUAACUAUCUUAGGAAAUAAAUCAACUAACAGUGUAAGAGACAGUCUACUAUGGUGGAAAGAGAUAAACUUCAGAGUCAAACAAACUUAACCCUAUCACUUACUAGCUUUGUAAUGGUGGAUAUAUUCAUUAGCUUCUCACUUGUAGAAUGAGAAUAAUAAUAUAUUAUGUCUGAGACUGCUAGUUUUAUCCCAAUAUCCAUUCUCCCCUUCUUCAUCAGUAAAUAACCACCAAAAGUUAGCUAGACACAGAUGCCCAGAAAAAAGUCCAUGUUUUCAGCCCUUUCUUGCAGCUAGAUGUGUUUAUGUGGUUAAAUACUGGACACUGAGGUCAAAAUAAAAGCGGUGUCUGUAACUUCCAGGAAGUAUCCUUUUAAAAAGCAGGGAGAAUGCUAUUUUCUUCCUUAUGGCUAGAAUUCAGACAUGAUGGGUGGAGCUAGAGAAGUCAUCAUGAACCAUGAAAUGUAAACUGUGUUGAGAACAGUAGAACAAGAGCAGAGCCCUGGGUCUCUCCUGAUCAUGGAAUCGCCACCAAAGCCCAGGGUUUUAGAAAAGAAAGAAAUGCAUUUCUAUUUUUUUGAGCCAUUGUUGUUACUUAUUUUCUCUAACUUGCUGCUGAACCUAACACAUGCUUAAUCCGUAGCAUCUUUUUGAGGAUUAAAUGGGAUGGCAUAUGUAGUCCACUUUGUACAGGGCUUGGCACCUGGGAAUGCAGGUGCUUAAUAUAGGACUGUUUUUAUUACUAGCAUAAAAUAUCUCCUUAAAAGGGUCACUAUAAGGGUCAGAUGAAACCUAUAAGUGAGCUUGCUUUUCAAUCUGUAAAUCUGAGAAUCACUGUAUAAAUGUUGGUCAUAAUUAUCAUCAUCACCAUUAAAUUAUUACAAGGAACUGGCUAACUGCCAGCAUGCUCUACUAUGAUCAAUCUAUAUUUAGGUCAAUUAAAAAUAGAUAGAUACAGACUUCUUUGCUUUUGUUAGGUUUACUUAACUUUAGUCAACUGUGAAUGAUUGAUUAUAGGCUUGCCAUUACAUUGUUGCUUCAGAGCUUAGAUGAAACACUCAUUUGGGUAGUAUAAAGAAAGCUUAGAACUUGAUGAGGCUAUGACAUCUUUUAUUCAUUUACUUUUACCUUAAAAAGUUCUCUAUUACAAAAAUCAAUAUAGUGUUUGUUGUUAAAAUAAAUUAUAGAGACAUGAGUAAAGUGAAAGAAGAGAGUUCACCCCCUUCCUUCUUUUCCAUCCCAUUCUUUAGAAUUAACCAUAUUACAAUGUAACCAAUUAUUCCUUGUAUGUAAAUAUCAUUUUUAUAUAAUGGGAUAUACACAUGUAUAAUAUACAUUUUCUAUUUCCAAAUGAAAAACAAAAUCUUUUUUUUGCAGAAAGUUCAAAGUUGUUGAAAAGAAAAUCUUUUGCAACAGCUUUUUUGAUUUGUUCGUUUCCCAAUUUAAAAUGUCUCCUGGGCAUCUUUCCAUGUAAAUACAUAUUCAUCAAUCCCAUUUUAAAAACCAUAUACAGAGUCAUUUAAACAUUUUUACUAAUUAAUUAUUGGAAAAUUGUUUGUAAAAUAAAGGAGACUGCCCUUAAAAUAAAAUAGCAACUUAGCUAGGAUUAAAUUAGGCAAUUCAGAAAAAUGCUUAGCAAAUGUUUGGCAGAUUGUAAAUGAUUGAUAAAUAAAUAUUAGCCAUUAUGAUAUUGAUGAUAGUGAUGAUUAAAGAUGACUAUCUCUCUAAGCUCACUCUCAAUAAAUUUCUGUUGUCAGAGAGGUGGUUUAUUUUAUUUAAUUGCCCAAUAUGUACAUUUAUAUAUAAUAUUCCCAUUUUAUAUUUUCAUUUUAAGGACGUACUUGGCUGUGUUAUAUGGUGGAGGUGGGUGCCGUGUUCUGGAAGGACUGUCAGACUCAAGUUGGUUCUCUUCAGGAUCUGCCCAACCCAUGGCGACCUAGUACAGUGCCAAAAUUGAACAAAAAAAAUACAAUCCAUCCAUCUGUCAGUUAGUGAGGCAGCAAAGAAGGUAUUUAGCUUCUAGGACAUUUAAAAACCUAAGUUAAUUCUAUCUAAAAGAAAGACAUCUGUGGGGUGGGACUCGCCUCCUCUGAGCCUUUGAGACCAGUGGGGAUUUAAACAGGUAUAAAUAAUGACUCUUGAAUAGCCACCAGACAGCCAGUGGUGCAACCUACUCUAGGGAGAUGAGUCACAGGCUGAGCCGUGGGUAGUAAGUCCCUAGGAGAAGGGAAGAGGGGUGUCUGGGAUCCCAGGAAGAGCAAUAAAUGCAGUCUGUCAGCUCCGCAGCAGAGGAGGGGCUGUGACAGCAGCCCUCACCCAGAAGGGGUGAAUGGUAAAUCUACCUCAAUAGACAGUGGCCUGUGCAUUGUAAAUCUGAUCAUUUUGCUGUGCCCAAAACAUCUUAAGUAUAAUUAUACCAAAGCCUGAAAAAAGACUGGCUAAAGAGAAAACUAAAAUAGAUUUUUUAAAAUGCAAACACACAAUUCUGCCUACAAAAAUGUUAAGUGCCAAGGAAAAUAUUGUUAAAAUCCAAGAGGACCUCCUUUCCUAAGCUGCAGUGUUCAGGAAUUUAUAUGUAUAUAAGGUUGGUAGUGACCAUGGACAAAUCAUUGCCUACACCUCUGCCAGAACAUCUGUCAUUUCUCAUGAAGCCGGAACUUUAAAUGUCACAACUAGAUCAGAAAUAACAUUGAUAUCAGAACCAUCAUGUACUUUUUUUCUGCUCUGCAUGUGAGCAUCUGGGGUGCCUAAAAUCCAACCCUCACAGCUCUUGAAAAGUCCUGUGUCUUGCAGAAGGGAUGCCUUUCAGUGAUGCAUCCGUGAGGAGGCGGCGCCUUUUGAUAAUUCACACAAAGGUCUUGCUAGUAGAGGGAGGCCUUACCUUGACUGGAGGAGAGACCUACGUUUGGAUCUCGGCUAAAGUAUCUUCCAAGAGCAACAUUCUUGUUAGCAUAACAUGCCAUUUUCAUGUCCUACAGAUUCAUAGAUUUAUGGAGUUUUGAACUAGUUAAAUGCCUUAGAAAUGACCAAUACCCACCCAUUUUGUUGAUAAGGGACCUGAAGCAUAGAGAAGUCAGAUAGUUUGAAUAUUUGUCCCUACCCAAAUCUCAUGUUGAAUUGUAAUCUCCAGUGUUAGAGGUGGAGCCUGGUGGGAGGUGUUUGGAUCAUGGGGGCAAAUUCCUCAUGAAUGGCUUGGGCCAUCCCCUUGGUGAUAAGUGAGCUCUGAGUUAACACUGAGAUCACAUAGUUUAAAAGUGUGUGGCACCUCCCUCACACCUCAACUCUCUUUCUUUUGCUUCUGUUUUUGCCUCAUGAUGUGCCUACUCUCCCUUGACUUCUUUUUGAGACAGGGUCUCACUCUGUCACUCAGGCUGGAAUGCAAUAGUGCAAUCAUAGCCCACUGUAGCCUUGAGCUGCCAGGCUUAAGCAAUUCUCUCACCUUAGCCUCCCAAGUACAUGAGACCAUACGCAUGCACCACCAUGCCCAGGUGAUUUUUGUAUUAUUUUUGUAGAGAUGGGGUUUUGCCUUGUUUCCCAGGCUGGUCUCUAAAUUUUGUGCCAUGCACCACCAUACUCAGAUGAUUUUUGUAUUUUUUUGUAGAGAUGGGGUUUUGCCAUGUUUCCCAGGCUAGUCUCUAAAUUUUGUGCCAAGCGAUCUGCCCCCAUUUGGCCUCUCGAUGGGCUGGGAUUACAGGCAUGAGCCAUCACCACACCUGGCUUUGCUUUCUGCCAUGAUUGGAAGCUUCCUGAGGCUGCUAUUCUUCUUGCACAGCUUGCAGAACUGUGAGCCAAACUUCUUAUUUUAUAAAUUAUCCAGUCUCGGAUAUUUCUUCAUAGCAGCACAAGAAUGGCCUAAUACAAAAAGUGAAGAGUUUGCCCAAGUUUAGAUAGCUAAUAAUAAUUUUUAUUAAAUGAUAUUACAAUAUAAUCUUCACUGGGUUUGUUUAUAGAUUUUUUUUACUAAUGCAUCAGUAGAACUACAUGUACUUAUUGAUUGAGGUUUAAGCUACAAUUUCAAGCAAACAUGUGAAAAUAAAGGCAAUUCUUCUUGCUCUUUAGAUCAUUAAUGUUUAGUCCUCAAUACAGAUUUCCACAUUCCACUACUUCAUUACUAUACUACGUUUUUAACUAGAAUUUUGAGGUCAUAUCCGCUGAGAAGUCUUUUUUCCCCUCUAGAAUGGGUUGGGUUCCCUCCCAGGUGGGGUAGCCCUAUCAUCACUUUGGGCUUGCUCUGUGAUCCUGUUUGUGACAAUAUCUUGGGAUUGUCUAUAUAAUUUUGAUUCCCUAGUUAAUUAUAAGCUCUGUGAAGAUUAAGACUGACUGGGCAUUUUUUUCAUCAUUGUAUCCCCAGUAUUUAAAAUAGUGUUUGCAAAUAUAAACAGGGAUAAAUAAGCAUUUGCAGAAAAAGGAAGAAGGAAGGAAGCAGAGAUGGAGGGAGGGACUCAUAUAGAAAUUGAUAUGAAAAAUGGAAUAGCAAAUGAAUGAUAAGGAAUAAGAGAUAGAAGCAGAACUAAAUGUGAAGAAUUGAAGAGUUACCUAAUUCACAAAUUUUAAAAUUUCUAAAUAAGUAUGACAGAGCAUAACACUAUUCAGCAGAGUCUCCUGUCUUUGUCUUUGUUUGUCUACUUGCAGAUGGUGGUGUUUGAGUCAUGUGGCAGAAAUGCUCCAAGAUUUCUGCCUCCUGGUGUUCGCAUCUUUGGGUAAUUCCUUCCCAUUGAGUGUGGCCAGAAGCUCCUGUGACUUGCUUCUAACCAAUGAAAUAUGGCAAAGGUCAUCAGGUGUCACUCUGUGAUUAUGUUACAUUUAUAUAAGAUUCUGUCUUGCUAGCAGACUGCUCUAGAGACUCCUUACCGGCUUGAUGAAGUUACAAUAGCAGCUGUGUUAGGAAAGCCUGUGUGAUGAGUAACUGCAGGUGGCCUUUGGGCACUGAGGGUGGCCUCUAGGAGCUGAGGGUAACCUCCAGUCAACACCCAGCAAGAAGCCAGAGCCCUCAGUCCUACAAUUGCAAGGAAGUGAAUUCUGCCAAUAAUCUGAAUGAGAUUAUUAUUCGAAGCAGAUUCCUCCUUAGUUAAGCCUCCAGAUGAGAACUCAGCCCAGUUGACAUCUGGUUUAAAGACUGGUGAGACAAUAAGUAAAGGACUCAACUAAGCCAUGCCCAGUCUCCUGACUCACAGAAAGUGUGAGAUAAUAAAAGUGUUUGGUUUUAAGAUAAUAAGUUUGGGGGUAAUUUAUUAAACAGCAAAGGUAAGUAAUACAAGGUGUUUGGUUAUAAAUAAGCUAUAAAACUAGCUGAGAGAAAGAGAGAAGGAAGGAAGGAAGCAAGGAAGGAAGGAAGAAAGGAAGGAAGGAAGGAGAAAGAAAGAAAGAGAAAGAAGGAAGGAAGGAAGGAAGGAAAGAAAGAAAGAAAAGAAAGGAGAAAGAAAGAAAGGAGAAAGAAAGAGAAAGAAAAGAAAAGAAAUGAAGAAAGGAAGAGAGAGAAAGAAGGAAGGAGAAAGACAAGAUGGAAGGAAUAUGGCCUUAGUUAAAUUGUAUGGAUUUUUUUUUUAGGUUUAAUUUGGUGAUUUUCAAAUCAGUACAGAAAACAUCUGAAGAAAUUACAAGAUUUUAAGAAAAUGACAAACAUCAGCAAUUUACCAAGGCUUCAAGGGAAUAUAAGAAAUCUGAUAACUCAUCACCACUAAGGCAAAUUUGUGUGAGUGAAUUCUAUGAAUACAUAGGACUGGACAAGAUCUUAAGAAGACAGAUGGUCUAUACUCAUCUUCAGGUAAGGCUUUUCCUAAAUACUUCCAAACAAUGAUGAUGAUGAUGGUGACAUCAAUACUGUGAGCUUUUAUUUACUGAGUUCCUCAUAUAUGCAUAUCAUACAGAAUAGGAAGAAACUAAUUUUUAUGGAACACCUGCAGUUGUCCAUGUGCUAUACUGCAAACUUUAUAUAAGUCAUCUUAUAGAAAAUAGCAAGCCCUUACAAUAAGUCCCAAUUAUUUCCCCCAUUUUACACACACACACACACACACACACACACACAGCCAGCCAGAGACACACAAAGAAAAAGUAUCUUGCUCUAAUUCACCCAACAAUUAAGUUGUAAAACUAUGAUUCAAACCCAUAUUUAAUAGUCCUCACGAUCUGAAAAAUUUCCCAAGUAAUCUAAUUUCCAACUUCUAGGCCAUCUUCUAAGCCAAAAGAUGCUAGAUAGGUAACCAUCCUAAUUUUUUCCAAUCACUUUACAUUAAAAAAAAUGUGAAUAGGCUAUAAGGUAAAACAAAUUUAAAUAUUUGGAAAAGAUUUGAAAACACAAUUAAUAAAAGAGAACUUCAAAUGGCUAACAAUGUUUGGUAAAAUGGUCACCCUCACUAAUAACCAGAAAAACACAAAUUUAAAUGAGAUAUCCCUUUAUACCCAUGAGGUUUGUAAAAAUUAUAAUUUUCAAUAAUACUAGGUGUUGGGGGGACAGUGAGACUUGGAGCCUUUGUACAAGGUUAGUGGGAAUCUGGGACUGAUGCAGUCAGUUAGCAAUGUUUGGAGAAAUUGGUGGGUGUACCCUAGAUCCAAUGAUAGGGUCUCCCACGUAUUUUGUGGGAGCUAGGAGCUGGUGUCAAACAAGUUCUAUUAUUAGGGAACAAAUAAAUAAAAUGUAUUCAAUGCACACUAUGGAAUAACAUGCAAUGGUCAGUAGCAGUGAAUUAGCACGUAUAGCAUCAUCUUAAAAAUAGCAUGUUGAGCCAGGUGAGGUGGCUCACGCCUAUAAUCCCAGCACUUUGGGAGGCCAAGGCGGGCAGAUCAUGAGGUCAGGAGUUCGAGACCAGCCUGGCCAAUAUAGUGAAACCCAGUCUCUACUAAAAAUGCAAAAAAUUAGCCUGGUCUGGUGGCGGCGCCUGUAAUCCCAGCUACUCGGGAGGCUGAGGUAGGAGAAUGGCUUGAACCUGGGAGGCAGAGGUUGCAGUGAGCCGAGAUCACGCCAUUGCUCUCCACCUGGGCGACAGAGUGAGACUCCAUCUCAGAAAAGAAAAAGAAAAAAAGCAUGUUAAGUGAAUAAAAAGUAUGGCAGAGAAUGAAAUCUAUUGCACAAUAUCAUUUAUCUAAAUUAAAACAUGCAUGCAUGUAAUGAGUUUAUGUAUUUUUCAAAGAUAUUUAUAUAUUCAAUAACAUAUAUCAAGCUCAUUAGAAUGGCUGCUUGUGGGGUAAUGCGAAAUGGAAAUGAGGUCAAGAAUGAACUGAAAAAACAUUAUGAAGGAAAAGAAGAGAGAGGCCUGACCAGACAGCUAAUGACUGAACAUUAUUAACUACAGAAUGUGACUAACUCAUCUCUCAGCACUUGAGGUAUCCCCAAAGACAACUAAAAAUGUUGUGGAAUGAAGCUCUAUUGUUACUGGCUAAAGAGCUUAUGCUGACCUUGGAUAUUUGAAUUUACAAAAGUAUGUACCCAACAUUUUAUUGGGAAAGGAAGCCACACCAGGAAAAUGUGGUCUGAAAUUCUGUAGGGAGCAGAGGAAAAUUUUUUCUAAAGAUAAAGUAAUUAAUUUCUUAGAUUUGUACUUGGAGAAAACAUGAUGGCAAAUAUUUUGGCCAGUGUUAGAAUUUGUUCAUUAGUCUUAUCUUAAUGGAAGAGAAUCUGUUUGCCUUUGAGCAGAACAGUCUUGUGGUAGAUUGUUACUCUAUGUAUAAAUAGCAAAAAGAGUCCUUCAGCCUGAGUUCCACUGUCAAUCCCGCUCAUUCACUCACCAAUCAAGGGCUUUGUGACCUGCACACACAGGUUCCUGUGAACACCUUGCUCUGCAAGGCAGAAUGCAUCAAUAGGAUUGUUCUUUUGUCCUGGUCAACCUGAUUUCAUAAGGAAGAAAAUACUAGGAAAAGCUAAUAUAAUCCUCCUCCAAAUAAUCACACAACUUUAACAUUUUUAGACAUAGGGUCCAGAACACAUUUUCAAUCCAGUGUUUCAGGAAGUUAGAAAUGAUACAUUAAUAAAUGAGUAAAUAAGUAAACCAAAAAAUGAAAACAAGCAAAACAAAACAGAAAACCUAAGAUACACGUCUUUACCUUAAAUACAAUAUUUACCCUUGGCUACAAAUUUGAGGUAAUAUGUCCUACAAUAAAUGUUAUAAUUUGGCUGAAAGUGAUUUUAUCCAUUUUGAUAAGAUAGAUGAAAGAUAAAGAAAAAAUAGGCUAAAUAAGAAAUAACUUCAUUUAUCUACACUUUUUAAGAAUUACGGUUUAUCUUAUGUGAUUCAUCACUUAACCUGAUGACUACUUUUUGUUAGUUAAUUUCCCAUUUUAAAAAAACCUAAAUGUUUUCAGUAGAAUUAUUUAUUGUUUGCAGUGAUUAGAAACUAACUAUAUAGUUUUGGCACAGAAUAUCCAAGUAUCCAUAACAAUUAAUGUGCUAUAACAGUAAUGUCUGCAAGGGUCACUGGAAUGCGAGGACUUGGCAUGAUGCAAAUAGCCCUGAACUUCCACAUGUUUACAAAUUCUAUUUGCCUCUUCUUGGUACAUUUUCUCUCUGUUUUCUUUUACUUCUUUUUACCAUGAUUUUUUUUAGAUGUUACACCCUCCCUUGGCCAUCCUCAUGCCUACCAUGGUCAUAUCUUUUCCUGUGUGUGUGUGUGUGUGUGUGUGUGUGUGUGUGUGUGUGUGUGCAUAUAUCUAUCUAUAUAUAUGUAAAAUGUAUGCUUUUAUAUAUAUAUAUAAUAUGAAUGCAUAUAUCUAUCUAUAUAUGUAUAUAUCCAUAUAUAAAAGUCCAUGGGUUUUGUGACAACCAUGUAGAGAAGUUACUUGCUGUUUACUUUAGGGUAUGUGUACCAACCUCAAUUAUCCAGGGGAAGUUCUAAAAACUUUGUGGUACCCAGAGUAGGGAAUCCUUUCUGUUCAAAAUUAUUUUAAAUACAUUGUCACGGUUUUUAUUUGGAUUUAUCUGCCUACUAAUAGAUAUAUGUGUUCCAUCUGGGGUUGAUAGUUCAUUUCUUUCUAUAAGGUGAUCAACCAAAAGCAACAGAUAGAAUUUUAGUAGUACCUGUUUUAUUUUGCAGCUCCUGAAUUUUACCAAUGAGUUAAAAAAAAGGUGUUUUUUUUUCCCUUUGGCUAACUCCAAAAUAUUCAGAGGCUGACAAAAUCUGAAUCUUAUUUAGUUCUUGUUAUAGCAACAGCAAAAUUUAGCAUUGGAAUGCACAAACAUUUCUUCAUCUGAAGAGGUAUGAAUAACUUCUCAGCCUCUUUUGUCAUUAGAAUGCUACUCUCCAGUUGCAAAGAGUAAACCUCGUGAAUGGGGCUAUGUCUCCACACUUAGCAGUGGAAUUGUAAUAAAAUUACAGUAACCACCUUUUUGUUAGAAGUUCUCUGAAGUUGAGCUAUUAACAUAACCAACAGUACCUAAAGUGUGACCUGCAAACAGAGCUUUUCAAACACCAAAUACAAUGCCCUAUUCAUGGUCGAUACUCUAUAAAUAGCAGAUCAUCAUUUCCCUUCCCUUAAUCCUUAGAAUAGCCUUAACUAGUAAAUACUGUUAUCUGAUUUUUAAGAAUAAUAAUAAAAAAAAGAAGAUGUAUCUGGCUAUCCAAGCUGGUUACACAAACUCAGUGGCAAAACUAUUUCUGAAUUGGUCUAUAUUCUCUCAAUUUAAGAGCCUCCCAGCAUCGACCAUCAUGCCUCUUUGCAAAAGUGCAAUUGUUAAAGAAAGAUUGGGUGGUUUGGGCCCUGCACCAUGGGAUGCACCAACAAUUUCAUCAAAUGACCCUCAGAACAGCCUGAAUGUCACAUGAAUAAUUUUCAACAUGUAAGCACAGAGGGCACACAAGGAUAGCAACACUUAAAAGCUCAAAAAAGCAUGAAUUGCAAUAUGCUGGGCUCCUAUAAUCACACAUAAUCCAAUAAUGUCUUAAAUCAGUAUUAAAACAAAUAUUUUUUUCAAGGGUUCACAGGUUAUUUUCAUGAAAAGAAUUUUAAAAAUGAGAAAAUUAUCUUCUAAUUUGUGCCUUUAUUUCUUUAAUAUUAUUAAGUAAUAAUAUACUGUCAACCCUGAUGUCAUACUGAGAAAAUAUUUCUGUGUAAAUCUAACAUCUUCAUUAUACUCUCAAGCCACAAAUAACAUUAUAUCACAAAUUUACAUGUAAUAGAUAGUUUCCCCAAAAAGAAUUUCAUUCCUUAAAAAGUGACAAAGUUUUAGUUGUAUUUCUGAAUAGUAACAUUCAGAUAAAGAUCACCAACAAGUGAUAGGUGGCAAUUUUCAAUGAAGAAAACUAUUGAAAAUAAUCAAGUUUACCAGUGGAAGAAAUAAAAUAAUCUACUCUUGAUGUAUUCUGUGAUAUUAUAAAAACUUUUCAGUGAUGGCAAAUGUAAAAAGAAAUAUAAACAUACAUAUAUUUUUUUUCUGAUAUACAUAUAAAUGAGAAGAAAUAUAAUGGCAACUACAAUUUUAAUGUAGUUUUUACCUUGAUUUAAGAAUGUCCAGUGGAAAGAUACUUUUAAAGCAUAAUGCAACAAUAAUUAAAACAUGUACAAUUCAUGAAACUUAAUAUCAUUCUUAUACUUUCCACCUUAAAGGUCAGAAGUGAAUCCAUGUUAUAAUAAUUCCUUUUGUAAUUUAUCUCAAUUUAGUAGCACACGUGUGAGGUUAACUUAUCUGCAACUUUCCUUUAAUAUUCUAGGACUUAAAAGUUCUUCCAGGGUUUUAAAAAUAUUUCUAUUUUCUUCCCCUUUAUGUAUAGGAGGAGUUAGUUGUUUUAAAAAAAACAAAACAAAUACCUGUGAAAUGUGAAUGGGCAUUGGUUAAGCAUUAUAUUGGUUUAAAUUAGGAGGAGAUCAAGGAGAAAAUACUCACAAACAGAUAAUUGUCAUCCAGACUCUUCAAUUAGUUACAUUUUCUUUCUUUUUUCUUCUUAAUGAAUGAGAGGCAAAUAAAUCUUUGGCAUUCCCAGUGCCUCUGAAGUGUAAACUCCACCAGAUCAUCUAGAUGCACAACUGUCCGACAACAUUAUAAUAAAGGCAGUAAAUAAAUUUGUUCAAAAUACCAGCCGAAAUGCCUGAGGUUUCGUCAGUGGCCAUGGUUGAAGCUCAUCAUGAUUUGGACAGUGCAGCCGAAACCUCGAAGACUUAUACACCGAGCAACAAUGAAGAUACUGUAUAAUCAACUAGGAUUACAGAGGAAAAAGCACAAAGUGCUUUCAGUCCAUAAAAGAAGUGAUUAUCACGAGGAAAGAGAAGUGACUGUUGGAUUUAAAAGGCAUACAGAGAGAGAGAGAGAGGAAAAAAAAUAUAUAUUAUAUAUAUAAAAUGUCACCACCCUACCCCCAGAAGAUGUUGAAAUCACAAAGAACAAUUUUCAAAGGAAAUAUAAUAAGCUUACAGAUGAAAAACCACUUACACAAACCAUUUUCAGCUGUACACUUUGUUAAAUGAUCUGCAAAAUUAGAAAAAGAAACUGAAUCGUUGUUGAGGUACAUUAUCUAAAGGGUACACGGUAUCCAGAAAUUCUGUUGCCUCUUUCAUCUGAGUCAAUGUGAGGUUUGCAUUAGUAAAAAUUGUGUAUUUAAAAAAAAGAAAACAAAAAAAGAAGAAAGCUAGAGAACUAGUAUCAAGCCAAGAAACAAAAGGUAGUCAACAAUGUUCUUUUCUCAAUGCAGAGAGGGCUUAUUGAAAUAUAAGCAAGAACCUUUUUUUCCUUCAGCUAGUAUAUAUGAGUUAAAAUUUUCCAGUUCUUCUGAAAAAGGUCAUUUCUAUAAAUGAUGCAUUUUAAAUACCAUUUAAUAGCUGUUAUUGAAAUUUGGCUCAUGAAAAAACUACAGUUAUAUUUUUUUGUGUGUAAUCUGGCAAAAAUGUCACUAUACAUGUCAGCUAAUUGUGUAAUAUCUUGCUGCUGUUUUGUUUCCUGUGCACUUCCAUCAACAAUUUCAGCUUAUAACAGUGAUUCUUUUCCUUUUGCAUCUCAAUAUACCUGAUAUAAACUUUUUCUCCCAUCAAUAAUAGUGAUUCAUGACAGUAAUCAUGAAAUCUUUCAUAGGAGACAAUGUUGUUAGAAUCUGUCUCUAGGGGAAAGUUGAGAAGGGAUUGCAUAGUUCAGCAUUUUCCUCAGGAGAUUCGGAUGUGACCCCUAGAGGUUAUAAACCGUACCACCUUUUGAGAAUCACUGAUCUUCCUAGGGGUUAUAAACUACCUUCCCUUUUGAGAAUUACUGAUUUCUGAAUGAAGACAAAGAAUUUAUAGUUUUUCUUUAAGCCAAAUUAACAUACUUCUAGAACACAGUGUAUAGAUGCUAGACACAUCAUGGGCAUUCACUUACAUUUGAUAGAGCUUGCACUUUGAUUUUUUUUUUUUCUGGUAGCAAUAAAAGAUUUAUGCCCAUUCACCAGCUUAGUUGUGAUCACCAUGUAAGAAGGUUGUCUGGGGUUAAGGUACUAGAUAGGCCAUUGGAUAGAACAAAAUUUCACUUUGGCUUAUUUGCUUAGCAAUUCCAACCAAAGCUAAUGAGCUGUAGAUCAAAGCAAUUUGUUGACAAUAUUAAUGGCAGUCUCAGGUCUAAGUAAAUUAUCUGACCUUUCACUCCGUUACUUGGCUGUCAGGAAGCUGAAAGGAAGAGUUCAAGCCUAGUCUUGGUUGUGACUACAUUUGCUAGCACCUGAAAUAAUGAGUUUUGGUAGCCACACGAUUUUUUUUUGUAAUUAAUAUAUACUAUUUGUACACUUUUAUGCAGUACAUGUGGUAUUUUGUUACAUGCAUAGAAUGUGUGAUGAUCAAGUCAGAGUAUUUAGGGUGUCCAGCACCUUGAGUAUUUGUCAUUUUUAUGUGUUGAGAACAUUUCUAGCCCUCUCUUCUAGUUAUUUUGAUAUAUAUACAAUACACUGCUGCUAACUAUAGACAUCCUACUCUGCUAUCAAACAUUAGAACUUAUUCCUUCUACUUAACUGUAUGUUUGUACCAAUUUAUGCCCAUCCAUUCCUCUACCCACCCACACACACACAUUCUUGCCAAUUGGUAACUAUUACUUUUAACAUUACUUUUAAAUGGCAAAAACUGCAAUUACUUUUGUACCAACCUAAUAUUUCACUCUGUACUUCUAUGAGAUCCACUUUUUUAGCUCCGACAUACAAGUGAGAACAUGCAAUAUUUGUUUUCUGUGCUUGGCUUAUUUCACUUAAUAUGGUGACCUCCAGUUCCAUCCAUGUUGCUGCAAAUGACCAGAUUUCAUUCUUUCUUAAUGAAAGGUGAAUAGUAUUACAUUGUGUGUAUAUACAAAUUUUCUUUAUCCAAUCAUCCAAUAGUGGACACUCAGGUUGAUUCUAUAUCUUUGCUUUUGUGAAUAGUGCUGCAAUAAACAUGUGAGUGCAGGUAUCCCUUUGAUAUGAUUUCCUUUCUUAUGGAUAAAUACACAGCAAUGGGAUUGCUGGAUAGUAUGAUUUUUGAGAAAUCUCCAUGUUAUUUUUCAUAGUGGCUAUACUAAUUUACAUUCCCAUCAACAGUGUAUAAGAGCUCCUUUUUCUCUGCAUCCUCACCAACAUCUGUUUUUUUUUAAUUCUUAUUAAUAGUCCAUCUAACUGGGGUAAGAUGAUAUCUCAUUGUGGUUUUGAUUUGCAUUUCGCUGAUGAUUAGAAAUACUGAGCAUUUUAAAAAUAUAACUGUUGGCCAUUUGUAUGUCUUCUUUAGAGAAAUGUCUAUUUAUGUACUUUGCCCAUAUUUUAGUAGGAUUAUUAAGUUUUUUUUGGCUGUUGAACUGUUUGAGUUCCUUGCAUAUUCUGGAUAUUAGUUUCUAUCAGAUGAAUAAUUUGCAAAUAUUUUAUCCUAUUCAACAGGUUGUCUCUUCACUCUAUUGAUGAUCUCCUUUGCUGUGCAGAAGAUUUUUAGUUUAACAUAGUCCCAUCUCCAUUCUUGUAUUUGUUGCCUGCACUUUUGAGAUCUUAGCCAUAAAAUCUAUGCCUAGGCCAAUAUCCUGUGGUGUUUCCUCUAUGUUUUCUCCUAGCAGUUUUAUAGUUUUGGGUCUUAUGUUUAGGACUUUAAUCCAUUUUGAAUUGAUAUUUUUAUAUGAUGAGAGAUAGCUGUCUAGUUUUAUUCUUCUGCAUAUGAAGAUCCAGUUUUACCAGCACCACGUAUUGGAGUGGAUAUCCUUUCCCCAAUGUGUGUUCUUGGAGCCUUUGUUGAAAAUCAGUUGGCUAUAAAAAUGUGGGUUUAUUUCUGGGUUCUCUAUUUUUUGUUUUUUUGUUUGUUUUUGUUUUUGAGACAAAGUUUUGCUCUGUCGCACAAUCACGUUUCACUGCAGCCUCAACCUCCUGGGCCCAAGCAAUCCUCCUGCCCCAACCUCCCAAGUAGCUGAGAUUACAGAAGCAGACUACAUGCCUGGCUAUUUUUUUUUUUUUUUUUUAGACCUGGGGUCUUGCCAUGUUGCCCAGACUGUUUUUGAGCUCCUGGCCUCAAGCAAUCCUCCCACCUUGGCCUCCCAAAAUGCUGGGAUUACAGGUGUGAGCUACCAUGCCUAACCUUGGGUUCUCUAUUUGUUCCAUUGGCCUGUGUCUGUUUUUGUACCAAUACCAUGCUGUUUUGAUUACUAUAGCCUUGUAAUAUAUUUUGAAGUCAGGUAGUGUGAUACGUCCAGCUUUGCUUUUUUUUCUCAGUAUUGCUUUGGCCAUUAGAGCUGUUUUUUUGAUCUGUAACAAUUUUAGAGUUGUUUUUUUCUAUUCUAGUGAAAAAUAACAUUGAUAUCUUAAUAGGGAUUGCAUUGAAUCUGUAAAUUGAUUUGGGUUGCAUGGUCAUUUUAACAAUAUUAAUUCUUCCAAUCCAUGAGCAUGAGGUGACUUUCCAUUUGUUUUGUGUCCUCUCUAAUUUCUUUCACCAGUAUUUUGUAGUUUUUCUUAUAGAGAUCUUUCACAUCUUUGAUUAAAUUUAUUCCUGGAUUUAGUUUAUUGUAAAUGGGAUUUAUUGUAACUGGGAUUGCCUGCUUGAUUUCUUUUUCGGCUGUAUCAUUACUGAUAUGUAAAGAUGCUACUGAUUUUUUUUAUGUUGACUUUGUAUCUUGCAACUUUACUAAAUUUACUUAUCAUAUCUAACAGUUUUAUGUUAUCAGCAAAGAGGAUCAAUUUGAUUUCCUCCUUUCCAAUUUGGAAGCCUUUUCUUUCUUUUCUUUGCCUGAUUGCUCUGGCUAAGACUUCCAGUACUAUGCUGAAUAUGAGUGAUGAAAGUGGGCAUCCUUGUUUUGUUCCAGUUCUUUGAGGAAAUGCUUGCAGUCUUUCCCCAUUUAUUAUGAUGUUAAUUGAGGGUUUGUUAUUUAUAGACUUUAUUAUGUUCAGAUAUGCUUCCGGUAUGCCUAGUUUGUUGAGAGUUUUUAUUAUGAAGGAUCGUUGGACUUUAUCAAAUGUUUUUUCUGCAUUUAUUGAGGUUAUCACAUGGUUUUUGUCCUUCAUUCUGGUGGUGUGCUGUGUCACAUUUAUUGAUUUGCAUACAUUGAACCACCAUUGCAUCUCUGGGAUAAAUCCCACUUGUAUUAUAUUUUUGAAGUGCUACUGGAUUUGGUUUGCUAGUAUUUUGUUGAAGAUUUUUGCAUUUAUAUUCACCAUGUAUAGUGAUGUGUAGUUUUCUUUUUUUGUUGUGCCCUUGUCUGGUUUGUGUAUCAGAGUAAUGCUGGCCUUGUAAAAUGAGUUGGGAAGAAUUCCCUCCUCUUCAAUUUCUUGGAAUAUUUUGAUAACAAUUAGUGUUAAUUCUUCUGUGUAAGUUUGGUAGAAUUUGGCAGUGAAGCCAUCUGGUUCUGGACUUUUUUUUGUUAAGAGACUUUUUGUUACUGAUUCAAUCUUGUUAUUUGUUAUUAGUCUUCUCAGGUUUUCUAUUUAUUCCUGAUUCAUUGUUGGUAGGUUAUAUAUGUCCAGGAAUUCAUCCAUUUCCUCUAUGUUUUUCAGUCUGUUGUAUAGGUGUUCAUAAUAGUAUCUGAUGGUAUUCUGUGUUCUUGUGGUAUCAGCUGUAAUGUUGCCUUUUUCAUUUCUGAUUGUGUUUAUUUGCGAAUUCUUUUCUUGGCUGGGUUGGUUAGCAGUUUAUUCAUUUUAUUUAUCUUUUAGAAAAAUCAGCUUAUCAUUUUGUUGAUCCUUUGUCUUACUUCUUUUGUCUUUAUUUCAUUUAGUUUUGCCCCUAUCUUUAUUAUUUCUUUUCUUCUGCUGAUUUCGAGUUUGGUUUGUUCUCGCUUUUCUAGUUCCCCUAAGUAUAUUAUUGGUUUGUUAAUUUGUUAUUUUUUUACUUUAUUGAUAUAGGCAUUUAUUGCUAUAAACUUCCCUCUUAGCACUGCUUUUGCUAUAUCCCACAGGUUUUGGUAUGUUGUGUUUCCAUUUUUUGUUUCAAAAAUUUCUUUUUUAAUUUCCUUCUUAAUUUUUUCAUUCACCCAAUGGUUGCUGAGAGCAUAUUAAUUUUCAUAUAUUUGUACAGUUUCCAAAGUUCCUCUUGUUACUGAUUUCUAGUUUUAUUCCACCAUGGUCUAAGAAGAUGCUGAGUAUGAUUUCAAUUUUUAAGAAUUUAUUGGGACUUGUUUUGUAGCCUAACUUAUGGUCUUUUUUGGAGAAUGUCUCAUGUGCUGAUGAGAAGAACGUGUAUCUACUGUUGUUGAAUAAAAUGUUCUGUUGAUGUUGAAUAGGUCCAUUUGGUCUAAGUUGCAAUUUAAAUCCAAUGUUUCUUUAUUGAUUCCUGUCUAGAUCAUUUGUCUAAUGCUGAUAAUGGGGUGUUGAAGUCUAAAACUAUUAUUAUAUUGGAGUCUAUCUCUGCCUUUAGGUCUAAUAAUAUUUAAUUUAUAUAUACCAAUGUUGGGUGAUAUAUAUUUAGAAUUUUUAAAUCUUCUUGCUGAAUUGAUCCCUUUAUUGUGUUUUAAUGACCUUUUUCUAUCUAUUUUUACUGUUUUUUGACUUAAAUUCUGUUUUAUAUGAUAUUGAUAUAAGUAUAGCUACUUCUGCUUGUUUUUUUGUUUUCCAUUUGUAUGGAAUGUCUUUUUCCAUCCCUUUACUUUUAGUCUAUAUAUGUCUUUACAGGUAAAAUGAGUUUCUUAUAGGUAGCAUAUAGUUGAGUCAUGUUUUAAAAAAAUCUAUUAUAUUUAGCUAGUCUAUACAUUUUAAGUGGAAAAUUUAAUUUGUUCACAUUCAAGGUUAUUAUUGGUAAGUGUGGACUUAUCCUUGUCAUUUUGUUAAUUAUCUUCUGGUUGUUUUCUAUCUUUUUCCUUUCUUUUUUCCUUUCUUUCUUUCUCUUUUGUUGUUUAUCAUUGUGGUUUGGUGUUUCUCUGUAGUGAUAACAUUUGGGUUCUUUCUCUUCCUUAUUUGUGGGUUUGCUUUACCAGUGAGUUUUAUACUUUCAUGUGUUUUCAUGAUGGUAGAUAUCAUUCUUUUGUUUCCAGGUAUAGAAUGCCCUUGAUCAUUUCUUGUAGGUCUGGUCUAGCAGUGAUGAAUUCCCUCAGUUUCUGCUUGUUUGGGAAAGAUUUUAUUUUUCUUUCAUUUAUGAAGGACAACUUUGCUGGGUAUUGUAUUCUGGGUUGACAGUUUUUUUUUUAAUCACUUUGAAUAUAUCAUUCUAUUGUCUCCUGACCUGUAAUAUUUUUGCUAUAUGUAUUUUUAAAAAUCCCCAGUUAGUCUGAUAGAGGUUCCCUAAUAUGUGACUAAACACUUUUCUCUUGCUGUUUUUAUAAUGCUCUUUGGUUUUGACUUUUACCUUAAUAUGCCUUGGAGAAUAACUUUUUUGACUUAUAUCUAUUUAGGGAUUAUAAACGUCCCAUAUCUAUAUGUCUAAAUCUCUUGCUAGACUUGGGAAGUUUUCAGCUAUUAUUUUGUUAAAUAGGUUUUCUAUGGAUUUGGUCUCUUCACCUUCUGGAACACCCAAAAUUCAUGUAUUUAGUUGUGUUGUGUUCUUAUGUCACAGGAUUUGUUCAUUCUUUUUUAUUCUCUUUUCUUCUUUUCAAAAAAUCUGACUGGGCAAUUUCAAAAGACUUGUCUUCAGGUUCUGAGAUUUUUGCUUUUGUUUGAUCUAUUGUUGAAGCUCUUGUAUGAAUUUUUAAAAUUUCAUUCAUUGAAUUCUUUCUUUCCAGGACUUCUGGUUUGUUCUUUUUUAUUAUAUCUAUCUCUGGUGAAUUUCUCACUCACAUCCUGAAUUGUUUUUCUGAUUUCUUUCAAUUAUUUUCAGUGUUAUCAAUCAUAGCUCACUAUGAACUCAAGUUCCUACUCUCAAGCCUGCCUCAACCUGCUAAGUAUUUAGGACUAUAGCCUGCAGUGUGCUGCCAUUCCUGGCUAACAUUUUAUUUUUAUUUUUAGCACAGACAAGGUUUGCUAUGUUGCCUGGAUUGGUUUCUUGUGUUUUUACGUUGAUAACUGUACCUCCGGUGUAACAGUCACUUCUUCCAAUUUUUUUUUGAAUUGACUUUUACAAGGGAAGGGAUUUUUCCUGAAGAUACAUCUAUGCUGUUGGUUGGGUAGGACACUAGCUUUGAUUCUGGGUGCAUGCAGUAGUGUAGUCUCCAUAUGAUUUAUUCAGCUGUAAACAGCAUCAGCUGUGUCUGUGAUUUCCUAAGUGGCUUAGGUUGUUGUUGUUAGUGGAGGCUAUGGUGAGGUUUUGUUGAGGAUGAGGAUUACAGGUAGGCCAGUCAUCAGAUUCCAGUCGCGGCAGCAGUAGACCAAGCAUGCCUGGCCUCGGGUUCCCAGUUGGCGUAUGAAGUCACCAGUGUUAGUGGGUUGAAACAGGCCAAUACUUAGGUCUACAGAUGGCUGAAGUGCUGCAGUGGUAGUGGUGGGUCAGUCAGUCGAGUGGGUCCUUGGUCCCUGGAUAGCAUGUGUGAUGUGGGUGAUGGCAGUAGUAAUGGCAAGACAAUCCUUGGGCUCUGAAGUGACACACAUUGGUGUUAGUGAUAUCUACAAGGAGCUGGGUAUGUCAGUCCCUCAUUCCCUAGGCAGUAUGUGCAGUGGGUGCUGCUGUGGUGGUAGCAGCCCUAGGAGGACUGCACAGAUGCCAGUGGUGGUGGACAGGGUGAGACAAGCCCUUAGACAGUGUUCUAGGGCACUGGAGUGGGGGGAGUGCCAGGCCAGGUAGGCCUGUUUCCAGGGACCCCAGGAAUGUAAUCAGGCCCUGGCUAUGGUGGGCAGAGAGGAGUGACACUCAGGCUCCCAGUAGAGAGCUUGGGAGUCUGCUACAACAGGGGUGGUAGGCAGGGAAAGCCUGCCAUUAGGGUAUGUCCAAGUAUGCUGCAGUCCUGCUGUUGGAGUAGAGGCAGAGUUUCUGACAGUAACUAUAGCCACAGGCAGGCAGUUCUUAGGCUGUGUGGGAGGAGGGAUGCUUUAAUCCCCAGUGGCAGUGGCAGUGGUAUAUCAGCUGUAGUAGCAGCAGGGAAAACUAGUUCUCAGGAAAUGUGCAAAUGCGUGAUGGGAGCCCUGCUGCUUGGUAGAUGGAGUCGUGACCAGCUACAUGUGUUUUGGCUUCUGGUGGCAGCAAUAGUGGCUGUGGCUGGUGAUGAGAGGGUCUGUCCUCAGAGUGUGAUUGCAGUAGCCCUGCUGCUGGGGGCAGGGUCAUUAUAUGUGGUAGCUGUCCCAGGUAGGUGGUUCUCUGGCCAUAGAGAGUAUGUGCUUUGGCUUUCUUUGUCCUGGGAGAGCCUCCCUAGGGUGCUGCACCACCGUUUACCUGGCAUACAGGGCACUGUGUGUGCUGGAGUGCUGGGGACCCUGCCAUUCUGCUGAGUCUGACUGGUGUUAUUGCUGCUACGGCUCUCUGGGUGGACACAGAAUGGUGUCAGUGGGGCUCCAGGGACGUGAAGGUGCAGGGGCUCUUGGGCCCCAAGGCGGGAUGCAACCUCCAGUGGGUCCUAAGCUCUCAAAAUGGCCCUAUGGUGAAUCUGCUUAGGACUUGGUGGGUGCGUUGGACCAUUAUGAACUCCCACUCUAGAGCAAUGCCUUUGUGUCAUCUCCAGGCAGGUCCCUAUGCUAUUCUGAGAGCCUGUGAUGGGGUCUCCCAUGGCUAGGGUAUCAGGAGUCCAUGGUGGGAAUAUGGAAAGGUGGGUAUCUACUGCUUACCCUUUUCCUGAACUAGGGAGUCUUUAUGAGCUCCCAGCUGAUCCCAGCUGAGCUGACUGCCUCCCUUCCUGCUCCUUCCAUGCCUCAGGUGCUUCCUGUUCCUUCUCUGUUGAAUUCCAAUAUUCUCUCUUAGAUGCUCUAUUCGAAGUUUGAUUAUGCACUUGCUAUUUUGGUUCUUGUCUGUGGAGGAGGUAAGUGUCAGAUGCCUCCAGUCAGGCUUCUUGAAGUUCCUCUCACAUAAGUCUUUAUGUCCUUCAUGACAAUCUUACUAUCCCAAUGAGUGAAUGACUAUAUGACAAAACAAUCUUAUUAUAUGUCGACAUCACAGUAUCACAGUGGAUACUAUGGUAGGCACCAUGCCCCUAUUCAAAAUCAAGGCACUCAUUUCCCCAGAUGCCAGGAGUAUUGGCUGCUAAUGGCUCAUAGCUAAACCCCUCUCCAAGCACUGGCCUUGGAUUAAGACUAUAUUUCCUCCUGAAGAGAGAGUGGGGCAGCCUGUGUACAAUGCAGGACCAGGACUAGGGUGAAAAACUGGCCUUGAGUGCUAAAUUUAAGCAGGAGCCAAAAACUCAGUAAUCAAACAAUAUUUUAAUGUAAUAUUUUAAAAAUAAAAAAUGCAAAGGUUCUGUAAUUAUCAAAAUAUCACAAUUUUAAAUAAAGAUAUAAUCAAUAUGACUGAUUUUUCUCUUUGCUUGAGGCUCCAAUAUGGCUCCCCAAAACACUCUCUAUUUUAAAGCAUUAUUUAAAAAAUACUAACCAAUGCAAAAGUUCACCCUGAACAAAAUACUGAAAUUUUUAAAUAAAGGCUGACUUUUGCAUUAAUUUAGGUUUAAAAAAUAAUAAUACAUUAAAAUAUUAUUUAUCUUGGCUACUGAGCUUUUUGACGCCCUCUAAAUUUUGUCCUCAAGGCAAGCAUCUCACUCUUCUUAUGUAGUCCCAAUCCUGGCAGAUUGACUCAGGGGAAACCAAUGUCUGUCUCCUUUGCCUUAAAGGGAGGCCAUGGGAGGCCAUCCCAUCAACACAGUCCCUUGGGGAUCAGCUGAAGCCUUCCUUGUGACUUCAUUGCAGUCCAAUCCUGCUUUUCUCCCUCCCUUACCAGCAUUAUUCCUAAGAGUAUCCUGCAGGUGAGUCUCUGAGUCUCUUUCCUCUAAGACCUCCCCAGAGAAGAGAGGUGAAAACUGAAGUUCACAGAAGGUGAGGAACUUGCCCAAGCUCUCAGAGCUCCUAUGAGAUGAAAACCCAGGUGAGACCAGGCACAGUGGCUCAUGAGGGUAAUCCGAGAACUGGGAGGCUGAGAUGGGAGGACUGUUGGAGCCCAGGAGUUCAAGAUCAGCCUGGGCAACAUAGUGAGACUCUAUCUCUUCAAGCAAUAAAAAAAUUAGCUGGGUGUGGUGGGUGCACGCCUGUAGUCCCAGCUACUUGUGGGGCUGAGGUAUGGGGAUCACUUGAGCCUGGGAGGUCGAGGCUGCAGUGAGCCAUGAUCACGCCACUGCACCCCACCCUGGGUGACAGAGCAAGACCCUGUCUAAAACAAACAAACAAACAAACAAAAAACAAAUCCCAGUCAAGUUAGUAUGACUUUAAAGCCAGUGCUUCUCAUUAUAACAUUCUAUAGGCUGGGGCCAGAAUUUGUGGCUACAGUCUAAUAAGUCAAAGGUAAAACAGAGAUACCAGCAAUCCCUAUGCACUCUCCUAAUUGAAUUUCCUAAUUGCAGACUAGAAAUCAGGUUCUCUGAUUUCUAGGAAGUGGGCCUCCGAUUAUAUCAGACCCUGUAGUCAGCAGAAUAAUGCCCGCAUCCCCACUGAAGAUGUCCACAUCCUAAUCCCUAAAACCUGUGAAUGUGUUAACUUACAUGGCAAAAGGAACUUUGCAGAUGUGAUUAAGUUAGGGAUCUUGAGCAUAUGCUGCAUUAUCCAUGUAGGCCCAAAUAUAAUCACAAGGGUCCUUAUUAGGGAGAGAGGGAGGCAGGAAAGUUAGAGAAGGAAACAUGAUGACAGAAGUAGAGGUCACAGUGAUGUGAUCAUGAGACAAAGAAUGCAGGCAGGCCUUAGAAGCCAGAAAAGUCAAGGAACAGAGCCUUCCCUACAGCUUGCAGAAGGAAGGGAGCUCUGUUGCCCCUUGGUCUUAGCUCUAAGACCCAUUUUGAACAUCUGACCUCCAGAAGUGUAAGAAAAUAAAUUUGUGAUGUUUGAAGCCUCAAGGUUUGUGGUAAUUUUUUAUAGCAGCAAUAGGAAAGUAAAAGACCCCUAAAGCAGUGUUUCAGCCCUGGCAUUAUGGCAUCACCCAUGUGGCUCUGAGAUGUAUUGGAUCCCUAACAGAAAACAGGUAGGACCACCAGAACAAUUUAAUGAAGACUUCUCAGUUGUAUUAUAUUUUUAAAAAUUUAAAAUGAACUUGUAUAUGUGGAAGGAUUGAUGAUCUGUACUGACUCCAGAUGGUUAUGUUCUCCUGAUGACAGAUGGAAGUCCAGGAGGCGGGGCCAUCUACAGGAAAGCAGGAGAGAAAUGAUUGAUAUAGGAAGCCAGUACAAUCCAGGAACUCUUUAUACAAGCACAAUUUUUACUUUUCUGAUUCUCCGGUAGUAUUUUUUGAAUUAUGGAAGGAGAUGAACAUUCCUAUUUUUUUAAUAUGGAACUAGCUGUACUGUUGUUUCUCUUUCCUUGCUGUGCUAGAAGAGUCUGGAGUUUAAGCUCUUCUUGUAUUUGAGCAAAAGUUAAUGUUUUUAAAUUCUUUUUGUUGAUUAGACAUUUGGGUCUGAUGGAUCACUAAGGUUUAUUAUAAAAAAGUUUGAAGUUCAAGGAUAUUUCUUCUUUUUUACAUUAGUUGUAAGGAAAAGGACAAAAUGCCUUGGAGAGAAGCCAGAACAAGAGAAUUUGGAGCAUCAACAAAAUAUGUUGAACAUAAACAAGAGAGUAGAGUUUCACUCUAGGCAAGAAAGUGGUUCUCCCAGGGGGAUGAACUAGAAAAAGGGAGAGGAAAGUAUCAUGUGUAUAUGAGUAGGAAGAUGAAGGAAACAGGGAAGGGGGAGGUAGUUAUAGUUAAGCAGAUCGGAUCUUAAGCAACUUUGCCAAUGAUAUUCUUACCCCAAGUGUAUGCCAGCAAGAUAUGGUUCUACUGCUGGUGACCUCAUAGAAGCAGAGUCAUCACUGGAGAAAGACAUAGCUCUCAUCCUGAUGGGCAUCUCCUGCCCCUGAGGCCUCAGUUAGCUGCACUUGCCUUCUGCAUCUCCUGGGGAUUUCACUCCAUCAGUUAGCAUCUUGUUUACUGCCUUCCCUAAAGAAGUGAUAUGUAUUAAUAUUAGUCUGUUAUAACAUCGCUAUAAAGAUACCAAAGACUGGGUAAUUUAUAGUGAAAAGAGGUUUAAUUCACUGAAAGUUCUACAUGGCCAGGGGGCCUUCAAAAUUUACAAUAAUGGUGGAAGGCAAAGGGUAAGCAAGCUACCUCCUUCACAAGGCAGCAGGAGAGACAGCAAGAAAGCAGGGGAAAUGCCAGACACUUAUCAAACAACCAGAUAUUGUGAGAACUCCCUCACUAUCACAAGAACAGCCUGGGAGAAACCACCCCAUGAUUCAAUCACCUCCCAACAGGUCCCUCCCUUGAUAUGUGGGGAUUAUAAUUUGAGAUGAGAUUUGGGUGGGGACACAGAGCCAAACCAUAUCAUGAUGCCUAUCCAUUUCUUUGAAUUUUGUUUGAUUCCUGACUGACUUAUUCUUACCUCACAAUGCCCCAGGAUAUAUGUGAGCCCAAGAAAAUGGGAUUAAAGUCAGAGAGACUUAGUAGCGUGGCCUAAUGAAAAAUCCUUGGGGCUAACUGGAGCCAAACUGAUUUGAUACCUUCCCAGCAUCUCUCCAUCUUUUACAUGAGCUGGGACCAUGGUUAAUGGCUCUUUUUAUAUAAUAAUUUAAAAAUGUGUAAAUAUAAGGGCCACCUAGCACAUAAAGAAGGAAUAUAAAGGUCAAGGGUCUUGUUGUUUAUCAACAUGGUCUUUGAGAAUUGCUUAUACUCAAUUUUGAUGAGCCUGGCUCUUUAUGGCUCCUUCUUCCGUGAUUUGGAAAAGUGCAAGCCUGGGCAGCUGUCAACUCAUUGAUACUCUCAGCAGCACAGUUCCGACUGAACUCUUAGUUUAGUCAUGGUGAUAUCUAGUGGUUGUACCACUAGGGUGGUACAGCCCUUGGUACUGUCCUGGUUUGGGUUGCUUGGACAUUUGGAGAAAUAAAACAGAUGGGAGAAUUAUGAUUUUGAACAAAUAAUUUACCAUGUUGCAAAUUUCUUUAUCAGUGAAAGUCCAGUAAUUUUCUACAUUGUUUAACUAAAAGUUGUGGGUUUUUAAAUGUAGGUGUUCAACUAAGCUAGCACUUGAGUGAAUUAAAAAAAAAAUUGGACUAAAUACUGUGGAGGGAGAAGUGCAAAAGGAUCAGAUAACAUGUUGUAGUGGAGCCUUCAGGCUGUCUGCCCAGCAACCUUUUUAUCCAUAGAUGUGGGCCUGGGUAACCUGUGUCACCUGGUGGCCUCCUUCCUGGCCAUAUUGGUGGUGGGAGUUGGGGACUAAGAAACUACACAUCAUUCUCUGCAUGUGGCCAAACUUACAACAUGGGAGUAGUGAAACGUCUGUGAGAAGUGAGAACUAGUGUAUUAGCCCAUUUUCAUGCUGCUAAUAAAGAUACCCAAGAUUGGAUAAUUUAUAAAGAAAAAGAGGUUUCAUGGACUCACAGUUCCACAUGGCUGGGGAGGCCUCAAAAUCAUGGUGGAAGCUAAGGAGGAGCAAGUCAUGUCUUACAUGGAUGGCAGCAGGCAAACAGAGCUUGCACAGGGAAACUCCCCCUUAUAAAACCAUCAGAUCUUGUAAGAGGUAUUCACUAUCAUGAGAACAGCAUGGAAAACACCUGCCCCCAUGAUUCAAUUACCUCCCAUGGGGUCCCUCCCACAACACGUGGGAAUUCAAGAUGAUAUUUGGGUGGGGACACAGCCAAACCAUAUCACUCUGCCCCUUGCCCCUCCUAAAUCUCAUGUCCUUACAUGUCAAAACCAAUCAUGCCUUCCCAACAGUCCCCCAAAGUCUUAACUCAUUUCAGCACUAACUCUUUUAAAAGUCUACAGUCCAAAGUCUCACCUGAGACAAGGCAAGUCCCUUCUGCCUAUGAGCCUGUAAAAUUGAGAGCAAGUUACUUGCUUGCUAGAUACAAUGGAGAUACAGGCAUUGGGUAAAUACAGCCAUUCCAAAUGGGAGAAAUUGGGUAAAACGAAGGAGCUACAGGCCCCAUGCAAGUCCAAAAUCCAGCAGGGCAGUUAAAUCUUAAAGCUCCAAAAUAAUCUGCUUUGACUCCUUAUCUCACAUCCAGGUUAUGCUGAUGCAAGAAAUGGGUUCCCAUGGUCUUGGGCAGCUCUGCCAGUGUGGCUUUGCAGGGUACAGCCUCCUUUCUGGCUGCUUUCAUGGGCUGGCAACGAGUGCCUGUGACUUUUUCAGGUGCACAGUGCAAGCUGUCAGUGGAUCUUCCAUUCUGGGGUCUGGAAGAUAGAGACCCUUUUCUCACAGCUCCACUAGGCAGCACCCUAGUGGGGACUCUGUGUGGGGGCUUCUACCUCACAUUUGCCUUCCACACUACCCUAGCAGAGGUUCUCCGUGAGGUUUGUCCCUGAAGCAAAACUUCUUCCUGGACAUCCAGGCAUUUCCAUACAUCCUCUGAAAUCUAGGUGGAGGUUCCCAAAUCCCAAUUCUUGACUUCUGUGCCCUCACAGGCUCAACACCACGUGAAAGCUGCCAAGGCUUGGAGCUUGCACCCUCUGAAGCCACAACCUGAGCUCUAGCUUGGCCCCUUGUAGUCAUGGCUGGAGUGGCUGGGACACAGGGCGCUAAGUCCUUAGACUGCACACAGCAGAGGGACACUGGGCCCAGCCAAUGAAACCAUUUUUCCCUCCUAGGCUUCCAGGCCUGUGAUGGGAGGGGCUACCUUGAAGACUACUGACAUUCGCUGGAGACAUUUUCCCCAUUGUCUUGGCAAUGAUUCACAUUCAGCUCCUCGUUACUUAUGCAAACUUCUGCAGCCAGCUUAAAUUUCUCCUCAGAAAAUGGAAUUUUCUUCCCUAUCACCUUGUCAGGCUGCAAAUUUCUGAACUUUUAUGCUCUGAUUUCUUUAUAAAACUGAAUGCCUUUAACAGCACCCAAGUCACCUCUUGAAUGCUUUGCUGCUUAGAAAUUUCUUCCACCAGAUUCCCUAAAUCAUCUCUCUCAAGUUCAAAGUUCCACAAAUCUCUAGGGUGGGGCAAAAUGCUGCCAGCCACUUUGCUAAAACAUAACAAGAGUCACCUUUGCUACAGUUCCCAACAAGUUCCUCAUCUCCAUUUGAGACCACCUUAGCCUGGACUUUAUUGUCCAUAUUGCUAUCUGCAUUUUGGGCAAAGCCAUUCAACAAGUCUCUAGGGCAUUCCAAACUUUCCCACAUUGUUCUGGCUUCUUUUGAGCCCUCCAAACUGUUCCAACCUCUGUCUGUUACCCAGUUCCAAAGUUGCUUCCCUGUUUUCGGGUAUCUUUUCAGCAGCAUCCCACUCUAUUGGUUCCAAUUUACUGUAUUAGUCUGUAUUCCUGCUGCUGCUAAAGACAUACCUGAGACUGGGAAGAAAAAGAGGUGAUAUGGUUUGGGUAUGUCCCCACCCAAAUCUCAUCUUGAAUUCCCACGUGUUGUAGGAGGAACUCAGUGGGAGGUAAUUGAAUCAUGGGGGCAUGUGCUAUUUUUCUGAUAGCAAAUAAGUCUCAUAAUAUCUGAGUGCUGUUCUUGUGAUAGCAAAUAAGUAUCAUAAUAUCUGAUGGUAUUAUAAGGAGGAAUUUCCUGCACAAGCUCUCUCUUUUUGUCUGCUGUCAUCCAUGUAGGAUUUGACUUGCUCCUCCUUGGCUUCCACCAUGAUUGUGAGGCCUCCCCAGGCAAGUAGAACUGUAAGUCCCACUAAACUUCUUUUUUUUCUGUAAAUUGUCCAGUCUCAGGUAUAUGUCUUUUAUCAUCAGCAUGAAAAUAGACUAAUACAAGAGGUUUAACAAACUCAUAGUUCCACAUGGCUGGGGAGGCCUCAUAAUCAUGGUGGAAGCAAAAGCUACUACUUACAUGGCAGUGGCAAGAGAGAAUGAGAGCCAAUAAGUUUCACAAGAUCUACUGGAGAAGACCAGGUCUGCCCGAUAUGAGGGCUUUCCCUCUGCCUGGCACAGUGCCUGGCAUAGAAUAGGUCUUCAGUGAAUAUCUGGAUGGAUAGUUGAGUGAACAGCAACAUGCAGAAAGUAUCAGAGGAAAGGCAUAGAGUCCUGCCCACAUUCCAGUCCCUGGUUCCAGUUCCUUCCCACCUUUCAGCUCCAGUGCCAACUUGAAGAGUUACAUAUAACUCAGGCCAUCCUAAGUUGGUUUCUGCUACUUGCAAAUUGUAGAGCAAUCACUGAUAAUAAUGGUCUCUAGCUUGGGGGAACUUGGAGUAUACUUUUAGACAACCUGAAAAAAAAUUAUGUAUUUGUGUAACUGAUUCCUUCCUCUUUACAUGUGUGUAUUUAUAUAUGAAUGUGUGUGUAGGUACAUGUAUAUAAUUAUAUGAUAUUAUUUUUGGAUAUAUACAUAUGUAUAUAAAAAUGCAUAUAUAAAAAUGAAUUGGGCAAUUUAAUCAAUGUUCCUGAGCUCCCUUUUUACCUCUAAAAUGAAAGGAUGAGAUUCAAUGAUCUAAAAUUUUAAAAGUACACGCUUUCCAGGAAUUAUGUAAUUGCUUUGUUAGAAAGUCACCAGAAGGUAUACUGUUGCUAGAAAAGAAUGCCCAGGGAAGGCACUUUGGGAAUUCACGUACAUGCUAUGUUUUGUCAUUGCUGGAAAUAGUUUGGCAGCGCCUCCAGGAAGUACAUUCACAGGUAUUCACAUAUUCUCCAUGGAGGCAGAUGUCCAGUCUAAUGACUGUGAUGACUGAGGGUGCUGGUAAUGACAGUUCAGACAGAAAAGCAAAAUUUAGUUAAGAAACAGCAGUAAGAGUUUUCACUGUGAACUGGCCAUGAAGACAGACCCACAAGGAGUAUCAUUCACUGUCACUAUGGAUAGAACAUUGGUGAGGAUGACAUACCAAACCUUUCUGAAGCAUCAGAAAGGUAGAUAACCUGCAGUUGCAGUCCCCAAACUUGGCUGCCCUCUUUUUGGCUGGGACCUCAGUACUCUUCUCACAUCAAGCAUGGGCAUGUACCAGGUGUUCAAUUAGUACUGAGUGGUCAGUUAAGCCAAACUGAUUAUAACAGUCAUCAGUGUUUGAAUCAGGUGCUUUAUGUAUAUUUUCUUACUUCACACAGUUAACAAUACUCUUUUUAGUUUCUUUGUAAAAAUUAGGAAAGUGAGACCUAGACACCUUAUGGAACUUGCCCCAAAUCACACUGUUAAAUGGCACAGGAGGUCAACCCAGGUUGUUUGACUCCAAAGCCCAUGUGCUAUCCUACCUCUCUCUUCUCAGCCAUAAUUAGAGGCAAAUGAGAAUAGCACAAAGCAUUUUUCCUUAUAUGUAUUUUAACUUACAACAACCCUCCAUAAACUAUUAUCCAUUGGAACCACAAUAUUCUUGUGAAUAACAUCAUCUGCCUGGAAAAUAAGGUAAUAGGAUUAUAAAUCUUUCAAAAAAAUGUACCUAAGUAUUUUCACAAUGUGGAAAAUACAUGUGGUACUCUGUAUUUUCAGAGACAUCUGAAAGGGCAGUGCAUCUUCUCUGCACUGUUCGCAUGCUCUCUUAGCUGUUCGUGUGGGUUUCACUGGCAUGCAUCAUUGCUCCCCCUUCUCCUGUAUGCCUAAGGUAGGGCACUUCUGCCACCCACUGAAGUUUGGUUCUAAAAAGGUAACAGCUUAAAGGGAAUAGCAGAGGGGUUAGUUAUUUUUUUCAAAUGAGUGUGGAGAAAAAGCAACCGAGCAGGCUCUUCCCAGAUGCCUGUUUCUAGUCAGCAGGCUGCUUGAAUCCCCUGGUUGAACACAUUUCAGUCAUCCUGUGCCUAAGGAGAAAAACACCACUCCUGGCUCUCGUCGCUAUGGCAACUGAUGCUCAGCAGGCAGUUGCAGUUUCAUUUAACAAAACUGGCUUUUAGAACUUGAGGGGAAACUAUGCUUUCAUAGAAGAGAAAAGGGAAGAUGAGUGGUUUAAUUAAUGUGUCUCAAUUUAACAUGAAGAUACAGGUCACUUCCACUGUUUGACCAUACAGCAUCUAGCUCCGCUUUAUAUCUGUAUCAGAUCUAAAGCUUAAAAGGAUGGGAUAUUUCUCUCAUCAUAUGUGAAGUGUACAGUGGGCAGAGGAGGAGAAGCAGGGGUUGUGUUAGACCCUUUGCGAAAGGUUUUUCACUUUAUAAAAAUCAUCUCGGCUUGAGAGUGUAUAGAAGAAUUGCUUUCUCUUCUCUCAUCCACAAAGGAGGCCUGAGAGAUGGGUUGCUAGGCAACCUCACACCGAAGACAGGGGCGCUGUGGAAUUAACAUAGCUGACCUCCCCAUCAGCUCUGCAGCUCUGCUAUUCAAAACGAUUUUAUGAGACUGUAGGACUCAAGAAAAUAGAAAUAAAAUAUAAAUACAAAAAUAAAGAAUAGAGGAUAUAAAUCUAACUUUUUCAAGUGAAGAUUCAAUGAGAAAGGGUAGCAGUUGGAAACGGCGGGUUGAGGGGAAAAAACAGUAUUAGUUGCUAUAAACCAGAAACUUGUAUUUUGAAUAAUAUAGGAAGAAAAUUUUCCUAUUUCUUUAGAAAUGUUUAUGGCUGACAGUUAACCUAUCACAGUAAAAGUGCUGAAAAUACUUGAGGUCAAACAGAAAAAUCAGUUUAUAAUAAUGUAGAUCUACAACAUACUUUUAACAAAAAGCUCAACUCUCAAUCCUUACCAUGUGAUGGUCUGUUUAAGCUCCAGAGUCCCUUACUCUCCUUCCUGCCACUAUAUCAUCGAUAUGGUUGGCGUGGGAAGGGAUGGCAUUUAUUCUGCAAGUAGAUGAAUAUUUGGAAGGAAAUUGCAAAGCUGAUCCAUGAAACAGAGCACACACUCUUAUCAGCAAUAAAUAAUUUAGGUGUUUUUUUUUUUUUUUUUUUUUUUUUUAAGACAAGUUUUGCUCUUGUCGCCCAGGCUGGAGAGCAAUGGCGCGAUCUUGGCUCAUUGCAACCUCCACCUCCCGGAUUCAAGCAAUGAUUCUCCUGCCUCAGCCUCCUGAGUAGCUGGGAUUACAGGUGCCCACCAUCACACCAAGCUAAUUUUUGUAUUUUUAGUAGAGAUGGGGUUUUGCCAUGUUGGCCAGUCUGCUCUCAAACUCCUGACCUCAGAUGAUCCACCUGCCUCGGCCUCCCAAAGUGCUGGGAUUACAGGUGUGAACCAUUGUGCCUGGCCUAGUUUGAUUUUUAAAAUACGUCAUACUACUGGAAAAUGGUUCUGGUAACAUUUUAGGAUAGUUUGUUGAAUUUAUCAACAAUAAAUUAAAAAUCGACCAAAGUUGGUGGCAUUGUGGGAGGUGGGAGACUGAAAACAAAUUCUGAACUGGUUUUUGUAGAUUUUGUAGACUUGUUUUUGUUAUAAACGUUUGGGUGAAGCAAUUCUGAAACCAUUUUAGGUAGAUUAUAAGGUUGAAGAAAUGGACAAAUAGGUUGAAGUUGUUAGGAUCCAGGACCACACUCUGGAAAAGGGUCAUACAAAUAAGAACUAGAUGUCAGUGUAUGUGAGACUGUGUGUAUGUACAGUAUUCGUGCAAACACCUGUAUGUCUAUAUGUGUGUCUAUGAGUAUAUGUCUGUAUAUGCAUAUGUAUGUAGGCAUGCAUAUGUUUUCCAUCUUCUGAAAGGAUCUAGAAGCAAUUACACCCUAGUAGCAACGAGCAGACUUAGCACUUGGAUCCUCAUCUCUAACACCAUUCCCAAUAAAAGGAACCAGGGCUCCUCAGAGAAAUGUGUGAUUCCAAGGUUGAAGCAGGGAAAUGAGAAGUUGAGCCUCAGACACCUUGUUAUGAUAGAAAGUAAGAAAGUGCUCAAAAAAAAGAAAAAUGAACAAUGAGAGCAUGUCACAAGGACACAGGAACCAGCCUGAAGAGGCUUCUGCUGGACAAAUCUGAAAUAAUUUGAGCACCAAAAUAAUUAAAGACAUUAAUGAAUGAUGAAAUAUUGAAAAAUAGAAUUUCACAAGACUGUAUGAUGUUAAAUAUUUUUAACAACAAAAAGCUCAAAUCUGAAUCCUCGCCAUGUGCUAGUUUGUUUAAGCUCCAGAGUCCCCUACUCUCCUUCUAUAUUAAACAAUGGAUAAAAUUAUUUUAUCCAGGAGGAAAAAAAAUAAAGCUCAACUCUCAGUCCUCACUAUGUGAUAGUUUGUUUAAGCUCCAGAGUCCCCUACUCUCCUAUAUUAAAUAAUGGAUAAAAAUGAAAAGCAAAAACAAUAAAUAAGCAAAGGCGGGGCUCCUGCUUAUGGUAAAACGCUAAGUACUAACUGCUGGGUACAUGUGGAGCCUUUAUUACCCUCACAGUAAAGAUGGGACUAGGCAAGAAUCAUGAUCAAUCCAGUGGAAAGUUUUGAAGAGGAGCACGAUAUUUGAUCUACGAGUGUCUCCUCACAGAUUGCUUAUUAGUUGCAAGAAAAAAUAUAACUAUGUAGUGGAGAAAUUUGAAGGAGUAAUCAAAAUUAAUUCACAAGUGAGGGCAGAUAAAUAUGUGUGCUUCCAUAUUUGAUACCCUGAGGACAUACUACUUAUAUAGCAUUAUGGCCAGGGAUGUUUAGCUCAAAUUGAAUCAUGAUGAAAUAUCAGACAAACCCUAAAUGAAGAACAUUCUACUACAAAAAAAAGAGGGUGAGGGACAUUUUCUUCAAAAAAUGUCUAUAUUGUAAAAGAGAGAAAGGCUGUGGAUAUGCUCCAGAUUAAGCAACAAUAAAGAGACAAGACAAGUAAAUACGAUAUCUGAUUCCAGAGUGGAUCCUGACUGGAGGAAAAAAAGGACUUCAUUGGAUCAAUUGAUGGUAAAUGAUGUGGAUUAAAGUAUGGAAUCCAUGUUAAAUUUACUGAAGUUGAUAACUACAGUUUGAUUAUAUAGGAGUGUAUCCAUGUUCUUAGGAAAUACAGACCACUGAAGUACUUAGGGGUACAGGGAUGUGUACGAUGCUUGUGACUUUCAGAAUCUUCAGAAAAAAAAUCAUAUGUAUAUAUGUGUGUAUACAUACGUGUCAGUGUAAAUGUAUACAUAAAAUUCGUAUACUCACACAGAAAGCACAAAUGAUAAAGCAAAUGGUUUAAAAUAUUAGGAAUAUUUUAAUGUUUACCUUAAUAUAUAUGGUAUUUGCAAUAUUAUUUAUGCAACUUUCUGUACAUUUAAUUUUUUUCCAAAUAAAAAAUUAAAAAGUUGUUUCCUUUUUGUAGAAACAAAAUCAUUCUUAUUGAAACUUGAAUAAUGAAUAUUGGGCAUUUUAAAAAAUCUACAAAAACAACCACCCAGCACAUACAUUUUAUAAAAGGCAGUAGAUUCAUGUGUUUAACACAAGUAAGUGACAUCAGGAUCUAGACAUGUCGUUUGUCCCGUUUCCUCACCUUGACUCUUCACAUGGUACGUAUUCAAUCAUUUUAACUUUGCCCUUGCGAUUUCUCAAUAUCCUGCACUUGCACCCACCCAGAGUCCCCCUCAAUCUAUCCUCUGCAAUUUGUAACUUAAGUCAAUGUGAAAAAUUGGACAAAAAAAUUCUUCAGGAAACUAUGUAAGGGAGGAGUUUUUAUGUAUUUACUAGAGCAACUUCACAUAUUAAACUUAAACUGUAUGAAAAGAGCAUUUUUGUAACUGCUUAGCGUUUUAGUGCAUUCUUUUUCCUCAAAGUUCUUAAGCUUACUGUGUUUUUCAAAGAAAGUUUAAUCUGUAACUGUGAAAAAGGACCUAUUGCCCUGACCCGAAAUAAGUGAGGAUACUACUGAACAUUUUGCAGCUUUGUCCUCUGUGUUUCAUGUGGUUUUUUAAGGUUCUUACAUCAUUUACCCAUUAAAAAUAAAACUAGGCUGCUUUUGGUGAAAAUGGAAAUAGUAAUUACCUUCUUAAAAUACCCCCUUAAAAAAAAAACAGGAUUUCUUUUACAUUGCCAAAAGAAUUUGUUUGAAGGAAGAUAAAUGUAACAUACAUACUAUUUGAAAGCAGCCUGGUUUAAGGGUUGCCAUCGAGUCUCAUGUUAUACCACUCGGAAGUAAGACAUUUAGAACCUGCUCAUUACUCCGCAUCCCUCAUUUAUGGGAUCAGAUUGCUUUUAUGGGCAUUGUGCCAGAUUCAUUGAUGUGCACUUAAGGCAGAUUGCAGAGUGAAACGUUUUUCUAGAAAACAUCUGGUUCUUAAGAGGAGCAUUAGAAGGAGGGUAGCACAUUUUUGAUCAUAACUGGGAUUUAUCAUGUUACAGUAACUCCCCUCUAAUCUGGCAGGCAGAAUUCCAACAACCACAACCAGGAACCUGGAAAUAAGUGAAAAAUACCUCAGAGUCCAAAGAAAACAGAGGUCCAAGAUCCUGUGCAUAUGAAGGAGUGGUAUUGCCCUUAGCUCAAAGACUAUUUUAUUCAUUAUAAAACUACUGGAGCCAAUUAGCAUAAGGGCUCCUGAAGCCGCCUUUAUAUCAAGUGAGUCUUUCUGCAGUUCAUUCGUUCCUUCACUCCCCUUGCAAAAAUUGUGCACCCCCUGGAUGCCACCAUUUUUCUACUCAGGUUUUCCCCUCCUCUCUUUCUUGUACCUUCAAUAUUUACUGGCUUUUUUUUUUCUCCAUAGAUGCCCAAGUAGCUCUUACCUUAAAAGACAGACUUCUCACACCCUUAUGGACACAUCACUCUUCACCCUCAGCCUUAUUUCUAAAAACUUUUCUAUACUGACUCUAGUUCCUCUCCUUCCAUUCGCAGGGCUUCCAAUAGCCUAUGAGAAAGUUGUAUUCAAAUUAGAAAAGGGAGUCCUCCUGCAUGGAGAUGCAGUUGCAGAGUGGUAAGACUUGGAGGAUUUCUGCCUCCAUCUCCUGUGCCCUUGGCUGGGUCACUCUGUGCAGUGCACACACUGCACGACCACACGUGGAGGCUCUGCAGGAUUUCAGAUAUUUCCACUGGUUUUUAAUUUAUUAUAUUUGGUAGAAUCAUCAUUAAAACUCUGUUAAUGGAAUAAUGGACUAAAAUUACAGAGGACUGGGUUUGCUCUCAAUCCUUUAUGUAAUUGCAGGACUAUGCUCUUACACAUCCCCUCUGGAACUCUUACGUUCUAGUACCACUUCUGUUACCACUCCUACUACUACUUUCUGGCUUUUAUUUCCAUCUUUCACUUCCUGAAUCUCUAUCGCUGGCCAUCGAAGUAAUAUAGAUUGCAUUUUGCAUUAACAAUUAAUAGUAAAGUGUGGUAUUGAGAGUUGAAAUGUCAGCUUUUGUUUAGCUUCUUCUCUUCGUCUGUGUUCAGAAAAAUAACUUUAAACAGCAAAAAGCAAGUUUGAGAAGGCUAUUCUCUAAAAAACAACAAAAAACUUUUUUUAUUGUAGAAUAUAUGUUAAUUCCAGUUAACUUUUACAAUGGUAAAUAAAUAUUUCAUCACUCAGAUAUAACUAUGUUAACAACUGGGUUUCAUCUAGUUUUGUGUAUUCUUAUAUGCAUCUAUAGUUUUGGCAAAUGGAUAUAUUAUUAUUUGAACAGUUACAUUUUCCUCUUUAUUCACUUAUUUUGUGAGCAUUUUAGCAGUUAAAAUCUUUCAAAAAUUUUUUUUUUCUUUUUUUUUUUUUUUUUUAGACGGAAUCUCACUGUUGCCCAGGCUGGAGUGCAGUGGCGUGAUCUCGGUUCACUGCAACCUCCACCUGCCAGGUUCAAGCAAUUCUCCUGCCUCAGCCUCCCGAGUAGCUGGCACUACAGGUGCACACCACCAUGUCCAGCUAAUUUUUUGUAUUUUAGUAGAGACGAGGAUCCCCGUGUUGCCCAGGCUGGUUGCGAACUCCUGAGCUCAGGCAAUCUGCCUGCCUCGGCCUCCCAAAGUGUUGGGAUUAUAGGCAUGAGCCAAAAAAAUUAAAUACAUAAAUAAAUCCUUGAAAUAGUUUUCAAUUACUACCUACUACUAUAUUAUUGGUCAAAUCUUACAUAUGUGACAACCUCAUGUUGGAUGUUUUGAUAACCAAAAGCAGCAAAAAAUUCAGUUACAAUUUUUAAAAUUGGAAACCUUUGAGAAAUUUCGGAAUAUUUCCUGUGAUAAAUUUCUCUACGUGGGAUCACUUGGUUAAACGAGAGACUCUUAUUUUGUGCUGUUUUUAGAGAACAGCCUUCUCGAACUUGCUUUUUGCUGUUUAUAAGUUAUUCCCUUCAGGAAGGCUGUGCUACACUUCGAUGAGCAGCGGUCUGAAUGCGGUGGUUUCCUUGCACCUUUGCCAACCUUGCUUCUAAAAAAAUCUGUCAGCAUGAACGCUGUUGUAUGAUCCUAUUUUAAAGCUAUUCACUUGUCAUCUCCAGUCGCAAACUAGGAUAGCUCCUGUCAGAUUCUUAAUUGGUCUUUUGGUUUCCAUAGUGAUUCCAUUAUCUACUUCUACUCUAGUGCAAAGUUCAACUUGCUUCCUCAGCUGUCCAUGCAUAAAAGCCUUCCAGAUUUGCUCUAGGUUCUUGACUUCUGGGGAAGAAAGAUAUUUCCUCUUGGACCCAGUUCACCAUACUAGCUGAAUUAAGGUCAAAAGUACAUUAAACUUACAACUGUGUCCUUACCAUGACGGGGGGCAGGUGUCCAGAUCCCAGAUCUACAGAAAAUUCUUUCAUUUCUGUUGUGUCCCCCUGCUUCCAUCCUGAGUGUACGUCCCCAAACUUUCAUUUAACAUGUCAUGUUCAUUAGUUCCUUCAAAUACUAGUUCAGAGCAGUCUGGAAUCAAGACUGCCUAGUUUGAGCUCCAACUGUCACAGAUCUUGGGCUUGUCACAUAAGGCAAUCAAAUCCUUAAAGAAGAAAAAACAUCAGAGGUAGUAAAUGCUGCAUAGAGUUUAAAAAGGAUAAUAUGAUACAGAAUCACAGGAUGGCUACUUGAGAUUGUGGGCCUGGACAUGAACACGGCCUCUUUGAGGAGGUGGUGAUAAAGUGAUACCUGAUGGAAAGGAGCAAACCUGGAGAAGGAAGCUCAGAGACAGGAAGCGGGGGUGAAGGGAGGGACAGGAGGAAGAGAAUUCUCCACUGAGGAGAGUAGGGCAAAAGCAAGCUCCAGGUGGAUAAAAUGAGAUGCUGCAUGUGGAGUCUAGCAUAAUGGUUGGUGGGUAGAGAGAGAGGAAAAGAGGGAAGUAGUUGAACAAAAAUUAGAAGGGAAGGAAGGAGGGAAGGUGUGAAUGAAUGAGAAUCUCAAAUCCUGUAGGGCUGAGCUCUCUAGGGGACUUUACUCAUCCUUUUAAUCUUGCUUUGAACUGCAUUUUCUCUUCUCAGUUGCAAUUACUACUUUGCCCUGUUCUGCUUAUAAGAGGAGCUACUAUUAAGAGCCUAGUGAGUCAGAUUCAUUAUAGGUUUUAUAUAAGUUCCCUUUAAUCCUUACAACCUGAGGCAGGUUAUUAUCCUUAUAUGCUUGUUUAUGGGUGAGAAAACUGAGGCUGAGAGUGUGUAACUUGGAGAAAGAUGAAACAUCUAGGUAAUGGUAGAGCCAAAACUUAAAUCCAGGCUGGUCUGAUUUCAGAUCCAUGCUCUUGACUGCUACACUAUAGUGCUCCUCAAUUAGACUGCUCUUUAAUAGUUUCUACAUUUGUAACAGCUGUUCAUUCCACUCAGUCCAUCUUGUUCUUCAUUAUUUAGCUAUCUCUGUGAUACACCAGUUUCUUCUGCUAGCCAGAUGUAGAAAAGAUCACUUCUUCUUACAGAAACAUUAUCUCUUAGUUAUAGAAGGCAUCUUAAUAUAAUAAAUAAGGCAGAGGCUUUGAAGUUGACUGGGCCAGUAUGGAAUUCAGGUUCUGACACUUUUCUCUGUGACCCUGGGCAAAUCAUUUAGUCCAGGUCUCACCUUUCUUAUCUGAAAAGUGGGAAUAUUAUUUCUCUUAAUAGCUGACUGAAAAUUAAAAGACAUAAAGUAAGGAAAGUCCCUAAAAUAGCAUCUAACAAAUGGCAGGUGCAAAAUAAAUGGCUGCUUAAGAAACAAAAACAAAACCUUCCUCUCCUCUUACAGAUAGGAAAACUGAUUUGGAAAUGUCUUGCUGAGAGAACAGAUGCUCUAUUUCUCUAUCCAAUUUCCAUGAUUCCAGCAUCCCAUGACACAAGUUCACUGGAACUACUAAAGGCAUUCUGUUAAUGUGAUUUCUGCCUGAGUCAGCUCCGGCUGCAAUAAUAAAAUAUCAUAAACUGGUGGGCUUAUCAACAAAAGAAAUCUGUUUCUCACAGUUCUGGAGGCUGGAAGUCUGAGAUCACGGUUCCAGCACCACCAGGUUCUGGUGAGGACCCUCUUUUGGGUUGCAAAUAGUUGACUUCUUAUUUUGUCCUCACAUGGUAGAAAGAUAGCUAGAGAACUCUCUGGGAUCCUCUUUUUAAGGGCACUAAUCGCACUCGCAAGGGCUUCAGCCUUAUGACCUAAUUAUUUCCUAAAGCUUCACUUCCCAAUACUAUCACAUUAAAGACUAGGAUGUCAACAUACGAAGUUUGGGGUACACAAACAUUCAGUCCAUAGCAUUGUCCUUAAAAAUGUCCACUCAGGCUGAAAGAUAUUUCUCCACCUGAAUUAAAGAAAAAGAGGUAAUGUUUCACGAUUCCAGAUUUGUAAAACAGGGAUAAUAAUGCCGGCAUUUUAGGUUUGUGAAGAUCAAAUGUAAGGAAUAUGAAAGUAUUUUAACAUAUAUGAAGUGACUUAUAAAUUCUAUUAUUAAACAUUCUAUGAAAUGCCAUAAAUAAAAGCUAGGUGACAAGGCGGCCAGAUUACUUGAGGCCAGAAGUUCGAGACCAGCCUAGCCAACAUGGCGAAACCCCAUCUCUACUGCAGAUACAAAAAUUAGCCAGGCGUGGUGGCGUGUGCCUUUAGUCCCAGCUACUCAAGAAGCUGACGCAGGAGAAUUGCUUGAACCCAGGAGGUAGAGGUUGCAGUGGGCCAAGAUCGCACCACUGCACUCCAGCCUGGGCUACAGAGUAAGACUCUGUCUCAAAGAACAACAACAACAAAAAACCCCACAAAAAACUGUUUUGCUAAGUGAAAAGAAGAAUAAUUGGAAUUUUAUAACGUAAUUGAAAUUAAAGGGAUUUUGAAAAAUGGGAGAAAUGAUCAGAAACAAGAGAAUGGAGUUCAAAACAAACACAGGACAUUUAAUAAAAAGCAGCAAAUGACUUAUAAAUACUGUUUAUUGUAAAUGCAAAUAAAAUUGAGGACUGUGUUUACUACAAUUUUAAGGAAAAUUGAAAAAGAUGUAGAUGAGAAAUUAAAAAUAAUGCUAAGGAUUAAGUUUAGAUUAGGUUAAAUUUAGUGUAAGAGAGUGAAAGCUUCUAUGCCAGGGUGCUGUUAAACAGAGCUGGGUAAACCGUUGCCUUCACAUGGUGUGCUUUGUGACUCCCUGCUGACCAAAAGUAUUUGGUCACCCUUUACCAUCAAAUGUUACAGUGUCUGAAAUUAUACCUGCAGACCAAGUCUUCUAGGCUAAGGUUAAAUAUCCCUAAUAAGGGACCUAUUUAAAUUGAGGUUUCAGGACCUGAUUAUUUCUUAAGACCACAAUGGCCUUGAAAGCAGGAAGAAUGAGCUCAAGAAAGGAAAGGGAAACACACACUCUACCCUUUUCUAAAAAAGAUUUUUCAAUGAAAGUUACAUUUUCUGUACUAUACCACCACCCAUUAACAUUACAGAAUGCAGGGGGAGCUUACCCUGAUUUGCAAAACUUACCACAUCUUUUGAGUUCCAAGAGGAAUAUAAAUCAUCUAUUUAUAAAACCUUUAUUAAAAUAUAUAUUUAAAAUAUAUAUAUUGUCUUUUUCAUGAGUUAUUUACAGGGAGAUUUAUUCCAAUUUUUGAAACAACACAGAAUACAACAAAAACAGGCUGGGUGCGGUGGCUCAUGCCUGUAAUCCCAGCACUUUGGGAGGCCGAGGCAGGUGGAUCACAAGGUCAAGAGAUCAAGCCCCUCCUGGCUAACACGGUGAAAUCCCAUCUCUACUAAAAAUACAAAAAAUUAGCCGGGUGUGAUGGCACAUGCCUUUAGUCCCAGCUACUCGGGAGGCUGAAGCAGGAGAAUCGCGUAAACCCAGGAGGCGGAGGUUGCAGUGAGCCAAGAUCGUGCCACUGCACUCCAGCCUGGGCGGCAGAUCAAGGCUCUGUCUUUAAAAAUAAAUAAAUAAAUAAAAGAAUAUAACAAAAACACUUUAAAAGAGAACAAUGCAUUUUAAAUAUAUUUCCUGAAAUAAUAUUCCUUAGAAAAGAUACAGGGUAUUUAAUUACCUAGAUUUUAACAAAAUAUUCUUUAUAGAAAUAAUUAUAGUCUUUACCACAGAGUCACCAAAUCUGUACCCAAUCAAAACAGAGUCAAAUAGACCAGCUCUCAUUCAACUCCAUUAGGAAACACCAAUUUCACAUAGUACUUCUCUUGAUGUACAGCAGCAACCUCUGCUGGAGAAAAAAGGGUAUACUUCUAAUAACAAAGCACUGAGCUCAAACCUGUUUUGAACAGGAAGAACUGAAAGUUAGAUUUCUUUCAUUUCCUGUUAAACCAACACCUAAGUUAAAAUUAUUUUCAAGGUCUUAAAGACGCACGGGCCUUAUCAAGUAUAUCCUUUCUGAUUUUUGGAUAAGUUGGAUGUGCUUCAAGAACCUGCAAAACAAAUAAAGAACCCAUAAAAACUUGUAACUAAUAAUCAAAAACUACGGAGUUACAAAACUUAUAAGAAAUGAGCAUUACAGUUAAGAUUUCCUUGUACUAAUACUACAACAGCUAUAACACUUUUUAAUGGUGGCAUUUUAAAUGUAACAUGAUGACUCCUUUAUAUUAAUGGUAGUUAGAUGAGAACAAUAGAAUGUAAAUAUCAAAUGCAGAAAAUAUAACAAACAACUGCUUACCUAAUAGAUGAAUUGUAUAAAACAAUUAUGUAUCAAUGAUUUAAAAUAUUUUUGUAAUUUAGCUUUUCAUUCAUAAUAUCUGAUAAACCCUUAGAGAGUGACUUUUAUACAGCAGCACACAUUAGCUUUACCUGAAAUGAUCUUGAGACAUACGUAUUUCUAGUUCUACUGAGUCUAAGAGUGGGGAGAUGCUAGUUUUUUUUUUUAACUCCAAAAAUGAUCCUAAUAUAUAGCCUUACAUUAACACACAACCCUAACCUGACUGAAAUACUGCUUUACAGAGACUCAGUAAUCAACAGCAAUUACUAAGGCCAAGUAUUUACUGUAAUGAUGCUAACAGAUUGCUGUGUGGGAUAAGGGGCAUUACAAAAUUCUUUUCUAAUGAACUUUUCUUGGAGGUCCUUACAAUGUUUAAUAGAAUGUCUUAUAUGGAAUAUCAAUGGGACAAUGUAUAUAUAAAGAGACUCUACAAAUUCUAAAACUGUAAUUUAAAUAUUUGUCAUUUUAGUAGGUGAUCAUUUACUAGGGGAUGAAUUACAGAAUGCAAUUGAAUGACUUCUAAUAGAAUUCCUUUUUAUCUCUAAUUGAUCAGUCUGAAUUCUCUAAUAACCAGAUUCAGACACAUUCACAAGAACUUCUAAUCAGAAUAAUGAUCUGGAGAAUCUAUACUGUCUUCAAAUAUCUUCUAACUUAAAGACUACAUUUUAUUUAACAUGUUUCUCCCACUGGUCUUUGUCUUUUUUUUUUUUUAAAGUAAAAGUCUCUUUUACUCCACCUCUUUAAUCCUACUCCUUUCCAUACAUGUAAAUAUUUUAUGGUUUAUUGUUUAAUAUGUACUCUUCAGUGGUCUUUGUCUUUAAAUUGACAUAAACAUUUUAUUAUUUGAUCUCAAAGUAAAAACAUGUUUUUUAUUUAGGUGAACAUCAUUUUCUAAAUUUCGAACACUGAUAAUCUCCCUAAACAUACUGAUAAAUCAUUUAACUAAAAUAAUGUAUCCUCUAUUUCUAUUCACAUACAUCUGGAGAUUUAAAAAAGUAGGAAAUUGUGCAUCUGAAAAAUUUUAAGAAAUCUAAAUUUAAGUGUUUACCUGGUGACAUAUGUCAAUUGAAUCCACAUAUCUUUUUGCUUUUAAGUAAUUAAAUGCCAGUUUGUAUCCUGUUAAGACAAAAACCAUAAAACAGAAUGAUGGAGUACACUGCUACUAUUACUUUUCCUUGCCUCCUCCUCUCUUUGCUUACUCACUAGAGAAUGGUAAGGGAGGCUGGUGAAUGAACAACCAAACUACGCUAUACAGAGAAGUUGUGUGAUAAUAGAAGACAGAGUGACACAAAAGAAGUGUAAGAAGAAAAGAAAGUGGAGUUGGAAAAAAGGACCACAGUGAAUACAUUGAUAGGUUAGAAAGCUGCCAUCCCACAAGUGUGGUUUCUAUAACUUACUAGAAAAGUCUCAUUUAUUUCAGGUUAUAGUAAAAACUCAUCAUAGGGCAGUAAAUGACAACACAGCCAUUCAUUUAUACAGUACAGAUUUAUUUAGCACUUACACAGGCAAACUGAUGCCUACAGUUAUGAGGUUUGCAUUCUAUUAGGAGAAAAAGUACAUUUUAAAAUAAUUGCAUGAGUAAAUAAUUUCAAAACUGAGAUAAAUGUUAUGAAAGAAAGAUCCAGGCCAAGUGAGUUACCAUAAAGAACCUGAAGGGUAUCAAGAGAUGUCUGAAAUCUGAAGAAUGAGGCAUAAACUAGGCUAGGGUGGGAAUCAAGGACACUCUCAGACAGAGGAAACUGCAUGGAUUAAGGCCAGUGGUAGGACACACAGGGAGUUAAUGAACUUGGAGUAUGGUGAGAAGACAGAGCACAUAGGAGAGCGACACAGAGGAAGGCAGAUUAGUCAUCAAUGACUGGUAAGAAUUAUCACAAUUACUGAUAGUGAAAUGCCACACUUCUACUAUCAACAAUUAGAAGAAUAUUUAACACAUUCCUCUUAAUGGAUGUUGUUCUCUUGUAACAUGCUAUAAAAAUGAGAAAACUAAGAAGACAAGAAAAGUAACAGCAGCUGUGCACGCAGUAAACAAGAUAUAAUGCAAUGUAAAAUAAUGUGUAAUAAAAAAUAUCUCACUCUACCUCUUAAAAAUAUGAAAUAAGAAGUGUAAAUAGUGCUCUUCAGCUCUAAUAAAAGUACCAAAACAAAUGUUUAAAAUUUUAAAUGUUUGAAAAGAAUUACUGGCUAACAUUAUCAGAUGGUAGUAAAAAGAAAGAAAUAGAAAUGAUCUAAAAUUCACACUAUUUUAUAUAUAGUCAGGCACUGCAUGAUGAUGUUUCAUUAACAACAGACCACAUACAUGAUGGUGGUCCCAAAGAUUUUUAUACUGUAUUUUUGCUGUACCUUUUCUAUGUUUACAUACACACAUUGCUUAUAGCAUUCAUGACAGUAACAUGCUGUACAGGUAUGUAGCCUAGGAGCAAUAGGCUAUACCAGAUAGCCCAGGUGUGUAGUAGGAUCUACCACCUAGGUUUGUGUAAGUAUACUCUAAGAUGUUCACACAAUGAUGAAAUUGUCUAAUGAUGCAUAUCUCAGAAGAUUUCCAUUGUUAAGCGACACAUGACUGCAUAUAUAUAUGUGUGUAUGUUUAUAUAUGUGUGUGUAUAUAUAUGUAUGUCUAUAUAGGUGUGUAUAUAUAUAUCUCUACACACACACACAUGCACACAGGCACACAUGGGCAGGGCCUAUGGCAGAAUCUCACAUCUCAGAUUUUAGACAAAAAUAAGAAGUUUCAGAGAGGUAAACUUAAUGUCAUUACCAACAAAUUCUAAAAUGAACUAAAAGGGUUUGUGACAUUCAAAAAGUAAAGCAAUUUUUAAGAUGUCAUGCCAAACAUACUUACAUGGGAACUAGUCAAGAUUUCAGUUUUGGUUUGUGGUUUCUUGACUAGCUUUGGGAUCUUACGCAAGUGGCUUGAGCUGUCAUUUUCAGGUUUCCUCAUCGCUAAAACAGGAAUAACAACUCCUCCCUCUAACUCUUAGUAUAAUUUUAAAAAUCAUAUAAAAUACUUGUGAAAUGGUUUUUAAAACCUUAGAAUACCACAAAAUAUUAGCAUUUUUUAAUGUAAGCAUUCACUAUAUUAUAAUCACAGAAUUUUAACACUGGAAGAAACUUGAUACAUGACCUGGUACAAAAAUUUCAGAGGAAAUAAAGACCUAAGAAGGGGAAAGAAAAUGUGCACUGCAGCUGCACUACACCUGCCAAACUUAUUAGAACUCAACUAUAUGCAAUCAGGAGAGACAGCGAGAGAAUGCAAACAUUCUACACAGUCUAAUGACUGUCCUAUAACCUGAGAAUAGGUAUGAAGGGUGAAACAUGAGUAGUUUCUUCUCUCAUUGGAUCUCAGUUGUUCCUAGUGUGUUUCUUUUUUUCCUCGUAUAUAUUUAAGAUAUACAAAAUGAUGUCGGUGUGUAGAUGUGGGUGUGUAGAUAUAUGUGUGUGUGUGUAUAUAUAUUUAUUUAUAAAUGAUUACUGCAGUCAAGCAAAUUAUCCAUUCAUCAUUCAUCCUGGUGCCUCUUAUAGUGACAAUAUUCAACCCUGAAUUCUAUGGAAAGAGCAUGAGCACGAUUUUUUUUUUUUUUUUUUUGAGACAGAGUCUCACUCCGUCAACCAGGCUGCAGUGCAGUGGUGUGAUCUCGGCUCACUGCAACCUCCACCUCUCGGGUUCAAGCAAUUCUCCUGCCUCAGCCUCCUGAGUUGCUGGGAUUACAGGCGCCCGCCACCAUGCCCGGCUAAUUUUUGUAUUUUUAGUAGAGACGGAGUUUCACCAUGUUGGCCAGGCUAGUUUCGAACUCCUGACCUCAGGUGAUUUGCCCACCUCGGCCUCCCAAAGUGUUGGGAUUACAGGUGUGAGCCACUGCGCCUGGCCAUGAGCAUGAUUUUAAGGGUUUUCUGACAACUGAAAAAGUGAAAUACAUUGUUUAUUUGGCCAGGCACAUUGAGGGUGUUAGAUGCAAUGACAAUCUUAAGGAUGAAAUUGAGGAAUUAAUGGAGAGCCUUAGAAAGAAAUGAUUACCAAAGCAAAGCUAGAGGAACUGAUAAAAUAAUCUAUAAAAUACAAUGAUGACACAAUGAAAGAACUAGUCAUUUGGAAUCUCUUUAUUUGCUGAGGUCUUCCAAGGAAUGGAAUAUAUAAAUAAUUUAACUUCUAUGUGCAUUCCUUCUAUGGAAUAAAGUGUCAAAAUUAAUAUUUUAAGGAUAUUUAAGGACUUUUCAUUUUACCAGAUGACUUUAUUCUGAAAGAUAUAUCACACCUUAGAAUAAAAAAUACUAUAAAAAUCAUUAGUUUUUGUGCUUUGCACAAGUCUAGUAUAGUAUGAGAACAGACUCCAGGAAACUAACAGAUGAGGGAAGACCUGAGCUAACAGCAGUUAGUAUGAGGUUGACUCAUUUGACUGCAAAUCAAAAUCGAAUUCACACGGUGACAUGGCUGCUGAAAAGACUGAUGCCAUCUUAGGCUGAAUUAACAACUACAAAUUGCCUAAUCAAAAGAAAAAAAUAGCUUAAUUAUACUUAUAAGAAGCCAAAUCAUAUUUGAGAGGUUGUUCAUUUAUGGUACAACAGGUCAGAGGGGCAUGGAAAAAUAAAACAGCACUUUCCAAACUUACAUGGCCAUGGCAUCUACCACCUUCACACUUCAUUCUUUUUAAUUAAAAAAAAAAUAAUUAUUAAAAUCUCCCCAACUGUUCCAAAGCACAGUUUGGGAAACACUAUUUUAGAGCUUCCAGGAGACAGCAACAAGGAAGAUGAGAGACUCGGAAUCCAAUCUUAGGAAGAAUGGACAAGUAACUGCAGAUGGCUUGAAGACAAGUCCUAGGACACAGGACUGAAGAUUGCAAUUUAAAGGGUCAUGAUCUGUAAGAGGGAGGCAUUCUGUAAGUUGCUCCGGAAAACAGACUUGGGCAGUUUCAAGGAGGCAUAUUUCAACCCAAUACAAAGAAAGAGUACACAAACAUGAGGAUGAGCUCCCUCGUAUGAGGAGAGAGGUUGGUCAUGACAUAUAUUCUGAUGCCACCUCUGUUAGGGACACUGUAGACUAGCAUUACCCAAACUAACAGCCUGCAACAUCCAGCCUGGGACUGGAUGAUGUUUCUAGAUGCUCAGGAGAAAAAAAAAAUGUCCCAUGGUCAAAUAAUUGUGGGAAACAUGGCCCCUCUGUGAUAUCCAUCGCAAUAUACGUUAGUGUUUAAAGGCUUUGAGAAGUAAAGAAACCUGUGUAAUUCAAUUUAAUGCAAUAUUUUCCUAACUUACUUGGCAAUGGAAACAUCUUUUUCCAUGGCAUUCCCAAUUUCAAAAUAGCACCUUCUUUUAGAAGGAAGAGAAGGGGGCAGAAUUAGACUAGAUGUACACUAAGUGACUGAGGACAAGUUUGGAACUCAGGAAACUGAACUAUUAGUAGCUAAUAAUAUAUUAUGAAUAUAAAAUUUAUUCUCCUUUCAGAAAGGUUGACAAUGAAAAUUGACUCAAUGUUUAUUUUGUUUUGAAAAAAAUCAAAUGCAUUUAAAUGAAAAUUAAUAAAUACAACAUAAUUUUUCUGUGAAAAAUCUAGGUGAUUGCCAAACUCACCUACUGCCGGAUUUGUCCGAUUGCUAUAUUUCCAUGCCAUCUCAUAGUUCAAGGCAGCAUCUGUAUAUGCUUGCUCUUUUUCCAUAAUGUAUCCCAUAUAUUCAUAAGCUUUGCAGCAAGACUGAAGAAAAAUGGGAGACAUCAAUAGAUUAAACUUGAUAUCACUAAGAUUUUAUGGGAUGUUUGUGACUAUAGAGGUCAAUCAUAUCAACCCAUUUAAAUGACAAAUCAAACAAUGGUUUUCAACCUUGGCUAGGCAAUCAAAUUUUUUACUGAACUUAAUAAAUGAUUCUGAUGGCAAGUCUCCAUCACAUAUCUGCAGAAUCAGGAUUUUCUUUACAGAAUCAGAAAUACACAAUAGGGCACUUGUGUUUUACACAAGCACAGGUACACUAUUAUGAGUGAUUUAAACACAUACAAAUACAGAGAUAAGAGCAUAAUGAACUCCAUGAACCCUUAUCUUCAAUAAUUAUUUUUUGACUAAUACUGUUUCACCUCUAUCUCACAAACCUACCCUUCUGUAUUACCAGAAAAAAUCCUCAGAUAUUGUAUCAACUAAGUCUAAAUGUGUUAGUGUGCAUCUGUAAAAGAAAAAGACGUUAUUUAAACAGAACCACAAUUUUAUCACACCUAAAAUGUUAAUGACUCCUUAAUAGCACCAAAUAUCCAGUACUGUCUAAAUUUUAAUUGUCUCAAUAUAAUUUGUUUUUGUUAGAUUGAGGACUGAAAUAAGGACCAAACAUUGUAACUGGUCAAUGUUUUGAUCUAGUCUCUUGAUCCAGAGGUUUCCCUUCUGGUAUGUCUGUCUGUCUCUCUGUGUCUCUUUUCUUGAAAUUAAAUGUAAUAGAAACAAGAAUAUUUAUCCCCGAGUUUCUCACAACGCAGGUUAAUUGACUGCAUCCUUGUGGUGUUUAUAUAAUAUAUUCCUAUGUCACUGACGUUUUCUGGAAGUUGUAAUUAGAUGUAGAGGUUUGGAUUCAAUUUUGAUUCUGGAGGAGAGAGGUGAAUCUACUUCAAACAUCAGUGCUAUGAUAAGCCACACUGAGGCAUAAAAACAUGGAUGCAUGUUUUUGUAUAUUUCUUAAUUGUAAUUUUUUUCCAGAAUAUGAGUUUAAAAAUAUUGAAAAAUCUGAAAGUAUAUAUUAAAAAUCACUACAUUUAAGACUGAACAUUUUAUUUAUACCUAAACUUAAUUUCUUAUCAUUUUACUUUUCUCACUUUAAUGGAAGAAAUCUCACCAGUAAUAUUUUCAUUAAAACCAUUACCAAUUACCCAUUUUUUAAAAAACAUAAAAAUAUGAAUAUAGGAAUGCACAUAUUCCCUUUUGAUUCAGGCUCCAAUAAAGCUCAGCACAGCUGCAUUAAAUUAUUAUUUAUCUUGAUUACUAAGUGUUUCACUUGUCUCAUCCCAACCCUAGCCCUGCCAUAGAUGUCUGUUCUUCUGUUGGGAGGCACAGAAUGUCUGAUUCUCCCUCUUUUUGUGAUGUUACAUCCAUAUAUAAAUUUAUCAGGGUUGAAAAAUGGGGAUAGCCUAUCAGUCUUUCUUCAUUAAUUAGCUGGAAAAUGUCUAUGAUGAGAAACGUCUCAUUGACUAUUUGGUUAACCAAUUCUGUACAGAAAAGGCAGGAUAUUUAUUUGCAAGCUUUAGAAAUAGCAGUCAGUUCACUAGCAUACUGCAGUGGUUACCAAUUAGGUUUUUUGUUUGUUUUGUUUUUUCUAUUUUGGAUCUUCGAGAAGUCAUGGAUUUAAACAGAUUUUAUGUAUUUCAAUAUAUUGCAGUUAUCAUUCUUAUCAAUACUUAAAGCAUCCCAACUUCGGCUACUAGAGGUGUCUUUAAGUUGGCCCCUAGAUCUUUCACACAAACUCUAAUCAUCAUGGAUAGCUUCCUUCAUCAUCUGGUAUGGCAAGACAGUCUAGUGUCGUCUUGUACAUUUCCUGCCCCAGAUAUGGAUGACUUCCAUUUUUUAAAUUAUGUAAUUCAAGUUUCCUAAGCUUUAGUUCUUAAAUAUCAUGCUUUCAAUAUCAACAUAUUCAACCAGCAGGGCUGAAUGAAGCUUCUAAAGCAGCCAUCAUGUUCAACCAUGCAAUGUAUUGUUAUCAGCGUUCUGGCAAACUGAAAUUGUAUGUGCACUGAAAUUCUCAUGCAAUCUUGGUUAAUCCUAGACUAGAUAUAGAAGGGUAAACUAUUCAGCAGUUUAGAUUUUCAAAGCCUAUUAAUGAGCAUUCGGCUUUUCAAAGCCAAUUUAACAUAAAAUUUAUGUAGCUAAUCGUCUAGAAUAGUGCAUAAAUUGACAAAUGCUUGGAUCUUUCAGGUUCUUAAGUUCCUAGGAAAGUAUCUUAAUAGUACUAGAUAAUCACAAUUCCUCUUUAAAAAAUAAACGGUCCAUUUGUAAUCUAAUUCGCUCAAUGAGAAUAAAACAGAUUUACUGUGAUUAAGAUUUUGAAGUAAUUGAUAUGAAUAUAUGAAGAUAAAUAUCAUUUCUAAGUUGUGUGCAAUUAUUUCUCAACAAAAAAAUAAAUCUUAACUUUAAAGAACUGUUAUAAUGACAUCUUUUGUAAUUAAACAUCAAAAUGUUAGUAAAAAGCCUUAAAUUCUAAGGACUUUAUAAUAUUCAAUUUUAUACCUAAAUAUAAGGAAUUUUUAUUAAACAAAUGAAAUUAAAAGCUGAAAAGAUUUUCUCCCACAAAAUAUAUUAUGCAUAAUAGAUUCUAAUAAUGAGAAAAUGACAUGCAGCUGCAGUAAAUUCAUCAAGAGUAUUUCUUAAUGGGAGGGACAGACGUCCGCAAUUAAUGUUCUUCUGCAAUUUUCAUUAGUUCUGGGAUGAGAUGGAUAAUCACAGGCAAUCGUUUGACAUUCCAAAAACACUUUCCGUUAAGUAGGGCAUCACUACAGCUGAAACUUGAAAUUGCAUAAAUCUUUCUUUUUUUUAAACUUUAAAGGACAAAUGGCUUUUUUCUUAUUAUUAAUGCUUGUUUCCUGAUUGUGGUAAGAAUAAACAUUUAAUUUUCAAAAAUCACACAGGAAUCCUUGGAAAUGGACUAACACUCAACAAUAUCUAUAUGGAAAGCUUAUGCAACAAAGGUCAAUAAUUAUUUUUUACUCUUCAAUCACCUACUCUAUUAUGACGCAGGCACCGUUUUAACAGGUCUUCUGCCAUGUCAUAUUUUGCUGAUUGAAUGUAAAUAUCAGCAAGUAGCAGCCAACUCUUCUCAAACUCUUCAGCAUCAAUAGCAUUCCAAUUCAUUUUCGCAAUACGCUUCAGCUGGUUUCUGGCUCGUGGAGUCUGUUUCAAGAUCAUAUAAGCCGUUGCCAUUCCCAAGAGCGCUGGGAUAUGCUCCUUCUAUAAGAAAACAAAAUUUUAGACCAUAAGAUGCAUAAACAUAAAUGCCCCAAAAACAUACAGAAAGCAGAAAAUGCUACAUAAGAACUAGUUUGUGGAUUCUAUUUCUAGCUCCAUUACAGAUAACUGUGAUUACAGGUCAUUAUUUAACACAUCAAGUACCCUCAAGCUACUAUGAAGAAAACUUGGUCAAGCACUGUGUGGUCAAGAUAAUUGAAGAUAAUGACAACUAUUCAGAUGCCAUAUGCACACAAUUCCAAGAAUUAGUGAGACUUUAUCUUUAAUGGGAUUCAAACAGUCAUGUUUUAGUUUUGUAUAGAAACAGAAAAAAUAAAACUCUAUUUCAGUAAAAUCCUUAUUGAGCAGUUUGUAUUUCAGAUUUAACAUUUAGGCUCCUUAGUUCUUUCACCUGUCAAAGACGAGUAACAAUAAUUUACCUGCAGAUGAUGGUCCUUACCCAUUAUGACUUCUAUUGCUUUUUUUCCCCCUCCCUUCUCCUUUUAUCCAAAAACCUCUUCUCCCAAUAAAGUUUGAAUAACGAAAUGUUAAAAAUAAGGCAUAUAAUUAAUUCACCACUUGGAAAGUAUAUGAAAUAAACUCAUGCCUUAAAAUAUGCUUUUAGAUUUGGAGUCUGCAGCUUCCUAAAACAAUCUAUAUGAUAUUCUUUUGGAUAGAGUUUGAAGUCAGAGAAUGUCACUCUGUGAAACCAAUAGGUUAAUGAGAACUCAUAAAAUGGAGGCCAUUAGUGAUCUAUCCAGACAACUAACUUUCAUAAGCAAUAAUGUGUAUGUUCCUGAUUAAGGUAGGAUGCUUCCUAAAUUUCAGCAGAGGGAUUAUGAUGCAUUUAUAAAGAAAGAAGCCUCAGCUUAACAUACAAAUAAAGGGGCCAGGAGGGCAGCUCAUGUCUGUAAUCAAAGCACUUCGGGAGGCUGAGGCUAGUGCAUAGCGAGACCUCGCCUCAACUGAAAAUACAAAAGAAAAACUAGCUGAGUGUGGUGGCCAGCCCCUGUAGUCCCAGCUACUCAGGAGGCUGAAGUGGGAGGAUCUCUUGAGCCUGGGGGUUCAAGGCCACAGUGAGUUAUGAUCGUGCCACUGCACUCCAGCAUGGAAGACAGAAUGAGACACUGUCUCAAAAUAAAAACAAAAACAAAGGGUAAGAAAUUGUGACUGAGGAACGGUGAUACCAUUACUAUAAUAAAAGUAUACUAUAAGAUAGCAAAUUUGGGUAACUCAUAAGGAAUACUGCAAAAGGAGAGUGGUAAAAUGUUCAAUGUCCAACUGAUCUUUGGAAGUAAGAAAUAACUCUGGAAUAGAGAAGGGCAAUACAUCAGGGUUUUAUAAAAACAGCUUUUAGAAAUAUAAAAACUUCCUUGCCUCAAAUUCUGUAUCUAUCAAUAAGCUUCCAAGAUAUAAUCUGUUCCUCUAGGUAAGGGGUGGCAAAAUGGUUUGAGUGUCAAAUCCAACCAACUGGUUGUAGGUUAUGAAGAAGUGUGGGAUGUUACCAAUUACUGAGCCUCACCCUCUCCCCACCUCAGCCCACCUCAGGUGGGCCAGGAGAGGAGAGAAGAUAGAGGCCUGCUAUGUAUUUGUCAGCCAGGUCCUAGCACAGCCUAAGAGGAGGAGGGUCCUAUGAAAAGGUCCCACAUUCCCUCUACACUACACAAUUAAAAAUAACCUCUCUUACACUUUGAGUUUGAUUAGAACGUAUCGGUUCUUCACAACUUGAUUACUCCUGAGUGAACUGAAGAACAGUUUCUAAAAGCAAACCUGAGUUCUAAUCCCUGCAUUAGGUCUUUUUUUCUGGUGCAGACAUCCUAAGACCUACAGCCAACUUCUCUGUCUCUCAAUAACUCUAAAUUGCAGUAACUUUAGAUUGCAAAGGACAAGACUUGGAUGUGGACAAUACAGCUGUUAUUAUAAACAUCUCAUCUUUAUGGUUCAAGGUGAUGCAAUGAAAGCAAGUGGAAACACUUCAGCUUGGGCUUAAUGUAUCUUCCAGCAUUUCUUCCAUGAUUUCUUGUCACAUACCUCUUUUUUGGUCCCUCUGAAUGACAAAUAGGAUUGUGAACAUACCCUAUGUUUUUCUGCCUCCCUGACUUUGUUCACAUUUUCCUCUUCCUCUGAAACACAUUGUCUUCAUUUCUGCCUGUUAAAAUGCAAUUUAUCUUGGUUCUUCAAUCAUACCUGUUUCUUAAAUCCUAUUUUUUCUUAAAUCAUACCUUCUUUACAAAAGGGUCUCCCAACUCUCCUUAUACUGUCUCCUACAGCAUUUUUAUUUGCAAUUCUAGUAUGGAAUGUAACACAUUUUGCUUUGUAUUAAGUCAUCAUAGUCAGUAUGCUUGUCUUGUCUUCCAUAGGCUAUGAGAAACUUGAAAAACGGGACCAUACAUUAUUUAUCUUUGUGUUUCCCACUAUGCUUAGCACUCGCUGGCUGCUUAAUGAAUAUUCAUUAUAUUGAAUACAUGCAGCCUAGGAGUUAAAAGAAAAAAAAGUGAGAAAAUUUGAUGCUUAUGAAACUUCAGCUCAUAUAUCAUUGUCUUUUGAAUAAUAUGGUUAGUAAACAGAUCUGAAGAUAGUAUUUUACUAACCACAUAUGUAAGGAUGAUUAAAAAAAAUAACACAGUCUUAUCAACAGAAAGCAGGCAUAGUCCUUCUAGGAAAUAGCUGUAAUAUCAUUCACUGCUUUUGGCUUUUUUUCUCUCUUAAACUUCACAGUAGGGAUAACGGAUUUAGUCAAAAUAAACUUUCUCAUUGUUAUGAGAUAGAAUAGCACAUCACAGCAUUCAGUAGCUAUGGCACCUGACAUGAGAAGCGCUUCCUCAUGUUCCUAGAGAUUCUCUUAGAUGUACAUGAUUGCCCUACUUCUGCUCUGCCUUCAUUCAGCAGCUGUCAUCCAUCUGCUCCACAAAGCCAAUUCAACAGAGCAUGACCCCUGAGCACAUUACUUCAAUGUCUGCAGAAGGGCCUUGCUUUGGAGGGUUGCUGCUGCCAUGCUGUCCUGCUGUUUUAUUCCAAGCGCAAUAAUAAAGCUGCCAUCUAGGAUACUUGUACCCAAGCCACAACAAGAGUUGCAGGUCUCCCAAACCCCUGACAUCUCAAUCUCCUCCAGGGCCCUAAAAGGUGAGGGGAAAGAGAUCACUGUCCAGGGCUUUGGGUAGUUUAUUGCUGCCACUGUGACUACUGAAUCACAAGAAAUCACAGCAAAAUUCUGUAUGUUCUCUGAGACACAUAAAAUGAGUUUCCAGUGGCCUACAGCAUCAUUGAAUGGAAGAACAAACAUGAAAUUCAAUGAGUAUGCUUAGAAGUAACUAUUACCAACUGCUGAUGGGAGGGUAUCUAGAAUUCCUUUCUUAAUAUCAAGCAAUUGAAGAAAUAAAGUGCUGUGUGAGGGAAGGAAAACAGUAUCUAGAGAGUAAGAAAAAAGGUGGAGGAGGCCGAGAUAGGCGGAUCACCUGAGUCAGGAGUUUGAGACCAGCCUGGCGACAUGGCAAAACCCCUUCUCUACUAAAAAUACAAAAAAUAGCCAGGCAUGGUGGCAGGCGCUUAUAAUCCCACAUACUUGGGAGGCUGAGGCAGGAGAAUUGCCCGAACCUGGGAGGCGGAGGUUGCAGUGAGCUGAGAUCGCGCCAUUGCACUCCAGCCUGGGCGACAAGAGCAAAACUCCGACUCAAAAAAAAAGGAAAAAAGGUGGAUUCGAGCACAGUGAAAAGAGAAGAAAGCCUCUGAUUUUAUAAAAUAAUACUAUGAAAAUAACAAAUAUGAAAAGAUUGCAGGAGGUUAUUUCAGUGUUGCUAAAGAAUAUCAUUAUUUGUAUGACUAAAUUAUAAGCUAUCAGUAUUGAUCUCAUGUAGCUAUAUAGCUGGAAAAAUUCCAAGUUCAUGUAAGUGAAGAAGUAAGAUAUCAGGGCAGCCAGGUGUUUAUUUCCACUUAGUAAGUUAAUCUUGGCUACAUCUACAACACAGAAAUUCUCCAGGGGAUAAAGUGGCUCCCUUGAGAAUUAACUUAUAUACUUUUGAAGAAUUCAGUUUCUGUAGAAUUUAACAUUCCAGUAGAGAGAAAUAUAUCAACAACACAACAAAACAGUAACAUCGUCUCUUCCGCCAAGAAGGGGACAUUGUGUAUGCCCAACUAUAUACCUAAUUUUUAAUAAAAGUUAAGUAAUUAAGUCAAUCUUCAGAAAAUAAACAACUAAUCAAAAUAUAUGUUUCUAUACUACCAAAUAAAGAUACCACAUGAAGCUGAAAAAGGAAAUCCACUAACCUCAGAUGCUGCUAUUUCAGUGAAGGUAUUUAAUGCUUGUUCAACAUUAGAUUUCUGUUUGGUAGCCAUUAAGCAAUAGUUUUCCAUUAUGCGAAGCUGUACGUGACCCUGAACAGUCUGAGGUUUUAGUUCCUUAAGAAGUUUUUCUGCUGUUCUUACUGCCAGUUGCACAGAUUCUUGCUUCUCAGUUGAAUUACUGUAUAUAAUUAAAAAUAAAUCACUUCUGUCUCUUACUCAUGAUACAAUUCAUUGAGAUUAGAAUCAGCUUUUGUACACAAAAGCUCUGGGCACUCUUUUAUACUCUUUUUGUCACUCAUUUAAAAGUAAUCUUUUGUAAAGAAUGUCACUCAUUCUCUUCUAAUACAAAGUGAAGCACAGUUACAAUGCAUUUUAAACAAAAUUAAUAUGGACUCAAUAAAACACCAUUAAGCAUUAAUUUCCUCUAGAAUGAAGACAAAAGUUGGAUAAUAUCUACAUGUUGUAAAUGUGUGCAUUCCAGCAAAUAUAAAACUAUAAGUAGAAUCAGAAAAUUAACAUAUAUCUAUUCAAAAAGUGAAAGGAAAGGAAAAAAGUGACAAAUACUGUAUUAUUUCAUUCUAUGUUUAAUCCAUUUUACACACAGGAAAACUGAGGCUUGAACAGGUAAAGUAAUUUUCUAAAGGUCACACAGCUAGUAAGUGGUAAACCUAGGACCUGAAUCUAAGCUUAUCAGACAUAUAAAAUCUACUCUGUUCUCUUCACCACAUUGCCUAUCAGACUCUCAGAAAUUAUAUAUGUGUCAAACAGUAAUUUCAAGUGCAAUUUGAAUAUUUAAUAGCAAUUUUCUUAUUUUAUACACACAAACCCAUGCACAUAAAUAUACAUAAAUCAAUUAAUAAAAGGAAAUUAAACACUCAAAGUCCAAUCACUAAAGCCACUGGUCUUCUUCUCAGGCCUUAGGCUUAUCUUGCCUAAACAUGUCACGCUGUUGACUACCACUUCAAAGUUCUUCUCCCUUGGCUUCUGUAACACUACACAGCUUUAGUUCUCUUUUCACCAUGCUGAUUGCCCUUUUCUGACCUUCCUUCCUCCUCCAGACCCCUUAAAUGUUAGCAAGCUUAACAUUUAGUUCUCAGAUUUUUGUUACUUCAUUCUACCACUCACAAAGAGACCAUUCAUGGAGUUCCAACUAUGCACUCUGCAGAUGUCUCCCAAAUCUCUAUCCCUAGCUGUGACCUCUCUUUCUGAGUUUUAGUUUUGUAUUUUGAAUUGCCUGAAGAAGAUUUCCACUUGAAUAGCUUAUAGUUCCAUAACAGUAAUGUUACCUCAACCUUCCUAAAACAACCAUAAACAUGCCACUUCCCUGCUCUAACUGGUCUCGGUAAUCCAAGCGUUAAAAUCUGUUGUUGAAAUCUCUUGGCAAUCUACCACUAAUUUUCUCCAGCUCCUCCAUGCAUCUUCUCCUGAAUACUAUGCACUGCUAUGAUUCCUAAUAAACUCUGACAAUACUUAAUAUCUAUUUAAAUCCAUUUAUAUUUAGUUGCAGAUUGAAAGGUUUCAGGUAUUGUCUUGCCUCUUAAUUAAACACUCCUGAAGACAGAAACUACCUCUUAUAUUCCCUUUAUGUCCUAAUACAUUCCCCACAAGCCUUGCCUGAGUCAGAAGAGAGGACAAGCUACUAAUGCAGGUUGAUAAAUAACCAUUGACUAGCAGUAUACCACACUAACAGCAGUCAGGACUCAGUCUAAAUCUUGCCUCCAUCAUUACUAUCACAUUAAACAAGUUGACUCAGCUUAUUCUGCAAUACUGUUAUAGAAAACAAAUGAGAUAGUGUGUAGAAAGUAUAGAGGACAGGGUCUGGAAAAUAACUACCAUUUGUUAAGUAGUUACUAUUAUUGUGUGGAUAAUUUUUGCUACAGUUGUCAAAUUCUACAAUUAGGGGAGUGUCUUCAUAGCAUGUCUAUUAUUAUUUAGGAAACCUAAAAGCAUUUCAUGCCUGUUUCACAGAAUAGUUACAUUAGCAAUAACUAUUCUAUUGAAUAACUAUUCAAUUUGCUAAAAUAACUAUUCUCUGAAACAGGCAAUGAAAUGCCUAUUUAUUUAAUUUAUUCAUCUGACCUUUCAUUAUUGCUAUCCUAAAUUUAGUUCUUUUGUAUAGUAUCCCUGUUUAUUAUCUCCAACAAGUGUUUUUUAAAAAAGGAUAAUAUGUCAAAUAACUCACCCCAGGUCUCCAUCCAGGUUUUCAAAUACUUCACCUCCAACAGUUUCAUUAUCUGGAUUCAAACAGAUCUCUAUCAUAUUAUAAAGGGCAUUUUGGCCCCAGUCACGAUCUUUCCGAGCUUUAUUAAAAUGUCGAAGGGCAUCAUUUGGUUCUCCAGUGUACCUUGUUAGAUGUUUAAAAGAAUUAUUUAUUUCAAUCACUGACUACAAAAUUUAUAUUAGUUUAUAAUCUGUCUGGUAAAUAAAACUGUUGAAUUAUUUUGAAAUGUACAUUUUUUUUUACUACAAAGAAAAGCUUAUUCUACUUGAUUUACAAUGAGAAAAAAAAAUCAUGUAGCAUUUAUUUGUAAAUAGAUUUACCAAAGAUACAGUCCUUUACAAUACUGAAAUCCUGGUUCCAAUUUUGCUCUGGAGUUACGUUUCUCAGCCAUUGAGAAAAAUCUUGGGACAUCCUCGAGUUUUCCACAUCUUCUUAGGAGAUCAAUCAAACGAGAUAAUGUCAUAUAAUUAUCUAGAAACAAAUAAUACUUCAGAUAUGGGCACCAUUUUAUACUGUUUCUUUUGUUGGUUAUAAUUCUACUUCAUUAGAGUAUAAUUUACUUCAUAUAAAGUACAUUUUAAAUAUAAAUAAAAAAUGCCUCAGGGUAUAAUUCCCUAUAGAGGCUGUAUGGCCAACUAGAUGAUCUACUAAAUAAUACAGUUUGGGCUAGGCUGGUCACAGUGUCUACAUAGGCAAAUCUAGAAAAAUGCAUAUUUCUUGUAGCUUUUCUAUUGUUUGGGGGACCAAAACCUUAGAGAAACAGCCCCUACCUAGGUAAUCUAGACUUUCAACUGUGAAGUUCAGGAAUACCGAUUUAAUUGCACAGGACAAGUUCACUGUCGGUCUCUGAGAACCCCUCUCCUACAUACUGUUGCUAGGAAGGGUGUGGGAACAGUACAAUUGACAAAUAAUGUAUGGGAUGGACAAUAAGAAAUUUUUCUCCAGUCUCUCUUUGAUAUGUACAUGUAGCUAACAUACCAUAUGCUAGCUUACCAUACUAGAACCUUAGCAUAUUAGUCCCCAUAUUUUAAUCCUGUUUCACCUUCUUCUAAAAAAAAUUCAUUCAUUCAUUCAUUCAUUCAUUCAUUCAUUCAUUCAUUCCUUUGAUCUCAGGUAUAAUUUCCUGGCAGGUUCCUAGAAAGCCUUCUUCCAAUUCUAUCUAGUUCUCUCUUAUCAGUAACAAACUAAGCUUUGAGAAUAAUUUAAUAAAUCUUUUUUAGGAUUGCAAAAAUAAUGUAUAGACACUACAGAAAAUAAGGAAAAUAUAUAUAAAAAGUAUGAAGAAAAAAAAAAUCACCAUAUUUCCAGCUAAAGAUUAGCACAUUUUGGUGUGCUUUCUUUCAUAUAUUUGAAAACCAACCUAUAUAUAAAUGUAAGCAAAGAUAUUUCUUUGUUUACAUUCAUACAAAAUAGAUGUUUAUUUAAAUAUAUACAAAACUGGAGUCACAUUGGGGUUUUGAUUUUGAUCGGUUUUGAUUGGUUUUAAUGUUGAUUUUGAUGAACAUUAAACAGUUAACAUUUCCCAACUGUCAUUAAACAAUCUUCUAAAACGUGAUUUUUAAUGGUUGCAUAAGGGCCUACUUACUGAUGAUUCACAUUAUUUAUUUCUUUAUAGUGGUGUCUUUUAGAUGUUUGUGUGCUCAAGUUUCAGUUAGUACAGGACUAGGGAUUUGUAGGGGACUUGUAAAAACCCUUAAAUAAGCUAUUCUGAACAUGUUCUUAGGUUGAAUUUCUACAAUUAAAACACACAAACAAAAAAGCUUGUUUUAAAGCUAUUUAUCCUUGACUCUAUUUUGCUAUUUGAAAAGAGAUGACACCAUGUAAUUCAGCAACUUUCCUGAGUAUAUACCCAAAAGAUUAAAAGCAGAGACUCAAACAGGUAUUCGUACACCAACAUUCAUAGCAGCAACCUUCACAAUACACAGAAAAAGUGGAAAGAGCCCACAUGUCCAUUGUGUUUGAAUAGAUAAUCAAAAUGUAGUAUGUACAUAUAAAGGAAUAUUGUAUAUUGUAUGUCUGCCAUAAAAAAAGAAAAUUUUGACAUACACUACAACAUGGAUGAACUGUGAAGACAUUAUACCAAGUGAAAUAUGCCAGACACAAAAGGAAAAAUGCUGUGUGAUACAGCUUACAGAGGUGCCUAGAAUAAAUUCAUCAACAUAGAAAGUAGAAUGAUGGUUGCCAGGGGCUCCGGGAAGAGGAAUGAGGAACGAGGAACUGGUGUACAGACUUCAGUUUGGAAUGGCAAAAACGCAAAACGUUGAUGGAUAACGGUGAUGACUUACACAACAAUGCGAAUGCAUUUAAUGCCACUGAACAGUACACUUAAAAAUGGUUAAGAUGAUGAAUUUUGUGUUAUAUAUGUUUCACCACAAUACAAAAUAUUCUUUAAAAAAGACUUUUGGAAAUACUGUAUCUACUUAAUUACAGGAUGUCAAACUAAUACAGGCUGAUAGUAUCAUUUGUCCCCUUGACACACAAUCUUGGGUCCAGAGAUUUUGUUCACCACACCUUUUAGCAUCACUAAAAAGGGCACAAUAAGAAUAUGGUUUCAGAAAAAGACAAUUCAAAUAUUGGUCUUGUCCUUUAGCUAUGUGAAUUCAAUCAAAUUACUCAAAUUCUUUGAGUCCAAUAUACUUAUUUUCUUAAAAUAGGAUUAUAAUAUUGACUGUAGGAGUGCUACAGAAAUAAAGGCAUGAAAAAUAUUUAUAAAUUACAAAUGUUAUUAAUAAUAUUUAUACUUCCAAAAAUGUUGACAAGAAAUAGAGUAACUACCCCAUAAUAAAGCCACAGCAUCUGGAAGCUAUAUUGGAUUAAGCAAGAACUAAAGGUUAAAAUUUCGGAUUAAAUUUUUUUUGCAUGAUACUGCUAGUAUUAUCAACAUUGGGAAGGCAAUUUCUUGAAUAUUUCUUAUAUACUAUUGAAAUGUAUUCAUUAUUAGUUCAAGUUAUAAUUACCAGUGACAGAUUAAAUUACAUUCACUUGUCUUUGGUUAACCAUGACAUUUGACAGAAGGCAAAUUUCUGCACUUAAGAAAUGUAUUAAAAACUAAAAUGUAUAUUACCUUCUAAAAAACUUAGCUGGUCCAUCUUUAUUGAUGAAUAGUAGGAAGAUAUCAAAAUAGUUAUAGGGUGAUGAGAUGUGGCAAGCAUGCAGUGCUAUGGUAUGGUAUUACAAAGCACAGGAUUCUUAACUUUGCCUGGAGGAGUUGGGAAAUUUCACAUAGGAGUUGACCUUUGAGCAGCCUCAAGGAUAGGAGGAAGAUCUUACUAGACGGACAAAGGCAUUCCAAGUAGCAGAAGGCAUGCGCCAAGAGGGAAGCAGAGAACAGUGUGGGGAGUGUUGGUAACUUUGAUAUUAUUAAAGCGGAGGAAGAAGGAUAAGAAAUAUAAAUGGCCAAAUAAUUUGCGGCCAUAUUAUUAUUAAAAUAAUGCUAUGAUUUUAGACUUUAUCCUGAAGCACUAACUUAAAUUUUAAGCAAAGGGUAGGUUUUGAUUUUUAGAACUGAUAUGCUAGUCCUAUGAUGACCUGGAGCAGCCAGAACCUAGAAGCUGGAAGAUGAGUUGGGAAUCUGCACUAGUUCAGAUGAGAGGUGAUAAGGGUCUUCAUUAGAGCAGUGGGUUAGGAUACGACAGACUGGAUGUGUUAGCUAGCUAUCAAGCAAACAGAGCUGAGGAGACAUGUUAACCAAUUAGUAUGAAGGAAGGGGAAAGCUCAAGGCGAUCUGGAGAUUCUGAGAGAGAAAAGGGGCAAUCUGUCGUGAGAGCAGUAAUUAGAUCUAGAAGAGGAAUUUUUCAACUACUUAAAUUAGGUCAAAUUUGUAUGGUACAUUUCUGAAAUAAGCUAAAAUAGAGCCUUAAUCUAAAGUACAAGAUGAGUUACUGAGGAUAACCAAUAAUGUACACAUAAAAUGAACGGAGAUGCAUGUUUUAGAGUAAUUCCAACAAAAUAGAUCUGUGGAUAAGUAUGUAAGGUACUAGUAAGAAUAAAGCAUACAACACAAGAUUAAAAACUCUUAAGAUUAAAAAUAUCACAUAGACAAUAAAAAUUUACUUAAAAUUUUGUGGUUGUUUUUGAGACCAAGUCUCACUCUGUCACCGAGGCUGGAGUGCAGUGGUGUGAUCUUGGCUCACGGCAACCUCCACCUCCCAGGUUCAAGCGAUUCUCCUGCUGUGUUUUUAAUUGACUUGGUGUUUUACAGUCAUUCACUGAUCCAUUCAACCAAUAAACAUCUAUGUUGCCACAUCCAUGUGUGUGGCAUUUUGUCUGAUAUUGGGAAUAUGGUGUGAUCCCUGAACUCGAGGAGUCUACAGUGUAAUAAAGAACACAAAUAUGCACAUAAAUAUUUUUAGUAAAAUACUAUAAGUAAUAAAGACGUAUGGACAAAGUAACCGAGGAUUAGGGUUACCAACUCAUCCCAGUUUGCCUGUGACUUUCUGUUAGCAUGGGAAGUCCUGCAUCCAGGAAAACCCUUUGCUCCGAGGCAAAUCUAGGAUGGUUGGUCAUGCUACCCAGCACCACAUAAGACAUUUUUUAAUGUAGGUGGUGGUAGUGGGAUGCAGAUUUACUUUUUUAUUUUCCCCCAAGAGGGAUAUAUUUUAGAUUAUGUGUUUGGAAAGAGAAAAGGGAUAAGGAAGCUAAAGUUCAUUUUAGGCAAAAGGAAAAAACCCAAGCAAAGACUUGGAAGCAUGGUUGUAUGUCAUUUGGUGUUGCUGGAGUACAAGAUCCUUAUAUUGCAUUUAUAAAAAAUUGCUUUUAUAUUUGUUUACAAACAGUCCAAAGCAGCCAGUCUACUAAGCCAAUUUUUUUGGGAAAAAGGCUGCUGCCAAGCAACAGAAACUUACGUGAAACAAAACCCACAAGACACAUGAAGACUUCUUCAAAUCUUAGAAAACUAUAAUGUGUGAGAUUCUUCAAAUCUUAGAAAACUAUAAUACUUUUAAUGACUUAAAAUAUUCACAGUGGAAGAAGUCUGUUUUUUAAAGAAAUAAAGUUAGAUCAUUGUCUCAAAGGGAAAGACUGUGAAAUGGGAACAGCUUGAGAUAGAAUGAAUAUAUUAUGUAUAUUACUUUUAAAUGGUAGUUUAGAGAAGAGGAAUAAGAGAAAACAGUGUGGAACACAAGGUAGAAAUGGCAGGGAAAAAAACGAUACAGGCCUGAAGAAAAUAAAAGUAGGUUUGGGCAAUGUGGGUGGCAAGAUGAGCCCAUAUUUUGGACCCAGAGUGAGUGGAAGAGGUGAGAUGGUCAAGUAGUUCACAGCAUUCUUUUAAAUAACAUCUGAGUAUACUCUGGAAUAGACAGGGCAAAAAACAAAUGAAAUUGCCUGUGGUAGUCCCCAUAUUAAAUAAAUUUAAUUUAUUUAAUUAAAAAACUCAAAGAGUAAAAAUAAUAAAGAGAAAGUGUUGAUAUUACUGUAAAAAACAGACCAUAUUUUCUCCUUUCAAUUUUUGUGCUCGCUGGGGAUAUUUUAUUUUUAAAUACAAACUGAUGUUCUCUAAAUUCAAACAUCUUUUUAUUAAAAGCGUUACUAGAGGUAGCCUGCAGAGCAUAUCUAGUUCUUUGAGUUGCCCUGCUUGAAGGAUUGCCACCUCUGUGUCUCUGAGGCUCUGAGCACAGAUGCCUAGGGCAUCAGCCUGAGAUGAAGGUGGUGGGGUUUAGAAGAACUGAAACACAGCUCUAGGACUUCCUCUGCCAUUUCAAACUCUUUUUAGUAACACAGGUAGUAACAUACAGUCAUGUAUUAGUCAAACAGUUCCCACCUCUUUCUUUUUCUCUUUCCUCUCCUCCCUCCAUCCCUGCUUCCCUUUCUUCCUUUUCUCCCUCACUCUUCUUUCCAUCUAGUAUUUGUUGAGUACUAACUAGGCCAGAUAUUCUUCUAAAUUCUGGAAACACAGCAGUGAAGGACAACGUUUCUGGUCACUUGAUGCUUCCAUUCUAUGAUUUGUAGUUUUUUGCUUUUGUUUCACAAGGGCUACACAAAACCCAAAAAUCCUAAAGCCAAACCCCAAAAACUCAACUGAACAGAAAACAGGAUAAAGGGACAGAGAGCAAGAAGUGGUGCUACUUGAUGUAGGCCAGUGAGGGAGGGGCAUUCUAAGGAAGAAGCAGCACCAGAGCAAAGGCACAAAAGAAAAUGAGGCAGCAGCCAGAUAGACCUGUGGGAGCAGCAUAUUCCGGGAAGUAGAAACAGCAAACAAAAAGGCUCAAGGCUGUAAUUGGCUUGGGCUUUUGCCUACCUAGUUUCUGUUGUCCCUUUCUUCUUUACUAUCAGAAUUCUGAUUUUAUUCUACAGGGUAUUAGAUUCAGCUAAAAGAUAACAUUUCCCACCUUCUUUUGCAGCCACGGAGGUGAUACUACUAAGGGUUUUUUUGUUUGUUUGUUUGUUUUGUUUUUAAUAAAACGAUGAUUUGCUGGUUGGGAAGCCCUUUUGCCCAGCUCUGCACCCACCUUCCCCACCUGGGCCCUGGAACAUCAAUGCCCAGCACUGCGGUGGUCAUCUUGAACCAUGAGGUGAUGCUCAGGCAAGUCAGGGUAACAACGUAGAACAAAAAGAGAGAAGGCUCUGGUUUCCUGAUGAUACUGUGGAACCGCCACACCAGUCCCUACACAGUGUACUUUUCAUUUCUUUUACAGAGAGAAAACUAAAAACCGUGAUUUUUAGCCUAGAAUUUUCAGGGGUAUCUCUGCCAUUUUCAAUGAAAGUAUUUCUAAAUUCUUCAUAGGCUAGGGAUGGAAACACAGAUGAGUUAUGACGACGCUGCAAUAAUCUAUGUGGAAGAUGGCAAUGCCUUAGACCAGGGUGGCACUAACAGAGGUGGUAAAAAGUGAUGGCAUUCUAGGUAUACUUUGAAUGUAGCACUAACAAGGAUUUGCUGAUAGACUGGAGGUGAUAUAUGAGAGAAAGAUGAGACAAAGGUUAACUGUGAGGUCUGGGCCGGCACAACAGUGAGCAGUGAUGCCAGUCACUGAGGUGAGAGGUGGGGGUGGAGCAAACUUAGAGGCGAGGGAAAGUUCAGGUGUUCUAUUUUGGACAUGUUAAGCUUGAGUUACUCCUAGACAUCUGAGUGGGAAUGCAAAGAGGCAGAGGUGUACAUGAGUAAGGGCUGCAGAUAAAUGUUUAGGACACAUCUGCACAUACAUGGGAUAUAAAGCCACGCACCUGGACAAAGUCACCUAGGGGGUGAAUAUAUAAAAAGAAAGGGAGUUCAGGAACUGAAGCUACGAGUGUUCUAAUAUUUAAACGUCAUACAGAGAAGAGAACUCCAAAAAAGGAAACUCAAACAGCAGGCAAUGGGGCAAAAGAAGAACUGAGUGAGUUUAGGAUCUCAGAGACAAAUGAAGAAAGUCUUUCAUUGUGGAAGGGAAUAAACUGUGCCAAAUAUGAUGACAGGUCAAGUCGGCAGAGAACUGAGAACUGAAUCUGACCUGGCAGUAUGGGGGUCACCGACCACAUUGCAGAAGUGACUUCCCUAGGGUGCAGCAGUGGAUGAGACAAAGUGAACACAGCAUGUUUGAAAAUCCUUCACAGAAAAUUUGUUGUCGAGAAGAACUGAGGAAGGGCAUAGUAAUUGGGAGGGGAUGAGAGUUAAGAGUUGAUUUUUAUUGACUGAUUUAUUUACAGCAGGAAGAUGUCACAGCACAGUUCCAUGCUGAUUAGAAAAAAAAUGAUAAUUCAAGAGAGAGAACUGUAAGAGUGAAGCCCUUUUUUAGGUGAGAAGCUGGCCACAGGCGGGAUCACAGGCCUGGGGAGGACAAAGGCUGAGGGGUGGGUAAAUUUGGUGACAAAGAAUGGAGAAGUUCUCUUCCAGGUACAAAUAUUCUCUUAGUGAAGUAGGUGGCAAGGCUUUUAACUGUGGGCAAGAAAUGGGGCAAGGGUGAUGGAGGUUUGAGGAGACAGGAGAAAGUGGGAAAAGUAGUUCGAAUCAAUGAAUUCAUUUUUGGAAUACAGUAGGAUUACCAGGUUUGUGCUCAUAAUUUAAAGUGAGACCAGUCAACAGUGUUGCAAUUUCCUUAUAGCCAUUUCAGCUACUCAAGCCCAUGUGUGGAAUAAACAGACAGUCUGAUUCAACUAGGGACGGAGUUUGCCCGAGGGCAUAACCACUAAACAGAAGAAAAAAGGAGAAAGGGAGGGGUGACUGCACUCAAAAAAUACAAUAAGUAGGUAUUUACCUGGCUUACGUUCUAAAAGCUGCUGUAAAUGAAACACUGCUUGUUCAUAGUCUUGUUUUCUGAACAUGAGAUCAGCCAUCAUCUAUAAAGAUAAAAGUUGGUUCUAAAAAUAUUGCCAUGUAUUUUACACAACAUGUUCUUCCAAUCAAGAUUUAGCACUAGAAAAAUAUAGAUGAUAAACAUGAGGAGGGGGCAGCAUUUUAUAAAAAGGAGGCAUUUAAGAUUCAAGCCCACCUUGUGCAGAAUAACUUGCAGAUCAGUGUAACAGAAGAUAAUCAAGGAUGUGAAACAGAUUGCUCUGCUUGCAAAAUUGUAUUUUUAGCAAAAAAUAUGUUUCUAGCAAUUGUUUUAAAAACAGAAAUUUGAAAGGAAUUGCACACUCUAUGUGCUGUUGUAGAAAAGAUACUCACUGGACCUGACUAAAAUAAUAAUGAGACGAUUCAAAAAUGAAACAAAAUUUAAAUCAUAACUAUUUUGAAAAAUUAAAAAUGAGCAAGACCUACUGACAUUUUUCUUAUUAUGUGUUUAAAAAUGCAGAUUUCAUAUAUUUCUUUUUAACCACAAUAACCUUAAAUAAACCUCACAAAAUGUCAUCUGUGUAGCUGUCUGCAAAGCUAACAAAUAUUUUAGCCCACGUAAAAAUAAGAAAAAAUAAAAAACUCUAUUCAAAACAGACUGUCUUAGACUGAUAAUAUGAAGUUGUUUUUUUUCCCCUGUAACUCCAAAAAUUCCACCCAAACUCUUAAAUUUGUCCAGCAUUCCUAAGUACUUAAAAGUUAGUUCUUAGCAAAUUAUAGUGUUACCACAUGAACUCCACCUGACCAAGCAUCCCCUUAGGCAUAAAUAAAAAAUAACUAGACCCAAAAGGGCAUGUAAAAGCCUGACCUAGGUUUAUCUUUCUUAUAAAUAAAAUCCUAAUGAUUCUGGGUCUUUAUUGGUAAAAUGUAGUAAUGUUAGAAAAAUGUUAUUUCUUCCAAAAGCCAACGUGAGCCAUGCCUCAUCAUCUAGUAGUAGUUCCAUGGGGUAAAAUUUAAAACUUAUAAAACACAAGUGCUUUUAUUGUACUGAAGUUCCUUGGACUGACCAUGGUAGCAGCUUCGUUAUCCUGGUCACUCUGAAGCAGUAGAGCACACUGCCGCAGGCAGGAAUCAGGGUCAUCUUGUGCCAGGUAUAAUCGUGCCAGUUCCAACAUAAUCUGUAGAGCAAAGGGCUAGAUUCAUCAGACACUGUAUAGAAUAAAAAGUCAAUGAGGAAAAUACGUGGGUACAGAUUAAACUUUAGUUGACCAAAAGUCAUUGCAAUAAAAUGCCAAGUAUAAUAGACAAAAAAAAAAAAAAAACAACAGUAUGUAUACCCAUCUCUAUUUUCUCUUACACUAGAAAAAAAAAAAACAGAGAAACAGGUAGUAACUCACUUCAAAAGUAGAGAGACAUAAUGCAUUGUGAAAAGAACACUGGUCUUAAAACCAUGAGACUGGAUUAUAGUCCCAUAACGGGGCCAAGUCAGGUCCCUUCUACCUCCCUUAACCUGCUUUCUCAUUUGUAAAAUAAAAAGCUUCAAGCAGAUAAUCUCUAAGGUAUGCCUCAGAUUUAAAAGUAGGAUUCCAACUCCUUUAGCCACCACUGAAAAAGGUAUCUGUUUGGUUAUGCCUUGCUAAAGGUUGUUUUUGCCGUUUAUCUGAAAAAAUUAUAUUAAUAAAAAUGUUCAAACUAGUUAUUAAAUUCUAGAGGAUAGUUGUCUUUUGUACAUGAUCACUUACUUAAGUGUUUAGCCAUUAAUUAUUUUCAGAAAUUAAUAAUCUCUCCAAAUCCUCUCAGAUCUUGACAGAGUAAAAACUUUUUAUAUAAUCAGUCAUGUAUGUAAAUGUGCUACACCAAAAUUAUCUUUACAUUUAUUCUCCCACUGUGCUAUAUGAGGUCAUAGAUUGAGCCUAGCCAUUUUUGCAUCCUUAGUACUAAACACCAAUUGAAAUACAGAGUGUACAACAGCUGUUUAGUAAAAGGAACUGAAUUAUCUAAAUCCAGGUAUUUGUGAUUGAGAAAUUAUUUUAAAUUAUUUUAAAAUUAAUUUUUGAUAAACUAAAUUGAUACAAUAAAUUUGAAAAUUAUUUAAAUUAUUUUGAUAAUUAAAAACAUAAAUAUUAAAACAAUUUGCAGGUUGCUUUAUAUUACGUGUUCCAUUAUAGUUUUUAAAUAAUUGUAAUGUUCUUUUUUCUUUUCUUUUUUUUUUUUUUUGAGACAGGGUAUUGCUUUGUUACCCAGGCUGUAGUACAGUGGCAUCAUCAUGGUUAACUGCAGCCUUGACCUUCUGGGCUCAGGUGAUCCUCCUGCCUCAGCACCCCAAGGAGCUGGGACUACAGGUAUAUGCCACCAUGCCUGGCUAAUUUUAGUAUUUUUUAGUAGACUGGGGUUUACCCAUGCUGCCUAGGCUGGUCUUGAACUUCUGGACUCAAGUGAUCUGCCUGCCUUGGCCUCUCAAAGUGCUGGGAUUACAGGCAUGAGCCAUUGCAUCCAGCCUUAAACUCUAAUAUUCUUAAUGUAAGGCAUCAUGUAAGAUUUUGAAAGUUUUUGAGGAAUAAUAUUAAUCUUUUAACUUGUAUUUUUGUUACAUUUCUUUUAAAAUCUUGUUUCUAUUUUUUUAUUUUAUUUUUUGAGAUGGAGUCCCGCUCUGUUGCCCAGGCUGGAGUGCAGUGGCGCGAUCUUGGGUCACUGCAACCUCUCCGCCUCCCAGGUUCAAGCGAUUCUCCUGCCUUAGCCUCCCAAGUAGCUGGGAUUACAGGAGGCGCCCCCCACCACGCUGGCUAAUUUUUGUAUUUUCAGUAAAGACAAGGUUUCCCCAUGUUGGUCAGGCUGGUCUCAAACUCCUGACCUCAGAUGAUCCACAUGCCUUGGCCUCCCAAAGGGCUGGGAUUAUAGGCAUCAGCCACUGCACCCUGCCUACAUCUUCUUUUAAAAUAAGCUGGUAAAAAUUUUACAUCUGAGGAAAUUAGAAGACAUCUGGAAUAAAAGGUAUUUAAAAUUUUAUAAAGGUACUGACCUUAUUAUCUGUUUCGCAGUGAACCAGAGCCUCUCUAUAAAACUUAAUUGCUUUUUCAUAGUCUCGCUGAGCAACAGAAUGUUUUGCAAUCUCUGCACAAAUUUCAGCUGCUAAAUGUUUCUGUGCAGGAACUGCAUCUGGCUGUUCCAUCUGAACACGUUUUAGUACCCGAGCUUGUAAUUCUCGAGCCUAGAAAAAAUCAGUAUAAAAGGGAAUAAAAAAAAAAAAGGAAAUUAAAUUCUCCGUAACUCACACACAGCAUAAUUUUACAGAUUUAUUUAAACAUUAUGAACCCUUGAUCUAACAAAGUCUGAUCCAAAGAAAAUGUCUUAUUGAGAUCUCAAGCAUGCACUUAUUUGCAAAUGAGCCAGCACACAUAUAUCUUUCCAACAAAACACUUAUGGAAUUACUGAGUCUUUUCCCACUGUUACAACAUGUGUAUAGGAAGUUCACUAAGGAGGAAAUACAACCGUGAAACAAAUACAAAGAGGUGGGGCCUUCCUCAGAGUAAGAAUGUAGAGUAGAUUGUUAUAUUGGAAGAAUAUCAGCCUUUCCACCCAUCCAUCUGGUUUCUGGAACAUUGAGAUCUUCCUUUAAUAAAUGGUAAGAACUCACACGUUUUAGGUCUUCAAAAAUAAAAUUUAUGUUUUAGCUACACAUAAUGAUUCACUAGUGAAUGCAUUCAUUUAACAAAUAGUAAAUGCCUACCACAUGCAAUAUAUUAUGCUACACACAAGGCACCCUUCUGGGGAGUCUUGUCAAAAUGUUAGCUAACAAUUGCUUUGAAACAGGUUUUCUUUUUUUUUUCUCAAGCCAGAGGUUUAGACAGUCAUAACAGCAUUCUUUUGCAAAUGAAAGAAAAAUAUAAGUAUAUAGCAUGUGGUUAACAUUAAUACUGUCUCAUGAAAUUUUUAUUUUGGUUAUAUUAAUAUGUGUUUCAGUAUGUCAGUAUAUGUACCUUUAUGUGUUUUAGAUUAUACACAUGCAUACAUCUGUUCAUGUUUUUGCAUAGCUAUACACAUAUAUACACAUUCAUGCAUGUGCUCCUAGUAAAAAACCUGAAAACAAUUGGUUUAGAUAGAAUGAUCUCUGUCUUGCAGGAAGGCAUCCUUGCAUCCCUGAAUUCUUGUACCUCUACACAUCAAGAUGUUGUCCUCUGACAUCACUUAGCCAUUAGGAAAGUAGAAAGCAGGGAAAGACCCUGGGGCCCAUCCCUAGCACCUCAGGGGUAAGGGUACCAUCCCAAGGACACAAGUUUCCAGGCAGCAGCCUCCAAGAAUUUUGUUAGAGAUGUCCCAUCACUUAUGGCCCUACACUGUUUUACAUCUGGACUCUGGAUUGCAAGUGUAAGGAAGAAAGUGAAAAUGAAAGAGAAAGUGGAACAAAUAUUGGCAACAGAGCCCCCAGAGGACAGUUGUCCCUUUUCCAACAAGUUAAGUGGAAAAUGCUGUUGCCAUGGGAGUACAUAAUAGAAAAUCUAACUCAGUCUUGGAAGUCAGGUAAGAAUUAAAGAAUGGUUAGUAGUUACACCCUGGUGAGUUGGGGAAAAACAGAUGGGAUGAAGAGAUGGAAUGGCUCAUAGGCAUUAGGAAUCACAUGUGAAGGAAAGAGAAUGAGGGAUACACUGCCUGAUCAAAUAAUUAGAAGAAAAAAUGGCUGGAAAGAUAUAGAGAAUAUACAACAGGUAAGCCUGUUAAAUAAUCUACAUUUUAUCCUAGAGCCCAUGGGAAGCUACUAUGCCAUGUUUAUAGGCAUUGGCAUGACAGGAUCAGGUUGCCUUUGGGAACCAUCACCCUGGUGUCACUGUGAAGAACUGACUAGAGGGAAAUGAGACUGGGAUCAAUCAGGAGGCUACUUCAGGACCGUAAGCAAGAAAUAACGAUGGAGUCAGCUAAAAGAUGACAGAGAGGGCUACGGAAAUGCGGAGUUAUUGGAAAAGUCUGAAAUGUUUAGAAAGCAAAAUUCCUAAGACUUGAGAUUUCCCUAAAUUUACCAUUUCCGUCAUUGCCAAAAAUGUUUAGCAACUUUGCAAAAACACUAUGACAGAACCCCUAAGUUACAUAAUGUGGAGAAUUAAGCUCAAUAAAUGGUUGCUGAAUAAAUGAACAGAAAAUAUCAAAAACUUUGACUCCACUUAUAGGUUUCUGUUUGAAUUGCAUCUUAAGAUUUGUCUCUUUGUCAUUCAGAAUAUACAGCAUGUCAUUAGUGGGAAGAAUGUUAUAAUUCUUCAAACCUUAUUAAAGAUGAAUAAUCCCUGGGAUCUAACAUAUAAACUCAAAAUUGAUUAUAGUUUGGGGUGCUGGCAUUGUCUAGCCAUGGCAUGCUGUUUUUUGAUGUUGCUUCAUAUGUCUGCUUUUAUAACACAGAGGCUCAUGGGACCAUGGUGACUGGGACUAAUGAUAUUCAUAAAGGAGUGAACUAAGCUAAAUUUAUUUCUAAAAUGUUUUAAAAGUCACCUUUACCAAAGAUUACACUUUCCUUGUAGCUUCUGGUAACUAACCUAUGGCUGGGUGCAAUUCUCUAUCAUGUGAUUCAGAAAAUAAGAGCUAAAAUGUACCAAUAAUUAAGGAUAAGAUAUUAAUAUUGUUUAAGAUUACAUAUUUUAAUGAUAUCAUAAACUUAGAUAGAUAUCACAGAAAUCUAAUAAUCCAAGCUCAAUUCAUUCACAAUUAGAACAAAAAAAUUUUGGGACUGUCUACUGAAACUUGGGUAUGCACGCACAUGCAUGCACACACACGUGCACACACACAUACACACACCCCUGUCAGUUAAAUCUCAAAACCAAAACACUACAAAUUAAUUGCAGAAUGCAGAACUCUUCUGGGUACACAGGAAUCUAGUCAAAAGGUGACUAGUAUAGUAUCCUGGAAAGCACAAAGGGUUAGGACUGAGGCAUCUGCAUUCCACUUCAAACUCUUCUAGUAACCAGCUGUAUAAUCUUGGACAAACACUCUCUGUGGGAAAAUAAGCACAGUAAUACAUAAACUGUUUGCUUACCUCACAGACCUGUUGCUUCCAACAUAUCACAGGGGCUUACAGACACAGAAUAAACAGAAUGAGAUAAAAAUAAUGGGGGUCCUUUUUAAAAAAUAUAAAGUAUUAAGAAGGUAAGUGAUGAUUUCACUUUUAUAUCCAGAAACUAGACAACUGCAAAACAAACCAAUAUUAUGGAUCCUAUCUGGGGAACAGUAAAGUGCCUCCAGGGAACUUGGGAAGUAAGAUCAUCCCUCUCAGAAGUAAGCUGCAAAAUCAACACAUAAUAGAUAGGGCAGAUAGGCAAAAUCGCUUAAAUGAGAGGGAGAACCUAGAAGAUUUCUCUAAAAAUCUUCCAGUGUCUGAUACUGAAAUAAAAUAUAUCACAUUGUGUUCCCUAUAAACAAAGUUUCAAACAACUAAUUUAAAAUGCAUGACAACAAUAAUAGAAAAGGCAAAGAUAGAAUAAUAGAAUUUGGAUAAGAAGAAAUGUGUGUUGUAGCUAACACCGAAAAAUAAUAAAAGGAGGUAUAAAUAACACAAUAGAGGGGAAAGUGGAAUAAGAAUAAUUUAACUCAGAUAAAAGUCAAGAAAAUUUAGAAAAAAACAGAUUGUAAGAUGGCAAAUCCAAAUGCAAAUAUAAUUCAUAACUAUAUUAAAUGUUAAAAAAACUAUAAUAGAUUUAGAUUGUCAAGAAAAAAAUUGUAUGCUGACAGAUCUUAAACAUAAGGACACGUAAAAUUGAAAGUAAAAGAAUGCAGGAGAUAUACCAUGCAAGUACUAAAAGGAAACUGGAGUUAGCUAUAAUAACACAAGACAAAGGAGAUUUUAAAGCAAGAAGCAUUACUAGAAAUGAAGAAGGCCAUUUUAUUAUUUUAAAUAACUUAAUUCACCAGGAAGAUAUUGUAAUUCUAAAUCUGGAUCAUUCAAUAAUGUAUCUUCUAAAUAAAUGAAGCAAAAAUACAUAGAACUAAAUGGAAAAAAAAGAAAUCCACAAUUACACUGAAAGACUUUAACACCCCUCUCAUACAAAUAGACCAAAACCAAGCAAACAAAUAACGACCAAACACUAAGAACAGGGAAGAUGUACAGAAAUCAGUCAACAAACCUGACCUAAUUGACAUACGGUUGAACUAAGUAUUUAUUAGGUUGGUGCAAAAGUAAUUGUGGUUACAGUAAUGUUAGAAACACAUUAUUUCAAGUCCACAUGGAACCUUUACCAAAACUGAUUAUAAUGUAGGAUGUAAAGCAAGCUUCAACAAAUUGCAAAGGAUUGAAUCAUUCAAAGUAUGUCUUGGCACAGCAGAAGUGUACUAGAAGUCAGUAUCAAAAAGAUAACAAGCAAAUCAGAACUCCAUAAAAAUUCAAUGUUACACUUUUAAAUAACCCACCGGUCCAAGAAGCAAUCAAAGUGAAAAUGAGGAAAUGUUUUACACUAAAUAAUAAUAAACUUGUGGAAUGCUGAUAAACCAGUGUUGAGAGAGAAAUUUACUGCUUCAAAUGAAUAGGAAAAUAACAAAAGCUCGAAAUCCAUUACCUAACAUACUAUUUCAAGAGGCUAAAAAAAAAAAAAAAAAAAAAAAAAAAUUAGUAAACCAAACCCAAAGAGUGUAGAAGAAAUUAAUUAUGAGGUUAAAACAUUUAAUGAAGCCAGAAAAGGCAAAAGUUGACCCUUUGAAAAUAUUAAUAAGAUAACCCCUAGCAUAACUGAUUAUUAAAGAAGAAAAAAUUACUAAUAUCAGGUUUGUAAAAGGGACCUUUUUCACUGCAUUUGUAGACAUUCAAAAGAAAAGAUAUAAUAAACAAGUUUAUGUUAAUAAAUUUAACAAUAAACUGAGUACUUAAAAAAUUCCAAAUUGAUAUAAGAAACAAUUUGAAAAUGAUCAGUCUGAAAUCUAUUAAAAACUUUCCUUCAAAGAGGUCUCAAGGCCUGCAACAAUGAAUUAUUCCAAACAUCAAAGAAUUAGCAGCCGGGUGCGGUGGCUCACGCCUGUAAUCCCAGCACGUUGGAAGGCCGUGGCAGGGGGAAUCACCUGAGGUCAGGAGUUUGAGACCAGCCUGACCAACAUGGUGAAACCCUGUCUCUGCUAAAAAUACUAAAAAUACAAAAAUUAGCUGGGCAUGGUGGUGAGCAUCUGUAAUCCCAGCAACUCAGGAGGCUGAGACAACAGAAUCGCUUCAACCUGGGAGGCAGAGGUUGCAGUGAGCUGAGAUCAUGCCAUUACACUCCAGCCUGGGCAACAAGAGCAAAACUCCGUCUCAAAAAAAAAAAAAAAAAAAAAAGAAAAAAAGAAUUAGCAUCAAUUUGUUGAACACAGAUGCAGAAAUCCUGAACAAAAUAUUAUAAAACAUCUUUAAAUUCCAGCAAUAUCUUUUUAAAAAUUAUAUCAAAGUGACAUUUAUUUCAGAGAUAUAAGGUGUUUUAACAUUUGAAAAUAAGUCAAUUUAAUAUACCACAUUUGAAAAGGAAAACAGGAGGAAAGACAUAUGAUCAUCUUGAUAGAUGCAGAUAGUAUAUUUGAUAAUAAUUCAAGUCACUUAUAAAGAAGUUGUUAGCAAAUCAGAAACUGAAUCAUCAUUAAAAAAACAUCAACCACUUGGGAACAUACCUAAGGAAAUCUGUGUAAAACCUCUACACUGAGAACCACAAAAUAUUAAGAGAAAAAAGAAGAUCUAAAUAAAUGGAGGAAGAAAGCACUAAGUUCAAAUCCUGAUGACACUAUUCAUAUGACUUCACACAAGUUAAUCAAGUCUCCUCAGCUAUAAAAUGGGAUUAAAAAAUUCCAACCUUCCCAAAUUGUUAUAAUAGUAGUAAUAGUAUAUUUAAAAUGUAUAAUUCAUAAGCAUUCAAUAAGUAUUUUGAUUUUGACAUAUUUUCUGUAGCUGUUUGGCCAAAAGAGAUUGCUUUCCUCUUAUACAUGGCAUAUUUCCUUCUGCAUCCAUCUCCUACCUCAUGACCACACUCACAGACAAAUGUGUUUACCUGUUGUAAUGCAGUGAUCGCAUCACCAAGUUUUUCCAUUUUACUAUAAACUUUUGCUAGAAGAACUUGACAACGUCCAUCCUCCAUGAGAGCUGACAGUUCAUUUACUAUGAAAGAAUGGAAUGUAAUGCAAAAAAUUAUUCAUCUUAAAUAAAUGUUUAUAUUUUUCCAGAAUUUUUAAAACUGGUCUCUAGAAAAAAUGAUUUUGAAAAAUAGUGAAUACGGUUAAAAUUUUCUCAAUCAGUUGCCUGAAGAAUGGCCAAAUUAAAAAAAAAAAGAAAAGAUUUAGGAUAAAAACUGGCUGGAUGAAAAGUUAAAGAACGGGUUAACAACUAGAGGCUUUUCUUAGACAUAUAUUAGGAGAUAACAAUUUAACACCACAAUAAUUUCCAUUUUUAUUCUUAAGUGUAUAAAAAUUUGUUUACUGAAGUCAUUAGAAGAUAGAGUAGUUGCUAUAUGCAAUUAAGAAGAUAACUGCUCUUUUAAAAAUCAUAGAUAUUUGAUAAGCAAUAAAGUACAGUUGUUAAGAGCACUGACUUUGAUGUUGAAUGGUCUGGUUUCAAAUCUAGGCUUUACCACUUACUAGCCCUCUAAUUUUGAGCAAGGUACUUAACCAUUCUGCAGUUCCCUCUCAUCUGUAAAAUAGGAAAAAUGAUAGUAACUACCUCACAGGGUGGAUGCAAGAUUUUAAUAGCUAAUAAGUUACUAAAUAAGUUAAAAUAUGCAAAGUAGUGAAAACAAACUCUGGUACGUGGUAAGUUCUAUAUAAAUAUUUGGUUAAUGCCAAAUGUUUUGUGUCUAAGAACAAUAAAAGAACCCUAGAUAAUUAACAAAAAUGUUUCCUCCACCAUUUGUCAAGUGCACAGUUCAUGACACGCCAUGCCACUUUACCAACUAGGUAGUCCUGGACACAUCAAUAAAACUGAGUUUCAGAUUGCUAAAUUUAAAAUGGGUAUGAUUAUAUUUGCCUCAAAGAUUAAUAUGAGUCCUGAUGAGAUAAUGUAUGAAACGUAUAUGAAGGCAUCUAAGUAUGUCAUGGGUAUGCUCAGCAAAUAUUAAAUGAAAGCAUUUAUGUUACAUAAAUAUAAUAUACCCAUUGUAACUAAAACAUAUGAUACUUGAAUCUCUCUCCCCCUACAAACUUUUCAAAAUGUAUAUCCACAUUUAGGCCUUUCAAGUGUUUCAAAAGAAGAUCUGACAAAUCCAUGCAUAUAUUUUUAUGGAACUACUAACACUUCAUACAAUAAAUACAUUUAUAAUUAGAAGAAUUUAAGCACCAAUGUCAUUAAAGCUAAACCAAAAGAUCAUUUUGAAAAUAUCAGAAAACUUACAAUGGGCUUCUCUCAUCAUGUGUUCAAAUGUAUUUUAAAGCUACACUAAACAUGUUGUUGGCAAAAGAAAAGAAACAUACACAAUGGAAUAAAACAAAGAUUCCUAUAAUCAGAGCAAUGUAUAUGAAGGAGUUUAUUAUAAAAUAAAGGAGCCAGUUCCAUAAAUGGCAUGAAAAUAAAAUUGGCUAUCCAUUUUGGAAACUAUAUAGUAAAACUUGUAUGUGGAAUAAAGUACAUGGAUUAAAGUUCUCAAUAUAAAAAUGAAAACAAUAUAAAUGACAAAAAUAUAUGGAAAUAGUUUCAUAACGUUAGGAUUAGGGAAGGUCUUUUAGAGAGUGACAAGAAAUUCAGAAGCCAAAAAAAGACAUGAAAAGCAGAUAUAUGAUCAUUAAAUAUUCUACUUGAUCAAAGAUACAAUAAACAAAUCUGAUGAAGAAAAGACAGCCCGGGAGAAAAUAUCUACAACAUGAACAUUAGGUAAAGGAUUAAAGACAAAGAAUAUAAAUUAAAAAUUCCUAGAAGAAAAUAAGAUAUAUAAACAAAAUAAUACCUAACCUUAUCACUCAUCAAAGAAAUGUAAAUUAAAAUGUUUAUUUUUCAUGACUAACACGACAUAAUGUCAGGAAGUUUUUAGCCUUAAGAAAGAACAAUGGGGCAAGAUUCAAUUCUAGGAAGUACAGAGAGGUAUAUGUAUAUAAACAAGGACUUUAUCUCAGUACUGCUUCCAACUAUUUCCCAAGCUAAAUGUCUAUUCCAAUAUGAGACUCAUCAAAUCAAUUAUGAUAUUAAGAUACAGUGGAAUACUCUACAUAUGCUAAAAAAUAAAGAAGAGCUAUAUUUCUAACAAGGAAAGAAGUUAUUAAAUGAAAAAUGCAUACUGCAGAAUUAUAGGUGUACUAUAAUCCAUUUAGAUAGUAAAAAGUGGUAGGUAUAAUAAUUGUGUAUAUAUGAGAGGCAAAGAUGGGGGCAGGGAGACUGAAUAUCAUGAUAUACAAGUUGUUAAAUAUGGUUUUCUCUGGAGAGCGGGAGAGGACACAACUUUUAUUCACUUCUGUAAUCUUUAAAUUCUGGCAAUGGGCAACCACUAGAUUUUAUUUAAAAAUAAAGAUCUUAGGCCAGGCGCGGUGGCUCACGCCUGUAAUCCCAGCACUUUGGGAGGCCGAGGCAGGCAGAUCACAAGGUCAGGAGAUCGAGACUGUCCUGGCUAACAUGGUGAAAACUCGUCUCUACUAAAAAUACAAAAAAUUAGCCGGGCGUGGUGGCAGGGGCCUGUAGUCCCAGCUACUAGGGAGGCUGAGGCAGGAGAAUGGUGUGAGCCCGGGCAGCAGAGCUUGCAGUGAGCUGAGAUCGUGCCAUUGCACUCCAGCCUGGGCAACAGAGUGAGACUCUGUCUCAAAAAAAAAAAGAUCUUAAAAAAGUAAAUUUUUACAAACUUGAAAGAAGGUAAUUUGAUAGUACCCAAACAAAUUUUACAUGCACAAAAUCUCCAGCUCAGCACCCUACUCUAAGAAAUAUAUGCAAAUGUACACUAAGGAAUGAUACAGUGAUAUUCAUUGGAACAUGGAUUAUAAUAUCAAAAUAAUGGAAAGCAAACUAAACAUCCAAUAAUUUCAAGAAAAUUAAGUAAUUUAUUGGUGUUAUGGAACAUUAUGAUGCCUGUAGAUAGAAUAAUAUGAAUAAAAUUUCCUAGAAGAAAAUAAGAUAUAUAAACAAAAUAAUACCUAACUUUAUCACUCAUCAAAGAAAUGCAAAUUAAAUGCAUGAUGUACUGACAUCAAACUAUCUGGGACACGUAUGUGGAAAAAAUUGCAGAAAAGGAAGAGUAACAGUUUCGCACAGGAAAAUCACAUUACACUUAUAUAUACACACACAUAUAUAGAAUAUAUAUUAAAUUACAAGCUACUAGGGAGGUAAUUUGAGAACAAGGCAAAUGGAAUUCAUAGGAGAAACAGAUGACUUAUGCAUUAUAUUCUUUUAUAGAGCUUGAAUUUUAAAAAAGAAGCAUGCUACUUUUUAAAAAAGAUUACAAAAAUGCUAAUGUGUUUAAAUAUGAGAUAGCUGUAAUUUAAAGAUAACUAUAUUAUUUUGGAAAGUAAGCUAUAUUUCUAUAACACAAUUAACUGUUUCAUAAAUCUGCUACUAGAUUUCAAAAUAUCACAUUUUAGUAGAGUGGCAUUCUGAUAAAAGAAAAAAUACGCAUGUAUUUAUAUAACCAACCACAAAUAAAAUAUUGAGAAUACAAAUACAUAUUUAUGCAAUAUAAAAAUAAAAUGGAUCAGAGUUAUCAGACUUUUUUCAAACCAGAAAGACUUUCAUACCAGGUUCAUGAGCCAGAGCAUGCUGAAGAACUUUUUCUGCUUUGUCAUACCAUUUCAAUUUUAAUAAGAGCUCAGCCAGGUCAUAGCAAAGAUAAUUCUUUUGUCCAGUUUUCAGAGCAGCUUCAUAGUAAGUGAUUGCCUAAACAAAAUUCAUUCCAUUUAAGGGAACAAGGCAAUGAGAAUGGCAUUCAAGCAGAGCUAUUUAAUACAUUACAGACUUAAAGCAUUGGUAUAACUAGAAAUAACCAGGAAGAAUUGUAGGCAUACACCUGCCUGUCAAUUAAGUAUGUCAUACUUCUCAGAGAAUAGAUCAUCACAUGAAACAACUAAUAUAUAUAUAUAUUUUUUUUUUUUGAGUCACAGUCUCACUCCAUCACCCAGGCUGGAGUGCAGUGAUGCAAUCUCAGCUCACUGCAACCUCUGCCUUCCAAGUUCAAGCAAUUCUCCUGCCUCAGCCUCCCAAGUAGCUGGGAUUACAGGAGCCCACCACCAUGCCCAGCUAAUUUUUUGUAUUUUUUCGUAGAGAUGGGGUUUCACCAUGUUGGCCAGGCUGGUUUCAAACUCCUGAACUCAAUUGAUCCACCCGUCUUGGCCUCCCAAAGUGUUAGGAUUACAGGCGUGAGCCACCACACCUGGCCAACAACUAACAUUUCUUAUGAUAAGUAGAUAAAGAACGGUACUUGGCAAAGAAUAUUUUUUACAGGUUUUAUGAGGCCAGUGAACCUUAUCAAAGGCAUACAUUUUGCUAGCUGUUGUACAUAUGGUCAACAAUUACCAGGAAUAGGGCAAGAAUAUAACAGUUCAAGAAAAAUCUGUUUCCCUUACUGGAAAAAAAAAUGAACUCAAAACACAUAGCUUGCAAAAAUUGGUGCAACAGAAAGAACAUUUAUCAUGUUUUGUUACACAAUGAAAGAGGUGUAAGAAUAGCAACUUUAUGGUAAUUGAUUUGGUAGCAAGGAUUCUAGCUGCAAGAUGAAGCAAGGUCUAGGGUCCAAAUAAUCACCACGAAAUGAAGCAAUGAAGAAUCUGAUAAAUCUAAGAAGGCCUUUAACACAAAUCCCAGUUCAUAAAUACAGAUUUGGAGUUUACAACCAUUAAAGAUGCAAAUGGUGCUCGCUGAAGCUUCUCGAGGACAGGGUAUGAUAAAUUUGAUGCAACAGACAUAUUUCAAACAAUAAAGUACUUACCAUUGAGUAGUUAUGAGUUUUGAUAAGUGCUUUGCCCAUUUUGCUUGCCAAUGUUCCAUCUUUCGGGUUCUGAUUUAAUGCUUGCUCAUAUGCUACUAUGGCUUCUUCAGGCUAAUAUUGCCAGACACAAAAAAUAAGCAAUAAAAAAUAGCAUAACUGGGUCCCAUUAAAGGGCAACAGUUCUAUAAUUAAUCUCUACAUUUGUAAUAUUACAUAAGACUUGGCAUAUAUUAAAGCACAGGAACUUUAACAAUUUCAAAAAGGUGAUAAAUGAGAAAAGCAGGUAUGGAUAGGUAUAAUUUAUUAGGAUAAUUCUACCCAUAUUAACUGUGCUCUUGUCUAUAUAAAUAACAAUAUGUGGACUAAGAGACACCAUCUUGACUUUUCAUUUCCAGAAGUCAUUAAACUGCCAGUUAUAGAGGGCUGAAGGAUUGGUUCCCUUUGAAGAAAACACCACCUUAGUCUGUAGCUCCCUUUAUCCUUCUGUAUAAAGAAGAAGACUCCUAACAUACCUCUGGUAUCAACUCUACAUUUUUUUUUUUUGAGAUGGAGUUUUGCUCUGUCACCCAGGCUGGAGUGCAGUGGCGCAAUCUUGGCUCACUGCAAACUCCACCUCCCAGGUUCAAGUAAUUCUCCUGCCUCAGCCUUCCCAAUAGCUGGGACUACAGGCAGGGCUAAUUUUUUGUAUUUUUUGUAGAGACGGGGUUUCACCAUGUUGGCCAGGCUGGUCUUGAACUCUUGAUCUCAAGUGAUCCACCAGCCUUGGCCUCCCAAAGUGCUGGGAUUACAGGCAUGAACCACCGUGCCUGGCCUCAUCUCUAUUUCAAAUAACAAUAGUGCUGAAUUACUGGAUCUCAACUUUAAAAAUAGAAUCCAUUUUUAAAAAUUGAUAUCUCCCUUUUAUUUUAUUUAUCCUUUAAAAUGGAUAUCUCCCUUUUACUGUGAUGGCUGGAUCUUCAAAUAUUAAACAUUAUUUUAAAAAACAUUCCUUUUAAUAGGAAGUUGUACUCAUCACAAAUAAUUUUUUAAAAAUGCAGUUCAGUAACAUCAGAAAUUUUACCUCUAGAAUAUUCAUGUAUGCAUCACCAAGGAGAAGAAAAGACCGAGGGUUAGCCAUUCUUUCAGCAAUUUCUCUGGAAAUCAGACCAACAUUACUUAGCAUAUUGAACACAGAUAUCUUCUUCCAAAAAUAAAAUAAAAUAAAAAAUAAGCUCCCUUAUUUUAGUUAGCCAGUAGCCUUCAGAGUAUCUCUAUAUACCCAACAGUGUAAUAUUAUAAAAACCUCAUGCAUACCCACACCCAAAUUGUUUAUGCUAGAUCAGCUAUUUCUGUCACUGAAUCUUUCCAUUUUCUGAAAUGCAGGUAACUGAGUUCAGAUAGAUAGUAAAUAUCUAGGUUCUCCUUAUUUGGACCUACACAUUUUGCUAUGUUUACUUCUGAAAUGAUGUGGGAGUGAAGGUACCAAAAAAAUGAUGGGAGAAUAAAAUUUUACUGUCCUCCUAUGCAUCUUGAGCUCUGAUACUCAUGGCAUAAAUUAUAUGCUGAAAUAAAUUACCUUAAAAAAAUACAAAAUCUUCUAUUUCAGUAUUUGUUGCUUACAUUUGACCUGAAAAUGUAGACUACUAAAGGUCAAAUUACCAAAGUUAUUGAAAUAAUAAUGUGGUGUUAAGUCUUUAACAUACAGUAUUUCAUCUAACUGGUCCAAAAACUCUUGAGAAUUAUUAUCCCAGUUUUACAGAUGAUGUUAAGAGUUGCAGCUGAUGUGUCAGAUCUUCCUGAAACAAAACCUAUACUUUUAACUAUUACAUUAUAGUACAUCAAAAAUAAAUCAACCCUAUUUUGAAUUAUUUUCAUAUCAUUAGAGAUGACAGUGAUAAUCUUCUGGAAAUACCUUAGAAAACACAAUCUAGGAACUCCAGUCCAUCUGUCUAAACAUGCGGUGCUGCUCAGUUUCUCUGAAUCACUCAGUGCUUAAAAGAAUCUGAGCAGCUUUUUGAGUUUGAUAUAAUAUAGAUGAGCCAAUACUGAAUUACUUCAUCAACAGUUUACUAUGAUCUCAAGAGCUAAAAACGUUAAUUUUCUCUUACAUAGAGUGUAUGCUUCUAUGUUUACCCUUCUGUUUGGGGAGAAGAGGAAGAGCAAUCUGUGUGUGUGUGUGUGUGUGUGUGUGUGUGUGUGUGUGUGUUGUGUAUCCCAAUAACUCAUAAGGGCAUCAGUGUGACAUACUUUUAAGGUCAUGCUCUUUCACCAAGAAAUAUCUGUAAUCCACACGUUAGCAUGGUACAUACUAAAAUAACUUUUUUUUUCCUACAACUACUAUAUCGACUAAUAAAUACACCUGCCUAUCCCGUAGAUUAUUGUUAUAUUACAUGAUGCUCUUAAGUUAUUAGAACACAGGGUACAAUUUCCCUUCUCAAACAGGAAGAUCUAGGGUCUAAAAAUAAUAUUUGAUAAGGAGAGCUGAGAAACUACAGCAAGCCAGUUUGAAGGAAUCAUAAUUAUGUUUUAGGGAGAGCAAAUAACUUGGUUAGAGUGAUUGCAGUUGGUGGUAGAAGGAAUCAGGACCACAUUCAGAAAACGAUCUGUAAAGUAUUUGUGAAGCAGUUGAAAGAAAGUUAAAAAAAAAUUGGGAAUUAAUACUAGUGGCUAAAUGUAUCAAAAUAUAAUGGGUUAAGACAAUUACUUACCUAAAACAAGUGAUAUAUAACAUUUUAUCUUUUCUGUGCUUCAGAUAAAUAUCUGCCAUUUUUUCUCUGGCCUCUAUAAAAUAAGGCUGUUCGGCUGUAACAUUCUGAAGGAUGCUUAAAGCCCGUUCAAUAUCUCCUUGGGCUAGAGCAAGGUCUGCAUUAGCAAUGGUAACCCGCACUUCUUCAGAUGUUCCAGAAAAUUCAUGGAUGGCAUCUUGUAAAACUUUGGUUGCCUCAUGCUGUAAAGAUGAAAUUAAAAUAAUCAUUCUUCCAAAAUAGUGAACAAAUAACACUAGAAAGGGAGAUUUUCUCAUAACGCAGAAUGAAUAAAUGCUAGUACAUUUAUAAUAUUUACGAAAUAAAUUGAUAGAAUUUUCUGAAACCUCAAAAAUUUAAAACUAAACCCAUGACCAAAAUCAGAUGAGCCUGUAAAUAUUGUUAGCUAGAUAAAUGUUUUCACAACUAGGACAACAGCAGCUGCUACAGAGGGUCACUGCUACUAUAUUAAUGAGCACUUACUAAGCACCCAGCAUUGAAUAAUGAAGAGCUGUACACACUGGCUCUUCAUUAAGUGGCAGAUUAUUCCCUCCACCAGAACACUGUUGUUACACUUUGGGUGAAUAUUCUACCUCAUUUCCAAAUGUGUACCUUGAUGAAUCUAAAAUGUCAUUUAAGAGUCAUCUCAACUUCAGAGAUUAUAAGAAUUCCAGAAAUGUUAAAAUGUAAUUUAAGUGUACCUCAGAAUCAACUUUAUAGGGUAUAAUUGGCCUUACUUGUUAAAUGUACUUUAAGUUAACUAGUAAAACAGAAAUUCUCUCACACCUGUAAUCCCAGCACUUUGGGAGGCCGAGCUGGGUGGAUCACUUAAGCCCAGUAGUUUGAGACCAUCCUGCAUAACAUAGGGAGACCCUCUACAAAAUAUUUUAAAAACUAGCUGGGCAUGGCCCAGCUACUUGAGAGACUGAGAUGGUAAAAUCUCUUGGACCCAGGAGUUUGAGGUUGCAGUGAGCUAUGAUUGUAUCACUGGAUGCCAGCUGAGGAGACAGAGUGAGACCUUAUCACUAAAAAAUACAGUAAAUAAAUGGAAAUUCUUUGUGAUUUGGCAAAUAUUUAGAAAUACAGCCUUCUUAAUUUUCAUUAAAAUAUGAAAAAUAAGUGAUUAGCAAGUGCUGCAACCUAAAACAACGGAUACAAAUGACUUUGAGUUCCUCAUUUUCUACAAAGUUGUAAUUCUCCCAGAAUUACUUUCUAUCUUAUCGUAUAUAUUAUUAUUUUUAAAAAUAUCUGACUUUAUAAUAUUCCUAUGAGUUUACCAAAGCUGUAUUCAUCAAGUAUUUUGUCUCCUCAUCUACUAGAAUUUCAGGUUGGUACUUCCUUUUUAUUUCAGUAGUUCUGGAGUGUGCAUAAAUGUGUGUUUGUGUUUAUGUGUAUAAAUCUUUUUAGAGAUUCAUAGGAUUAUAACUGCAUUAUAUUAUUACAUUCAUGGUAACCAAGAGAGUUGUACAUCAUGUUAUUAUGUUCCAUUGUAGCCAACAUGAGCACACUGAUACUUAAGGUCAACCAGGAGCAAAUUAUGCUUAACUUUCAGGGGCUUACAGGAAGUUUAUUUUUAGUGCAAGGUAAUGAAAAUUAAAUUUUUCUAAAGUUUACCACCUGGUCAAGGGAAUACAUUUAGCUUUUCAUUUUUUUUCUCUGAGAUGGAGUCUCAUUCUGUCACCCAGGCUGGAGUGCAGUGGCAUCAUCUCGGCUCACUGCAACCUCCGCCUCCUAGGUUCAAGCGAUUCUCCUGCCUCAGCCUCCCGAGCAGCUGGAACUACAGGUGCGCACUACCACAUCCAGCUCAUUUUUUUGUAUUUUUAGUAGAGACAGGGUUUCACCAUAUUGGCCAGGCUGGUCUCGAACUCCUGACCUCAGAUGAUCCAUCUGCCUCGGCCUCCCAAAGUGCUGGGAUUACAGGUGUGAGCCACCAUGCCUGGGCAGCUUUUCAUUUUCUACUAAUAUAUAUGUUAGAAUAAGAAAGUUCACAUCCGAGCCCUUAAAUUAAAACUUGACCUACCUGCUCUCCAUUUAAGCGGUGAACGUCUAUCAAUUCAAGAAAGAUCGAUAAACGAUGGCUUGUAUCAACUUCAGUUUUUCUGUCUUUUGAUUUUGUGGAAGCUCCAAUUCUUUUCAUUCCUGGUAAACUCAUUGCCAUAUGCAGUGUUUUAAUUGCGUCUGCUAUUUCUCCCAUUUUCUUUUGUGACUGAGCUUUUAUCAAAUGGUAUAAAGGAUAGUCUCUCACCUGAAGAAUAAUAUUUAAUAUUUCCUUGGAGUGCUUACAACAUCAACACAUAAUUUACAAUCCAUCAAACAUUAAAAUAAUGAGAUCACUGAGAACAGUCCAUCUUUGAUUGUAUGCAUGAGGUCUAUCUCUGCCCUCUUAUUAACCCUCUGAUUAUGUAUCACAUUAAAUCGGAUUCAGGAAAAUUGCUUCUCCCUGCAUCCUUUGAGAUGACAAAGAGGUUGAUUACAUAUUUCUACUGUGACAGAAGAGAAAGUGCAAACAAGCUUUAUAAGGCUAGCAAAUACAUUCUAAGAGAUUACUUGAAUUUUCAGGAAAAGAAUUUCUUUAUCUGGCACUUCUACAACUGAUAUGAAGUUAUUAGAUUUCUAGAAACACUGUUUCUCCCCUUUAUUUUUUUAAUUUGAAGAUUAAAAGUUUCAGGACAUUUUAAUCAAACAUUGACCUUCCCCUUUGACACUACUCCUAAAUAUGUAGUUCUGAAGCUUCCAUCUUUACGUUGGCUAUCAACAGUAUAUACAGAAAACAUAAGAAAAUGAUAAAAAUGAGGUGGGAAAAAGAAGUCAAAGGGAAGGAGAGGACUCAGAACGAGGUGACGUGGCAGCCACCUAGCGAUUAGGAAGUCUAUAAUCCUCCUGAUGCUGAGGUUCUCAACCUUAGGCAGCCUGCACAUUUGCUUACAGAGCUUCGUGUGAGACUCACGCUUGUGCUCCUUCCUCAGAGAUUUUGACUCAGUAAAGGUGGGGCACCAGCACUGAGGCUCUGACAUACCACUAGUCUUGAAAACCACUAUCAUAAGAAGCAGGUGAUAUUUUCUGCAAUUUUUUUUUUGAGAUGGAGUCUCGCUCUGUUGCCCAGGCUGGAGUGCAGUGGCGUGAUCUCAGCUCACUGCAAGCGCUGCCUCCCAGGUUCACGCCAUUCUCCUGCCUCAGUCUCCCGAGUAGCUGGGACUACAGGCACCCGCCACCACGCCUGGCUACUUUUUUUGUAUUUUUAGUAGCGACGGGUUUUCACUGUGUUAGCCAGGAUGGUCUCGAUCUCCUGACCUUGUGAUCUGCCCACCUCGGCCUCCCAAAGUGCUGGGAUUACAGGCGUGAGCCACCACGCCCGGCCUUCUGCAAAUCUUAAUUAGGAUUCUCUAAUUCACUGAAGGGUUCUCUCUUAACAGGGUCCAUGACCCUGUGAAGCAAAGCAGAAGUUUUCAGAGCUCCUCCAUGACUUGAGGUAGUUCAGGAAGCAACUGAACCUAGGAUUUUCCCUAACGUUGAGGGGAUACUGGAUAUAACACAUAAUAUCUUGGAUAGAAAAGUACUGUGUUUUUAUAUCCUCAAACCACAAAAUUACUUUCAAAAUGACAAGAUGUUCUUUCACAAUGAAUCUAAAAAGAAGUUAUUAAAAACUAAGGUCCAAGAAAUAAACAGACAAUUAUUAUCUUUAUACAUAAAAAUAUUUGACAUAAGGAUCAUCAUUUUUAUAUACCUUCAUUAUUGCAUUUAAUUCUCAUUGUAACAGCAGAGUAUUAGUAAAUGAGUUUUACAGAAAAGAAAACUGAGGCUCAGAGAGAAGUGAAAGACCAGACAUUAACCUCAGGAUUUUUGUCACCAAGUCCACAUAGUUUUUUACCCAUACCUGAAUUGCCUCAAUUUUUCCUCCUACUGCUUGUGAGUUCCAUUUUUUUUUCCAUUAAAAAUGCAACUGUUAGCAAAAUACUACAGGCUAAAACACAAAAUACUUGAAUAUGUAAGCUUUCAAGGAGGGUGAUAUGUCUUAUCCACUUCAGUCUGGAAUACUUACCUUAAAAUCAUAGCUCAGACAAAGUUCAAGAGACUGAGAACACAAUUUGACUUUUUCUUGAGACAAGUAAACCUGAGCUAGCAGCAGAUGAGCAUCAGCAUAAGAGGGAUUGUGUUCUAAGCAGUGCUGAAGGUUAUUGAAAGCUGCUUCAAUAUCACCUAAUAAGAAAAACAAUGCAUUGUUAUAAUUCAAAUGAUUAAGAAAUGGAGAUCUGAGAGGGAAGAGGAAGAAGAGUGUUUAGUUUACGGAUAGCCCUAGUGUUUGUAAACUUAAAGUUUGCUGUUCAUAGGCCAUGGUUUAAUUCCAUCUGCACUAGUUAGCUUCCUUCUAGUCUACAUGAAUGAAUACACCUGCAAGUCAGGCAAGUUCUUGAUCCUAACGAACAAGCCAGGGAAAGCAGGAAAGGAUGAGAGCCAAGCACUGGUGUUACUGAGAGGCCAAUAAACGGACCUUUAUUUUCCUUGUCAAAAAAAGGUUUUAUUUAUAAUUUCAUUAAAAUAAAUUAUGUAGAACAAAAACAUUUGAAUAGCUAGAAUUUUGUUGUGUCACUUAUGUUAACAAAGAGGAUAUCAGUCUAGUAAUCAUUCUUGGUCAAAAAUUCUAUUACUACUAUACAUAAAAUAACAAAAAAGGCCUAAGGAUAUACUUCAGAGAUUCAGAAAUAUGAGUUAUAGAUUUAAAAUACCUUUAAAUACCAAUGGAAAUAAUGCCAGUUAUAUAUCUGGGAGUCUUAAAAUAGAAGGAAAUAAUCAAGAUUAAAGUGACAGGAAUUGAGGAAUUGACCUCGGGCUGAUAGAUGCGGUAAGAAGAGGCUCUUCAGAGGAAAACACUGCAUUGAUUCUAAGUCUUAGAAGUUUCUCAUGAUGUAACCCGCACUGAUCUGCACUUAAGUCACCUCAUAAAUGGGCCUUAAGAAGAUGUAAGUAGGCUAACUCCCCAUUCAACCUUGCUAGGAGAAUGUGGGAAGAAGAGAGCCUAAAUGAUUUUCUGUUCAUUUAUGCCCCUCAAACUCACCUGAUGCCUCAGUCAACAAAAUAAGGCUUAACUUACUGGUAACAGACAUGCACUGAGACUGAAAAUGUUCUUCUCAGAGACAGAAGAUUAAUAGAAAACUAACUGGCUGAGAUAGCAUAAUGACUUACUAAACAUGGCAUCAAAGUUUAGCAAUCAACCGUCAAGCAUAAUUAACAAGGUUAGAUUCUUAACUUAUUGUGAUACAAUCCAACACUCAAAACUGCACAGGUACAAAAAGGAAGAGUUAGGCAUAAUAAAUUUGUGUGAAAAUUCUUUUAGCAAGGAGAAGGACUAAGGCGAUAAUUUGAAGAAACAGGUUGUACUAACAGGAGAAAGUGCAUAGAGAAUUAGGGUUUGCAACUAAGAGAAUGAAGAAAAUGAGUGCCGUAUGAGUAACAGAAAUGAGAAUCUUUGUUUCUUUUAAGGGUGAGGAGAUGGAUAUGUAGGGUAGGAUACUAAAUAUUUAAAAUAUUUUGAAAUAUUUUAAAUAUUUAAAAUAUUUUGAAGGAUACUAAAUAUUUAAAAAUGAGAAGUGGGUCAUUACUUUUGAGGAAAAUAGACCCUGUCACCAGAGAUCAACACCAACAUCACAUUCUUUCUAAGAGCAGUCCAACUUCCCUUGAGUGAAACUGAAAGACAUUUCAGUCCUGUCUGUCUGUCUUUGUCAGAAUUCUGGGUAAUAAAGCAUUUGGCUGACGUUUGUCUUGGGUUCCUGGAAGGAGACUCUAACUCUUCAAAUUUCCCUCAUGUUAGGGAUUUCUGUGUUAUUCAUUAUGGACCCUGAUAGUUUAUCCUAAUUAAGAGAAUCAUGGUGUGCCCCUGGAUAGUUUAUGCUAAAGAUAUGACUUGGAAUGGGGGCUAGCUGUGCCAGAAAGACCAACCCUGUGAUUAGAGGGUUGGUGCUUAGAGCCACAUUAUCAGUUGGUGGGGGACUGGAGAUUGAAUUCAAUCAUAUGGCCAAUGAUUUAAUCCAUGCCUAUUUAAUGAAAUCCCAAUAAAAGCUAGGGACACCAAACCUUGGUGAGCUUCCCUGGUUGCUAAUACUCUGAUUGUCACACAUUGACAUGUCAGGAAGGUGAUGUCUCCUGACUCCAUGGGGAGAGGGCAAUGGAAGCUUUACAUCUGGGACCCUAUCAGACCUCACCCUGUGCAUCUCUCCCUGUUGCUGAUUUGGGUUAGUAUCCUGUUGCUAUAAUAAAACUGUAAUUUCAAGUCUAGUGCUUUCUUGAAUUCUGUGAUUCAUUCUAGUAAAUUAAUGAAACUGAGGGACCUCCAAAUUUGCAGCUAGUCAAAAGCACAGGAGGCUCUAGGAGUGCCCAAAUCUGUGGCUGGUGUCUGAAGUCAGGGCAGUUUUAUGGGGGACUGUGCCCUUAACCUUUGAUGUUUGGCCCAACUCCAACUAGUUGGUGUCAGAAGUCAUUGCAGUUGGCAAUUUAGCAAAAACACUACUACUUAGACACAUGCUAGCAGUAUUUCACAUGAGUUAAGGCUGCUCUUCCUUUUUUUUUUUUUUUUGGUUACUAGAAAUUUUCUUAAUCUUUUUUUUUAUUUCAAUAGGUUUUUGGGGAACAGGCGGUGUUUGGUUACAUGAAUAAGUUAUUUAGUGGUGAUUUCUGAAAUUCUGGUGCACUCAUCACCCAAGCACUGUACCCAAUGUACAUAGUCUUUUAUCCCUCCCUCACUCUCCUCCCACCCUUUCCCCUGAGUCCCCAAAGUCCAUUGUAUCAUUCUUACGUAGGCUGUUAUUCUUAAAAAUGGGAUUAAUAUAAGAAAUUUUCAAGACUAGAGACUUUAACAAUUAAGUAUUACUAGAUUGACAUAUAAAUUUUCACAAUAUAAAUACUUAAUAAAUUAUAGGAAUCAAAGUCCCAGUCUAAUUAUUUAGUAGGCGAUACCCCUUCCAAUUAGGAGAAAAGCUGAAAUAUCAUGUGGCUUAAUAGUACAAUUCAAUCAGAAAGUAUUAGUGUCACUUCUUACAAUUGAAAUAUUUUAGAGGUAAAACAACCCUCUGACAUCAUCUAAAUUUUUUUUAACAGUUAAAACAGAAGUCCAUAAUUUCCACAAUCUAUAGGGAAUCCAAACAAAUCAUCAAGAAAAAAAAAUCCCAUUAAAAAGUGGGCAAAUGACAUGACUAGACAUUUAUCUAAAGAAGAUAUACAAAUGGCCCAUAAACAUUUUUAAAAAAUGCUCAACGUCACUGAUCAUCAGGGAAAUGUAAAUUAAAACUAUAGUUAGGUACCACCUUACCACAGCCGGAAUAGCCACUAUUAAAAAGUCAAAAAAAAAAAAAAAAAAAAGACGUUGGCAUGGAUGUGGUCAAAGGGAACACUUAUACAUUGCUAGUGAGAAUGUAAAUUAGUACAACCUCUUUGGAAAAUAGUAUGAAGAUUUCUCAAAGAACUAAAAGUAGAUUUACCAUUCAAUCCAGAAAUCCCACUACUAGAUAUCUACCCAAAGGAAAAGAAAUCAUUAUAUCAAAAAGUCACCUGCAUGUGUAUGUUUCUUGCAGUACAAUUCAUAAUUGCAAAGACAUGGAACCAACAUAAGCGUCCAUCAACCGAUGAGUGGACAAAUAAAAUGUGGUCUAUAUAUACACCACAGAACACUACUCAGCUGUAAAAAAGUAAUGAAAUAACGUGUUUUAUAGCAACCUGGAUGGAACUGGAGGCCAUUAAUAUAAAUGAAGUAAUUGAGGAAUGGAAAACCAAAUACUGUAUGUUCUCACUUGUAAGUAGUAGCUAAGCUAUGAGUAUAAAGGCAAACAGAGUGAUAUAGUGGACUUUGGAGACUUAGAAGAGGGAGGAUGGGAAGAGGGUGUGGGAUAGAAAGCUUCAUAUUGGGUACAAUGCACACUACUCAUGUGAUGGAUACACUAAAAUUCCAGACUUCAGCACUAUACAAUUCAUCCAUGUAUCCAAAAACUAUUUGUACCCAAUACAAAUAAAAAAUUGAAAUAAAAAAUAAAAAAAUAAAGAAAACAGAGGUCCAAGGAAGCAGUAAAGACAAUCUCAUCACUCCAUUAUAUUACAGGAAAUAACUAUUCAUGAAAAUACCUUUAAGUUGGUUUCUGCUCUUAACAGUUUUACAAACGUUAUUUACUUUUAUAGCAUUCAGUUGGCAAAGGUACAUACAGACAAGCAUAAUAUGAUGGUCUUUUUUUUUUUUUUUUUUUUCCAAGACAGAGUCUCACUCUGUCACCCAGGCUGGAGUGCAGUGGCACGAUCUGCUGACUGCAAGCUCCACCUCCCGGGUUCACGCCAUUCUCCUGCCUCAGCCUCCCGAGUAGCUGGGACUAUAGGCGCCUGCCACCAUGCCUGGCUAAUUUCUUGUUUUUAGUAGAGACAGGAUUUCACCAUGUUAGCCAGGAUGGUCUUGAUCUCCUGACCUCGUGAUCCACCUGUCUGGGCCUCCCAAAGUGCUGGGAUUACAGGCAUGAGCCACCACGCCCAGCUGGUUUUUUUUUUUUUUUUUUUUUAAUGAGACAGGGUCUCACUCCCAUCACUGACGCUGGAGUGCAGUGGCGUGAUCCUGGCUCAAUGCAGCCUCAACCUCCCUGGGCUCAGGUGAUCCUCCCACUUCAGUCUCCUGAGUAACUGGGGCUACAGGCACAUGCCACCAAGCCCAGCUAAUUUUUGUAUUUUUUUGUAGAGAUGAGGUUUCUCCAUGUUGCCCAGGCUGGUCUUGAACUCCCAGGCUCAAGUAAUCUGCUCGCUUUGGCCUCCCAAUGUGUUGGGAUUACAGGUGUGAGCCACCGCACCCAGCCAUGAUGGUCUAUUUUUAUGUGUAAAGUCAGGCAUUUGUCUGUGCCUUAGAAAACUAAGGUUAUAAACGGAUUGUUUUUAUUUUAAGCUAUCCAUAACAAUUCACAGAAACUAAACAAGAAUUACUCAGUACUUUUCAUUAGGGCCUGAAAUCUGGCAAAUGUUGCAUUUGGUUAUACCAGUAAGAACACAACCAUGGAUUAAUGACUGUAAAUUCUUAUUGCUAGUCUCCAGUAAUUUCUGACAGACUUUUUUUUAAAGUGGUAUAACUGCAUUUUCCCAGCAAUUCGCUUAAGCCACACAAGUUUAUAGUAAUUUUUAAAGGAUUAAAGAGUAAGUUAUGCAAUUCUAUUUUGGAUUAAAAUUACUUAUCUAUGCAUAUAUAAAAUGUACAUUUUAUGUGACUAUUCUCUAUAUAUACACAGUGCUUAAUUUAUUUACGCUUGUUUUUAUCAACAUCAGAAUAAAAAGGUUAAAAGUUUUUAAGGUAUACUCUACCUGACAAAUAUUUCACUUUUGCUAUUAGGAAGACUGUUUGCAGAAGACCUGGAACAGUUCUUACUACAGUCUCCAGGACUGAGAUGCAACGCCUGAGAAGUGGACAAAGAGGUUGCCCAGGACUUGCAGGCUAAACAAAACAAAUCAGCAGAUCAUUUUAUAAGUGUAAAAAUAAUAUUUACCUAAAAUAAACAUAUAUUAAUUUUAGUAUAACUAACCAAGCUAUAUACAUUUUUCUAAAAUUUCUUUGAUUUAACUUAUUUUGUAAUACCUUUAUUAUGACUUAACUAAUACUAAUUUAUUUCCCUGGGAUCUAUGAACAGACAAUGCAAAUAAUGGCUCUUGUUCAGCAAAAUAAUUAUGAAACUAUUAUACAAUUCUAAAUGGAUAACAUAUCAAGUGGGUAUUAUCUAUUCAAAAGUUUUAUCAGAGAAAUAUAUCUGUUAAAGGAAAGAUAACUGAGAGGUACAGUUUCUUGCUAGAACUGACAGAGUCAAGGCAGUAAGUGUUCGAAUUCUAGAUUUGCCUUGUGAUUUGCUCAAUUCAAUUACUUUCAUUAUCCCCUAGAGUAUUGUAAACCAGUUUUUUAAAGAAUUCAGAUUUCCCCCAGUGGUAAACAGAAGGUAGAACACUCACUAUGCUAAACUAAAUGUCUCAUACCUUUACAUUCCCCACUCUUCAUCCCGGCAUGUUUUAGACCCUCAAAGUUUUCCUUUCAAUUAAUAAUGAGUAUGAUAAUUAAAGUGAUACUAGAACACUACUUUAUUCUUUUCACUGUUUCUUCUUCUUAUAAUGGCUGUCUACCCAACCAACUUUUAUCCAAUGGUCAUCCAAUCACAAUUUAGUAAUGUGAUAUCAGAAUUUAAAUAUAAAAUGUUCAUUCCUCCUGCUUUGCCUUACUAAGGCUGUUUCUUUAUGUAAGGAUGAUCCUCUCCACCCCAAGCCCCCUGACACAUAAAGCUCUUCAAUUGGACUGUGCCUUCUUAUGGAAAAUUACUCCUAUAAUGAGCCAUUAUUACCAACAAGAAAGUGCUACAACUUACUUAUGUUGACACACACAAUAUAUACGCUCAAAAAGAUAAUCAGAAUAUGACUAUUAUUGCCUAGAAUACUUCAACUUCUUUAUCAUAUAUAAUCUAUAUAAUAAAAUUUGGCACUGUAUAAUACCCAUACAGUUCUACUGGUAGUUUCAUAUUUAGUUUUCCUUCUUUUAUAGGCCUACGGGUUUUUAUGUGUCUUGAAGAUAAGAUUUUUAUGCUUCUUUGCACGGUAAUAGAUACAGAGCAAACAGUUUAAAAAUAUCUGUUUUUUUCAGCCUAAGUAAAAAUAGUGAAAGUGUAAGUGAUGGUGAGGUUAUGAUAAUGUUCUUUGUCACCUGCUAAGAAUGAGUUAUUGAGAACAACCAUCAUUUUCACUGCAAACAAUUUCAAUGUACAAUCAUAGAAAAAAUAGUUAUGCAGACAAUCUUUAAGAUAUCGUUUGUUCAAUUAAAAUUCUAAACAAAAUUAUGUCUAUAAAACGGUCAAAGAAGUAGGAACAGAGCUAAAGAGACAAUUCUGCCUUUCUGAUAUUUCCCUAUGAAAACAGUAUCACAUAUGCUGAUUACUUUCUAUCAUGCUGGUAAAGGAAAACAGAAUUUCCUGGUAAAGGAAAAUAGGAUGUCCAUUUGAACUAGAGGCCCAACUACCACUUAAUGCAUGAUUUCUUGUUCUAUCUACAGUUUAUUCUCAGCACAUCUGAUAGAGAAAUCCAUUAAAACAUUGAGUUAAAAUGUUGACUUGGAUCAUGCUGGAAGCCUUUUGGUGACUCCCCAUUGUACCCCAUUGUACUCAGAAUUAAGGCCAAAGGAGUUAUAAGAACUGCUAUGGCCCUACCUGGGCUGGUCUCCUGUGGGAUGACCUCAUCUCUGACUACUCUCCUCCUCCUCACCCUGCCCCAGCCACAUUUGUCUCCUCGUGUCCCUUUGGGCUUCUGCACCAGCUGCUCCCAUUGUCUGAAACACUCUACCAUAUUUUCACAUGUUCUGUGAUGGUUAAUACUGUCAACUUGAUUGUACUGAAGGAUGCAAAGUCUUGAUCCUGGGUGUGUCUGUGAGGAUGUUGCCAAAGGAGAUUAACGUUUGAGUCAAGAGGCUGAGAAAGGCAGACCCACCCUUAAUUUGGGUGGGCACUGUCUAAUCAGCUGCCAGCAUGGCUGGAAUAUAAAGCAGGGAGAAAAAUGUGAAAAGACUAGACAGGCUUAGCCUCCCAGUCUACAUCUUUCUCCCAUGCUGGAUGCUUCCUGCCCUUGAACAUUGGACUCCAAGUUCUUCAGCUUUGGGACUCGGACUGGCUUCUUUGCUCCUCGGCUUACAGACAGCCUAUUGUGGGACACUGUGAUCGUGUGAGUUAAUAUUCUUUAAUAAACUCCCAUAUGUAUAUAUGGAGUAUAUAUAUAAACUCCCAUAUAUAUAUAUAUAUAUAUAUAUAUCUCCUAGUAGUUAUAUAUAUAUAUAUGUGUAUAUAUAUAUAUCCUAGUAGAUAUAUAUAUAUAUAUAUCCUAGUAGAUAUAUAUAUAUAUAUAUCCUAGUAGAUAUAUAUAUAUAUAUAUCCUAGUAGUUAUAUAUAUAUAUAUAUCCUAACAGUUAUAUAUAUAUAUAUCCUAGUAGUUAUAUAUAUAUAUAUCCUAGUAGUUAUAUAUAUAUAUAUAUCCUAGUAGUUAUAUAUAUAUAUAUCCUAGUAGUUAUAUAUAUAUAUAUCCUAGUAGUUAUAUAUAUAUAUUAUAUAUUAUAUAAUAUAUAUAUAAUAUAUAAUAUAUAUAUAAUAUAUUUUAUAUAUAUAUAUAUAUAUCCUAUUUUCAAGUCUUUGUUCAGAUCUUACCCUCUUCAUGAGGCCUAUCCUGACCACUGUAUCUAAAAUCGCCAUCACCCAACCAUGCUCUAUUAUUUUCUCCUGUCAUUUUCUAAACAUAUUAUACAAUUGACUUAAUGAUAUUAUCUGUCUCCUCCUGUUGGAAUACAUGCUUCAGGGGAAAGGAAUGUAGUUUGUUUUACAUGGGUAUUUCCCCAGCUCUAAGUAGAGUGCUAGGUACUCUAUAAACAUUUGUACAUUUGUAGAAUGAAUCCUGAAUACUAGAUUAAUACUGAAAAAAAUGUAUUCCAACUUCCAAGCAAGGGAAAAUGGAUUAUGACUGGGGAGUCUGAGGUCAACCCCUGGUACAAUUCUAUGAGGGUUUAAGUUUAAAAAAUAAAUAGUAAUGAAAGCCUAAAAAAGGACAUGAUAAUCAAAAAGUCUGUAUGGGUUCCCUAAGGGAAGGUCAUUUUCCUUAUUUCCCAUGUUAACACAGUUACUGAAGCUAUAGAUCAGGGACAAUGCUAAGAAGUUUGCUUUCAGCAAUGGAACGCUUGAUAGUGCCUGCUCUGAUAUCCCUGUGCUGAAUGUGAGCUGAAUAUAAUAAAGUUAGGAUGUCUGUAUCUGCUUACUAUCUGUAAUAAGAGUGCUGACUAAUAAAUCCACAUCAAUUUGGAAAGAAAUCUCUGGUAGUACAACAUAGGGUUUCAUCUUCAAUUAUACUCAAAACUGUUAAUGCUUGGAAAAGAACAUUAUAGUAAUAGUUAUCUCAGAGCUAGAUAAAGCAGAUGACAGAUGACAAUAAAGAUCCAUCUAAAAUAGGUGACAAUCAUGAUCCACAAGGAAUAUGAUAACAUGGAAUUAUGAGAUGAAUCUGAAAAGAUAAAAUUUCACAGGAAUAAAUGUAGAGUCCUACAUUUGAGUCCAAAAGUACAACAAGUAAGAGACUGAAAGUCUUUAAUUAACUGUUAAUUCAACAGAGGUCAUUAAUGUAAUGUGAUUUAUAAAAAGAAAGUUGGAUGGACUUCCAGAAUAAGGGAGGAAAAGGUCUACUCUAGUUCUUGCAGGUCAAAUCCACGUUUGGAAUAGUAAACUUAAUGAGAGGCACAGACAAAAUAAAGAAUAUCAUCAGAUUCACACACAGAAUUCUCAAAACUAUUUCAUAUAAAACAUAAAUGGCUGGAAACCUGGAGUUGUUUAGUGGAAUGUGAAAACUAAUUGCCAAUAUCUGAAGGUCUGUUUAAUGAAUGAGGAAUGAUCCUUGCUCUAAGCAACUGGACUUGCCCUAUGUCAAUCUAGGGAGCAGAAGGAGGACCAGUAAAUGGUCCUUUCUUUUUUUUUUUUUUAACCAAAAGCAGAGUUUGACUUAACACAGGAAACACAGGCUAACAAUCAUAGUUAUAUGACAAGAACUUCAUUUUAGUGUGUCCAGACAUGGGAUAGACAUUGACAGUGAUGUUACAGACUGGUAGCAAAUAUAAGGUAGGUGUCUGAAUUAGAUGCCUUUUAAUAUUUCUUUAAACUGAAGAUUUUAAGAUUUUAUGAAAUACAAAUGAAUAUUUGCAAACCAAUACUUUCAGUAGUUGACAGCAGUCAUUACUAAAAACAGUCUGAUUAAAAGCGAUUUCAACUAACAUAGGUACAAAUACUACCAUUUUAAGAUGCCGAUAUAGUCUAAUGCAUCAAAGAAAACUUUUAAGUUCUUUCAUAAAACAUCAAGUAAACGCAUCCUUGAAAGUAAGUCCCAUAAUUACUUACCUGCAUUGGACAGAAGCUCAGAUACUCCAUAACAAUUUCUAACAAGAAAUCAGGAUUUAGCUUUUCAAAAUACUGUAUGCCAAGAGGCAAACCUUCUAAUUGUGAAAAGUGAGUGUCCAGGACAUCAUUUAACAAAUUAAUAACUUCUUCUUGUCGUUUAUUUUUCUUCAUGGCAAGAACUGCAUGUAAAUAGAUUAAUUCCUAGAAAAUAAGUAGUUUUCAUAAAUUAUUCCAUUUAGUUAUAAAGCCAUUUAUUUCCACUUAGAUUUCAAAUGCAUAUAAUGUGCUACUGAUAUGCAAUUAUUUGUUCAAACUCAAGUAUUAGCUUGAAUAGACUUUUAGAAUCAUUCAGAAGAAUAAAGUUUAGUUUUGAAUGGAGGUAAAUAAAUGCAAUUACAUAUUAAAAUUAGUGUACACUAGUGCUUUACAGCCAUUACAAAACAAUAAGACUGAUUAAUAAUUUCAUAUUUUAUAAACAGCUAGCAUCUACCAGCUGAUAAAAUAAAAUACUGUACCGCAGAUUUUCCAAUGGAUUGCUGGAUUUCAUUUAAAAAUUCUAGCUGCUGAUCUGCAUCCUGUAAUUGCCCUUCUAUCAACUGACAUUGGAUAAAUCCUAAAAUCAAACAGCAGAAAGACAGUCAAAGUCCACACCAAUUCAGGGAUGCACUCUUCAAGCUAACAUAACAACAUUAAUAAAACACCCUUUCCCCCAUCACAAUACUUAACGUUUUAGAUUAAAAACAACAGAAAGAAAGAAAAUGAAGAGUGAAAGAAAAUAAAAUGGGUAGCCUUGGACCUUAUAAAAUCAUUUACUGAAGAAUUCAUAAUUUAUAGGAACCACGUUAUAAAAAUCUAUUCUCUCAAGAUAUUAUUUGUGAAUUAAAAAUUUUAAAGACAUGACUUUUUCGAGUGUGGGCAGUAGAGAACAAUUUAAGUUUAGAAAACCACAAAAUCCAUGUGUUCUUCUCUAAUGGCAAGUUAAAAGCAAUUGCUACUUGUAUCUAUAUUAUAAAUAUUUAUGAAAACAGUUGUCAUACCAACUAGGGCAGACACACUAGUCUCAUCAAGUGUCAUGGCGGUCUUAUACCACUUCAGUGCCUCUUUAACUCUUCCUUGUAAAAUCAUUUGGUAUCCAAGUUCUGUAGCAAAUUCUGAUUGCUGAGGGUUUAAACUAAAAGCUCUCUCAAGUAACGUUUGAAUUUUUUGAAGAAUAAGUUGACUACGUCCACACUAAAAAGAAAAAAAAAUGAUGUAAGAUUUCAAAGUCUAACAUUUCUACUGAGACUAAAGGAUUAUUUUUUCUAAAUAUAUAUAUUAUUUGUACUUCAAAGGAGUGAUGAAAAAGAAAAAAAUUAAUAAUUAAGGAAAAAUAAAACUUUCCUAUUAUCUAGACAAUGCAUCAAGAAAGAGUUUAUAUUCUAUCAGAACUUAAUAUCCUAAUGAAUAUAAUGCUUUUACAAAAUAACUAGUAUGAAAAGUACACUUCUAAUGAUGUCACUGCAAAAACAUAUUUUUUGAACUCCUUUUCCAAGCUGUCUCAUGACUGUUUUACAGAUUAAACAGGAAAACCAUUAUUUUAUGGUUACGUGGGUAUGGGGGUGUGUGUGUGUGUGUGUGUGUGUGUGUGUGUGUAUAAUAUAUGUAUGCUUUUUCUUAUUGAAUAAAAAACUAGGACUAGGAUCUGUUUUCCCCCUAAACACUAGCUAUGCCAUCAGUGAGAAUAUUUUAAAAGCUCAUGCCUUAGAAUCUUCUUGAAAAAAAUUUCAAGAAAUAGCAGUGUUGUUAGAAUAAGUACAUAAUUUUUCAAGACAACAAACUUUAAGAGUAAAAUAUUUAUUCAAAUGUUUGAACUUAUAUUUUAUAAGCUUAGUAAAAAACUAAUUGAAAUAAUGUGUCUAGCACUACGGUAAGCAAAAAAGGUAAAUACCUCCUUAAUUCAAACUUUCGUUAUAGCAUGGAGUUUUCUUCCUCUAAAGUUUACACAAUCUGAUAUCUUUGUUUUUAAAUAAGAAAAUUCAGUAUAUUCAUGUCAUUUAACAAUUAAUAAUCCUUUUUUCUUUCAACUUUAUGCUUGCUAAUUAUUUUAACCUUCUUAGUUUAAUGAACUUUUCAAUAUUCUCAUUCCUUGUAUUGAUUUUGAGAUUCUACUGUAUUUUUCUAUUUCAUUCUUGAUUACCUUUCUUUUACUGGGAGCUUAUAAUAAAAACAUUUCUUUCCUGUUGUUUUUUAAAAAAUAAGAUACCAACCAUUCCCUCCACCAAAAUGGUCUUUUAUACACUUUAAAACUUUUUAAAAAUAGUUUUAAAAAACAAAAGCUAAGAGCAAUCCUGGUCAUAAAUCUUAUGCUCUGAUGAAAAUAAACCACCUUCUAUUUCCUUUGUCUGGAAGGCACUUCGCUAUGCUUAAAAGAUCAGUAAGUGGCAUUUCCUCCAUGAAGCCUCCAUCAGGUUCUUACAGUUGGAAACCACACCUCCUCUAAACUGCCUUUCCUAGGAGUAUAUCAUAUAUUUAAAUACAUAUUUGCACUCUAGGCCAUAUGCUCUUCCCUGCUUCCACCUUUUCCACUUAUUUUAUGUCCUCUACUAUAGAUAACAGAGCUCUGGUACAUGGUAGGCACUCUCACAGUUCUGCUGAAGGCGAGUGUAAUGUUAUAGAAAAGUUGAGCAUUCUGUGGUUCCAUGGCAUCCAAUGUAUUUCCCAAGUUUUCCAGCUUGGUGGAAGCCUAAAACAAAAGGAACUGGUAUUAACUUAAAAUAUACUAAGUAAAAACAACAUAAUACAUGCACAUACACACUAACAAAGCAUUACCCUACUAGUAUUUUAAAAGACCUUUGCUUUUAUAAAUUCCUCCUCCUUCAAUGGAUGAUUAUAUGUUAUAAAACAUAUUUAAGAUUCUAACAAACUCAAUAAUUAUAAAUGUGUUUUAGAAUGUGUUUCUUUAAUACUUGUUAUUGAAUGGAAACCUUUGGAUAGGCGAAGACACCCAUAAUAUUCCAUUAACUGUACAUGCCCAGCUCCGCCUUCAAUAGUUAAUUCAUGACACAAAUGAGAUACGAAUGAUAAUGUAUUUACAAGUAUAUGAGGUCAGCCCUUCAAUUGCCUAUACAGACUGGUUUAUAUUCAAAAUAUAUUCUAGACUAGAAAAAUCAUUACAGUACUUAGUAUAAGUAAUUUCAAUGCCUGGAAAAUUUACUGAAGAUUUACCCCUACUAAGAUACUCCUAGCAUUUACUGAAGUAUCUAUCAGGCACUGUCACAUUAACCAAUUUAACCACACUAAACAAAAUGCAAAUCUACUACAUGUUAUACUAAUAUUACUUCCUUCAGAUUAGAGUUUGGCACUCCAUGAUCCAAUCUACAGUCAAUGUGUUCACUACUACAGAAACAGAUGUGCUUUAUUAUGAGGUAUAAUGGGAUUUUAUCCCAAGCCCAUUUAAUUUUUGCAAAUUCAGUUAAAUUGUAAAUAUACUAUAAAUUACAUUUUGCAUACAUACUUUCUCAUAUCUAGUAUCACUAGUUACAUUACGUAUCUAGUUACAUUAAUCAUAUAUAUUACUACACAGGAGUUUCAUACAGAAAGCCAUAUAUACUAUAAUUAAUGAUUUAAGGGAUUUUCAAGGGUAAUAUUAACUGUAUAGUAUUUUUGCUUUACCAAUAGAUUUCAGAAGCUGACCUCUUUGUUAAGGUAUACUCUAGUAAUCAACUAAAAACUACCAUGAUGUAUAUUUUAAAAGAGAACUUCAAGGCUUUAAUGUAUAUGCACAUGCACACAUGGGUGUGUAUGUGUAAUGAAAUAUAUUUUUUAAUAUAGGAAACUUAAAUAAUACAAUGCCACUUACCUUCUCUAUAUCCCCCUCUCUACACACAUAGUAGAGUGCCUGCAUUCUCAGUGCUUCCACAUUUUGGCUAUCUUGGAGCAGCAACCUGCAGGAAAACAAUUUAGUUAAUGUCAAAAUAAAUUUAUAUAUUUUCUUUUAUUCGAGGGCAUGAAAAGUUGGUUUGCUUGCCUCACUAUUCCACUGUUCAAAUAAGUAAUUUUCACUAGUAAAAUGUCAUCUGCUUUGUGAAAAUUAUCAACUUUAUUAUUUAAACAAGUAAAAGUCUCUGGAGUUUAAUUUUUAAUAUGUUUUUAAAAGAUAUGAAUAGAUUAUACUAGUCUCAUUAAAUCUUGUGGCAAUCCUAAAUAAAAUAUUAGCUAACUAUAUACAACAGUAUAGUAAAAGAAUAAUUCACCUUAACCAGGCUGACUUAUUACAGGAAUUCCGGGAAUGCAAACCAGGGUCAAACAUUACAAUACCUACUAAUGUUAUUCACAACAACAGAUUCCUACGUGAUAAAAACAAAUGAGAAAAUAUUACAUUAAAAAAUCUUAUUAAUAAAUGGAACAAAAACCAAAAAGAAAAACAUAACAGGCAUAAACUUAAGAAAUGUGCAAAAGCUAUAAAAUUCCUAUGAAACUGUACUCAGGGACAUUUUUAAAAAGAACUGAACCAAAAAGGUAACGCCCCAGACUUCUCUUAUCAUGGAUGAUGUGGUACAUAUCACAAUUACUGGUUCCAGUUUUUCAACCCUCCCUGAGUACGUGUCUUCUGCCAUGUAACUAACUACAAAAGUUGGAGUGUACCCUACUGCUUCUUGACUAGGGACUUGGACAUUUUUCUUAUAUUGGCCAAUGGAAUGUGGGCAGGAAUAGCAGUGUAUCAACCUAAAUUUUAGAGGCACUGCAUACUUCUGCUUGUUCUCUGGCACUUGCUAUCAGUACAAGAAGAAUUUCCUCUGGGUAGUGGCUGCUACUUGUUGUGAGUCUGGGGGAAACACUAUUGGAGGUGACAAGAGUCCAAACUGCAAUGAUGUGCCACAUUCACCCAGCUGCAUCUGAACUGAAGCAGGGCCCCAGCCAAGCCUUGCCUGAGAUCAGCAGACCCUCGAUGACCCACAAAAAUGUGAGUAAAGAAUACUUAUUAUUAUAUGUCCUGACAUUUGUGGUUGUUUGCUAUACACCAAUAGCUGCCUGAUAUAAUAAUGGUCAUUUUUGGGAAAGAAAAUUUUUUUUCCCCACAUAUGACUACAAAUUUAAUGCAAUUCAAACCAAAAUCUUCUAUGGCUUCUUUUUUAUUAUUUUGUAAAUUGAUUAUGACAGUCAAGAGCGAAAAAAAGAGCCAACAAAACUGUUAUAAGAGAAACACGGAGAACUCCGUCUCUACUAAAAAUACAAAAAAUUAGCAGGGCGUGGUGGUGGGUGCCAGUAAUCCAAGCUACUCAGGAGGCUGAGGCAUGAGAAUCACUUGAACCCGGGAGGCGGAGGUUGCAGGGAGCCAAGAUCGCGCCAUUGCACUCCAGUCUGGGCAACAAGCGAGACUCUGUCUCAAAAAAAAAAAAAAAAAAAAAGAAAAGAAACGAAACAUGAUGGAGAACUUGUGAUAAAAAUUAUCAGAGUCCAUUGAAAACUGAGGAGAGAAUAGGCUCACUUAAAAAAAAAAAAAGCAUAUUUAGAACCAGUUAUAUACCAAAGAAAAACAAGAGCUUUUAGCAUAUGAAAAAUUGCUCAAUCUCAACACAAUAAAAGAAAUGAAAAUAAAAAUGAGAUACCUCUCUUUCAGAUUGCUUGAAAAAAAAAAUACACGCACUGAAAAUGGCCAGAAUUGGUGAGGAUAAGGUAAGGGAUCAUUCAAUAGACUACUAGUAGGAGUGUAAAUUAGUACAAUUUCCUAGGAGAGCAAUUUGGCAGUGCCUAUCAAAAUUUUAAAUUUAUAUACUUGAGGGAGAGACUACAAUUUGUCUCCUCAAAUUCAUUCUCUCCUUAUUUGCUUGGGCAUGUGGCUAGCCAACACUUCCUAGAUAUCUUUGCAUUCAGAGGUGGUCAACGUGAAAUAAAGUAAUAUAUGCCAUUUCUGGGCCUGGGCUUUUAUGAAAAGUGGAAUGACUUCUCUACAUUAUCUUUCCCUUUCUGCCAAGUGUUAUGAGGUCUUAGGAGAUGGCAGGACUGCAAGAUGGAAAGCGUCUAGGUCCGUUAAAAACAGUGUGGAGCAAAGCUGCCUGAUCACUUCUAACAUUUACCCAAAACAGUUACAUAUGGGGAAACAUUCUUCUAUUACACUGAAUCAUUAUAUGUUUAGAUCUGUUUUUGUAGCAGCUUAGCCUACCCUAACAAAUACAGUAUCUUGGAUUCAACAAUCUCUCCUUUGGGAAACUUCUCUGCAGAUAUAGUCCUACAUGUGUUCAAAGAGGUAUGUGUGUAUGCAUGUGUGUACAGUGCACUAUACUGAACAGUGAAAAAUAGGAAACUGCUUAGGUGCAUACCAAUGCGGAGAGAUUAAAUAAAUUAUUUGCAUUUUCAAUUCAUAGAAUGCUACUCAGUUUUAAAAUGAUUAGGGAAAGGAAGAAAUACAUAGAUGUUUACAGAUGACAUGAACAUCUAUGUAGAAAAUCUAAAAGAAUCAAUUAAAAAAAACUCCUGGAAUCAACAAGCGAUUAUAGCAAGAUUGUAGGAUAUGAGGUUAAUAUAUAAUAUCAAUUGCUUUCCUAUGCACUAGCAAUGAACAAGUGGUAUUUGAAAUUAAAAACACAAUAACAUUUACAUUAGCACUCCUUAAAGUAAAAUACUUAGGUACAUAUAAAUCUAACAAAAUAUGUGCAAGAUUUCUAUGAGGAAAAUUUUUAAAUUCUGACAAAAGAAAUCAAGGAAAAACCAAAUAAACGGAGAGAUAUUCCAUGUCAUGGAUGCAAAGACAAUACAAGAUGUUAGUUCUUCCCAAUUUGAUCUGUAAACUAACUCAAUGCAAUCCCAAUCAAAAUCCCAGCAAGUUAUUUUGAGGAUAUUGACAAACUCAUCCUAAAGUUUAUACAGAUUAGCAAAAAAACACAGAAUAGCAACAUACUAUGGAAGGAAAAGAGCAAAGUUAGAGGUCUGACAUUAGUUGACCUCAAGACUUACUAUAAAGCUUCAGUAAUCAAGAGAGUAGUGUGGUAUUGGUGAAAGAACAAACAGGUCAAUGGAACAGGGUGGAAAUCACAGAAAUAGACCCACAUAGAUAGUAAACUGAUCUUUGACAAAAGAGCAAGGACAAUGCAGUGGAGAAAAGACACUCUUUUCAAUAAAUGGCACUGGAAAAACUGGACAUCCACAUGGAAAAAAUGAAUAUAGAUACAGACCUCACCUUCUUCACAAAAAUUAAUCUGAAAUAGAUCACAGAGCUAAAUGUAAAACAUAAAACUAUAAAAUUCCUAGAAGAUAAUACAGGAGAAAAUCUGACGGCCUAUGGUUUGAUGAUGACAUUUUAGAUAAUACACAAAAGGCAUAAUUCAUGAAAGAAAGAGUUGAUAAGCUGGACUUCAUUAAAAUUAAAAAUUUCUGCUCUGUGAACGACAAGCCACAGACUGGGAGAAAAUAUUUAUCAGAUAUAGAUAUAUCUGAUAAAGGACUGUUUUACAAAAUAUACAGAGAGCUCUUCAAACCCAACAAUAAGAAAACAAUCAAUCAAUUAAAAGAUGGGCCAAAGACCUUAACAAACACAUAACAAGCAAGAUACACAGACUGCAAAUAAGCAUAUUUAAAAAUGCUCCACAUCAUGUCAUCAGGGAAACGCAAAUUAAAAUUAAAAUAACAAUGAGAUACCACUACAAACCUAUUAGAAUGGCCAAAAUCCAGAACACUGGCAACAUCAAAUGCUGAUGAAGAUGUUUUAAAGCAAGAGAAACUCUCAUUCAUUGCUGGUGGGAACAUAACAUGGUAUAACAUUUUUGGAAGACAGUUUGGCAGUUUCUUAGAAAACUAAAUAUACUCCUACCAUAUGAUUCAGGAAUUAUGUUCCUUGGCAUUUGAUCCAAAGGAGUUGAAAACUGAUGUCCAUACAAAAACCUGCACAAGGUUAUAGUAGCUUUAUUCAUAAAUGCCACAAUUUGGAAGCAAUCAAGAUGUCCUUCAAUGGAUAAAACUGUGGUACAUCGAAACAAUGAAAUAUUAUUUAGUACUAAAAAUAAAUGAACUAUCAAGUCAUGAAAAGACAUGGAAGAAAGUUAAAUGCAUAAUACUAAAUGAAAGAAGCCAAGCUGAAAAGGCUACAUAUUGUAUUAUUCCAUAUUACAGGACAUUCUGGAAGAGGUAAAACUAUAAAGGCAGUAAAAAGAGCAGUGGUUGCAAGGAGUUGGGGAGAUGGAGGGAUAUAUAGCGGAUACACAAUAAAGAUAAUUUUUAGGGCAGUAGAAAUAUUCUGUAUGAUACUAUAAUGGUGGAUACAUGUGAUUACACAUUUGUCCAAACCACUAGAAUGUACAACACCAAAAGUGAACUGUAAUAUAAAUGACGGACUUUGGGCGCCUAUAGUGUAAGUUCAUCCACUGUAACAAAUGUACCACUCUGGUGGGAGAUGUUGAUAAUUAGGCAGCCUAUCUAUGUGUGGAGGCAAGGAAUAUAUGGGAAAUCUCUGUACCUUCUGUUUAAUUUUGCUGUGAACCUAAAACUACCCUAAAAAUACUGUCUAUUAAAAAACAGUUUGGUGUAUCUAUGUGAAUAGGUAUAAAAUGAUAUCUAUGAAAUACCCUCUUAAAGAGAAAAACAAGUUUAAAAGUACAUUAUGAGUCUAUUUAUUAUUUUUAAAACACCCUCAAAUAUAUACAUAUUUUUAAAAUAUAUAGAAACCACACACACACACACACACACACACACACACACACACACACACACACACACAGUGCCUAGAAAAAAAAUCUUGAAAGAUAUAUACAUCAAAAAAUUACUAGUACCCUAAUUGUGGCCUUCAAAUAUCAUUUCACACUAAAAGAGAUUAGAUUGCCCUGGACAAAUGACUGAUACCUACUUGGGGAAGUAAUACACAAAAUGAGCCUGGACAGCUUGUCGUACCAAAUAGCAAAGUAACUAUCAAAGACUACUAGGAUCAUGUCAAAAGGACUUAAGAACAACUUGAAGAAGCUCCUAAUAGUCAGAGAAAAGACUGUGCAAUUAUAAUGACUAAAAUGUCCAGAAGCACUCAUCUAAAUCCAUGGUAUGUAAAACAAACAAACCUGAGCCACUAAUCAAUUACCAAUGAAGGAUGCUAAGGAAUUCUUGGCAUUUUUUUUUUUAAACCUGGAAAUAACGGAAAAGACUUCAGCAUCUUAUCCUACUUUUCUUAUAUGAACCAUACCACUCAGUAACUAACCAGGAGAAGAGAAGUUUUUCUUUAUAGGUAUUCUAGCUAAGAAACAAAGAAAGAAUGACAGAAUUCAAAUGCAACCCUACUAUAAUCCCUAUGAAUCAAGCACCUAGUUAUUGAGCAUGAAUAACUGCUGAUAUCACGAAAAGAGAGAGACAAGCAGACAUUCUGUCACUGUGAUGAAAGACAACAGUACCACUCAUGAAGUAAUUGCCAAAACAACAAAAUUGAAUGUGAAUUUAACCAAACCUCUAGAUCCAACUACCAACUUACAGGAAAUACAGAGGAUAAAGCAACAAGUUGUACUACACCAUGGCAGACAAACAACAAAAUCUAGAUCAUGGAAAAUGCUACAGGACAAAACACUGGUUUCUUCACUUAAAAAAAUGGCAAGAAGAAAAAGAGAAGGGAAACAGGGAAACAGAAAAGGCAGGAAGAAGGAGGGAGGGAGAGGGAAGAGGGGAAGGAGAAAGGAAGGGAGAGGGAAAGAAAGAGUGAGAAAGAACUCACAGAGACAGGGAGACAGCCUCGAGACUUUAAAGAUAUAAACCAAUCACCAUAUGUGGACUUAUUUGGAUCCUGAUUAAAAAAUAAUUUAUUUAAAAAACACAAUAUUUGAGACUAUUGGUAAUUUGAACACUGGAUAAUUGAUAUUAAAAAGCUAUUUUUAAUUUUUUAUAUGUGAUAAUGAUAUUGUCAUUAUGUUGUAGAGGGAAAAGAAUUAUCCUAUUUUUUCAACACAUCUUGUGAUAUUUACAAAUGAAAUGAUGCAGAGUUUUGAAUUUGCUUCAAAACGAAAAUUAAAGCCAAGAACCAAAUGGGAGUUUAGUCAUGUGGUGACGGUAGCUAGGGGCAGGAAACAGAUAAAGAGUACCUCAUGAUGUUCUUCUGUCUGCUUUUACAUAAAUCUGAAAUUCUCCAUAAUAAAUGAUAGACGAUCUUAGCAAAGAUGUUACCAAGAUGUUCGGCCCUGAGAUAGCCAUUAAUAUUUUGUCAGAUAUGAAUAAAAGUUAGACAUGCUUGCAAGUCACUUAUUCUCAAGAUUCUAAGACUAUAAACCUUAAUCCAAACUGAAGUAAAGGUGACUUUCUAUGCAAUUUAUACUUCAUUUGUAUCUUGAAAGUAUCCUGCCUAUUGUUUGCAUGAAAAGUUCUAUUAAGACAUUCUGAUUUUAAAGGUAUAUUUGUAUUACCUAUGAAAUUUACUUUUCUGUAAUUUCAGUAUUAAGUGACAUGAAUUCAUCUGUUAGAAAGUAUUGAUUUGUGACUCAAAUAUAUUUAUUCUUGAUCUCAUGGCUUUAAAGUCACUGACACAUAAAUCAUAUCUAUGUGUCAGUGACUCCAAAAUACUAGCUAUAGCCUAGACCUCUCACAAGAACUCCAGAUUCAGACAUCCAGCUGCCUGCCCAUACAUCCAUCUCUACUUUGACUUCUCAUAGGCAUUUCAAACUUACAAUGUUGAAAGCUAAACUCCUUACCUGCCCUGAAACCUUCUUUUUCCAUAAUCACCCUGUCCAGCUGAAGCAAACUCUAUCCUCUAGUGCAAGUAGUGGGUAAGAGCACAGACUCUGGGACUAGAGUGCUCUGGAUUUGAAUCCUGACUCCACCACUAAGUAAUUGUGUGGCUCUGGAGAAACUUCUUAACCUCUUUGUACCUUAGUCCACUCAGCUGUAAAACAGAAAUACUAAUAGUACCUUCCUCUUAGGGUUACCCUAGGAAUAAAUAGCACUUCCUAUGAGCCAGGCAUUCUGAACACUUCACAACAGUUCAUUAUCAUCAUUGUUGUUGUUAUUCUGGUAGUUCAGGCCAAAAACCUUGGAAUCACCUUAAACUAUUCUUUCUCUUACACCUAAACAAAAUGCUACAGGUCCAGAUUCCAAUCACUUCUCAAAGCACUUCCACCACAACUAUACUGGGCCUGCCCCGACCAUUUCUCAAUGAUGGCAACAGCUUUCAAAAGGUUCUCCCUGCUUCUGCCUUUGCCUGCUCGCCCACAGUCUGUUUUGCACAUGGCAGAGUGAUUCUUUUAAAACAGAAUUUAGAUGAUGGCACUCCUCUGCUCAAAACCCUCCAGUAACCUCAUGCUUCAGAAGAAAACCCCAAAUCCUUACAUGGGUAACAAGACCCUUCACCAUCUAGCACGGGCUCACUCCCACCCUUUGUCUCAGACCUCACACCUUACUCACCUCUCUUACUCCUUCCCACUCCUCAAACAUAUGACAUGUGCUCCCACCUCGGGGACUCUGCAUUUGCUUUUCCUUCUUUCUGCAAAGUCUUCUCUCAAAUAUCUGCAUGGCUUACUCCCUUACCUUCUUUAGAAGAUGGCUCAAAGGUCUCAGCCUUCCAUGACCAUCCCAUAAGAUUGAACCCCUCAACACUCCCCAUCUCUUUCUUGGUUUAUCUUUUCCCCAUAGCACUUAUACUUUCUAACAUACUACACAAUAUACUUAUUUGGUGUGCUUAGUAUAUGGUUCCUUUCACUUAAAUAUAAGCUUCAUGACCACAGGGAUAUUGGCCUGUUUGCCUAAAAAGAGUGUCUGUCUUAAACCAGGAAUCAAAUAUUUAUGUAAAUCAAUAAAUUCAAUGUUUAAAAGCAGUAUGAUUUUAAGUAUUUCCUCGGUUCCACACUGUUUGAAAAAAAUCAAAUUUAAAAACCCUUAUGAAAAAAAUUCACAGAUGUCGCUUUUUCUCAAAAUUAUAACCAAAUCCAAAGAGACUUGUGUCAUCUUUUAUUACUUAACCUUUGUGCUGUCUCAACUGUCUGGUCCCAAUCCUGCAAGGCUAGUUGUAAUUUCAUUUUCUUAACAAAAGCAGGAAGGAAGCUCGGAAAAUUCACGAUUAUCUGGUUCACAGUCUCCAGGGCACCUGAAUAAUUCUGGCGCAUCUCAAGGCAUUGUGCCUAAUGGAAGGGAAAAAAAGUGAUAUCCAAACUGUGAUCUUUCAUAUCAAAGUUCUCAUAACGCAGAGCAGGCAGAGUAUGAGCGUUUAAUACUUACUUUUCUGUGAGGAGCAGUUAUCACUUUUUAAGUUUUUGUCAAAACAAAAUUUUAAAACAUCACAGAAUAAUACAAAUACAUUAUAUAAGCUAUUGUGUUUUAAAAUUUACUUUUAAAUGGCUGAAAAACAUGAUUAAAGGAUAAAAUUUUUUAAAAUGUUCUCGGAAAUACCAUAAAAUAAUGUUUCCAUUUAAAACAAAAUUAUCUUUUUAGAUUAAAAUGUUUCCAGGAAAUUUUCAAGUAGCAUCUAAAAUUUUAAGAAAUUUUAGAAAUUUUGCAUCUUUUUUAAGAAAUUAUUUUCAGGUUAAAGAAUAUAUGAUUUUAAAGAACAAGCAAAAUACAGUUCAAACAAAUCCCUCUACUUCAACAUUUUUCACUUCUAUGAAUUAUCUGAAGGAAAUAAUUGGACAAGACCACAAGGAAGUAUAUAGAUGAUAUUUAUGGCAGAAUUGUUUAUGUAUAAAAUAAUCCCAAAUGUACCUAGAGGAGAAAAUUAUAGUAUAUCUAAUUUAAUAAAAUGUUAAGUAAUCAUUAAAAAUGAUGAUAUAAAUUUGUAGACGUAGAUUUACUGACAUGAAGAGAUAUUAUAUAUAAUAGUUUAACUGGUUAUUUCCAAUGGUGAUGCUCAUUUUCUCAUUCAGAUGUUAUUGUAUUUUCUGAAAAAAAGUUUUACUAUGUUCAUGUAUCUCAUAGUCAGAAAAAAUAAAGCUAUAAAUAUAGUUAGUACAUUAAAAAGAGAUGAUGAGGCAAAUUUUUAUCAACUAGCUUUUCUUUAAGAGAAGGAAAAUGAUCAAGAAAAGUAUAUGGCCAAUUUCUUCAGCAGUGCUAUUAGGUAAAACUUGAGGGUAGUGGGCCUGAACACAAGAUGUUCAACAGGCUUACUGUCCACACAAAGUGACAGGAAAAGUGAUGUGGAGACAUUAACAAAAGUCAAGACAUGAAUCCUCUCCCCUUCUUUUUUAUCCCUCCAAAUUACUGCUUAUCUAGCAGACUUGUUCCCAACAUAUAAUUUCUUUUUGCUGAGUCAAAAAAAAAUUAAGGCAUUUAGAUAGCAUCAAUGGGGAUUGAAGAAAGGGUCCUACUUAAAUAUUUCCAUCCAUCAGUAAGUUCUAAUGACUCCUUCAAUUGCUCAUCCCUCAAAAUGUAUGUCCGAUCAUGUUAUUUCUCUGUUCAAAACUUUGUAUUGGCUGCCUGUCUCUCUAAUAGAAGGUAGAAGCCAAAGGCCUUACAGAACAGGCCAGGCCCACCACUCCUCCUCACCCCCAUCCCACCUUUCUUCCUCAGGCCUUCACUUCUGUUCUCUUUACUCAACCCACUUUGGCCUCCUUGCUAGCCCUGAAUACACCUUAGGGUACCUGAACUCAUCAUCUCCUCUAUUUGAAAUACUUUCCCCAGAUGCCUGCAGGGCUUUAACCCUCACCUCCAUAAAUGUGUUUGCUCAAAUGUCACUUUCUCCGACCACUUCAUGUAAAACUGGAAGUUCAUGCCCUAGCUUUUCCAGCUGUAUUUUCCAUUAUACUUAUCACCUUCUAAUAUACCAUAUAACUUACUUAUUUUGUUUAUUGUCUGCCUCCAUCAGUAGGAUAUAAGCUCCAUAAAAACAAGAGGUUUUCUCUUGCUCAGGGUUUCUAAUAUCUAGAGGGAUGCCUCACAUACAUAAGACACAUAAUAAAUGCUGAGGAAAGAAUGUGUGAACCAAAACAACAACAACAAUUAACAGUUACAGCUGAUCCAGGAUUCAGGAACUCUGGCAGGGAAUACAUUUCUCUAGUGUAUUGCUCAUUGUCCUACACAAAUGCCAGUCUACCUUACAGCUGUGAGCUGACAACAGUAUCAUGAAAAUUAUCAACUUUUUUGAGCUACUUGGUUUUGUCAGGUUUCAAAUAUAUUAUGAAUAUAUUUUGAAACAUGAUUUAUUUACCCUAACUCCAACUCACCUUACCCAGCAGAGCAAAAGUAUCAUUCCCAUCUUGGAGUCCCUCUUCAAAAUACUUCAGUGCUUUUUUAGUGUAAGGCUCUUUUCCUCUUGUAAUAUCAAGCCAUGCUUUCAAAACGUGUCCCUGUAAAAUGAAUAAUUCUAUUUUUACUUUUUUAGAAAUGAGAGAAAUAAAUGUUAAUGAAAGAGCCUAAUGUCAUUUUUCUGGCAAUUAAUAACAAAAAGGACUCUAUCAAAUAUGUUAUGAACAAUAAAAUUCUGUUAGUGAAAUCACUUUUGAACCCUUGCCAGCCUAGUGUCUUGGGAACUAUACUACAAAUUUCAGCCUUUAACAUUACUAUUAAGCUCAAUAUUAAAAUUAAGAAGCUUAUCAAAUAUUCCAUUAGUGUUAAAACCAUUAUUUUCUCUGAGACUUUGCUAGUAAUUGACAAUUAAUAACACUUAAACAUGAAAUUCAAUAUAUAGAUGAGAAUUUGUUGUUUCUUUUUGGACAAACCGUCUAAAUGAACUAAGAUGAAAUAACAGAAGAAGCCUUGCUUCACAUAUCUUAAAGAUUCAGAUAAUCUGGCAACAAUCUUCUUAACCUCUUUGAUUAGUCCAUUGAAUUUCAAAUGACAGGUGGAUAGCCUGAGAAAUUAUAAACUGAAGAACUCAUGGAUAUUUAUCUUUACACAUGUUAGUGGGCCGAUGGGUUGUAAGACAUAUGGGAUUGAAAACAAGAUAAAAACUGGUUAUUUUUCUCUUUAAGGUCAAAUAAAAAACUGUGAAAUGUGCUUUUUCUAUUAAAAAAAUCUAGGUUAACUGACAAAUUUAUAAACCUUUAACUAAGACUAUAUUUACCUCCCUGUAUUUCACCCGAAAAUACAAAUAAGGAUCUUAACCAAUGCUAUGUGCUAAAUCAGUGCCAUCAUUGAAUGGUUUUAACUAUUGUCUCUGUGUGGAUGAUUCCCAACCUAUAUUUCUAGCCGAAAACCUCUUCUAAAUUUUUCUUUUUCCAGAAAUUCAUCUGCUAUCUCCAUCUUACUGUUCUGCCAGCACCAGAAAUACAGCAUGUCUUAAGACAAAUAGAUCACUUCCCUUUAAGAUUAGUUUCUUAUGCCAAUGUAUUUUCUAUUUAUGCUAACUGGUCUCUAAUUUUUUUAGGCUUAAGGCCUCAAAGACAUCCUAAUACGUGACAACUUGUUAUCUUUCUAAACUAUUAUCAGUUCACAGGUCCUGUGGGUAUUUAAAAAUUUUGAACUUUGUACUCACUGUACAAUAUUUUAGUGUAGUGCCUCAAAACCUUCCACAAGGAAGUACUAUCUUUUUCUUUUCACUGCAUUUCAGUUUAUUCUCAAGCCACUUCAUCCAAGAAACCAUUGUCUAAUUAAUCUUCUGGAUUUGCACUCUAAUAAAAUCACUACCAUAGUUAAAAGUCUUCAAUAGCCUCUCAAUGCAUGUCAAUCAGAUACAAAUAUUUUUAACUAGCAGUCAAGAUCCUUCAAUUUGUCUCAAGUUACCUCUCCAAGCUUUUCUUCCCUUCUCGUUAUCAACGUAUCCUGUAUUCCAUCAAAUAUGAGUAUCUUAGUGUACCCUCAAGUAACAUGUCUCAUUUCCAUCUAUUAUUUCUCACCUUGGGAGUACCUACUUCCCUUUCCCAUAAUCUUUGCCUGUUGAAAUUGUAUCCAUCUUUCAGGUUUUAGCUCAAAUGCUAGUUCCUUCAAAAAAAUUCUUUCACAUUCUCUUAACACUUAAGCGUGUGAUCUCUCCUUAAUUUAAAACAGUGCCUAGCACAAAGUAAGCAAGCAAUAAAUGUUAGCUAUUAUUUUCUUGCAUACUUUAAUCACAUAUCUCUCAUAUCAUCUAUCAUUUUUCUCACAAUAUUAGCUGGGGAUGUGCUCUAUGCACUACUGGGUUAUUCAUUCAUGAAAGCAAAGUUUAUGUAUUAUUUUCCUUUGCAUUAUUAACAGUACAAAUAAUGGUACCUUGUAUCUAGAGCUGUUCAAUAAGGAGAGAGGGAGAAAGGAAAGGACAAAAUAUGGAGGGAAGGAAAAAAAGGUAGAGAAAAAGAAAGAGAAAAACAGAGAGAAGGAACCAGGCAGGGAUCUUUGAAGACUCAGUAGCAUAAAACUAACCUUAGAGAAUUCCUAUUCUACAAUACACUAUUAACCAUAUUGAUAACCAUAAAUGGGUUAAAAUAAAGCUGUUAUUUACAAACUGGCAAUAGAGUGAACAAUAAUAAAGAGCUAAAUCACAGAUACUACUGGAUAUAUCAAUAACAUAAGCAUUUUUUAAUGUUAUUAUUUUAAACUCAGAAAAAUAGCUACCUGUUUACUACCAUCUGAUAUUUUGAUCAUUCUGUCAAUAUAUUCCCUUGCUUUAUCAUGGCGACCAAUGUGCCAUAAAAAUAAGCCUGCAUGGUAUAAGGCUUUCUCUCCAGCUCCUUUACGUUGUUCCUUCACUCUGGCAUCUGAUUCCAGAAUAGCUUCUCUAUCUGGUAGGGGAAAAUGAUAUUAAAUAAAAAUUAAAUUCUGGAUCAGGUAUUUAUAAUAGGUCAGAUAAUUAACAAGGCAAAAAAUUUACUUCUCUCUAUAGUGGUACUGUCUAAUAGAAAUAAAAUGCAAGCCAUAUAUGUAACUUAAAAUUUUCUAGUAGCACUAUCAAAGAAAUAGAAAGAAACAAUUAAAAUUAAUCUUAAUGUUUUAUUUAGCCCAAUAUAUCUAAGAUAUAAUUUCAAUGCAUCAUUGACAUAAAAAUUAAUGAGAUAUUUUGCAUGCUCUUUCCUUACUAACUGUGAAAUCUGGUAUUUCAUAAUAACAGCACAUCACAAUUAAGAUGCUAAAUUUUGGCUGGGCGCAGUGGCUCACGCCUGCAAUCGCAGCACUUUGGGAGGCCAAGGCGGGCGGAUCACGAGGUCAGGAGAUCGAGACCAUCCUGGCUAGCACGGUGAAACCCUGUCUCUACUAAAGAUACAAAAAAAAAAAAAAAAAAAAUUAGCCGGGCGUGAUAGCGUGCACCUGUAGUCCCAGCUGCUGGGGAGGCUGAGGCAGGAGAAUGGCGUGAACUCGAGAGGCGGAGCUUGCAGUGAGCAGAGAUCGCGCCACUGCACUCCAGCCUGGGUGAUAGAGCAAGACCCCGACUCAAAAAUAAAAAAAAAAGUUAAAUUUUAUUUAAAAAUACUUGAUUUGUAGUUUUCAUAAAACUUAUGGCUGAAAAGCAGAUUUUUAGACUCAAGUUACUCCUAAAUAAGUUUUCUAAUAACUGAAUCAAGUAUCAUUUUUAAGUUUAAAAAGUAAAUUAAUUAGAAUUAAAUAAAAUUUCAAAUUCAGUUCCUCAAACUUGGUAAAAAAGCUGUAUAUGGCCAGACAUGGUGGCUUACACCUGUGAUCCCAGCACUUUGGGAGGCCGAGGUGGGUGGAUCACCUGAGGUCAAGAGUUCGAGACCAGCCUGGCCAACAUGGCGAAACUCCAUCUAAAAAUAAAAAACAAAAAUAGAUGGGCGUGGUGGUGGGUGCCUGUAAUCCCAACUACUUGGGAGGCUGAGGCAGGGAGAAUUGCUUGAACCCAGGAGGCAGAGGUUGCAGUGAGCCUAGAUUGCACCACUGCACUCCAGCCUGGGCAACAGAGGAGGUAUAUGGUUAAGGAUCACUGUAAUGCACAAUAUAGCUAUAGAGUUUACAUCAUUCCCAAAAUAGAAAGGCUGUAUAUACUAAUAUUUUUUAAUAAUAAGACUUAUAAAAAUGUAUAAUGGUUCUAACCACAAUUAUUAGGAACAGGUCCAGUACUGGUACUCAACGUAUUAAUAAUUCUUAAAUACAAUUCUAAAAUAUAUAAACAUGCCAGCUACUGUUAUGGGUCAGUAAAAAGAUGGCAUAAUUGCUGUUAUAGUUUAAUACUGACUGCUCCCUUAAAUAGAUAACUCUAUUCACUUACAUUAAGUCUAUACACUCUCUCUCUCUCUCUCCCCUCCCCCAUAUAUAUAUAUAUAUAUAUAUAUUAGUAUCUGCUUAGGACACAGAAGUCAAUUACACCCAAACCCUGGAUGGAAUCAGAAUCAGAAUCAGCCAUGCAAUGAGGAAGAAGAAAUGUAAGUUGCGGCCUGUGAUUCCAACAGUUCUCUUUCUGGAAUGGCUACCAAGAGAAAGGUAUGUGACUCUUCCUUUCAACUCUAAUGAUACAAAUUUAAAUGUGAAAUUAACAAGGUACAAUCUAAUGAGUGAAGGAAACAAAACUGUUUCUGUAAGUCUACAGAUUGCUUAGCAAGAAGACCCUUUUCUCCUCUCCCCACUCCCCACCCCUACAACCCCUUCAGAAGUGUUCAUUAAACAGCCAUGAUACAGAAACAGAAAUAAGAAAACAAACAAACAAAAAAAACAACCACCAGGCAGAAGCAGGCAUUGUACAGGAAAUCUUUCCUACUCAGAUUUCCAUCACGUCCCUAAUGAGGUAUCAAUCAGCUCUAACACCGUCUGCACAAAGUUGUUGAAAGAUCGCAGCCUUUUUAUAAGCAGGGUUUAUUUACAUCAGCAUCCUGGAAGGAAUGUAUACUAACAAUCUAGGACUUUCCUAGGCAGUAUUUACAGACAUCUGGGCCCCUACUAGAGCUCAAGUCCAUUCAGCAUCAUCCUUGGUGCAAAGCAGAGUUAGCACUCAGGUUCCUCUGAACAGUAUUUCUGAUUCUGUCAUUUCAGUGUCCUGCAAAUCACAGUGUCCAACAGAAUCAACACUGGUAAGAAUAACCAAUUAAAUAAAAACUUGAUUCUAAUAAUAAAUUAUUUUGUACUAAUUUCUUCAAUCUAUACUAACUACAGCUCUCCCAUGAAAAUUUUCUGCUCUAGCUAAACACACUCCCACUGGAGUACGGAGAAAGGGGAUCCACAGAAGAGCCUAAUCCUGAACCACUUCCAUGUAUUUGCCCAUCCAUUUCUCCUCUCUGGCCAAUACUCUUCAUAUUCAAAUUCUACCAGUCCUUCAAAGAUCAGAUUAAGUUCCAAAAUUUCAAAAGCCUUCUCAGCCUACUCUUACAGCUGAAUAGUGCAUACCAACUUCAAUUAAUUAUAAACUCAUGUUUCAUUUUGUAUUAUUUAAUAGAAACAUUGGAAUUUAAUCUUUGUGUUUUUUACAUUUUGUUUUCUCCACUAGAUUACCAACUUGAUGACAUGAACCACUUAUUAGAAUUCUUUUGUAGCUUGUAACUGUAUUAGGCACAGUUUCUUGAAGAAAUUAAGCACAUAUUUACAUGUUUUAAAUAACUUUGUAUUGAUUUGCAUAUGUAUGAAGGAGGUAUGUCAUACUUGGCUUUAGAAAAAAGUCUCGUCUAAUAUUCAAGGAACCAGUCUGUGACCUUUGUUUAUUAUGUAAUUUUUUGAAACACAAUCUAUAUUUACAAUCCUAUUAGCUGUUACUGGAUAUAUAUUUAUGGAAGAAUAUAACACUACUUCUUCUUUAUUACAUACAAUUUGGAUACUCUUCUGCCUUCGCCAUUAACUAUACAUUAAGACAGUUCACAUAACUUUAUUUUUUAUUUUCUGUUUUUUUUUAGAGAUGGAGGUCUAACUAUGUUGCCCAGGCUGGCCUCGAACUCCUGGGCUCAAGUAAUCCUUCACCUCAGUCUCUCAAGUUGCAGGGAUUACUGGCUUGAGCCACUGUGCCUGGCAGUUUACACAACUUUAAUUGCUGGUUUAUGUAUAAAUUUCCUUCUAUAAUCUAGUCAGAAUCUAGUCAACCUACUACUGCAUAAAAAUUUGCUGAAUAUCUCCCAAGAGCUAGCCCUCAUAAAGGGUUUUAAGGCUCUCAAUAAGCUUAAUAUACAGAAAUAAACUGCAUUGGCUGUAUAUUUGCACAAAAGUUGUAAACUUGGCUGCUGCAGAGCAAUUUAUGUACAUACGGUACCUGUUUCUUUGGCUGUCCUUUUUUUGUGUAACAAUUACUAAUAUACAUUCCCUUUUAUCUAAAAAAAUCCCUAUGUACUAAUGAAACCUCUGCCAGAGGAUAUAAGGAACACGAAAAUAGUAUAAGACACAUUUCUUGUGCCUGAUGAAUUUACACCCUUGUCAGGAAGAUAAACAUAUGUAUAAAUUGUACCUACAGAAAAUACAUAAUAUAGUGUGAUCAGACUGAAUGACUUGGUAACUGAGAAAAAUAAAAAUAAACUGAAUAGGAAAAAAUGUCCUAAGCAUUGCAUUUAAAUAUCAUACCUGGAUUAGGACUCAUUUUAUGGGCAUAUAUCAGUGCAAGUAGAGAACAAAGUGAUACAUCUUGUUUAUUUUUAAUAGCCUCAAAUUCUCGAAGAGCUUCUUGAGUUUUACCUGAAAAUCAAGAUUAUGAUAUGAAAAACUGUUCUUAGUGCAAAGCAAGAAUUUAAAACUGAUGGAACAUGUUUAAUGAUUAACACGUACCUUCCAUUAAUGUGCCAUAGGCAUGAUAAAACCUGAAGACUGGAUCACUUCCAUACCUCUUAAUUCCUUCACUGGCAACCAGUAAUACAUGAUGGAAAUAUCUCUCUUGACAAUAGUAAUUAAUCAAAGUCUAAAUGGAAAUAAUGAAAAAAUGUUAUAAAGGAAUUCUGGUGCUCUGAAAUACUCUAAGAAGCAGAUAAUAAUCUAACAUCUAGAAUAAUGUAAAAUUCAGGCAAUGUGACUUUUUUCUUCCAAGUUUCUUAAAAUACUAUUAAUGGCUAGAACUCAAUGCUAAGGAUUGCAGAACUGAAUGAUCAUAAAAUUACUGAAAUAAUUCAAUGUUUUCUAAUAAUUUAAAUUAUUUUUCCUAAGUUUUUGUUAACAGCACCGAAAUGAGGCUGCUUUCACCUUUUUUCCUUUGCCCACAUUUUCUUGAACGUUUUAGAAAACAGAAAGGCAGACAAUAAACAGGAACUAAAAAAAAAAAAAAAAAGACAAGAGGCUUCCAUUGCCAGACCAUAGGUUUCUUUAAAAAAAAAAAUCUUCUUUUUAAAAUAUCCAGUAUUUUAUUACAGCAUUACAAAGUAAUGACAAAUUUAAUUCUUCAACAUAUCAUCAAAUGUUAUCUUACUCGGCUUUGAGUUCUGCGACAAAUAAAUUGUCAGUUAAGAAUAAAUAAACUAUUUUUCAAUGAAAAUCGUUGUCUUUAAGCUUUUUCCAAAGUUAUAUUAUUUCCAUAUACAAGACAAAACUACUAUCAGGACCUACUAACUUCUGAAUAAAAAUGGGCCUGUGCUGUCUACCAUUUUUCCUACGAUUAUGUCUAAGGCUUGGUUGCUAACCUCAUCAAAGACAGAAACCACACUUUCCCACCAUCACUAGGAUACACCUGAUUCACCAGAAAGCAGUUUGGGCCACCCCAUACCUACCUACCUGGACUCUACAGCUUGUUCAGUAGCAGUGAGAAAUACAGGUGACUAAGUGACAGGAUUGAAAUCUAAGGGUAUCUAGACAGCUCUGGUUUGUUUGUUUUGUUUUGUUUUGGAGAUUCUGUCACUCAGGCUGGAGUGCAGUGGCGCAAUCUCUGCUCACUGCAAUCUCUGCCCCCUAGGUUUAAGCGAUUCUCCUGCCUCAGCCUCCUGAUCUGGGACUAUAGGCACACCCCACCGCACCUGGCUAAUUUUUGUAUUUUUAAGUAGAGAUGGGGCUCCCCAUGUUGGCCAGGCUGGUCUUGAACUCUUGACUUCAAGUGAUCCACCCGCCUGGGCCUCCCAAAGUGCUGAGAUUACAGGCGUGAGCCACCACGCCCGUCCGACAGCUCUGUUUUAUAUAGUCUCUUGCUUCUGGAGGGCUAUAGUCCAUGUACUUCUCUAGAUCAGUUAGGCGACUGUUCUCUGUAAUUUUACUCUGCCUCCCUCCUUGUGAUCACUGCUCCCUAACCUCCUUUUUAGCCAUGUUUCUUAAAAGUGUGCUCCAUACCCCAUCUCCAGACCCCCACAACACAUUUCAGUGAAACACAGUUUUCCUCCAAUGCUCCAUUCCCUAAAGUUGCAGAAUGACUUCUUACUUUGCCACAACUAAGGACACGUUUAAUACCUUACUUGACUUCUGCACACUAUCACUAAGCAUCUAUAAUCCUCCUGAAAGGCAGUGGCAUAGCACCAUAAAAAGGACGCGAAUUUAAAGGCAAAAAGAAUCUCUGGUCCUUCUUACAACGCCUCAGUCUGCUCAUUUAUAAAAUGCUGUUAGUAAUGCAAAUGUACAGGUCACUGUGAGAAUUAAUUAAGAUAUCAUAGUAUAAGAGUUCUAUUCUGAAAAAAAUAAGUUCCUCUGCAUCCCAUAUGUUAAUGGAAUAAAAAAAAAAUGUGUCCUGCGCCAAGACCUCUUGUCUAUGUUCCAGAUUCAUAUUUCCAUUUUCCACCUGCUACCCUGCUACUCAUGAAUCCUCCCUUCCUAUUUGCCCAGUCUCUCUAAGUCUAACCACUUAGUAGGUUCUUCUAUUUCUCCAGUCUACCUCCCACUAAACAUACCUAAUGCUACUGCCUUGGUUCAGGUUAGGUUAUUCAAUCCAAAACAUUUACUGACUGCCUACUAGUACCCAGGCACUGGGCUAGCUACUAUGAAUAGAAAAAUGAGUAAGACAUGGUUCCUGUCCCCCCGGAAAACCUACAUUUUUCAGAUGAGACUGUAAUCUGAAGACUAACUGAAAUAUAAUGUAGUAAAUGUAAGAAAAGAGCUUAUAAACUCCUUUGGGAAUGUGGGAUAGCAACAUUUUGACAGCAUUGAAAACUGAAUGUGGUGUGAGGGGAGGAUGGAUGACUAAAAUCAAGGGAAAGAUUAUUGGGGAGGAUUUCAGAGCUGACUCUUGAAUUGCAAACCCCUCAUUCUCCCUCCACACACGUACACGCUCUUCCUAUUUCCUUUUCAUGAUUCUUGAGGAAGGUACAGGAGUUAGGAAGAGGAACUGCAACAACACAGAUAACAAGUCAUCAAUGGUACAUUGGGAUGGCAGUGGUGAUGAAGAUGACUAAAAGCCACUCCAUACUCUAGAGCAGGGUUUGGCAAACCACACUCUGUGGGCCAUAUCUGGCUGGCUGGCUGUACAGCCAGUGAACUAAGAAUGGUUUUUAUAUUUUCCAGCUGUCAAGGAAAAAAAAGAAAUAUUUCAUAACAUGAAAAUUACAUGAAAGUCAAAUUUCAGUGUUCAUAAAUAAAGUUUUAUUGAAACACAGCCAUGCUCAUUUAAGUAUUGUCUAUGGCUGUUUUGAACAAGCCAAUUAGAUGUGAUAGACCAUACGGUCCAUAAAGUCUAAAAUGUGUACUAUCUGGCCCUUUGUUGAGAAAGUUUGCUAUUCUCUGCUCUGGAGGCUUAAGUGAGACAGAGAGUAUUGGAUGAUGAGGUUGGAGACGAAGGUGGGGUGAAAAGCCUCAUAUUAAGUACUUGGACUUGAACCUCAAGUCUAAGUAAUGAGGAGGCCCAUUUUUACAUUUUACAUUAAAGUGUUUUUAUUAAAAUGUUCAUUUGGGUGGCAGUGCAAAUAAUACAUUUAAGGGAAUAAAAAAAUGUAAGGAUAUAGGGGGAUAGCUAGAACAGAGGAUAAUGUAAAACUUCAGGCAGAAAAACAAGACAUUUCAGCAUUCCCUAACCUCCUACAUCGCCAAAUUGUCCUCCAUCCACUUAUCACCAUCUCACAGGAUACACAUUUCAUUUACCUACUUGUUGUCUGACUCCUCCUACUCAAAUGUAAGCUCCAAGAUUGGAAGAGUUUUUCUUGGUUUUAUUAUUUCAGUGCUUAGAACAGUGCUAGACACAUAGGAGGCAUUCAGUAAAUAUUUGUUGAGUCAACUGAAUUAGGGUUUUUCCCCAGCAUUAAUUAGCCUGUAAAAUCUGAGAAGGCAGAAACUGUUCAGUUUUGCUCACUGCUAUCUCCAGCUUCUAAUGGACAUACAGUAACCCUUCAUAAAUAUUUGCUGAACGAGUGAUUCAGUGAACAAAUGAAUAGAGAAGACCAACAUCCGAAAAGUUAUUUUAUUUUCAAGCCUCAUGUCUUUAACUGUUUUAUAUCAGCCUUUCUUAAGUUGACCGUCAUUAAUAUUUGCUGAAUGAAUGAGUCAGUGAUAAACAGAGAAGACCAUCACCCUAAAAUAACGACCCCUCCACUUUUAAGUCUUACGUCUUUAAUGGGUUUCAUAUAAUCUUUCUGCGCUCUUUUUACUGUCCAGUGUGGGAGCUGACACUAGUUUGCCUUAAGUCCUUAAAAAUCGCACCCGGAGGCGCAGUGUCAUAGGUAACCCAAGCUUUCCUAGUAAACAUGAUACAAAAGUAAACACAACCAACAGCAUGGGGACCAGCAAUUCAGAAACACCGAGCGGGCGGGCUGCCCAGACCUGGGCUUCCCCAGCAGGGCCCGCGGAGACCGGCCGUGAGCAGAGGCUGCAGGCCCACCCCGCAACCCGAGCAGCCGGGGCACCGCAGGGAAACAGCGGCCUAGCGAAGCCACCCGAGCUCCCUCCGCGCCCCCGGGCCAAAAGGCCGCAAAGGAACUCCGCCCGCCCGCCCGCUCACCCGCUCACCCGCUCACCCGCUCACCUUCAAUUCCUGCGAGUCCAUGGCUGCCCCGAGGCCGGGCCGCGGGGCUCUGGGGAUUGUCUCGCCGCAGCCUAAAGGAAGACGCAGAAUUCAGCUCCCCUAGCCUCCCGGAGCGCUCUAGCGCCCCGGGCCCCAGCGGGAGGGGCGGGGUCGCGCCGCGAUUGGCUGUCGGAGGGAGAGGCGGGCCUGUGUGGCGGGGAUCGUGCUGUAAUGGAGCAGGGGCGGCGGGGACCCGGAGGUGAGGGCUGCGAGGGCCGCCCGGGAGGGUCCGGGCUGGGAAAAGGGCCUCCGCCGGAGAGUGCAGCUGGAAAAGGAGGUCACACUGGGAAACGGCUGUCUGAGGACAGUGGGUGGGCGGGCCGAGGAAAUGGAAUUCAGGAAUAAAGGAAACGGAGUAUGAAGAAGGGGAAGUCUGUUUCCUGUCACUGGUUGUAAAGGAAGACACCAUUUUCUGCACGUUUGUCUGGAGGCGGAUUCCCGCAGUGCGGCUCUCAGCAAGGCUCUGCCGGCGCGGGAAAAAGCGGUCAACUUUCACGUGGGCAAGUUGUUUUACGGCCACAAGGUGGCGCAGAAAAAAAAAAUCACACGUUCUUAACAGAAAUACGGUGCGCUUGGGCCCGUCUUUGCAGGCGUUGCUGCAAUCUUUGUUAGAAUGUGUGUUCAAUUAGCCCUUUUUUACCAGCCCCGAUAAUAAGAGGGACAAAUAAAUUAAACUUCCAGAAAAUUAGUGUCUUGUUUUCAAUGAUACUACUGAUUUUAAACUGAGAAUAAAAUGAAUCCCAAUGCAAAUUUUUAUGUUUGCACCCCAUUAGGCAACUCAAUCAGUCACACAUAGAUUUCUUAAGUCCAGGAAAUUAAAUGGAAAUAUAAUAGACUAAGAUUUUCUAUUUCUGCUUAAAUAAAUAUUUAAAAUAGUGCAUAAGGUCUGAGAUUUAAGUGAUCUUUGCAGAAUCUUUCACGUGGAUUCCAAAUUUUGAUCCUAGUGUUAAUUAUCUUACUUUAGUUGACAUGAUACGUAGUUGCCUUUUCCAGAUUUUAAGUUUCUUAAGGAGUUUAUAAACAUUGACUUUUUCCCCAUGCCAAUAGGUUAUGUAAGGACAGUCUUGAGAAAAACGGUAGCUACCAUCCUAGGCUUUAAGGUGAAGCAAUAUUUCUCACCGGUUUCUCUUUAAAGGAAUUCACCACGUAUUUUCACGAGCAACUUUUUUUUCUUUCCAAUAUUUAUAGUCCAGCUAAAUGUCUGUGGUGAUGAACAACUGGUGAUAUCUCUUUGAUUUUCAAAGCUGCGGAUUAAUCCGCACUUGGUAUACAGCAAAGAAUACCACAGGACCAGGGUGCUCAAUGAAGUGUAUAAUCUUGAACUGUAAACCUUUGGUUAUAAGAGAAAAGUUCAUCUGUAAGGAAAUAUCUCAGGAUCAUGGUUAACAGAACAGAUGAUCAACCUACCUUUUGGAGAUCUUGAAAGUCAUAUUAAUUUAGCCUCGUAUUCUCUUCACUGAAUUCUGUUCUAAGGUUGAAUUAUUUAGCACAAAACACCAAGCCUGAUGUUUCAUAAAUGUUUGUUGGAUUAAAAGUACUCUGAGAUUUGCUUUGACACUCACGGUGACUUGGUGUGCCCUGUGCCCUUACUAGAUCUCAUGUAAGAAAUUUAUUUUGGAUCUCAGGCCAGGAAAAACUCUUGUCUUUCCUGAAAAAUCGAUGUGUUCCUUAGCAGUAACAUUUUUAUCGGCUCACUUUUACUAGCUACAAACUUUUGAGUCUGAUAUCCAUGACCCUUCACCUCAUCGUCUUUUCAAGCCUUAUCUUCUACCUCCCCUUCAAGGAGCCUUUAUUCCGCUCAGUGGGACAAAUAUUCCUUCUUCUGGUAAUGCUUUCCCCUACUUUGUUUUGAGCUCUUUCUUCACCUGAGAAAAUCUCCUUCUUCUGAGUUCAUUUCAAAUUUCAUGAAGUCUUUAAGGAUCACCAUAACUGGAUGGGUAUAAAAAUAUCACAGUGUAGUGGCAAGAAUACCCUCUUCUGCAUCUGAGGUGGAGCUCCUAUUACGCUAGCUACUUUUGUGACUUGGGGAAGUAAUUUCCCUAAGCCUCAUUUUCCUUAUUUACUAAAGAAACUAAAUGCCUUACAGACAUAUUAAAACUUCCUGACACAUAAUAGGCAUUGUAUAACCAAUAGUUUCCAUUAAACACGUAGUGCUCUAUAGCAGUGGUCCCCAAUCAUUUUGGCACCAGGGACCAGUUUGGUGGAAGACAAUUCACAGAAGAUAAAUUUUCCAUGGACAGGGGUAGGGGAGAUGGUUUCGGGUUGAAACUAUUCCAUCUCAGAUCAUCAGAUUCUUAUCUAAGGAGCAUACAGCCUAGAUCCUUCACAUGCACAGUUUAUAAUGGGGUUUGCAUUCGUAUGAGAAUCUAAUGCCUCGCUGAUCUGACAAGGAGGUGGAGCUUGGGGUAACGCUCCCUUUCCUGCCCCGCAGCUCACCUCCUGCUGUGUACCCCGUCCUGCUGUAUACCCCAUCCUGCUGUGUAGCACUGAUUUGCAGUCCUCAGAUUGGGGACCCCUGCUCUAUAAGACUUAUUACACUUGCAUAGUCCUUGUAUUACUAGUUAUAGUGCAUUUUUGUUUAAUGUUCUCUACCAGAUGAUGAGCACUAUAAAGCUAGAUAAUAUAAUGUAGCAGUUAACAUCUUCGUCUCCAGAAAUACGUCAUUUUCGUUCAGACCUUAAUGUGUCCGGAAUUGGUGGGUUCUUGGUCUUGCUGACUUCAAGAAUAAAGCCGCGGACCCUCGCGGUGAGUGUUACAGUUCAUAAACGCACGCAGACCCAAAGAGUGAGCAGCAACAAGAUUUAUUGCAAACAGCAAAAGAACAAACCUUCCACAGAGUGGAAGAGGACCCCAGUAGAGUGCCCCUGCUAGCUCAGGUGGCCUGCAUUUAUUCCCUUAUCCGGCCCCACCCACAUCCUACUGAUUGGUCUGCUUUACAGAGAGCUAAUUGGGCUGUUUUACAGAGAGCUGAUUGGUCCGUUUUGACAGGAUGCUGAUUGGUGUGUUUACAAACCUUGAGCUAGACACAGAGUGCUGACUGGUAAAUUUACAAUCCUUUAGCUAGACACAAAAGUUCUUCAAGUCCCCACCAGAUUAGCUAGACACAGAGCACUGAUUGGUACCUUUACAAACCUUGAGCAAGACACAGGGUGCUGACUGGUGCGUUUACAAACCUUCAGCUAGACACAGAGUGCUGACUGGUGCAUUUACAAACCUUUAGCUAGACAUAAAAGUUCUCCAAGUCCCCACCUGACUCAGGAGCCCAGCUGGCUUCACCUAGCGGUUCCCGGCCCGCCGAGACUGCAGCGGAGCUGCCCACCAGUCCCGCGCCACGCGCCCGCACUCCUCAGCCUUUGGGCAGUGGAUGGGACCGGGCGCCGUGGAGCAGGGGGCGGCGCCCUUCGAGGAGGCUCGGGCUGGGCACGAGUCCACCGGGAGAGGGGAGGGCUCGCGCAUGGCAUGACGGGCUGCAGGUCCCGAGCCCUGCCGCGCGGGAGGCGGCUGAGGCCCCGUGAGAAUUCGAGCGCCGCAGGGGCAGGCUGGCAGUGCUGGGGGACCCGGUGCACUCUCCGCAGCUGCUGGCUCGGGUGCUAAGCCCCUCACUGCCUCGGGCCAGCGGUGCCGACCCGCCGCUCCAAGUGCGGGGCGGGCGGAGCCCGCGCCCACCUGGAACUCGCGCGGGCCCGCCAGCGCCAACCGCAGCCGCGGUUCCCGCCCGCGCCUCUCCCUCCACACCUCCCCGCAAGCAGAGGGAGCCGGCUCCGGCCUUGGCCAGCCCAGAGACAGGCUCCCACAGUGCAGCGGCGGGCUGAAGGGCUCCUCAAGCACUGCCAGAGUGGACACCGAGGCCGAGGAGACGCCAAGAGCGAGUGAGUGCUGCUAGCAGGUUGUCACCUCUCAUUAAUACUACUAUUCACUGGCUAUUCAGUUGGAAAAAGUUAUUUAACUUCUCUGUAUACUUCAGCUGUAAUAUCAGACUAACACCUCAGAAAAUUGUUAAGAAGACUAAAUAAGUUAAUAUUUAAAGUACAGAGCAGUAUUAGGGGUAUGGUAAGUACUGAAUUACUGUUACCUAUAAUCACUUGUACUCCCAACUACUCCAGAGUACAGUAUUGAUCACAUAAGUAUUUAGAAAGUUUUACAGCAUUGAUAGUUUUUUUCAAUCAUAUCUGUGUUUGAUUUUCUCCUCCUCCAAUUCUUAUACUGAUCCACUUGUAGCUGUAUUAUUUUAUAUAUUCAAAUUAAAGAAAAACACUUAGGAAAACUAGGGAGUUUUGGUAACAAACAAAGUAAAAGUGAAUACACUAAAAAUAAAACAGAGGUAAGUAUAUGUCAUCAUUAAAUUUGGGAGGUGAAAAUAAUGUUAGCAGCUUGAACAGUUUCAUUUUAUGGAAGAGUAAGAUGAAGCCCAAAGCUAAGACCAAUAGUUUUCCACCGUCCAAUCUAGCCUGCACAACAAUUGUGAAUAAGAAGAGUGUUUGCCUUUUCUUUCUUUUUAAGGCUUGUUAAAUUAAAUUAAAUUUGGCCUAAAGAAACCUUCAUACAUACUGCACCAUAAGCUAUAUGUAAACAGACUGAAAUGUAACUAAGAGUAUGUUUUUUAAACAGCCAAGUUUUGGCCAAUCAUAUCAGCCAAUAACAAGUCGCAAACUGCUCAGACAUGUUCUAAUAAGGCAAAUACCAAACUAUAACCAAUCAGGCUGUUUCUGUAUGUGCCUUCCUUUUUCUGUCUGUAGAUACUACCUAAAGAAGUUGCUGGGUAGACCUCUCUGAACCUUGACUGGUUCCAAGUGCUGCCCAAUUCAUGAAUCAUUUUUUUGCUCAAAUAAACUCUGCUAAAUUUGUCUCAAAGUGUUCUUUUAACAUUAUUACUAUAAAAUUGAAAUUAUAUAUAGAAGUUAAAAAUGUAUGAAAUCCAAACUAACUAGCACAUAAUUCAGUCUCAGAGGCAACAUCAUGGAACAGUUAGGUUAACUGAAAUCAGAAUUGCUGAGUUGUUAGAGUUCUGUCCCUCAAUAACUUCACAACUUUGGGUAAGUCAUUAACUUUUUUAAAAGAAAUUACUUUAGGCUGGACACAGUGACUCAUGCCUGUAAUCUCAGCACUUUGGGAGGGUGAGGUGGGCAGAUCACUUGAGGUCAGGAGUUCGAGAACAGCCUGGCCAACAUGAUGAAACCCCAUCUCUACUAAAAAUACAAAAUUUGCUGGGCGUGGUGGCAGGUGCAUGUAAUCCCAGCUGCUCCAGAGGCUGAGGCAGGAGAAUCACUUGAACCUGGGAGGUGGAGGUUGCAGUGAGCUGAAAUCACACCACUGCACUUUAGCCUGGGCAACAGAGUGAGACUCUGUCUAAGAAAAAAAUGUAUUUUAUUGAUGCAUAAUAGAUAUUUAUUAUUUCAGUUACAUGUGAUAAUAUAGAUUCAUACUUUAUAAAGAUCUAAUCAGUGUGGUUGGGAUCUCAUCACUUUAAUUAUAUGUCCUUUGUGCUAGAAACAUUCAAAUUAUUCUAACUAUUUUGAAAAGCACAAAAGAAUAUUGUAAACUUACCCUACUGAUCUGUCUCACACUAGGUCUUAUUUCUUUUGUCAACUAUAUGUUUAUACACAUUAAUCAAUUUCUCUUCUUUCUGCUACUUCCAUACCCUUCUGUCCUCUGGCAACUACCAGUCUACUCCCUAUUUUCAUGAGAUUGAUUUUUUUAGCUCCGACAUGUCAGUGAGAACACACAAUAUUUGUCUUUCUGUGCUUGGCUUAUUUCACUUUAAUAUACUGACGUCCAAAUCCAUCCGUGUUGCUGUAAAUGACAAGACUUCAUUGUUGUGGCUGAACAAUAUCACAUUGUGUAUAUAUACUAAAUUUUCUUUAUCCAUUCAUUCACUGAUGGGCAGUUAGGUUGAUUCCAUAUUUUGGCUCUUGUGAAUAGUGUUGCAAUAAACAUGGAAGUGCAGAUCUUUUUCAGUAUACUGAUUUUCUUUCUCUUGAAUAUAUACUCCGUGGAAUUGGUGGAUCAUAUGGUAGUUCUAUUUUUAGUUUCUUGAGGAAGCUCCAUCCUGUUAUCCAUAAUGGCUGUACUAAUUUAUAUUUCCACCAACAGUGUAUGAGGGUUCCCCUGUCUCCACAUCCUCACCAGCAUCCGUUAUUGACUGUCUUGUUGAUCAAAAGCCAUUUUAACUGGUGUGAGAUGAUAUCUCAUUAUAGUUUUGAUUUUCAUUUCUCUGAUUAUUAUUGAUGAGCAAUUUUCCUAUCCCUGUUAGGCAUGUGUAUGUCUUCUUUUGAGAAAAGUGUGUUGAGAGCUUAUGUUCAUUUUUAAAUCAGAUAUUUUUUUCCUAUUGAGUGGUUUGAGCUCCUUAUGUAUUCUGGUUUUUAAUCUCUUCUCAGAUGGAGAGCUUAUAAAUAUUUUCUCCUAUUCUAUGGGUUAUCUCUUCACUGUGAUGAUUGUUUCCUUUGCUGUCCAGAGGAUAUUUAGCUUGAUGUAAUCCCAUUUAUCUGUUUUUGCUUUGAUUGCCUAUGCUGUUGAGGUCUGACACAUACAAUUUUUUCCUGUAUCAAUGUCCUGGAGCAUUUCCUCAAUGUUUUCUUCUAGUAGUUUCAAAGUUUCAGGUCUUAAAGUCUUUAUUUUGAUUUGAUUUUUGUAUAUGGUGGGAAUUUGGGGCCUAGUUUCAUUCUUCUACAUUCGGUUACACAGUUUUCCCAGCACCCUUUAUUGAAGAGACUAUCCUUUCCCCAUGGUGUUCUUGGAGCCUUUGUCAAAAAUAGGUUGACUGUAAAGGCAUGGCUUUACAUCUGGGUUCUUUGUUCUGGUCCGUUGGUCUAUGUGUCUUUCCUGUACACAUUGUAUGGUCUAUGCCCACACAAUGCUGUUUUGGUACUAUAGCUUUGUCAUAAAUUUUGAAGUGAGAUAAUGUGAUGCCUCUAGCUUUGUUCUUUUUGUUCAGGAUUGUUUUGUCUAUUAGGGGUCUUUUGUGGUUCCAGAUAAGUUUUAAGAUUAUUUUUUUCAAUUUCUAUGAAGAAUUUUAUUCUUAUUUUGAUAAGGAUUGCAUUGAAUCUGUAAAUUGCUUUGAAUAGGAUUGCCAUUUUAACAAUAUUAUUCUUCCAAUCUAUGAGCAUGCAAUAUCCUUCCAUUUAUUUGUGUGUCCUCUCCAGUUUCGUUCAUCAGCGUUUUACCAUUUUCCUUAUGAAGAUCUUUCACAUCUUUGGUUAAAUUGACUUCUAGGUAUUUUAUGUUUUUUUAGCUAUUGUAAAUGUGAUUGCUUCUUGAUUUCCUUUUCAUAUUGUUUGCUGUUGGCAUGUAUAAAUGCUACUGAUUUUUGUGUAUUGAUUUUGUGUCUUGCAACUUUACUGAAUUCAUUUGUCAGUUCUAACAGUUUUUUUGAUGGAGUCCAGGAUUUUCUAAAUUUAAGAUCAUAUCAUCUGUGUUCAGGGCUAAUUUGACUCUUCCUUUUAAAUAUGGAUGCCCUUUAUUUCUUUAUCUUGCCUAAUUGCUCUAGCCAGGAGUUCCAGUAUUAUGUUAAAGUGGUGAAAGUAGGCAUCCGGCUGGGCGCGGUGGUUCACGCCUGUAAUCCCAGCACUUUGGAAGGCUGAGGUGGGUGGAUCAUGAGGUCAGGAGAUCGAGACCAUCCUGGCUAACACGGUGAAACCCCGCCUCUACUAAAAAUACAAAAAAUUAGCCAGGCGUGGUAGCGGGCGCCUGUAGUCCCAGCUACUUGGGAGGCUGAGGUAGGAGAAUGGCGUGAACCCGGGAGGUGGAGCUUGGAGUGAGCUGAGAUAGCACCACUGCAUUCCAGCCUGGGCGACAGAGCGAGACUCUGUCCCCCACAAAAAAAGUAGGCAUCCGUGUCUUAUUUUAAAUCUUAGAGGAAAGGCCUUCAAUUUUUCCCUUUUCAGAACAGUGUUAGCCGUGGAUUUGUCAUAUAUGGCCUUUAUGAUUUUGAGGAAUGUUCCUUCCAUACCCAAUUUGUUGAGGGUUUUUAUCAUGAAGAGAUGUCGAUUUUUUUUUUUUUUUUUUUUUUUCUGAGGCAGAGUCUCACUCUGUCGCCCAGGCUGGAGUGCAGUGGCACGAUCUUGGCUCACUGCAACCUCGGCCUCCCAGGUUCAAGUGAUUCUCCUGUCUCAGCCUCCUGAGUAGCUAGGAUUACAGGUGCCCACCACCACGCCCGGCUAAUUUUUUCUAUUUUUAGUCCAAUGCCUUUUUUUGCAUCUAUUGAAGUGAUCACAUGGAUUUUGUUCUUGAUCGAGUUAAUGGGAUGUAUCGUGUUUGCAUAUGUUGAAUCAUACUUGGAUCCCUGGGGCAAAUCCCAGUUGAUUAUGGUGAAUGGUCCUUUUAAUGUGUGGUUAAAUUCAGUUUACUACUAUACUGCUGAGGAUGUUUGCCUCUAUGUUCAUCAGUGAUAUUAUCCUAUGUUUUUCUUUUUUUGUUGUAUCCUUCUUGCUUUUGGUAGCAGUAUAAUGCUGGCCUUGUAGAAUGAGUUCCACAGUAUUCCCUCUUCCUCAAUUUUUUUUUGAAGAGUUUGAGUAAAAUUGGUAUUACAUUUUCUUUAAAUGUUUGGUAGCAUUCAGCAGUGAAGCCAUCAGGCCCUAGGUUUUUCUUUGAUGAGAGACGUUUCAUUAUGGCUUUUAUCUCAUUACUCGAUACUGGUUUGUUGAAGUUUUGUAUUUCUUCAUAGUUUAAUCUUACUAGGUUGUAUGUGUCCAGGAAUUUAUCUAUUUCUUUUAAAUUUUCCAAAAGGUUGGUGUAUAGUUCUUCAUGACAGUCUGUAAUGAUUCCUUGUAUUUCUGUGGUUUCAGUUGUUAUGUUCCAUUUUUCAUUUUUUAUUUUAUUUAUUUAGGUUUUUCUCUUUUUUUUCUAGUCUAGCUAAAGGUUUAUUGGAUUUUUAUCUUUUAAAAAAAAACUUUUCAUUUUGUUGAUCUUCUUUAUUGUUUUUAUAGUCUGAAUUGUAUUUUUUCCUGCUCUGGUCCUUACUAUUUCUUUUUGUCAACUAAUUUUGGGUUUGAUUUGUUCUUGCUUUCCUUGUUUCUUGUGGUGCAUCAUUAGUUUGUUUAUUUGAAGUCUCUCUACUUUUCUGAUGUAGACAUUUAUUGUGGUAAAUUUCCCUCUUAGAGCUGCUUAGAUUUUGGUAUGUUAUAUUUCCAUUUUCAUUUAUUUCAAUAAAUUUUCUAAUUUUCUUCUUAAUUUCUACAUUUACCCAUUGUUUGUUCUGGAGCAUGCUGUUUAAUUUCCAUGCUGUGUAAUUUCAUGAAGCUUCUGAGGUUCUCUAAUUGAUUUCUACUUUUAUUCUACUGUGGUCAGAAAAGAUACUUCAUAGAAUUUCUACAUUUUGUUUUAUUUUAUUUAUUUAUUUAUUUUGGAGACAAGGUCUCACUCUGCCACCCAGGCUGGAAUACAAUCAUGCAAUUGUAGUUCACUGUUACCUUGAAUUCCUGGGCUCAACCAAUUCUCUUCUUCUGCUUUGGCCUCCUAAGUAACUAGGACUACAGGCACAAGCUAUCACGCUUGGUUGUUUUCUACAAUUUGAAUUGGUUGGAACCUGUUUUGUGACUUAAGAUAUUGUUUAUUCUGGUGAAUGUUCUAUGUAUUAAUGAAAAGAAACAAUGUUAUUCUGUAGCAGUUGGAUGAAAUGUUCUGUAAAUGUUAGUUAGGCCUUUCAGUAUGUAGUUUAUCUCCAUUAUUUCCUUUUUGAUUUUCUCUCUUAAUGAUCUCUUCAUUUUUAAGAGUGGGGUGAUAAAGUCCCCUACUAUUAUUGUAUUACAAUCUAUCUCUCCCUUAAGAUCUAUUAAUGUUUGCUGAAUAUACUUGGAUGUUCCAGUGUUUGGUGCACAGAUAUUUAUAAUUGUUAUAUUUUCUUGCUGACUUGACUCCUUUAUCAUUAUAUAGUGACCUUUUGUCUCCUUUUACAGUCUUUGAUACGUAGGCUAUUUUAUCUCAUAUAAGUGUAGCCACUCCUGCUUUUUCUUUGGUUUCCCAUUGCAUGUAAUAUCGUUUUCCAUCUCUUCACUUUCAGGCAGUAUAUUUAUAGGUGAAGUGUUUUUUUCUGUAGGCAGCACAUAGUUGGGUCUUGGCUGUUUAUUCAGCCACUGUAUGCCUUUUAAUUAGAGAAUUGAGUCCAUUUACAUUGAAUGCUGUUAAUAAGUAAAGGCUACUGACAUUUUGUUGCUUGUUUUCUGGUUGUUUCAUAACUCCUUCUUCCUUUCCUCCCUUCUUCCCUUCUUCCUUUGUGGUUAAGUAAUUUUUCUCUGGUAGAAUGCUUUAAUUCAUUGAUUUUCAUAUUUAGUGAAUUAUUGGUUUUUGCAUUGUGGUUAUCAUGAGACUUGCAAAAAACAUAGAUGGAAGUUAUUUUAAAGAGAAGACAACUUACCUUACUUAUAUCAAAAAGAAUAGGAUAGAAAGAAAUAAAAAAAAAAUCUACGCUUUAACCCUAUUCCCCCACUUUUUGACUUUUAAUCGUCUCAAUUUGCAUAUUUUUAUAUUAUCUCUCUCUCUUAACAAGUUGCUGUAGCUAUUACUGCUUUUGAUAGAUUUUUCUUUUGGGUUUUGUGUUAGAGGAAUCAGUGAAUUGCACACCAUGCAGUAUUACAGUAAUCUGGGUUUGUCUAUGUGCUUCAUUUUACUGGUAGGUUUUAUAUCUUCAAUUUUUUUGUUGUUGUUUUCCUUUCAGAUUAUAGAACUCCCUUUAGCAUUUCUUUAAAAAUGGGUCUGGUGGUGGUCAAUUCUCUCAGCUCUUGUUCGGGGAAGACUUUAUCUCUCCUUCAUAUUUGAAAGAUAACUUUGCUAAUUAAAGUGUUCUUGAAUGGCAGUUUUUUUCUUUCAACACUCUGAAAAUGUUGGUGCACUCUUUCCUUUCCUGUGUGAUUUCCAUUGAAAAAAAAAAUCUGUUGCCAAAGGAAUUGGGGAUCCUUUAUAAGUUAUUUACUUCUUUUCUCUUGCUGCUUUUAGAAUUCUCACUUUGUCCUUGACCUUUGAGAAUCUGAUUAUUAUAUUCCUUGGGGUAGUGUUAUUUGGGUCAGAUCUGUUUGGUGUUCUCUGACCUUCCUAUACCCGAAUGUUUCUUUUGAAGUUUUGUGAAGUUAUCUGUUAUUAUUUCUUUAAAUAAGCUUUCUACUUCUUGCUCUUGCUCCAUUCACUCUUGAACACCAAUAAUUCUUAGAUUUUACUUUUUCAGGUAAUAUUCUAUAUCUUGUAAGUGUUCUUCAUGCUUUUCAUUCUUUUUUUUUAUUCUUCUGACUGCAUUAUCCCACAGCCUGUCUUCAAGAUUACAGAUUCUUUCCCCUGCUUGAUCCAUUCUGCUGUUGACAGCCUCUAAUGAAUUUUGACAUUCAGCAAAUAUAUUUCAGUUUCAAUAUUUCUGUUUUAUUUUUUAAAAAUUAUUCUAAUCUCUGUGUUUAAUUUAUCUGAUAAAUUUCUGAGCUCCUUUUCUGUGUUAACUUGGAGAUCAUUGAGCUUUCUUCAAGAGGCUAUUUUAAAUUGUUGGUCAGAGAGCUCACAUUAUCACUAUGUUGUUAGGUUCCUUGCUUUCGGGAAAUCAUGGUUCCCUCUUUGCUGUUGUUUUUUGUGGAUGUACAUCUAUGUCUUUGCAUUGAAUGAUUUAUUAUUUAUUUCAGUCUUCUUUUUCUGGCUUGUUUGGGUUUUUAUUGGAUAUAUUUGCUUAAAGGUUCUUUACCACUAGGCUCCAUCGCUCCAUCGCUCAAGCUGGAGUACAGUGGUGCGAUCUCUGCUCACUGCAAGCUCUGCCUCCCGGGUUCACGCCAUUCUCCUGCCUCAGCCUCCCGACUAGCUGGGACUACAGGUGCCGGCCACCACGCCUGGCUAAUUUUUUUUUUUGUAUUUUUAGUGGAGACGGAGUUUCACCAUGUUAGCCAGGAUGGUCUCAAUCUCCUGACCUCGUGAUCUGCCCGCCUCGGCCUCCCAAAGUGCUGGGAUUACAGGCGUGAGCCACCGCGCCCGGCCCAGGCUCUUGCUUUUUAUCCAACUGUUGCUUUCUCAUACACUGGGCCUUCCUAAUCAGCCCAUCCACUUGUCGGAAUUAGCAAAAUGAAAACAGCUGGAGCUCACGCCUCAGGAUCCCUCUUCAGAAAUUUAUUUAUAACUGUGCUUUAAUUUGUGGCAGUAUGUUUCUUUCCCCAAAUGUUUAUUUUGAGAAUAUUCAAACAUACAGAAAAAUUGAAGCAGAGUAUAAUGAAUGCCUCAUGCUCAUCACCGGAGAACAUUUUAGAAAUGCUAUUUUGCAUUGCUCUUUAUAUUUUUCAUUCUCUGUUUCAAGUAGAUAGCCAGGCUAUUUGUAUUUUUACAGCAGGAUAAAAGAAAAAGCCUGCUGUGCUUUAAAACUGUGCAGCCCAAUAAGGUAGCCACUGGUCACAUGAGGCUGUUUAAAUUUACAUUAAAAUUAGAUGUAAUUAAAAACUGAUUUGUUGCACUACCCACAUUUUAAAUGCUCAGUGGGCACAUGUGGCUAGUGGUUACUGAAUUGGACAAUAUAGGUAUAUAGCAUUUUUAUCCUCUUAGGAAGUUCUACUGGACACCACUUUAAAAGACAUUUAGGUCUUUUAUAAAAGACUAAAUUUGUUAAAGAAAUAAAUCUGCGUUUCUUGGAGGGCAGGAAGAGAUAGAGGAGUACCUCUGAAGCAAGAGAGGGAGGAGCAGUUUCCACAACUGGGAAAAGGAUAAAAGCCGAUAGGUCCUGUAAUUUUUAGGGAUCCAGCUGCUCGUCUGUAGCAGUGCACCCAGAGAAGACAAAAUCUCAGAUAAAUGGUUGUGUGGUAUGCCCAGGAGAGCUGAAUCUAGGACACAAACCUCAAGGGUCCACUUUAAUUUGGCAGUAGGGAGUCCACUAGAGGCUCUAAUAGAAGGAAAGGUCAAGAAAUUUAUCCCAUUUUCUGAGCACUGAGUGAUAUGGCUUGGCUGUGUCCCCACCCAAAUCUCAACUUGAAUUGUAUCUCCCAGAAUUCCCCUGUGUUGUGAGAGGGACCCAGGGUGAGAUAAUUGAAUCAUGGAGGCCAGUCUUUCCCAUGCUGUUCUCGUGAUAGUGAAUAAGUCUCAGAGGAUUUGAUGGAUUCAUCUGGGAUUUCUUUUUUUUUUUCUUUUUUUUUUUUUGAGAUGGAGUCUCACUCUGUCGCCCAGGCUGGAGUGCAGUGGCGUGAUCUGGGCUCACUGCAAGCUCCGCCUCCGGGGUUCAUGCCAUUCUCCUGCCUCAGCCUCCAGAGCAGCUGGGACUAUAGGCGUCUGCCACCAUGCCUGGCUGAUUUUUCUGUAGUUUUAAAGAAAGAGAGGGGGUCUCACCGUGUUAGCCAGGAUGGUCUCGAUCUCCUGACCUUGUGAUCCGCCCACCUCAGCCUCCCAAAGUGCUGGGACUACAGGCGUGAGCAUCAGGGAUUUCUGCUUCUGCUUCUUCCUCAUUUUUCUCUUGCUGCCACCAUGUAAGAAGUACCUUUCACCUCCUGCCAUGAUUCUGAGGCCUCCCCAGCCAUGUGGAACUGUAAGUCCAAUUAAAUCUCUUUUUGUUCCCAGUUUUGGGUAUGUCUUUAUCAGCAGUGUGAAAAUGGACUAAUACAGUAAAUUGGUACUAAUAGAGUGAGGUGCAGCUGAAAAGAUACCCAAAAAUGUGGAAGUGACUUUGCAACUGGGUAACAGGCAGAGGUUGGAACAGUUUGGAAGGCUCAGAAGAAGACAGGAAAAUGUGGGGAAGUUUGGAACUCCCUAGAGACUUGUUGAAUGGCAUUGACCAAAAACCAGAUGGCAACAUGGACAAUAAGGUCCAGGGGUGGUCUCAGAUGGAGAUGAGAAACUUCUUGGGAACUGAAGCAAAGAUGACUCUUGUUAUGUUUCAGCAAAGAGAUUGGUGGCAUUUUGCCCCUGCCCUAGAGAUUUGCGGAACUUUGAACUUGAGAGAGAUGAUUUAGGGUAUCUGGCAGAAGAAACUUCUAAUCAGCAAAGCAUUCAAAAGUUGACUUCAGUGCUGUUAAAAGCAUUUCAUUUUAAAAGGGAAACAGAGCAUAAAAGUUGCAGCCUGACGAAUGCAGUAGAAAAGAAAAACCCAUUUUCUGAGAAGAAAUUCAAGCCAGCUGUAGAAAUUUGCUUAAGUAGCCAGGAGCCUAAUGUUAAUCCCCAAGACCACGGGGAAAAUGUCUCCAGGCCAUAGCAGAGACCUUCACAGCAGCCCCUCUCAUCAGAGGCCUGGAGGUCCAGGAGGAAAAAGUGGUUUUGUGGGCCGGGCCCAGGGUCCCCAUAUGUGUGCAGCCUAGGGACUUGGAGCCCUGUGUCCCAACCAUUCCAGCCAUGGCUGAAAGGGGUCAAUGUAGAGCUCAGGCUAUGGCUACAGCGGUUAGAAGCCCCAAUCCUUGGCAGCUUCCAUGUGGUGUUGAGUCUGCAGCUACACAGAAGUCAAGAAUUGAGGUUUGGGAACCUCUGCUUAGAUUUCAGAAGAUGCAUGGAAAUACCUGGAUACCCAGGCAAAAGUUUGCUGCAGGGGCAGGGCUCUCAUGGAGAACCUCUGCCAGAGCAAUGCAGAAGGGAAAUGUGGGGUUGUAGGCCCCACACAGAGUCCCUACUGGGGCACUGCCUAGUGAAGGUGUGAGAAGAGAGCCACCAUCAUCCAGACCCUGGAAUGUUAGAUCCACCAACAGCUUGCACCAUGAACCUGGAAAAGCCACAGACACUCAACACCAGCCCGUGACAGCAGCCGGGAGGGAGGCUGUACCCUGCAAAGCCACAGGGACAGAGCUACCCAAGGCCAUGGGAACCCACCUCUUGAAUCAGCGUGACCUGGAUAUGAGACCUGGAGUCAAAGGAGAUCAUUUUGGAGCUUUAAAAUUUGACUGCCCUGUUGGAUUUCGGCCGUGCUUGGGCCCUGUAACCCCCUUCUUUUGGCCAGUCUCUCUCAUUUGGAAUGGCUGUAUUUACCCAAUACCUGUACUCCCAUUGUAUCUAGGAAGUAACUAACUUGCUUUUGAUUUUACAGGCUCAUAGGUGGAAGGGAUUUGCCUUGUCUCAGAUGAGACUUUGGAUUGUGGACUUUUGAGUUAAUGCUGAAAUGAGUUAAGACUUUGGGGGACUGUUGGGAAGGCAUAAUUGGUUUUGAAAUGUGAGGACAUGAGAUUUGAUGGGCCAGGGGUAGAAAGAUAUGGUUUGGCUGUGUCCCCACCCAAAUAUGAACUUGAAUUUUAUCUGCAGAAUUCUGUCAUGUUUUGGGAGGGACCCAGGGGGAGGUAAUUGAAUCAAGGGGGCCAGUGUUUCCUGUGCUAUUCUCGUGAUAGUGAAUAAAUCUCACGAGAUCUGAUGGGUUUAUCAGGGGGCUUUGCUUUUGCUUCUUCCUCAUUUUUAUCUUUCUGCCACCAUGUAAGAAGUGCCUUUCACCUCCCACCGUGAUUCUAAGGCCUCCUCAGCCAUGUGGAACUGUAAGUCCAAUCAAACCUCUUUUUGUUCCCAGUUUCAGGUAUUUCUUUAUCAGCAGUGUGAAAGUGAACUAAUACACCAAGUAAGCCUGUGGAUAUGGUUGAUUUCUAGAGAGAAAGAUAUGAUACUGAGUAAGAAUUAGUUUCUAGGCAGUCUAGUGUCCGUUUGGGAUUUCAUCAUGAAUAAAGAGAAGAAAUUUGGCAACUGAGUUUCAAGCUCACUUAAAAACAUAAUAAAAGUUAUCUUUGGAAAUUAUUUUCAACACAGUGUACAAACAUAUUUACAUAAAAAGAUAAUGUACAUAUUUGUGGCCACUGGGGGACAUUGUUCCCUCAUACAAAAGACAAAGAAGAUUUUGAAGCAGUGGUUCUCAAACAUGAGCAUACAUCAGAAUGACUUGGAGGACAUUUCAUCUAGACUCUUAGCAUUUUUCAAGACUAUGAUUUACUGUUAACUACAGUUAACUUGUUGUAGAACAAAUUGUUCUCACGACAAAAAUGAAAAGUAUGUGAGGUAAUGCAUAUGUUAAUUACUAGAUCUAUUAAUUCCACAAUGUAUAUACACUUGAAAACAAUAUGUCGUACAUGGUAAAUACACAUAAUUUUAUAUGUCAAGUUAAAAAUUAAAUAAAAUAAUAAAGAUAAUGAACAUUUAAAAAAAUCACUUGAAAGACUUGUUAAAACACAGACUGCUGGACCCCUACCUGUAGAGGUUCUAAUUCAGUGGAGAUGCUGGGAAGGAGACAAAAAUAUAAAUUUUUAACAAGUUCCCAUGUGAUGCUGUUGCUGUUGGUCUGGGGACCACACUUUGAAAGCCACUGCUUUAGUAAAACUUUUAAAAUAUAGUAUUAAGACUAUUUAUUGAUCAAACUUACUUCACCAUGAGAAUAUUAUAAUGAACACAAAGAACAGUCUGGAUGUACUGAUAGGUGGCUUUUAUCUGGCAUAAGAAGAAUGUGUGCAAUUAUUCUAUUUUUAGAUGGCAAUAGUGCUAUAGAGCAUUAUACAAGGUUAUAGUUUCUAUAUAGUUAAAGAGAAGGUGUACAGUGGAUGGGGCACAGCAAUGAUGUGCAAGAUCAAAAAACAGAACCGCUUCUGAGACUAAAUUAGCUUAGGUUUAGACAGAGCCUAGUCCCCAAAAUAUUGGUAUAGGAAAACCUCUCAAGGUGUGUACCUGGGAGACUUCCUGUUCCAAAAUGUUUGUGUAGACACAGGUUUCCUUCACUCUUCAUUCCCCCCACCCCACAAAACCAAAAGAAAUAUACAGCCCUGAGAUUUCACCAGUGACUUCCAGAAAUUCAAAUGUGAGGAUAAAUCAGUUCCUGAGGACAUAGAGAAGUAAAAAAAUUCUGAGCAGAUGGUAAGAGAAUCAAAUUUUCAUAUCCGAAAUGCCCCUUCCUAAUAUCUGCCCUGCACCAAUUUGCAGAAAAUGUCCCUUGAUUCACAGUUUCUGCACUGGAUAAGGUGAGAUCAAGAUGAACAACCAGCUUUCCUACCAUCUUGGGUUCCCUGGCAGGAGACCUAUUCAUGCCUCAAUCCACAGCAAGUAUUGUGAGUGUCUGGAAGGAGAGAACAGCCAGAGACAAGGAGAGAAGGUGGAACUACCAUUCUUAGUGCUUGAAACUCUACUCUGUACUUAGGCCAAAGGAGAUGCUUUGGAGGUACAUGUGGCUGCUCACCAGCACCAUGCUGUAGGAGGUACAUGUCACAGGUCCCCUGAGCACAAAUCCCCAGCCAGCCUUUUUAUACGACCAGGAUAUCCCCUUUCAAAUCUCCCACUGCAGAUGGGCAGUGCUCUGAUUGUUUGCUAGUGCAAAGGCAAACCUGAGUUUAAGGUGCCAUCUAGUCCUGAAAGGAGGAAGUGACCAAGUGAGAAAAAAGUAUAAGAUAUUGAACAGGUAAUUUAAGAAGAAUCUCUAAGUUAACAUCCCAUCCCCAAUUAAAACCAAAACAAGCCAGACAGAGAAGACUAAAGUAAUCCUUUAAUGCAAAGACGUAAAUAUACAUCCACAAGAAACAACAGGAAACAGGAAACCAUGAACAACACAAAUGGACAAUGUAAAGAACCAGUGAUUGACCCUAAUGAGAUGACAGUACAUCAAAUACCUGACCAAGACCUCAAAAUAAUAGUUUUAAGGAAACUCACUGGUAUCUAAGAUAACACAGAAAGGGAACUCAGAAAUUUAUCAGAGAAAUUAAACAUGGAGGUUGAAAUAAAAAAAAAGCCAGCAGAAAUCUUGGAACUGAGAAAUAUAUCUGCUGAGCUCAAAAAUUUACUGCAGGCUCUCAACAGCUGAAUGGAUUAAACAGAGGAAAGAAUCAGUGAACUAAAAGACAGGCUAUAUGAAAUCACGAGGAAAAAAAAAUGAAAAGCAAGAUAGAGAAUAUUACACAGGGUAGCUGGCAUGAUGGCCGAAUAGGAACAGCUCCAGUCUGCAGCUCCUGGCGAGACCAACACAGAAGGCGGAUGAUUUCUACAUUUCCAACCGAGGUACCCAGUUCAUCUCACUGGGACUGGUUAGACAGUGGGGUGCAGCCCACGGAGGGAGAGCAGAAGCAGGGUGGGACAUCGCCUCACCUGGGAAGGGCAAGGGGCCGGGGAACUCCUUCCAGUAGCCAAGGAAGCCCUGAGGGACUGUACUAUCCAGCCCAGAUACUAUGCUUUUCCAUUGGUUUUUGCAACCCAGAGACCAGGAUAUUCCCUUGUGUGCCUACACCACCAGGGCCCGGGGUUUCAAGCACAAAACUGGGCGGAUGUUUGGGCAGACACUGAGCUAGCCGCAGGAGUUUUUUUUUCAUACCCCAGUGGCACCUGGAACUCCAGCGUGAUAGGGCUGUUCACUCCCCUGGAAAGGGGGCUGAAGCUAGGGAGCCAAGUGGUCUCACUCAGUGGGUCCCACUCCCAUGGAGCCCAGCUCUCACUGCCAGCACAGCAGUCUGUAGUUGACCUGGGAUGAUAGAGCUUGGUGGUGGCAGGGGCAUCUGUCAUUACUGAGGCUUAUGUAGGCAGUUUUCCCCUCACAGUGUUAAAGAAGCCACUGGGAAGUUCGCACUGCGGGAAGUUCAGACUGUAUGAAACUCACUACAGCACAGCAAAGUGCCUGGGGCCAAACUGCCUGUCUAGAUUCCUCCUCAUUGGGCAGGGCAUCUCUGAAAGAAAGGCAGCAGCCUCAGUCAGGAGCUUAUAGAUAAAACUCCUAUCUCCCUGGGACAAGGCACCUAGGGGAAGGAAUGGCUGUAGGCACAGCUUCAGCAGGCUUACACAUUCCUGCCUGCUGGCUCUGAAGAGAACAGCAGAUCUCCCAGCACAGUACUCAAGCUCUGCUAAGGGACAGACUGCCUCCUCAAGUGGGUCCCUGACCCCUGUGGCUCCUGACUGGGAGAGACCUCCCAGGAGGGGUUGACAGACACUUCAUACAGGAUAGGUCCUGCUGGCAUCAGGCAGGUGCCACUCUGGGAUGAAGCUUCCAGAGGAAGGAGCAGGCAGCAAUCUUUGCUGUUCUGCAGCCUCUACUGGUGAUACCCAGGCAAACAGGGUCUGGAGUGGACCUCCAGCAAACUCCAGCAGACCUGUAGAAGACGGGCCUGACUGUUAAAAGGAAAACUAACAAUCAGAAAGCAGUAACAUCAACAUCAAAAAAAAAAAAAAAAAAAAAAAAAGGAUCAGCACCAAAGAUCAAAGGUAGAUAAAUCCACUAGAUGAGGAAAAACCAGCCCCAAAAUGCUGGAAAUUCCCAAAACCAGAACACCUCUUCUCCUCCAAAUGAUCGCAACUCCUCUCCAGUGAGGGCACAAAACUGGAUGGAGAAUGAAUUUGACAAGUUGACAGAAGUAGGCUUCAGAAGGUGGGUAAUAAGAAACUACUCGGAGCUAAAGGAGCAUGUUCUAACCCAAUGCAAGGAAGCUGAGAACCGUGAUAAAAGGUUACAGGAACUGCUAACUAGAAUAACCGGUUUAGAGAAGAACAUAAAUGACCUGAUGGAGUUGAAAAACAGCAUGAGAACUUCGUGAAGCAUACAGUAUCAAUAGCCAAAGUGAUCAAGUGGAAGAAAAGAUAUCAGAGAUGGAAGAUCAACUUUAUGAAAUAAAGCGUGAAGACAAGAUUAGAGAAAAAACAAUGGAAAGAAGUGAACAAAGCCUCCAAGGAAUAUGGGACUAUGUGAAAAGACCAAACCUACGACUGAUUAGUGUACCUGAAAGUGACAGGGAGAAUGGAACCAACUUGGAAAACACACUUCAAGAUAUCGUCCAGGAGAACGUCCCCAACCUAACAAGACAGGCCAACAUUCAAAUUCAGGAAAUACACAGAACACCACUAAGAUACUCCUCAAGAAGAGAAACCCCAAGAUACAUAAUUGUCAGAUUCUCCAAGGUUGAAAUGAAGGAAAUAACGUUAAGGGCAGCUAGAAAAAAAGGUCAGGUUACUUCCAAAGGGAAGCCCAUCAGAGUAACAGCGAAUCUCUCUGCAGAAACCCUACAAGCCAGAAGAGAGUGGGGGCCAAUAUUCAACAUUCUUAAAAGAAUUUUCAACCCAGAAUUUCAUAUCCAGCCAAACUAAGCUUCAUAAGUGAAGGAGAAGUAAAAUCACUUACAGACAAGCAAAUGCUGAGAGAUUUUGUCACCACCAGGCCUGCCAUACAAGAGCUCCUGAAAGAAGCACUAAAUAUGGAAAGGGAAAACCGGUACCAGCCACUGGAAAAACAUACCAAAAUAUAAAGACCAACGACACUAUGAAGAAACUGCACGAACAAAUAUGCAAAAUAAACAGAUAGCAUCAUGAUGACAGGAUUAAAUUUACACAUAACAAUAUUAACCUUAAAUGUAAAUGGGCUAAAUGGCCCAAUUAAAGGACACAGAUAGGCAAUUUGGUUAGAGUCAAGGCCCAUCUGUCUUGACCCAUCUCACGUGCAUCAGGAGACCCAUCUCACUUGCAAAGACACACAUAGGCUCAAAAUAAAGGGAUGGAGGAAUAUUUACCAAGCAAAUGGAAAGAAAAAAAAAAAGCAGGGGUUGCAUUCCUAGACUCUGAUAAAACAGACUUUAAACCAACGAAGAUCAAAAAAGACAAGAGCAUUACAUAAUGGUAAAGAGAUCAAUGCAACAAGAAGAGCUAACUAUCCUAAAUGUAUAUUCACCCAAUACAGGAGCACCCAGAUUCAUAAAACAAGUUCUUAGAGAUCUACAAAGAGACUUAGACCCCCAAACAAUAAUAGCGAGAGACUUUAACAGCCCACUAUCAAUAUUAGACAGAUCAACGAGACAGGAAAUUAACAACUAUAUUCAGGACUUGAGCUCAUAUCUGGACCAAGUGGACCUAAUAGACAUCUACAGAACUUUCCACCCCAAAUCAAUGGAUUAUACAUUCUUCCCAGCACAUGGCACUUAUUCUAAAAUAGACCACAUAGUUGGAGGUAAAACACUCUCAGCAAAUGCAAAAAAUGGAAAUCAUAACAAAGUGUUUCUCAGACUGCAUUGCAAUCAAAUUAGACAUCAGGAUUAAGAAACUCACUCAAAACAGCACAACUACAUGGAAACGGAACAGCCUACUCCUGGAUGACUACUGGGUAAAUAACAAAAUUAAAGCAGAAAUAAAUAAAUUCUUUGAAACCACUGAAAACAAAGACAAUGUACCAGAAUCUCUGGGACACAGCUAAAACAGUGUUAAGAGUGAAAUUUAUAGCACAUUAAAUAUAUAAAUAUAGAUAUACAUAAUAUAAUAUAUAUAAAUAUAAAUAUAGCACUAAAUUUAUAGCACAUCAGAAAGUGGAAAAGAUCUAAAAUCAACACCCUAACAUCACAAUUAAAAGAACUAGAGAAGCAAGACCAAACAAAUUAAAAAGCUAGCAGAAGACAAGAAAUAACUAAGAUCAGAGCAAAACUGAAGGAGACAGAGACACAAAAAACCCUUCAAAAAGCAUCAGUGAAUCCAGGAGGUAGUUUUUUUGAAAAGAUUAACAAAGUAGGCCACUAGCCAGACUAAUAAAGAAGAAAAGAGAGAAGAAUCAAAUAGUCACAAUAAAAAUUGAUAAAGGGGAUAUCACCACUGAUCCCACAGAAAUACAGACUACCAUCAGAGAAUACUAAAAACACCUCUAUGCAAAUAAACUAGAAAAUCUAGAAGAAAUGGAUAAGUUCCUAGACACAUACACCCUCCCAAGACUAAACCUGGAAGAUGUUGAAUGAAUCCCUGAAUAGACCAAUAACAAAUUCUGAAAUUCAGGCAUAAAUUAAUAGCCUACCAACCAAAAAAAAAAAAAAAAAAAAAAGCCAAGGACCAGAUUGAUUCCCAGUCAAAUUCUACCAGAGGUACUAAGAGAAGCUGGUACCAUUCCUUAUGAAAGUAUUCCAAACAAUAGAAAAAGAAGGACUCCUCCCUAAUUCAUUUUAUGAGGCCAGCAUCAUCCUGAUACCAACCUGGCAGAGACACAACAAAAAAAGAAAAUUUCAGGGAAUAUCCCUUAUGAACAUCAGUGUGAAAAUCCUUGAUAAAAUACUGGCAAACCGAAUCCAGCAGCACAUCAAAAAGCUUAUCUGCCACGAUCAAGUUGGCUUCAUCCCUGGGAUACAAGGCUGGUUCAACAUACACAAAUCAAUAAACGUAAUCCAUCAUGUAAACAGAACCAAUGACAAAAACCACAUGAUUAUCUCAAUAGAUGCAGAAAAGGCCUUUGAUAAAAUUCAACACCUCUUCAUGCUAAAAACAAUAAACUAGCUAUUGAUGGAACAUAUCUCAAAAUAAUAAGAGCUAUUUAUGAAAAAACUUCAUAGCCAAUAUCAUACUGAAUGGGCAAAAGCUGAAAACAUUCCCUUUGAAAACCAGCACAAGACAAGGAUGCCCUAUCUUACCACCCCUAUUCACCAUAGUAUUGAAUUUCUGGCCACGGCAAUCAGGCAAGAGAAAGAAAUAAAGGGUAUUCAAAUAGGAAGAGAGGAAGUCAAAUUGUCUCUGUUUGCAGAUGACAUGAUUACAUAUUUAGAAAACCCCAUCUUCUCAGCCCAAGGACUCCUUAAGCUGAUAAACAACUUCAGCAAAGUUUCGGGAUACAAAAUCAAUGUGCAAAAGUCACAAGCAUUCCUAUACACCAAUAAUAGACAAGACAGAGAGCCAAAUCAUGAGUGAACUCCCAUUCACAAUUGCUACAAAGAAAAUAAAAUACCUAGGAAUACAAAUUACAAGGGACGUGAAAAACCUCUUCAAGGAGAACUACAAACCACUGCUCAAGGAAAUAAGAGAGGGCUCAAAAAAACUGGAAAAACAUUCUAUACUGAUGGAUAGGAAGAAUCAAUAUCAUGAAAUGGCCAUACUGCCCAAAGUGAUUUAUAGAUUCAAUGCUAUUCCCAUCAAGCUACCAUUGACUUUCUUCAUAGAACUAGAAAAAACUACUUUAAAUUUCACAUGGAACCAAAAAAGAGCCCAUAUAGCCAAGACAAUCCUAAGCAAAAAGAACAAAGCUGGAGGCAUCAUGCUACCUGACUUCAAACUAUACUACAAGGCUACAGUAACCAAAACAGCAUGGUACUGGAAACCAAAACAGAAAUAUAGACCAAUGGAACAGAACAGAGCCCUCAGAAACACCACACAUCUACAGCCAUCUAAUCUUUGACAAACCUGACAGAAACCAGCAAUGGGGAAAGGAUUCCCUAUUUAAUCAAUGAUGCUGGGAAAACUGGCUAGCCAUAUGCGGAAAACUGAAACUGGAUCCCUUCCUUACAACUUGUACAAAAAUUAACUAGAGAUGGAUUAGAGAUUUCAACAUAAAUCCUAAAACCAUAAAAACCCUAGAAGAAAACCUAGGCAAUACCAUUCAGGACAUAGGCAUGGACAAAGACUUCAUGACUAAAACACCAAAAGCAAUGGCAACAAAAGCCAAAAUUGACAAAUAGUAUCUAAUUAAACUAAAGAGCUUCUGCACAGUAAAAGAAACUGUCAUUAUAGUGAAAAAGCAACCUACAGAAUGGGAGAAAAUUCAAUCUAUACAUCUUACAAAGGUCUAAUAUCCAGAAUCUACUAAGAACUUAAGCAAAUUUACAAGAAAAAAACAACCCCAUGAAAAGGUGGGUGAAGUAUAUGAACAGACACUUCUUGAAAGAAGACAUUUAUAUGGCCAACAAACAUAGAAGCUCAUCAUCACUGGUCAUUAGAGAAGUGCAAAUCAAAACCACAAUGAGAUACCAUCUCACACCAGUUAGAAUGGCAGUCAUUAAAAAGUCAGGAAACAACAGAUGCUGGAGAGGAUGUGGAGAAAUAGGAAUGCUUUUACACUGUUGGUGGGAGAGUAAAUUGGUUCAACCAUUGUGGAAGACAGUGUGGUGAUUCCUCAAGGAUCUAGAACCAGAAAUACCAUUUGACCCAGAAAUCCCAUUACUGGGUAUAUACCCAAAUGAUUAUAAAUGGUUCUACUAUAAAGACACAUGCACACGUAUGUUUAUUGCAGCACUAUUCACAAUAGCAAAGACUUGGAACCAACCCAAAUGUCCAUCAAUGAUAGACUGGAUAAAGAAAAUAUGGCACAUAAACUCCAUGGAAUACUAUAUAGCCAUAAAAAAAGAAUGAGUUCAUGUCCUUUGCAGGGACAUGGAUGAAGCUGGAAACCAUCAUUCUCAGCAAAUUAACACAGGAACAGAAGACCAACCACCACAUGUUCUCACUGAUAAGUGGGAGUUGAACAAUGAGAACUCCCACUUAUCAGGGAGGGGAACCUCACACACCGGGGCCUGUUGGGGGGUUGGGGACAAGGGGAGGGAGAGCAUUAGGACAAAUACCUAAGGCAUGUGGGGCUUAAAACCUAGAUGAUGGGUUGAUGGGUGCAGCAAACCACCAUGGCCCAUGCCUGUUAGAAUGGCUUUUAUAAAAAAGAUAGGGAAUAAUAGAUGCUGGUGAGAUGUGGAGAAAGAACCUUUUAUACCAUUGGUGGGAAUGUAAAUCAGUAUAGCCAUUAUGGAAAACAGGAUGGAAGUUCUUGAAGAAACUACAAGUGGAACUACCAUAUGAUUCAUUGAUACCACCAUUGAGUAUAUAUCCAAAAGAAAGGAAAUAAAUGUAUCAAAAAAUAUCUGCAACCCUGUUUAUUUCAGCACUAUUCACAAUAGCCAAAAUAUGGAAUCAACCUAAGUCUCUAUCAACAGAUGAAUGGAUAAAGAAAAUGGAUCUGGAGAUCAUCAUACUAAGUGAAAUGAGCAAAGAGCAGAAAGAAAUAUUGCAUGUUCUUACUCAUAUGUGGGAGCUGAAAAAGUGGGUCUCAUGGGGUAGAGAGUAGAUUGGUGGUUACCAGAUGCUAGAAGGGUAGAGGGAAGUAGGGAAUGAAGAGAGGUUGAUUCAUGAGUACAUAUGUACAAUUAGAUAGAAGAAAUAAGACCUGAUGUUCAAUAGAUCAGUAGGUUGACUAUAGUUAACAUUAAUAGAAUGCAUAUUUCAAAACAGCUAAAAAGAAAUAAUUUGAAUGCCCUAGAAUAAAGAAAGGUAAACAUUUAAGAUGAAGGAUAUCUCAGUUACCCUGAUUUGGUUAUAUGAGUGUAGCAAAUUUUUACAUGUAUGACUAAAAUAGGUACAGCUAUUAUGUAUAAAGAAAAAAGAUGUGUACUUGAAUAUGGCAGGCCUUAAAAUUCAGUAAUUUAUUUCCAAAUUGUUAUUCAGACAGUAUCAAGGAGUCUAUAUUUGUCAGGAUAAUCUAGAGUUAGAUCCUAUUUUAGAGUUUAAUUAGAGGCUGAAACGUGAGCUUCCUGAUGACAUACGCACAGCCUUGAAGGGCAGAGUAGAGGAAAAUCACCUUUCGCAGGUUCCUAUCAUCUUCCACAAAUUCCUAAGAAUUGGAUGCUCUUCUAUAAUAUUGGUAUCCUUUUUCCUCUCAUAGUUAUAAUACCAAAAUCACUGCAUAGACGGAAGUUAUACCUUGUCAGGAGAAACCCUUUGUAUAUUGUCUUAAAAGUCUAUAAAAUUAAUGUGAGGUUUACUUGAUUCACUAUGUUAGUUAUGAUAAUUGUUUUAUGCCACUAGAAAUCGUUUUUACUCUCUGAAAAAUAAUGUUUCAAAACGAAAAUGGACCUUGAAAGAUUUUAUCUUUCAAAUUCUUCAUUUUGUAAAUGAGAACUCACUGUUCAACAAAGUUAAAUAAUUAGCUCAAGGUCUUAGCAAUUUUAUUAGACUAACAGUAUUUCUGGUUUUCUGAAAGAGUGAUUGAGAAACAGUAGCUUAGGAAGUUUGAAAAAUUAAGUAAAUGUUUUUGAUCCAGUUUUACAUAUACUUACAACUCAUGAAAAAAUAUGAACUAAGUUUUAGUAGUGUUUAUCUUUGGGCUUCUCAUUUCCUACUAUGUAAAUUUCAUAGUCUUGUUUUGUUACAACAAUCAAGACUAAUUUCUAUUUCAGAAAUAUCUUUUGCAAUCUCUUUGAAUGUUUUAAAAUAAAACCUCUACUGCUUAAUAAGAUUAACUUCUUUUAACUAUAAUUGUUCACAGAUAAUUAAUGUUUUUUAUUUAUUAAUUCAAAUGAUAAGAAAGAAUUGAGUAACAUCAAAUGUGCUAAUAGUGUUUGCCAUAUGCUAUAGGCUGAAUGUUUAUUGCUAAUAGCAUUUGCCAUAUUCUAUAGACUGAAUGUUUAUAUCUCCCCCGAAUUCAUAUAUUGAAAUCCUAACCUCCCAUAUGAUGGUAUCUGAGGGUGGAUCUUAGGGAGGUGAUUAGGUAUGAUAGCAGAGCCCUCAUGACUAAGAUUAGUGUCCCUAUAAAAGUGCCCAAACAUCUCCCUCACUCCUUCUGUCAUGUGCGGACUCAGUAAGAAGACCAUUGUCUACAAACAAGGAAAUAGGCCUUCUCGAGACAUCAAAUCUCCUGUGGCCUUGAUCAUGUACUUCCAGCCUCCAGAACUUUGAGAAAUAAAUUUCUGUUGUUUUUAAGCCACCCAGUCUAUGGUAUUUGUCGUAGCAAUCUGAAUGAACUAAGGCAGAAAUUGAUACCAAAAAGUGGGAGUGCUGUUAUAAUAAAUACCUAAAAAUGUGGAAGCAGUGUUGGAACUGGGUAAUGGGUGAAGGAGGCUGGAAGAGUUUUAAGGUGCAUGCUAUAAAAAAGUCUACAUUACUGUGAAAAGGGAAUGUCAUAAAAUUCUAAGACAAACCUGACUAGUUUCAUACUAAAUUUAAUACUAUUAAUGCCUAAUGAAUUUUAUUCUAGCAAAUCAUAACAUAUAAUAAAUAGAAGAAGCUCUGCUGUAAUAAUGUCAUUCCUCAUUCUCUUCUCUGAGAGAAAUAUUCCUAGAUACUUUAACCAUUCCCCAUAAAUCCUAUUAUCCACCUUCUUACAUAUUUAUACAUUCACAAUCUUAUGGUUACUACAUUUUGCUCUAGCAUUUCACCUGUCUCAGGUUAUCGAUCAGUAUAACUCAAUAGACGUUUCCCUUAGGUAGGGCAAAUGGCUGCACUUAUGACUAAGUCUGAUCAAAGGCACAAUUUGUUUGCCUUUAGAAAUUUUUGUUUUCCAUGACUGCAAGAAAUACUGCUGAACAAGACAUUUCUUCAUCAUCCUUGAUGAAAGAUGAACAUUAAUAAUGCAGAUAGAAAUCAGGCCAAGUAAUGUUGAAGAGAAAACAAGGUCCAGUAGCACUACUUCCUUUUAGAAGAUAAGAAUAAACAGAUUUAAAAUGGCAAGCUCAAUAAUUUUACCCUAACAAAAAAUGAGGUGAGUACUAUAUAACCCUUAAAUUCUGAAGAGUUUAAAAUCAAUUUAUGUACUCGUAUCUUGAAAAUAUUUGUGUAUAAACAUAUCUAUACUUAUCUACAUCUAUGACUAUUUCUUUACAGGUAUGGUAUGCACUCUUAUGCAUGUAACAUAUGCUCUUUUAAAUAUGAGUCAUAUGUAUCCAAUAUUACUGUAAUAUACCAAGGUCAACUUUCAUUUGUAAGUUUUGUGAUAUCUUAUUCUUUUAUGUAUCUUCUAUAUAAUGGAAGCCCUCUGAUAUUCUGUAUAAGUAAAGAAAAAAGAUUUUAGAGGCAUAAAAACUUAAAAAAAAACUAAAGCAAUACUAACAUUUAAUUCAAUUGCUCAUUUACUAAAUACUUACUCAUCAUUUUGUGUAUGCCAAGCACUAUAGAAGUUCAUUUCUGCCUAUCAGGCAGAUGGUAUAUGUUUUCUUGUGGCAGCGUAGAAGUAAGGGUGAUAAAAGGGGGAAACCUACAUUCCCACAUAUACAUAAUGGUGGAUUAGUAACCUUCUGUCCUGAUGUGCCUGUAAGAGUCCUGGAUUGUGCCUGUUUUAGCACAAUUAUUAAUAUUGUCCUCUUUCACUCUCAGAAGUGUUUGGGUUUGAGUAUCUGGGUACAUGUCCAAACCCUGACACUUUUGAAUGAAUCCCACAGAGAUUCAUAGGAGAAAAAAUUCUUUUCCAGUAAUAAGAAACAAAGAAGCUGUCUCCGAAUCCUGAAGAAUGGGCUUGCUUUCACUGGGUAGAAAGAAAGAAGAUAUUCAAGGCUUAUGUCUCAUCAUUGCUUGUGUUUUCCCAGUAGCUUCCUAAACUUUGUCCCUGAUUUCUGUUUCUUUUGUUUUUUUGUUAUCAGCAGUUGCUUUUAUUUAUUUUAUUUAUUUAUUAUUUCCAUUGCUUUAGUGGUACAAGGUUUUUUUGUUGUUGUUGCAUGAGUGAACUGUAUAAUGGUGAAGUCUGAGCUUUUAAUGUAGUGAUGUAGUGAUGAAUAGUGUACAUUGUACCCAAUAGGUGAUUUUUUAUUCCUCAUCUCCCUCUCCCCCUCCCUACUUCUGAAUCUCCAGUGUCCAUUAUAGCACUCUUUAUGGCUUUGCAUACCCAUGGCUUAGCUCCCACUUGUAAGGGAGAACAUGUGGUAUUUGGUUUUCUAUUCCUGAGUUACUUCACUUAGGAUAAUGACCAGUUCUAUCCUAGUUGCUGCAAACAUGUUUCAUUCAUUUUUAUGGCUGAGUAGUAUUCUGCCAUAAAUAACUACUGUUCAGUCUUCAAGCUUGUCCCGCCUAACUUUAUUGUUCUUGUUGUUCUGUUUUGUUUUGUUUUAGACUUUAGCAGCCUGAAGCCAUGACUUUUAGUUUCUGUCCCUAGUGAUAAGCAGAAAAGGGAGAUGAGCAAGGGGCUUUACUGACCCAAACAGAAAUAGAAACUAAGAACCCAUGACUGUAUUGUCUACCUUGGACACCCCUGAUUUUCUUUAUCCACUCUUCAGUUGAUGGACACUUAUGUAGAUUCCAUAUCUUUGCAAUUGUGAACUGGGCUGUGAUAAACCUACAAAUACAGGUGUCUUUUUGAUAUAAUAACUUAUUUUCCUUUAAGUAGAUACCCAGUAGGGGGAUUGCUAGAUAGAAUGUUAGAUCUCUUUUAGUUCUUUGAGAAAUCUCCAUACUGUUUUCCAAAGAGGAAACAUAAAUGGUACAUAAAUAGUACAUAAAUUGUGCUAAUUUACUUUCCCACCAACAGUGUAUAAGCCUUUCCUUUUCACUGUACCUCACCAACAUUUAUUGCUUUUUUACCAAUGUCAUUUUUCCUAGAAUUAGACAAAACAAUUAUAAAAUUCACAUUGAAUGUUUCCUUUGUCUUGAAGUCAAAAUCUACUCUCACCGACUUUUGCUUCUUUUACAAUUUCUAAAUGGGUCUUCAUCACCAAGGCCCCCACCCUGCAUUUAAAGCCCUUUAUCAUCUGAGUCCUGCUUGUCUCUCAGUCACUGUCAUUGCUCCUUUUUCACAUUAGCAACAGUGAACUCUUAAAAAUGCUCUGAACUGUCCUUGUGUUUCUCAUUUUCAUAUGUGUCUUUAAUUGUCAUCAUUAAAACAAAGACUUAUGUAGUAAUUAUAUGCCUGGAACUGUUGAUCUGAAAGCUUUACUUCCGUUAACUCAUUUAGUCCUCAUAAGAAUUAUUAUUACCAUUUUUACAGAUGAUGAAAUUGAGGCAAUGAGAGGCCAAGAAACUUUUGUAAUAUCAGUAUAGCUGAUAUUUGGAUCCAGGCAAUCUGACUCUAGAGCCUGUGGUUUUGGCCAUUGGUCUGAUAUUUUUGCUGUCCUGGCUGCCCUACCCCGCUUAUUCUUCAAAACCCAGAUCAGAAGUUAUCCCAUUAUAGGCUCGGCGUGGUGGCUUAUGCCUGUAAUCCCAGCACUUUGGGGGGCCAAGGCGGGUGGAUUACUUGAGGUCAGGAGUUCGAGGCCAGCCCGGCCAACAUGGUGAAACCCCGUCUCCACCAAAAACACAAAAAUUGGCCAGGUGUGGUGGUGGGUGCCUGUAAUCCCAGCUACUUGGGAGACUGAGGCAGGAGAAUCGCUUGAACCCGGGGAGUGGAAGCUGCAGUGACCCGAGAUUGCGCCACUGCACUCCAGCCUGGGUGACAGAGGGAAACUCUGUUUCAAAGAAAAAAAAAAAAAAGUUUUCCUAUUAUAUAACCUUUCCCUGUAUCCUCACAUAGCAUUACUCAUUUGUUCUUCAAUAUAUCCUGUAAUUGUACUUAUUUCUUUUGCCGAAUUAGAAAGAUAACUUGAACAAUAACAGAUAUGGGGAAAGCUGGUUGACUUCUGGCUAGUUUUGUUGAUGGCUGAUAGGGAUAGACUAUAAAGGGACUAGUUUUGGACAUAUUAAGUUGAAGGUGAUAGCUGAAUAUGCAAGUACAAAAGUCCAACAGACGUGUGGAGAUGCAGCACCAACUCAGCAAAAAGGCUGCUGCUGCACUACAAAUCUAAAAGGAGAGAAAAUAUUGAUAGAGAGUAAAGGCAAAGAAUCAAAGAUACAGGCCAGGCGCGGUGACUUAACGCCUGUAAUCCCAGUACUUUGGGAGGCGGGGCGGGUGGAUCACGAGGUCAGGAGAUCGAGACCAUCCUGGCCAAAAUGGUGAAACCCCGUUUCUAUUAAAAAAUACAAAAAAUUAGCUGGGUGUGGUGGCGUGAACCUGUAGUCCCAGCUACUCAGGAGGCUGAGGCAGGGGAAUCGCUUGAACCAGGGAGGUGGAGGUCGCAGUGAGAGGAGGUUGUGCCACUGCCUGGCGACAGAGUGAGACUACAUCUCAACAACAACAACAACACAAAAAAGAAGAAAGAAAGAAAGAAAAGAAAAAGAAUCAAAGAUACACUAAGAGGCCUAGGGUACUCUAGUUUUAUGGAAGACACAGUAAGAUGCAAUUUAAAGAGGGAGGAGGUGAUGAUCAUCAUCAUCACUGAAUUCUAAAAAUCUGCCAGAUACGAUGAAGCCUGAAUAAAGAUCAAAUUUAGCUAAUUUAGAGUGGUAAAAGUAGGAGCCAGGUUUGAGACCAUGAAGGAGAGAGAGAAGGUGCUCUGGAAGAAUAAGAUUCAGCAUUGGGCUGGUAUUUGAAUUUGUUUGAGUCACAAUUUAUUUCAAACAGCUUGAAGAAGAAAAAUAAGACUUGUAUCUCAAUGGUUUCCAACAAAAUAUACACAUGCAUAAUGGCAAGUUUAAUUAACACAGGGGUAGUCAGUUCAUAACAACUUAGGGGAAAAAUUAAACUUUCUAUAACAAUACUUUUUUCAUGAUGAAUUUAUCCUUAAAUUUUUUUUUUUACAAAUUUAUUUUAGGGACUUUCUGGUCUCCAUAUUCUCAUAAAUAAAAGUUGCAUUCCAUGAGGAGAAAACAAAAAAACCCAUCACAGUGAACAAUUGAAUUGCUCCGUGGACAUCAUGCCUUUCUAAGCAAGCAUUGAAUAUAGGAGAUGUAUUUAUGAUAACCAGAGACAGAGUAUGUAUAGCUUGGCUCCAUAGGGGUGGUGUUCUCGGUUCCUAUGUCUACCUUUUGUAUUUUCCAGCCCUUCCCUCAUAAUGUUACUGGGAAAGUUAACAGCUAGCAUAACAUUUUGAAAACCCAAAGUGUUUAUAUCAACAAGAUUAUUCACAGUCAAAUUUUCCCAUAAAUAUCACUGGGACCUAUAUUUCUUUUAAUUUUAACCAAGAGUGAAGGUAGUGAGUAUAGAGCCCUGGCUUUAGAAACUAACCUUUAAAAAUAAUGAGAUAAUGACACAGUGAAUAAAGAUGCAUCAGGGUUGAGCAAAGUUAUUUUUUAAGAUUAGAAAAACUGAUUUUGAAAAUGCAAAGGCAGACAAAAAGGAUCAGUCAAGAGGGAAAGAAUAAAGAUAGAAGAGAAGUAGAACAAGUCAUGGAGCAAGGUAUCUGAGAAUGUAGAAAUGAAUGGGAAAAAUUGAUCUCUGAAAAGAUAUAAAAGUAUGGAUUGAAGGAAGGAAGGAAGGAGAGGGAGAGAGGAAGGAAGGGAGAGAGGGAGGAAGGGAGAAAGGGAAAGGUAGGAGGGGGAGGUAAAGUAAGAAAAAGGAAGGAAAAAGGAAGAGAAUGGAAGGAAAGAAAAAGGAAGGAAAAAGGAAGAGAAUGGAAGGAAAGAAAAAGGAAGGGAAGGGAAGGAAAAGGGAAGGGAAAAGGGACUUAGAUAUUUUUCACUGGAUAGGAAAGAAAUUGAGGAAGUUUAUAAUGAUGUCCUCUUGCUUGUUGCUGAGGUGAGGGGCUGAGUUAUCUGCAAAUAUGAGGAGUGUUCUAACGGAAUGAUAAAGGACUCAAGCAGUUGAGUAAAAUCAAUUGAUAUUGCAAAUUAUCCACUUGUGAUUUUAAGAAUUUCUUGGUGAUGCAAUUUUCCCAUCUAUACUUGAUUGUCUAGAGUAUUUUCCUCCUCUAGUGCCUUUGCUGCCACACUGAUUAAAUCAAUAUUGAUUGACAACCUCAGUGGGAUAUUUCCAUGUGCCAGGAAGAAUAGUACUAUCAGCAGUACCCAAUUCAUGGUGGUUUAGAAACACAUUUAUUUUCUUAUAUAAUAAGAAAUUCCAGUGCACACAUGAAGAAUAUGCAAUUACCAGACAUAUUUGCUGUCUUUAGUGCGACAAGUUUAUAUAGUUCGAGUGUCUGGGCUUUGUGAUACAGAUAUACAAACAUACAAACUUAUGCAGUAGAGUUGUCUGUCCCAAUGGUUACUAGACUUUUGGAUUUCAUGCACCAGUAAAAUACAAAUGGGAGGACCGACACCAGGUUGCCAAUUUUCCACUUGGCUAAAUAAAAUAUUAAAACCAAUGACCCAUUAUCACGUAUUCUCACCAUCAUUUCCAAAGAACAUUUAAACAUUAAAUGGUAUUAGUCUUUAGAAAAUAAUCUAAAAGAUACAAUUUCAGGAUAAAGGUCUUUAACUUGGAUAUGUUCAGCUUUAUAAAUAUUUAUGGCAUUAUUCUUAAUUUUCUGGCUUAACUAUAGACAUAUGAAAACCUUGUCAUAAGGGUGCUGCUCUGUGGAGCUGUGUUUGGAAUUACUAUUUAUACCCACAGUGUCUGGUCCCCAGCUUAAACAGCAAAGUGCCACCUUCUGUUAUCCAAAUCAGAUCUGUUUAGCAUCAAAUACUGGGGUCUUAACCACUAUGCCGCAGAUCUUUUCUAAAAUAUUCUUAUUUUAAUUAAACAGUGAUUAUUAUGAAGAACAAGGAAUGUAAUCAUUUCUGUGACUUUUCAGGAAGAUUACUGCUAGGAAAUGAGAAUAGUAGUUAAAAAACCAGUAUAUAUUGAAUUAAUUACCAACAGUAGAUCUAAUUUUGAAGGUAGAAAUUAUAAAGUCCAGGGCAUACAAAAUAUGAUAGUGUGAACACGCAGACAUAGGCACUUCAGUAACACACAGCAAAAAAAAAAAAAAAAUCCUCCCCUUUCUAAAGACACACACACAUCUAUACUUUUAUCUAUGUCUGUUUACAUACAUACAUAUAUAUAUAAAUGUAACUCAUUUUUCUUUGAACUGAUUCAAGAAUGAGCUGCAGACAUUGUUGCAUUCACCCCUAAAUACUUUAGCAUGCAUUUUCAGAGAAUAAGAACAUUUUCUAUUUUCAUGGAACAGGCACACUAGUCUUAACAAAAUUAGGAAAAUUAACACUAUUAUAAUACUAAUAACUAAUAAACAGUCCAUAUUCAAAUUUAUUCAACUUUCCCAAUAAUAUUAUUUAUCUGUUAUUUUUUAAUUUGAUAUUCCAUCCAGAAUUGUGUUUAGUUGUCAUAGUUCUUUGACCUCAUGGAAUUCUUUAGCCUUUCUUUGUCUUUCAUGACAUUGACAUUUUUAAGGAGUUCAGUCCACUUAUUUUAUAGAGUGUCCUCAAUUUGAUUUUCCUUGUAGUUAGAUUCUGGUUUUAAAAUUUUGACUGUGUACCAAGAAGUAAUGUGGCCCUUUCAGUAUAUCUUAUCAGGAGGCACAUAGUAUCAGUUGGUCUCAUAAUUGAUGAUAUCUUUGAAGGUAUUGUCUGCUGUAUUUCUCCAAAGUAUACUUUCUUCUGUUUAAAUUUUCUACUUAAUAGAGAAGAGAUACUUUAAGAUGCUAUAAAUACCCUAUUCCUCAUCAAACUUUCACCCAUGAGUUUUAAUACUCAUUGAUGAUUCUUGUAUGAAUCAAUUGUCAUUAGGGUGAUUGCCAAAUAGUGAUUUUUCUAACUCCGUUAUUUCUUCUACAAUUGUUAAUUAACAUUCAACUGCAAGAAACAGAUUUGUACUUUUCCUUAUUUACUUACAUCAGUAUGUAUUUGCUGAUUCUUAUUCAAUGAAUUAUAAUCUUUUACUAUCAUUUAUUUUGAUGCUCAACUUGCCCCAGAUUUGGCCAGUGGGAAGCCCCUUCUAGUUGGUUCCUGUGUCUUACUGACAUGACCUCAUCAUUCUUUGAAGAAUAAUUACUUUUUAGCACAGAAAAUAUCAUGCCAAAUAUUUCAAAAUGAAUAUGGAGAUUUAUAUGAUUAUGUUUUACCAGUUCUUCUCUUUGUAUUUGGAAAGGUAACAGUGAGUAAUGGCGUGGAUGGGUAGUAUAAAAAGUCUGCAGGGUUUAUCCUAUAAUUCUGACCUACCUUAGUUGGAAAUGGGAAUUUUUUUCAGCUACUAAUAUAUCAGAAUUAAUUGUUGUGUUGCUUUAGGAUUGUGAUGUUAUGAAGAGGCAAAGUCAGUCCAUUGUACAAGGAUGGGAAAAGCCUUUUAAUUACUGUCCCUUUUCUGGUUGAGGCUAUAUUCCCUCUUCUGGCUUCACCUGAUGACAAGGGAAGGCUUCUCGUUCCUCAGAAAUUUAGAUAGAUUAAUUUAGACUGUUAAUUUUACUAUCUGGACCACCCGAGUAACCUUUCCAUGAUAUCUGUGAAUUCUGCACUGGACUUCACUGUGGUUCCCCCAGUUACUGUUUUUCUUUAUCUGCAAAAGUUAGCAAGAUUAAGACCCCAAGCUGAAGCAAGGCACAUCUUUGCUUCCUGCUGACUUUCAUGAGCUGUUGAAUCACCUUGUGUCAGCCAGGCAGGAGACAGAUGGCAUGCUGAAAUGAGGCAUAUAGAAGAAUUUCAUGAAGGGGACAUUUACAAAAGUGUCAGCAAUGUUAGGAGAAAGCUACAAGGAAUACAAAAGCACUCUCAAUGCAGCAGCAGACCUGAAGGAGCAAGGGGAGGAGUGAUUACCUGACCCCAGAGAAAGUAGCUUCAGUUGUAUGAGGGGCAGUCUGAUUGGAGUAUGACUUUUCGGGGAGGAAUGAGUCCAGUGCCAACCCAGCAAAGAAGGAAUUGGAGAAGAAAUAUUCCUAUGUCAAUCUUCUCUCUCUGGUGCUUUCCCACUGGUGCUUCUCAUUGGCCAAACCAAUUGGGAGCUCAAAGGUAGGAGAGCCCAUUUUUGCAAUGUGUAGAAGUCACCCUUCUGGGACACACAGAAUGAUGCAGAAGCAGAGAGAGUGGCUCUGGAGGAGCAAACACAGUAUCCUACACACAUGGCAAUUCUAAAUUUUUAAAUGAUGAUUUAAGGGUUUCUUUUCAUAGCUCAAGGGGUCAUCCACCAUCACUCUGGCUUCCAUACUUCUCUUCCUCCUAGAAUCACUAGCUAUCCUCUGACACCAGUUCUUCCUCCUAACAGAGAACACACCUGCUGCUUGUAAUUCUGGGAGGUCAUUACCCCCUACCUCCAGUGACAUAUCUACCCUAGGUUUUGUUGUCAACGUGGGUAUGCCUCUGUGUGUGUGUGUGUGUGUGUGUGUGUGUGUGUGUGUGUGCGCGCGCGCUCCCCUUCUCCCCCAAUUUGUAAUGUAAAAAAUCUCCAUAUCAUUAGAAUAUUCUGUUAACAAAAAGUGACUGGGCAAACAAUAAAAUAAAAAAUGUAAUCUUUAUUAGUUUUGCACAUUUUAAAUGUUGGUUAGCAUUAUUUAGCAUAAUAGUAGCAUUUUCCAGCAUGCAGUUCACGAAUACAGUUUAUCUAAGUAGUUUUAAGGAAAAGAGGAGCCUAUGGUUUGCUUCUGUAAGAAACACAAAAUGUCCUGAUGUAAUUGACUAUAUAAGUUGACUACUCUGUUUUUGUGGAAAAAAAAAUUAUGAAGCCCACAUUCUAUUUAGAACAAUCUAGAGCAGCAUUACUCCAAAGAAAUGAAAACAUAAACCGAAGUCAGAAAAAAAGAACAAAAAUAACAUAAGCACUACCUUCAAUUCAGUUAGUGCAGGUACUACCAGAAAUAUAAAUAAAAUUUUAAACCCUUUUCCAAUUGCAAAGCAUAAUUUGGAUAUGAAUCGUGAACCUAUUUUGCUCCUUAAAAUUGUGAAAUAAUCUAAAAUUAGCAAAUGUAAUUUAAAAAGCAGAAAUCUACAACUACCCAGUCUUGUUUUCAUGUCUUAUUUAGCAAAUUUCUUUCAUGAAAAAGUACUAUGGACAGAAAGUAAGAAAAGUGAUUGUGAUAUCAACCUGAAGAUAAUUUCCUCUUCAUAUUUAUGUACAUAAUGCUGAAAAAUAAAAUAAAGUGACUUUUUACAGUAUUUAUAUUUGCUUAUAAAAUUCUAAACACAUAUUUAAUAGGUUAAGCAGUGUGUUUUUUUAAACAUGUCUGUACAGUCUGGCUAUAUACCAUAUGUUAUCCACUUAAAAUGUAAAAAUAACCAAAAAGCUGUUAAAGUGCUGCAAACUAUUGCUUAAUGACUUAAAUAAAUGAGAUCUGUUGAACAAUUUCCUUGACUUUACCACUGACAUAUGGUUUCUCAUAAAUGAGAUUCUGAGCAGUGAGAGAAACCAGAUACAGCAGCAUGGUAAUAUAAACAUGCAUUGAUAGCAUCCAAACUAUCUAUAAAUGGUACAGAAUACAUUUUAUUACCUGUGUAAAGCUUGCACUCUACAUUUCUUGUGGUACAUAUUUGAUGCAAUAAAUACUGUGCUUAGGUCAUUAUUUGUUUGCUCAAACGUGCACCACAGGGUAAAAUGACUAUUUACAUAAUAAAUAGCAUUUCAUUAACAUAUACAGUGUCAACCUUGCUGAGAGCCGAAGAUGGCUAAACAAAGUGCAGGAAAAAGCAGAAAUUUAUAAAGAGUAAUUUUGGUCAAUUCAGUCUUCUGGCGGUGGAGGGUGAGGGGCAAUAUUCACUAUUCAGGUUUUUUUUUUAAUACAACAAAAAGAAACAUAACAUUUAUGACUCCAAACAUUUGAAUGAAGUUUGCACCUGCUAAGAUUUACUGGCCUACCCACAAAUAAUCUACUUGGUCUAGGGGCUGGAUUUCGCAAAACAAGAUCAACAAAGCACCUCCACUUAUCACCCAAUUACCCCUCCCAGAAAUAUGGUGAAAUUUAAGAAUUUGUUUUUCUUGUGACUUUUUCUCAUGCAUGAUCUCUAAGUGCAGCAUGCCCUCAUGCAAACCACGACUUUGUGUAGCUGGGAGGGCCAUGUGGUUGCCAUACCCCCCAGGUGGCAUACCUGUUAUAGAGGUCCUUAGCCUAUUUCUCAACAGAAACUUCGUUUACAAAAAUAGUCACAUAUAAUAAACACAUGGAUUAACAAAAAGAUGAAUCCACUAACAGAUUCCAUAAAAAUGUGACAAAUGUGGCAGUUGAAAUGCAAACAGUGGAUACAAUUACUACACUAAAGUGUUUCAUGUUAAACAACCCCAAAAUCACAGGUUUGCACCCCUUGAAACUGGUCCCUACAGUCUGACUAGCCAUUGUGCAUCUUAUCUUCAGCAGUGUCAGCUGGUAGUGAGAACAGUAACCUCCUGUCAAGGUCAUCUCCCCUUUACACAGAGUCACAGUUUGCUGACAAGGGGUCACUGUCUUAUUGUAGGCACUGACCUUAAGGAGAUUUGUGUAAAAACAGUCAGUUUGGCAUUGACCUCCUAAAGGAGUCCUGUUGAUAAAAAUACAUCACCUUCACAGGCUGUAAACAAUUUGUCACCCAAUUAUUUUUAUUUAUUUUCAUUUAUUUCCCUUUGGCUUUUUCAUCUUUGCCUUCUUGCUCAUGUUUUUCCACAAUUGGCUUUGUCACCCGGUCAUAGGAAGGUGGACAAGCUGCAGUGGACAUGGUCAGAUCAGUUUUUUCUGUAAUAGAGUUUUCAUUUAUUCUGUCAAUUAUCAUGUCUUCUUUUAUAAGAAGAUUAGCCCCACCUUUGAUUUUGUUUUUAUUGUACGUAAAGGAAGCUUGUUUUACAGUUCGCUUUAAAAGGUGGCGUCUGUAAGCACGCUGAAUAAUGACAGCAGAUACUUCCUCUUGUUUUCGUUUUAAAGUAGUAGUGAUUGGCUGAUAGGAGACCUUGGAAGGAUUGGAAGCCAUGAAUCGCUCUUCCAUCUGUAUUCGUAGAGCAUCCAUCUCUCCACUCUCUCCUAGAACCCGCUUUGUAAAAGCAAAUAAGAUAUCAAGACAGUGGAUCCGGUCACCACUCACCAUGGGCAAAUCCAUGGCAAUGAGCUGGAGUUUGUUUGGUUGUGGCAGAUUGAGAGGCGGUUCAAGCGCAGCUGCAAACUGAGAUAAUUUUUCAAAUUCCAUGAACUGAGUUGCAUCGGGAUCAAACUUCUCCCAAACCUCAUAGAACAUCUCAAAGUCAUCCUCACUCAGAGGCUCUGCACUUUCUUCAGUAGCAACACUGAAGUUCUCCAGGAUGACCGCGAUGUACAUGUUCACCACAACCAGGAAGGAUAUGAUGAUGUAACUGACAAAAAAGAAAAUUCCAACAGAUGGGUUCCCACAGUCUCCCUUAACUGAGCUUCCAGGGUUAACUUUAUUAGGGUCACAGUCGGGUGGCUUACUGUUGAGAAUGGGUGCUAGCAAUCCAUCCCAGCCAGCAGAGGUUGUAAUUUGGAAUAGGCAGAUCAUGCUGUUGCCAAAGGUCUCAAAGUUGAACAUGUCAUCGAUCCCAACUUCCCUCUUAACAUAGGCAAAGUUGGACAUCCCAAAGAUGGCGUAGAUGAACAUGACUAGGAAGAGUAGGAGGCCGAUGUUAAACAACGCAGGAAGGGACAUCAUCAAAGCAAAGAGCAGCGUGCGGAUCCCCUUUGCUCCUUUGAUCAGACGUAGGAUUCGGCCAAUCCUAGCAAGACGGAUCACUCGGAACAGGGUAGGGGACACGAAAUACUUUUCUAUCAGCUCGGCAAGAAACAUACCUAUGAAUAAACAAUGAGAAUACCAACCAGUGAAGAAAUCAUGCGUUAAAAUAAACAUAUGUUUCUUCUAAAGCUCCAAGGUAAGGUUCAGAGUCCUGAACCCAGUUAUAUUAAAUAUGACAACUAUAUAUAAUAUAUAUAUAAUUGUACAUAAUAUAUUAUAAAUCUUAAUUUUGAAAUUCAGCAAUAAUUUCAAUUAUAAGGAUUAUAGUACUUUUUUUUAUCUUUAAGAGAUGUUUAUAAACUACUUUUAGUUUAUGUAAAGUCCCAAGUCAGAAUUUAAAAAGAAAAUAAGUUAAAAAUGCACAUUUGGCCGAACAGUAGCAGCCCAACAGUAUAGGUACAAGUUUAUAUGUAUACAGUGACUUUUUCUGAAAUUGCCAUAUUCUAAAUUCUCUAUUUACUCCUUUUCCAUCUGAAAGUAUUGGUAGCUUUUGAUGCUACUUUCAUCUCCCCAUGAUCUUGGUACUUACUUAAAUUCCACUCUAAUAUUUUUAUAUACUCAUUUAUGUAUGUUCUGGUGCAUUUCUGAAAGGAUCCCAGGUUGAUGCUCUUUUUAGUAUCCUGUACUUAAUGUUGUAUUUCAAUUCUUUUUGGUCUCCUGUACCUAACACUGUAAUCUCAGUCUUCUUAUUUUCAGCUUCUCUCUCCAUUUGCUUUUUAGAUAAAAACAAUACUUGUAAAGUUAAAAAGAAGAGCUCAAGAAACUAAAUGCCUUCAAGUUUAAAUGCCUCAUUCUGAAAAGACGAAGUGUAAGAGUGUGUGUGUGUGUGUGUGUGUGUGUGUGUGAGAGAGAGAGAGAGAGAAGGAGACGUGUGAGAAUACAACUUUUAUACCUUAGCCACACUAGUUAUAACCAAGGAUUAUAAUUAGUGGGAAUCAAAGGCUAUAUACAAUGAGCUGGAUAUAAGGCCAGUUUCUUCAGAGAGGGGAGUGGCAUGAAAAUCUGUCCAACACAGGUGCCUCGUUUUGGAUAGUAAAAUAUUGACCCAAUCAUAUCAUCCUGUUUAGGGAAGAAUGAAUAGGCCCACAGACAGAUGCUUUUUACUUUACUAGAGCUUUAGUUUUGUCUAAUGAAAUGAGCUAUUGCUCAUGAGGCUAGUUAUGUGUUCCAGGCUUUGAAGUAUAGUACUGAUGAUGUCCCAUGCCACCUUAUUUCCCUUGUGCAUCAUUAUGAUAAACCCAUUUUUAAGGUAGUCUAGAAAAUCUCUACAUGACACUUGCAGAGAACCUACUAUAUGCAUUUGCUAAUGUUUAGUCCUUGUCUUUAUUCUCUUUUUAUGCAAUACUUUUCCUUAUCUUGAAACCACUUUCCACUAAUAUCUAUAUGCUGGUGACUCCAUGUCUAUUCUCUAAAGCAAUUUUCGUGAGUACCAGACUACAUUUCUAGUCUUGUUAACAGAACCAUCUAGAUACUAUAUUGGUUCUUCAAUCUCAACAUGUCAAAAACAUUUUUAUUUUAGUUAAUAGCACAGUUCUAGUUCAAAUGAAUGAGGUUUUACUACAUUUACACUAAGUAUAUUGUUCUAAAUGGAUAGAAUAAGAAACAAUACUGACAUAUAGUAGGAGACAUUUUGUUAAAAAAACAAACACACUUGGAUAAAAUGUAUCAAAAUAUUUACAGUGAUUAUCUCUGAUUGCUGGGAUGAUCUUGAAUCUAAUCUUGAUUGUUUCAGCUUUCACUUUUAUUUAACUGAAUUUAAGAACUUUAAAUAUUUCUUACCUACAAUGGAGAGAAUGACAACCACAAAAUCAAAAAUAUUCCAUCCAAUGGUAAAAUAAUAAUGGCGUAGAGAGAUGAGUUUCAGUACACACUCUCCAGUAAAUAGCACAAUGAACACCAGAUUGAUGCGUGACAAAAUGGUAGUCACAUAUUCACUCUGGUCAUCUGUUUCCACCAUCAUUGUGACCAUGUUAAGACAGAUGAGAAUCAUGAUGCUUAUGUCAAAAACUUGUCUGGUUACGAAGUCAAAGACCAUUCCUUGAAAUUUGUUCUGUAGAGAAAUAGAAAUGCUUUUAACAACAAAGGAGUUUUCUCAUGUGCAUUAGCAUUAAGUACUUUCUGCAUUAAUUGACUUUCUAGUUUCUUGCAAAGUAGUCAUUGGCCCUGAUUUUUGUAAGAAUGAUUUAUAGCAUAUUAAUUGUUAAAAUUUAGUUAUUUAAAUUGCCAUUUACUAAUGUGUAUUUCUCAGAAUAACAAUCCCUUAUCCAAAGAAGGUUUCUGAUAAAAACAAACAAACAAACAAACAAACAAACAAAAGAAACAUUCAACACUGUAUACUUCUUCCAGAGGUAUGCAACACAUAUCAACAUUUUAAGAUUAUGAAAAGGUAAGAAACCCAUUUAAUUUUUUUUUCAAGACUUUCCAAUGAUCAGCUGGACCAUACAUCCAUUUUAAAAUAUAGUACUAUUAAUAUUUCACUUGUUGUAUUCUCAAAUAAUUGUUAAGGAGAAUUUGGAAUUUCCAAGACACAUCUAUAACAUUAUGCAUUUAAAUACCACAUAUGGCAAUACUCAUAUUCUUCUACCAAAUAGCCUUGGCUAACAUUGUCAGACACAGAAUCCUGAAACUGCACAAGGAUAAUGAGACCAGAAUGACAUUUCCUAUAUGUUUAUGUCAAAAAAAACUUCACGUUCUUUGUCGUUGAUCUGUGAUUCUGCUUCCCAUUUCUGCCACUGCUAGUCACUGAAGGCCAUCUGCAGGCUUAUUUCUUUGGGCCACUGAGGAAUUCUGAGGGAAUUUUCCAACUUAUAUUUUUCCUAAAUUGUUGUUUCAUUUCUACUCUUAGUGCUAAAUUUUAAUGGAGAAAGUAUAUAUUUCUCAUCAUUCUCAGGAAGGCAAUAUUCAAUCAUCACAAUAUGAAUAUUUGCUAGUAGUUUUUUCCUUGAUGCACCCUAGGAAUUACUGAAACCUCUCAGAUCAUCAUCAUAAAAAUAUUUAUAGUGUGGGAUAAUAGCUGUACAUUUUCAUAGCAAUUUGUUUAUUUCAUCAUGGAAGCAUGAGUAUUGUUAUUUAUCAUCAUAAACUGUAAUUACUGACCCUGACUUCUGCAGACAUUAGUAAUACCUAACUCUAUAGCCAUACAUAUGAAUAGUAGAUACUGGAAUUCUUUCCUCCUUUAAAACACUUAGUAUCUCUAGUGAAAAAUAAAAUAGAAGUAAGGUGUUAUUUCACUCAACACUUCAUUUCUUAAAAUAUUAGGAAAUUGCAUUUCUUACAGCCCCAUCCCAAGGUUUACUUCUUUCCCUGAUAUUACUUGGCAACCAUUCUUGAGUUGUGUGAUUAACUUUCUCUUGUGCACAUCACAUUGUCUAUGUGUCCAUUGGCCAAUUAAUAUGGAUUGUAAUGGGGUGCUUCUAAAUCUCUUGAAGUCAAGGGUGUAUCUUCUAUUUCUUCUUGUUCUUUUUUGGUCUUUAAUUUUUUUUGUUGUUACCAUUAUCAUAAAAGAUACAAACAUCACUUUUAGAUGAUGCUCUACAAGUGAAAGAAAUUUUUUCUACUGGAAAUGUUAGCUACUUUCUUUUUUGUGAGACAAGCAUGCAAGUUUUUGUUUUUGUAUUUUUCCCCCAUAUCAUUUGAUACUUCUUACUCCUGGUCGAGGUAUAGGCUUUUGCGGUUUUUUCGAUCCUAAUUUUUUCAUUGCAUUAUAGUAUUUCUUCUGUUCUUCUGUCAUAAAGAUGUCUUGACCUCCAAAGUAUAGAAAAGAAAAAUCAAACUGGUUAAAACUGUGUCCUUUUGUACAUUUUUUUCAAUGUUAAAAUAGAAAAUGGAUGGCUAAAAAAAGAAAUACAAAAUUCAACUGAUUAGUAUAAUUAUAUCUGGGAUUUAAAAUGUAAAAAAAAUUGUACUCUUUAGGUAUGAUAAUAUUUAAUUCCCUAAAUAAUUCAAAAUUGACUUUAUUAUUAUUAUCUUAUGAAGACAAACACCCCCAAAUCUCAAAAAGGUUAAGUAUUUUACCCAAGACCUUAUGCUUAGUGAGUGGCGAAAUUUGGUUCACUGAGAUAAUAAAUACUUGGUACCUUAUACUAUACAUACUACCUUUAUGAUGUUAAAGGCAAUAAUUUUCUUAUUUAAAUGUAGCAAAGAGUUAGAGGAUGUAUACUGCAAGACAGUUUGGAGUUACUCAUUAAAAAAGUCACUCUAACUCUGUCAAGAAUUGGAGGAAAGGGAUAAAAAGAAAACUGGAUGAGUUAGUGAGAGAUUUAGGGGAUAAAUCAGAGCUCAUAGCAUAGUAAGUAUGGGACAGACCAGUAGGGAUAGAAGAUUGGAACACUGGCAAGUAAGUGAAAUAGAGUAGCCUGAUAUUGACUUAAGAAUACUACUGGUAAUAAGAAAAGGGAAUUGAGGGGAGAAUGUUCUGUAGUCUAAGAAAGCACUCAUUCAUUAUACAAAAAGCAAACCUACUGAACAAGUGAGAUGAAGCAACAGUACAUAAAGGAAGAAAUACAAAUGGCCAAUGAGCAUUUAAGAACAUGUUCAAAUGUAAUAAAAUACAUAAAAGUCAUAACAAUUAAGGUUAUAAAAGUCAUAAAAAUUAAAAUUAAAUACAGUUUUCACCUAUUAAAUAUCAAAUAUUCAAAAACAGAAUGUUUGGUGACAGUGAGGGAACGGUGGCAUGGGUGUUCAUACACUGAUAUUGGGAGUUUGAGUAGUUAUAUUACUCUAGGGGAGUAAAAUACUUCAUUGUGGGAAUUUAUUCUCAGGAAAUAAUUAAAGCCUUAUUUUCUGUCCCUCUCUCUUUUUUUUUGUACAAAACUUUCAACAAGGUACUAUUUAAAUCAUUAAAGAUUAAAAACAAUCUAAAUUAUCAACCUACUGGGGAAUGAAUAAGUAAAUUAUGAUAAUGCAUAUAUGAAGACUUAACAAAAUGAGAAAAUACUUAUGUUAAGUCUAAAGUGGAAUUUAUAAUUAUAGAUAAAAAGUACAACAAUAAGAGUAUGUGCAGAAAUACUCUGAACAGAAAACAAAAUGUGAAUGGCAGCAGUUACUUCCAAGUGAUGAUAUUUAUUUACUUUCCAUAUGUUCUAUAAUGUACAUAGGUAAUUGGGACAAUCAAAUGAGCCUUAUAAAUGAUAAAUAAUAGUCAUACAAUUCAAGACUGAAACGGAUAGCUUGUAUUUAAAUAUCUUGGAGAAAGAAAUGGGAAUAUAUAAAAGAAAUCAAUGACAGAAAAAAGCGUAAAAAUAAACACUAGAAGAAGCUUACAUCCAGUGCCUAAUUUAUUGCAAAGAAUUAGUUGGAAAAUAUAUUUUCAAGGGGGAGUGGGUAGUUGUAGGGAUAAAGUAACAAAUUGCUUUUGGGAAAGAGGCAUAUUCGGUUGCUUUCUAGUUUUAUUCUAAUUAUUAUUUUUUAAAAGAUAGAAAAUGUUUCUUGAUAAUGAAUAAGAGGAGGAAAAACUUUAUGAACCUAUGAACAAGAGUGUGGAACACAGUUAUUCUUAGCUUUCUAUAGCCGGAAAUAUAUGGAUAGUGAAUGACAGAGGAAGAGGAAGGAAAAAUCAGUUAUAAUAUAUACUCCCAUUUUGUUUCUAAAUUCAAGUACUCAUUUGGCAGAGAAAACACUCCAAGGAAUAAUUUUCUAUCUCAGUGGGAGAGAAAAUAUUAGAAAUACUUAUCUUCUUUUUCUGCUGGUUGAAAUUAUCUAUGAUGACACCAAUAAACAGGUUCAAGGUGAAGAAGGACCCAAAGAUGAUGAAAAUAACAAAGUAAAGAUACAUGUACAGACUUUCUUCAUACUUAGGCUGGAGUUCCACCUACCAAAGGGGAAUAUUUUGUAAAAUAUUACCAUACAUUUUAGUGCUGGAAAUGUCACUGGUGCUUUUUCAUAACAAUAGAAAAAAUUAUUCUUACUAAUAUGUCAGCAUUUUUUUUUUUUCUGAAUCAACUACCUCUAAAAAACAUCCCUGAAAUUGGCCUUUAGGGAUGUUUUCAUGUGAAAAAUAUGGCUAUUAUGACAUUCUAAAAUCUAUUUUUAUAACUAUAAAUACAAAUAAUAUUCUUCCAUUUGAACAGUAAUGUGCUAAAUUUGCAAGCUUUUAAGGUACUGAAUUUUAGUAAUUUUAAAAUUAUUAAUAAAAAAUUUAAAACUGUAAAUAUCUACAGGCUAGGUUUAGAAACAGUCAUUCAUGUAUGCAUGAAAUAAUGUAGCAAAUAAGAAAUGAGUUGUUCAUUCAGAUGUUUGGCACUUUACCCUAAAGUAACAGUUAUUGAAUUUUUCAGAUUAAGUAGACAUAGAUGGACAGUCCAUUUUAUAAAUCCUCAGUUGAUUAUUUAAUUCCUAGAUUGUGCUUAAAACAAAUGGGCUAUUACUUAUAAUUUAGUAAUGGACUGAAAGGUCACUAUAGUUUUUUAACAGAUUCAUGUCCUUCUAAAAGCAACAAAGUUAAAAACCAACUAAACACACAAAACAAAAUAUAAGUGACAAAGUGAAAUAAAACAACUCUGGAGGUUAUCAAAAUGAUAUUCAACAUAAAACUAAAGCUAUUUGAAAUGCACUUCAAGAAAGAUAACAUCAAACUCUAUCAGGUUGAAGACUGCAGGGACAGAGGUUAUUCUUUAUGAUGAUAAACUAAACAGAUGGGACUUGAGAAUAGAAAGAUGAAGGUUGAUAGAAAAUACUACAUCUUACAAAGUUUUGAAGAGCAAAGUUGGAAUGAGCAUGAAUUUCAGUUUAGGUCUUGGAGCCUGAAAGAGGCUGAAAUCAAAUAAAAUAGGUUUAUAUUUUGGUGAUAUACACUUAAAGGAAUCUGUUGGUCACAGAAGUGAUUGCAACAUUAGUAAAGGCUCCAGUCAAUUUAUGAAUGCAAAAAUCAUAUAAAAACAUUCUUUUAUAUGGUUUAAAAUAGGAUUAUUUGAAAGAAAUCAUCACAGUAAUCUAAGGCUGACAGAACAAUAUCCAUAACUUUUCAUGCUGUCUAAUAUGGAGGGUGACUAUACAUUUCAACUAAUGAUAGAAAUCAUAUAUUUCUUCAAAUUUGGUCCCGCACACUAAAAUUACUACUAAUUAUAUAAUGUGUGGAUAAAUAGGAAACAAAAUAGAAAAUAUUUAAAAGGAAAAUAUUUGUUAGUUACUAAAUACAUGAAUUUGUUACUUUGGUUUUCAAAAUAAUUCAUGUGUUGAAUUAUCUUAGUAAGAUCUUUCUGAUAAACAUUGCUAUGCUUGAAUAUUUACCUGUCACACUUUUUCCCAAAUAUUUUAAAUCAAGAUAGAAUCAUUUCAUUUGGUCGUUUAUGCUUUAUUCGAUUAAUUUUACCACCUGAUCAAUAUUGUAAAAAGACUUAGAAUACAAGGAAUACUUACAUUUCUGGAAUCAACUGCUGCAUACAUUAUAUCCAUCCAUCCUUUGAAUGUGGCCUAUUAAGAAGGACAUGCAUGUUUUACUUUGGAGUAAAAAUAAUUUAGACCUGAUGUUUAAUAAAUAUUCUUACUGAUAUAAUUUUCAAAAGGGAAUAUUUUUGAAAGACAUUUCAAAACAAAUUUUACACAGAUUUUGGACCAAGACAGUAUUUUAGUAUGGCUUUUCAUUUCUAGAACACAUAUUGAACAAAAUGGCCAUUUGAUAUAUCCUCCCCUUGAUAACCAACUCACAAGCACUUUUCAAUUCUUUAGAGUUCAUGGUGUCAUGAUAUUUAAAGCAGUAUUAAAAUUUGCUGGAGCACUUUUUAGAAAGUCUUACAAAUGCCAACACAUGGGUCAAUAGCUCUAUCAGCCAAAUAAUUACAACUUAGAUCUAAGGAUCAUCUGCUAAAAUUUAUCUGCAGGGUGAUCAAAGUGAUUGAAAAUUUAAGAUUUCUCUUUAUUGUAACAAUGUAAGGAUAGUACCAGGAUACAUAAAGGCAGGGUUGCAACUAUCCUUUUAAGAAUUUUGGAGCAAAACAUUUAGAAAUACAAUCCUUUUAAGAAUUUUGCAUCAAAACAUUUAGAAAUAACCCCCUAUUCUAUUUUCUUUCUGAAAUUCUUGAAGAUAAUAAGUUAAUAUGAAUAAGAAAUGUGAACAAUAGUACAGCAGACACUUGGCACUCACAGGAUGAAGGAUACUCAGGCUAACAACUUACAGUAAUUUGUUACUUGUCCUGGGGCAUGAAUUUUGAGUCCUGUGGGCCUAAAAGGAUUAUCCCUUAGCUAGUGAGGGAGGUUAGCAAAGCCUUUAGCGUCUGUAUCACAAUAUAUCUUUGUUCUGAUAACGCUAACCCUUGUGAGGUGGUGGAUUUCAUGAGACAAAAGCUAAGCAAGGGUGUGGGUGACAGCAGUGAAAAGAAAGUAAUGAUUCCUAGCUAGAAAGUACAAGGCUUUUGUAUAUGAAAGAGAGAGAGAUGUGUUAAAUAUGUCAGUGGCUUAGGUCAAUGAUAGAACAAUUCCAUUACACACUUGGUAUAGAAACAAAAAAGUGAUUCAAGGGACCAUUUCAAUGACUUACUAAUCAAUAGAGAGGUGAUUCUAUAAAAGCCAAAUGUGAAGCAGUAUUUUAGAGGGUUUUUUUUUUUUUUGGUGGCAGAAUUUAUUUAAUAGCUUUGUGCAGGACCAUCACUGUAUUUUCAGAAUUGCUUACAUUUUAAAGGAUUGCUUAAAAUUUUUAAUUUUUCUUUCCUCAAAUUUAUGGAGGAGGUGGUUGCUUUAGUGAUAUUUACAAGUAUGGUCAUUAGUUAAGGGUUAGAAUAAGUGCCCAAAUAAAUAUCAUCAUGUGUCGACAAUUUUUAAAGAAAGCAUUCUUGCUAGAUUUUUUUUAACUUUUGUUUUUAUUUGUCUUUAGAGACAAGGUCUCACUAUGUUGCCUCCACUGGUCUAGAUCUCCUGGCCUCAAGCAAUCCUCCAGCUUUGGCCUCCCAAAGAGCUAGGAUUACAGGCAUGAGCCACCAUGCCCCACCCGUUCUUACCAGAUUUAAAAAAUCUCUAUUUUAAUUGCAUGAAUAUUAUUCAGAGUAGAUCAAAAAUGUUAAGAAGAGAAAUAAGAAUUUCCAACAAAAAGGUGGGAAGAAUUUGUAAAGUAAUCAUAGUUGACACCUCUGGAAGAGCUGCAAAAGGGUUUUGACCAGUGUUGGUUUGUUUGCUUAGUUAGUCUUCUGGUUGAACAGUUGAAAUCAUAACCUUGGUGAGCAAAAAUUGAUUUCUGCCCUAAAGACACUGUAGAACCACAAGGGAAGAAAGAAAUUGUACAGUCUUUUUUUUUUAAGCUGAGUUUUCAAAUAAUCUGGACUCUUAUUUUAUUCCCUGCUUUGUUGUGGUGCUGCUGCAGCUAGAAGCAGAAUCAAAUGAAAAUGUUUAAAGGGCUACCUUUUUUAAAUAUAAAUUAUAAACUAUUUUUCUUGGAGACCCAGUCUUAGAGACCCAGUAGUGAAAACAUUAAUAUUUAGGACAAAAUAGACUUAAAUAAUGGUGCUGAAAGGUCAUUUGAGAUAAGACAACAGCUGCUUUUGCUUCAUUUUUGUUUCUAGUUGCUUCCAGGUAUAAUUCUCUCUCUUUUUUUUUUUUUUUUUUUUUUUUUUUAGAUGGAGUUUCACUCUUUGUUGCCCAGGCUGGAGUGCAGUGGCACCCACCGCUAUGCCUGGUUCUAAUUCUAAAACCUAAAUGUCAUUCCCCAAACUUUGAUCCAAAUAAUAGAACUCAGCAGCAGUUAAUCCCUACCAAUUAAUUACAAUCCAAUUAGGUGUAUUAAGUGUAUGUGUUUUGGAAGAUGAUCUAUCUGUUAAGUGUAUUCCGUUUUGGUAGCUGAUCAGGGAAACAAGCCUUCUAAUCACAAUAAAAAAUGGCAAAGUUACUGAUUUAUUAAUUUACUUGUUUAUAUAGAAAGAGCAAUAUAGAAACAAAGAAAAUACAAGAAAAAAGACAAAGAGGUCUUUGUUUGGUCUGGUCACUACUGACUAUAUCUGCAGUCCUUACAUGUAAUAAAGUUUUCACCCAUCUGGGCUCAUAAACUUGUACUAACAAAUUGAAAUUUUUUAAAUAGAAAGAAAUAUAUACUUUUUCUUAGGAACUAAAUAAUAGAUGUAUGUCAUUAUUUUGUUAUUAUUCCAAACAAUAAAAAUAUUCAGAGAAAAUAGUGUUCACUUACAACUUGAAGCAAAGAGAGAUACCCAAAUCCUACAUUAUCAAAGUUUACUUUCACAUUUUUCCAUCGAGCAGUCUCAUUUCUUUCUAUUAGUUUUAGGCAAUCAGUAUGAUUAUUCACGUCUUCGAUGUCAAACCUGUCACCAGUUGUGGUGUUAAUACAGUGGUAGAAUUUGCCAGCAAACAAAUUUACGCCCAUGAUGCUGAAAAUUAGCCAGAAUAUAAGACAAACCAGAAGCACAUUCAUGAUGGAUGGAAUUGCUCCUAAAAGGGCAUUCACAACCACCUAAUACACAAAUGGAAAAAAAGAAAAGUCAGAAUUCUUAUCUGUUAAUAAAGAAAAAAAAUUCCCCUAGUAAUCUCUGGUCUUUCCAUUCUUUUUUUCUAUCAAUGCUAUUUAUUCUAGGAUAUGUAAAAGCAAGGUUCAAAAAAAUCUUAAAAUUCAUUUUUUUUUCUUAAGCAAUACACUUAGGAAAACAACUAUAGGCAAUAUAACCAAGAAAUGAAACAAAAAUGUUUUUAAAAAAAAGGGAGGGAGAAGCAUUAAAAGGUUAAAGGAAAAGGAAAAUCAGAGGAACUUGCUGCCAGAUGAAGUCAGAAUUGUGUUAUCAGAAUAAAGAAAAGUUAAAAAGCCUAUACAGAAGUUUAACUCAUUUUAAAAAGGCAAUAUAUUAAAGAACAAAACUAAAACAUUUGGACCUGAGUUGAUUUGACCAAUAUAUUUUUAAAAUAACUUAAAAAUUCAGAUGAUAAAUAUAAAAAAUAUUAUUAAAUACCUAAUAUAAUUGUCUUUAAUUAUUCAUGCAUUGCUAUGACUAAUAAUUUUUGCAUAAGAAGCAAGACAAUUUGCAUUAUGUAUUUCAUUAGAUCAUCACAUCGUUUAUUUCAAGCUCCAGUCAUGUCAGUUGUUUCAUUUACUGAGUUUAAUUCAAAAAACUUAUUUCAAAUGAAACAUAAUAGAAAUCAUUUCUUAGGAAAAUAAGAAAAAGAGGGAUGCCAUACAUAGUUCUCAAAUCUGAUGUGAUCACAUGAAGUUCUGUGUUCAAUUAUUAUCUACUUUUUUUUUUUUCUAUAGAAGGAUGUUUUCCCCCUCUUUACUUCUGGACCACUAGUUAAAAAUCUUGAGUGUUCAUGUUUGGAAACAACAUAGGGAUGGCUUCCUUGCUUUUUCCUCCAUACCUCCCACUGGAGCUGCACAGGAGUGGCUAAGAGGGAAGCUAAAAACAGACCCUAAAAUGCUUAUAAGGGGCAGCUGCCUCAAACUUGGACAUUAAUAGCUAAGUUUAAUUCCACCUAUGUGCUUGUAUUAUUCUUGUCAGUCUGAUCCAAUGGAAGUAGUCGUCAAAACAUCUUCUAUUUGCCAUUUGAUGCCAGUGUAUUUUUAGAACAAUUUUUUUUAACUGCCUGUCUGAAAAAAAAAUACAUGAGCCAAUUUCUUAUACUUCUGAUCCCUGUUUAAAGCCUGUAAAGAACUCUAGGCCUUCUGGGGAACAUAAAACAGUGUGAUAAGUGGGCCAAAGAAAAUAAGAAUACCAGUAAUGACAAAGGUGGAGGGGAUGAGUAUGAAAAAUUAAUUUGGUUGAGUUAUCCAGGCAGAACCAAAUGAUGUGGCCGAUGCAACUACCAAGCUGACACGUGACACUUUGCCUUAUCUCAUCUGACUGUCUGCAUUAAUACAAUGGACUUCAUAAAUUCUCGUUAUAUAAUUUAUUUUAAAUGGAUGAAUAGAAUUAGAUUUCUUUCAGAUUAGAGAUUUGGAAAUUGAAAUCAAGUUACUAUUUCCCUUCUUUUCUGAAUAUUUUGUCCACUAUCCAGAUUACAAUGCUGUUUCUAGUGUGUAUACACAGAGUACUAAUUAAAAUACGUAUUUUGCCUUCAACACCCAAUUUAGAGUAUGAGCAGAACACUGAUUAUCUAUACCUAUUUCUCGAUUUUCUUUUCACAUUACCUGUCUCACAUUUUUUCUUUGAAACGUUUCUCAGCUUUGCCACCUCUUUUCCAUUCUCACAGUCACCACCUAGAACUGCCCUCUGUUAUUUCAUACUUGCACUGUCAUCUGUCUCCUAACCUUCUCCUUCAUUUAAUCUAUGUAAGAUGAAUUAAUCUUCCCCAAGUCCCACUUGAAAGUUAUUUAUUGGCUCUCUGGUAACUAACAAAUAUUUUUCUUACCUUGGUAUUCACAUCACUCCACAAUCUAUAUUUCCAGUUUUAACUUCCCUGGUCAUCUAUACUUCAUGCCACUUCAAUUAAUAUAAUAACCGUGUGCUAAUAUAAUUGCCAGGUGAUUGAGAUGCCAUUUACAUUGAAAUUCCUUGUCUAAUAGCUCCUCUUCUGAAAUACUCUCCCCUCUUAAAGGCUUUAGUUCAAAUAGCACUUCUUUCAUGGAGCCUAACUUUGUCCCCCAGUUUAGCCUCCAAAAUAAAGAGGAAUGUUUUCCCCUUUGAAUUCAAGAAUCAGAAUUCUAGUACUGAACAGAACUGUACAGAUAAUUCAGUAUUGCGUUCUCAUUUGGCAUAUGAGAAAAAUGAGGUUAAAACAAGUUAAGUUCAGAAAGUAGCCUAUAAAUAGCAUUUAGUGCUGUUUCCAGUCUACGUGGAAGAGUUGCUCCCACUUAUCUGGUACCCAUAUUACUCUGUACUAGAGUUCAGUGUAAUCCUGACAGAUUGUAAGAUUUUCUAAAAAUUUAAGAUGCAAACAUAUGUUCGUGAAUCUUCCAGGGCCUUGAGUGUCUUGAAUAUAAGAACAUACCAGAGAGCUUUGAAUAUAGGAAUAAAAUAAUGGUUGACAAAAAUGAAUGGGUUAAUGAAGCAAAGUUUAGAUUAGUAUUUAUUGAUCAAAGCAUAAUUUUUAAAUGUUAUUUCUGAAUAUGGGAUGAGAAUAAUUAAGGAACUGAGCACAGGGAGAAGUUUGUGCUUAGGUAAUAUGUUUGAGAGGUUUACUUUGAAACUGGGGAUUGAUUUAGAGUUAAAGCGAACUCUAUGGAAUUUAUGACGCAAGCAUGUACUCUGCAGCAGUGCACUUCAGGAUAUGAUUUGCAAAGUUGGCAUACAUUUGGCCCAGAGAAAAGUUUUAUUUUUUUUGUGAACAUAAAAUAACUUUAUCUUAGAAAACAUCUGGCACAGUAUUGGGGAGUUUAUUAUACAAAGCUAUAGUCAUAUUUAUGAUGUAUUAAAUUAGACAAUGAAAGAUCAUAGAAAAGAUUGUCUUUUCCCAAGAGUUCCAAGCCAUUCCUUGGUUCAGCAAAGAAGGAGGUGUAUUAACUUUUUUCAGUCUCAAUAAAGCUGCAGUAAUUGGUUCUUAUGGGGGGAAGAAAGUAGGCAGAAUUAGUCUGAAUAAAUUGGAAAGAACAAAUUUCAAAUUGAACUUUCAGGCUACAUGAAAGGAAAUGUCUGAGAAAGGAGCUAUCUUAAUGAAUUAAUACUGUACUAGAGGUUGUUUCUUCUCAGAAGCUUUUUUUUCAAAACAAUCAUCAAAUAAAGUUUCUCUACUCUAGCACAACCAAUUCUAUUUCUGGUUCAUUACCUGCAUUUUUAAAAAUAAGUCUACACUAAAUGAAGGAUUGAUAAUUAAAUAUGCAAAUUCACAUUAGAAAUUUUCAUACAUGCAGAAAUGUCUUUUUAUCUGAAUUAAUUACUUUGAACUUCAAAUCAACACUAUUCAUGAAUUCUAGUGCUUCUCUAAUAGAAAUAAAGAAAAUCUAUGUGAAUAAAAAUAAAAGUGGGCAAAGUAGGAAUCAUCCAUUUUUAAGUAUAAAGAAGAAUAAUAGAAUCUUUCUUAAAAAUCUAAAAAAAUUAUGUUGUGGGUUUUAAUUAAGACAGUUUUUUUGUAAGCUAUGAUAUAUUGGUGAUCCAAACAAAAAUUCUGACUUUUUCUGUCUCUCGAAUAUAAACUCUUCUUCUUGUAUAAUACACUUAAACUUUAAGAAUAAAUAAAAUGUAGAGUUAUGUUUAUGUAUGUUUUCACUGUGUUAUGUUUUAAAAUCCUAGAAAGUUAGUUGGGAGUUACUUAUUCUAAGAAGUGAGUUUAUGCCUUAAAUUUUAUCUUAAUACUCAUGAUAAGACGUUUUUGUUUUAUUUCUAGGUAUGUAUUCUAUUCUGCAUAAUUCAAAUAAGUGGAUUUUUUUAUUCUAACUUUUUGUUUACAACACAAUUCACAUGUGCUUAUUCAACUAUUUCUUAAUAUAUUUUUGCCUUGUUAACAUUUUGAAAAUAACCCCAUAUGAACUUACACAAUAAAAAAUGAGAGUGGUCACAAUCAAUACCAGUCUUAUGAAACCUGAAAUAUUGCACCCUAGUAUCUGCUCAUACAUAUCAAUAAUCAACUGAUGGUAUCUAACUGGUAAUUUUCAGGACCCAGACCAAUGUACUAAACAGCAGGGGCUGUAUGCCUCAAACAGUAUCAUGAGCUUAACAAGUUAAAUUGUUUUUUCACAUAAUCAUUCUACACCAGGGUCCCCCGCCCUCACCAAUCCAGUAAUCUCCCCAAAGAUGGAUAACUCCAUAUACACAUAACUAAAUCAUAUUCAAUGAAACUUAAUAAAGAUAUCAACCAUUGGGGUUAAAAUCCACAGAGGGUAAAUUCAUAAAGGUUUUUUUUUUUUUCAAAUGAAAUUUAAGACAAUUGAAAAGAGGGGAUUAGGAUGUAAAUAAUGUAUUUUCCCUACUGUGGUGCAAUAAUAGUACCCUUCCCAAUCCCUCCCUCACCCCACUACACAUAAGUCACAGUGCAAGGAUUAAAGGUAGCAAAAGGGGUAAUACAGUACCCAUAAUAAAGGGCUCAGGGGAGGAACCAGCGCUCCACCCCAUCCAAGUUGGAGCAAGAUUAUCCUAUACAAAAUAGAAAUAUAUAGUUUGUUAUUAGUUAGAAAUCUGAUAUGACAGAACAUUUGGUGUUACUUUUUGUUCAUGAUGCUCUCCGUCUGUUUCCCUAUCCAUUAAGACUUGAGUUCUUUUGAAAAAGAAGGUAUUUAAGAUUUCCUAGGUUAGGAAAUUAAAAAUACAAAUUUAAACACAAAUUUUAUUUUACCCUAGAUAUUCACGACAUCAAUUCACUCAGUUUAAUUUUACAAGUUGAAAAAUUUGGACUGGAAAUUUGAAAUACAAUAAAUGUUUAAAAGCUGUCAGCCAGAAAUGUGCAUAAAACAUGCAAAACACAAAGUGCAACGUGAUGAUAAUUUAUUUGUUACUUUCUAACUUCUUAUCAAGCACUGUACAACAUGCUUUAUUCAGUAAUGUUGCAUAAAAGCACAUGCUUUGAAAAAAUAACAGAACAACAAAAAUAAAAUGAGUGCCUGAGUUACGCUUUGACGCAGCUAUUGUGAUUUUAUGCUGCUAGGGCAAAGAAUUAAAUGAGAGUUUCUGAGCAUGUUCAAAUCUCACUUCCCAAUCAUAAUCAUCAUUCUUAUAUCCAACCUCACCAUCAUUCAUGAUUAUAUUUUUACAAAAUAAAAUAUCCAAACACUAGAAGUAUAAAAAAUAGAAUCAAUUAUAACGUUAUUUUGACUCUACAAUGCCAAACACGUAUUGAAGAGAUUAGUCAUUUUAGUGCUGUGUGUAUGUUGUCAUUAUGAGGAAUAGAGCCAUAUUCAUAAAUCUGACCAUUUAAACUAUUAGUUAUAUCACUAUCAGCAUUUAUAAGGAUUUUAUGUCUAAAACUCCAAGUUUCAAAAACUAACCUCUUUUAAUAUAAAAGGCAUUAUUGAUUAAUAAUUAUAGAUAUGGUUAUUUCUGAGAAAAUUAAAAGUAUACCGAUAAGAUCAGCUUUUUUAUAGAAAUGAAGUGUAAUGUAUGGAAAUAUCUGAGCACUUGACCAAUGAAUUUAAUAAACUUUCAAAUGGUCAAAUGUAAAAGGUUUAUAAUAUUUUCAAAUGUUUAGCAUUGUUCAGAUUUCACAAGCCAUAUAAAAUAUAUUAUUUUGAUUCAGGCAACAUGUUUUCAAGUAGAAUGUACACAAAUGACAUUUUUUUUCUCCAGAACUGAAACUGCCAGUCUGAAACAAAACAAAGUGACAUUUAAUUGGAAAACAGACUUAAUUCUUAUACACCCCAGAGAUAAUUUCUGUUAACAUUUUGGUGAAAAUUUGAGGCUCUCUGUGAGAAAUAAAAGAGGACUACUUGUAUUAUAUUGUUCUGAGUUGUCGAUAAUGAGGACAAAGUUUUCAUAUAUGUUAGGGAAAUCGAAGACAAGUCCUACGUUCUUACAAAGUGACAUUUAUAAUAAGACUUGAGAAGAGAACAUAAGGCUAUAAACAAUCUACAAAGUGCAAAUGGAAGUCUACAAUACAGCUUAGUUUCCAUAAAAGUAACUACACCUUAGGAGGUGAAAGAGCAGUGUUUUUCUAUUGGAAUCACACAAUUCAGUGUUUUGUUUUGAUAAUAUUUUUUUUUAAAAAAAAGCAGAACUAAUUUUUUAUAUUAUAUAUCUAUAAACUAAUGCUUCAUGCCGUAAAAAAAGGCAUGGAAAAUAAGUCAAUAAUGGCAAAAUUUCUAAUCUGUUAUGCAUGAUGGAAAAUGAUUAUUGCAUCUUUGAAAAGGAUAAAAUAACAUUUUGUGUGACUCUGACCAAUAAGAUGCAAGUUAAGGUUAAUGUAUAAAUUACCUAUAGUAAUGAGUCAAAAUUAUAUUUUCUGUUCAUUAUAAGUGUUUUACUUUAUUGUUAUAAAAAUGAUGUGGAUUUGUAUGUAAUCUUUAAGUUAGUAUUACUAGUUUUAUAAAUUCAGUCAACACUUAAUAUCUAACCAUCUAAUCUUGAAUAUAUUCAAAUAAUGCAAACUUUGGCAUUAUACAGACAAAAGUUUUAACAACUCCUUUCAUUUUUUUCUUAACACUCAUACUUAGGCACAUGUGUGAUUCACAUUAUUUUCAGGAAAACUCGUUAAGUACAGUAUAUCAUCACAAAGAAUAAGUACCUGAUAUAGAAUUUACUUUAGAUUACCAUUAUAUCAUUACACAUAGUACUUUAAUAAUGCAUCAGCUUUUUUUUGUAUAUAGAUUUGUAAGGAAACUCCCAAGAUGGAUUAGGAAAUAAAGUCAUUUAAAUAAGCACAGCAGAUAAAUGAUAUUAUAUCAUUUCAAGAGAGGCCUAUUUCUCUUGCAUAUCACCUAGAAGUAAAUAUGCAACAGAUAAAACAAUAAAGUAGCAAUUUUGCAAGAAUUUGCCAUUCCUUUUGCAUGCAUAGAUUUUCCUUUUUCUAAAUUUAAUUUAGUUUAAUUUUGGCUAUAUACAAUACUUCAGGUUCUUUCAUUUUUCUUACCCUCAUCCCUUCAAAUCGAGAUAAGGCUCUUAGAGGUCUCAGAGCUCUUAGUGUCCUGAGAGAUUUGAUGGCUCCAAGUUCUGAGUAACCCAAGGCAUUUGCUGUUAAACUGACCAAUGAAACCUGCACACACAAAAAUAAUAACAAUUAAUAAACAGAAUCAUCAUUCAAUGUGUAGUUGCUAUAUAAUACAACAAGUAUAAUUUUUGCUUAUAAUUAUUCAGAGGAUAAAUGUUCAGACAUUUUCAGUAAACCUUUAAAAAAUUAAAGAAAUAAUUUCAGUUUGAUGUAAAGGAUGUAAUUUUUAGGACA
rnacentral:lncRNA from 1 species